AAUCAAAAUAUUAAAUUCUUUUUUUAGUCCUUGCAAUUUUAUCAUUAAAAAAUAUAUACAAAUAAAUAAAACAAAAUACAAACUCACACAUACACUUUCACUAUUUUUGUUUCUUUUCUUUUCUUUUCUUUUUCUUUUACAUCCACAAAUACAAAAUACAAAUUAUAAAAACUGAAUAAAUAAAUAAAAAUACACCAACACACACAACCCCUUUUUUAUUAUUAUUUUCUCUUUCUUUUCUUUUCUUUUCCUUUUCUUUUUGUACAUCCCAUUACAAAAAAUAUAAAAAAACUAAACACUAAACAAAAAAAAUACAUUACAUAAUUUAAAAAUUACAAUAAAAAUAGUCCCUAAACUUCAGAAAUCGCAUUGAUAGCCUCCUGCCACCGCAGCAAACAGUGGUGGCGCGUGGGUUCAUGCGCCGCCGGAAAAAAAAGGACCGCAACAGGGGCUGGUGGCAGCUUCAUCCCCUCUUCCCGUCCUCGCCAGUGUUACCUGCAAAAACACCCAAAACGCAACAAGCAGUCUAUUUCAUUAAUUAAUUGUUUUCUAUUUCUUUUAUUUUCCCGAUCUGCCUCUCUUCCCGUUCAAAUCUGCUUCACUGCAGAUCGACUCUUCCAUGGUUUUUUUUCGUCUGCUCCAACGCUUCAAUCGGCGGAUUUGAUGGUUGCAGAUGUGGCGGUGGCCGUGGACGGAUCUGCCAGAGAGAAGGGAGAUCGGUGGCGGGCUCGGUGAACUGGAGGAGCUCGGCCGCCGCUGUGAUGGGCUCUGCAGGUCGUCGCUGCUGGUAAAGAUGAUAGGAACGGCUCUGUGGUGGAGGAGCUCGGCUGCUGCUGAAGGACGAAGGCGGACCGAUCUGGGAUCGGUGGCUGGUGGGGACGGUUCUGUGGGUUGCUACUGGCCGGUUGAGAAAGAGGGAGCCGCCUGCUGAAGGUUGAAGAUUAGAGGAAAGGGGGAUGGCGCCGCUCCUUUUGUUCUCUGGUUUUGGCCCGGGGAAGGGAGAGUGGGAGAAGCUGGAACCGGCUGGAGAGAGGAUGGGUGAAAAAUGGGAGAAGAUCGGCGUUGUGGGUGAGGGAAGAAGAAACCGAAUCUGGAUGGGGGGGGCUGUCUUGGAGAAGAUGUUGGAGCUUUGGCCGGCGGCUGGUGAAAAAAUCAAAAACCAGUGGGGGACGGUUUGGUUUGUUCUCUUGGCCGAGAAGGGCUGGUCUCCAAAAAUCCAAGGCCAAAGGUGGGGCGGCUGGUUCGGGUGGCCGGUUUUUGGGUCAGAAAAAUCAAACCGAGGAGCAACUCCGGGAGACCAAAAACGAAAACCAGGGGGGGCGGCUGGUGUGAAGGAAAUUUUUUUUUUUAGGGUUAGGGUUUCUGUAUUUUUUUUUUAAGUGUCAAAAUUACCCCCCCUCCCUUGUGUGAGUUAAAGACCAGUAUUUAUAGGCAAAAAAUAUUGCCAAGUUUUUCAACUUGGUCCCUCAACUUCUUUCUUUUGAAAUGUAAAUUUUGAUUUUUCUUACUUUUUUGUAUUUUUUGAAAACGAGCAAUAUCAACGUCGACUCAACGAGGAAAAUCAAUGUUUUUUAAAAAUGACGCGUGAAAAGUCGAACGCGUUUGAAAUUUUUUUUUAAAAAAUUUAAAUUCUUUUUUUUUAGACGACGUUGAAAAUGCUAAAAGGACGAAAAUAUAUUAAAAAAACAUAUUUUUUGGAUUUUCAUUGUUUUUCUCUAUUUUUGGAUUUUUUGAAAAUAUAUAAAAAACAUGGGUCAAAAAUUGGGUAGCAACAUAAAGUUCAGGGUAGAUCUCCUUUUAUGAAAUAGUUUGUAUCUUAUCGGGUUAAAUGCUAACCAUUCUAAAGCCUAAUUUUUAGCAAUAUAUAUAUAUUUCUGUAUUUUUUAAUGUUUAAUACUUAGAGGUAUACUUUACAAUAUAAUUUUAUACCCUCAAAUAUUAAAGUCUACAACUAAAUCCUAACAUUUAUCUCUAUUAAUUCAUUUAAUUUAAUAUUGGAAGUAUGCAUUACGUUGUAAAAUUCAUACCUCAAAUAUUAAUUAAAUAAAUAAAUUUUUAUGGUAUUUUUGAAAUUUUAGUCAAAUCCUAAUAAAUAAUCAUAAAUUAGUUAUGAUAUCUAUUAAUUGAUUUUUUUGUUUUGUUUUUCAUAGUAUGAUAACAAUAUAAUUUUAUUUAUUUAUUUUUAUAUAAAAUAUGAAUGAGAAAUUUUUUAGAAUUUAGUUGUAUGCACAGAAAAAAAAAAAAUUUUGUAUUUUUGAAAUGAGGAAACUUUUUAGAAUUUUUGGAUUUAUUUUUUGAAACUUAAGAGAAUUUUUUUUUUUUAAUAUUGGAUUAUUAUCUUACAUGCACUAGAAGCACAUCACGUUGAAAAGAGGAAGAAGAAAGAAGAGGGUUACCUAGACGAGGAUAAUGACUGUAUGUUAAAGUUAAAAAUAAAUAAAAAAUAUUAUUUUAAUAUAUUAACAAAAAUUUAAAAAAUAAUUAUUAUCACAAACAUAAACAGUAAUUUAAUACAAUUACAAAUCCAGUUUUUUUGGUGAAUCAUAAAUCUAAAUAUUCAAAGGUCCAAAAGUCGUCGAGAGCAAAGGAAGUAGAGUAAAAGAAAUGAUGUUUAUCAUUUCGAUUCGGAGGUAGCCAAAGUGCUGGAUGAUAUUGUAUCAAGAGCUAUGUUUGGAUAGGAGAUGACAAGUAACAUUGAUGAGAACUAGUGUAGAACUAAAAACUUGAAGCAUAAAUUUAAUAAGAAAAUAUAGAUAAAUAAAGGGCUUGAAAGAUUAAUAAACAAUAAAAAUAAAAAAAAGUUUAAAGGAUGAAGAGAUAAAAUAUAAUGAUUUAUCUUACUUCAACCCUUUUCUUAUAUUCAUUCUCCAAACUCCACUUGGGAUUUCAAAUCCCCUAUCAAUCUUCUCAUAGAUAGGUGAAGAUAGAAGCCAAGCAAUGACCAUGAAACUAUUUGAUGCACACUGUCACCUGCAAGACCCAAGAAUCCUUAACAAGACACCUCAACUCAUUGCCACUGCCCUUGAUACUGGCGUAGUCCGUUUUGCUGUUAAUGGGGUUUCUGAGGUAUAUAAUACACAUACAAUUUGGUAUCUAAUAAUGAUUAUUUAACUGUUCUUGUCUUAAAUUCUUGUGGGUUCUGAUUUUCUUUUUAGAAAGACUGGAACUUGGUUAAAGAGAUGGAUGAGACCUAAAUCAUAAAUUUGUAUUUUUUUUUUUUAUCAAAAUUUAUGAGUUUUGUGUUUUUGUUUUCGGGGGCAGUAAAUUAAAAAAAUCAUUGAACCUCUAGGUCUAAUUCAUUUGGAUAUCGAUGAUUUAGUGUUUGUGCAAAUUAGAAGUGAAAAAAGUAUUAUAUUACUUUUAUAUAGAUCAUUGUAUAAGGUAUUGUUAUAUCUAUUUGCUUAAAAGCAAAUAUGAGGUUUUUUAAAAAUAUUUAAACAUUAUAAGAAUAACGUUGAAAAUAAAUUUGAUAAGAAGAUAAAGAUAAUAAGAAGUGAUAAAGGUAAAGAAUACAAAGUACAAUUUGGUAAAUCAUGUUUCCAAUAUGGUAUUAUUCACCAAAUUACCGCUCUUUAUUCACCUUCACAAAAUGACAUUACAGAAUGUAAAAUUGAACAUUAAAAGAAAUGAUAAAUGAUAUUUGAUAAGUUUAAGAGCUCCUCAGAACUUGUGGGGAAGACAAUCCUAACUGUCAAUUAUGUACUUGAUAAAGUACCUUAUAAAAUUUUUAGAAAAGACACCAUAUGAAUUAUAAAAAGGUAUAAAGUCUUCUUACCAAUACCUCAAAGUGUUGAGAUGUCUUACAAAAAUAGUAGUAUUUGAUCCUAUAAAGGUCAAUGACCUAGAAACGUGAAUUUUAUAUUUAUCAAAUAUGUAUAUAAUAAUAGUGCAUAUUAGUUUCUUGUAUAUUAGUCAAAUAUUAAGGAUAUUCAUCCUAAUAUUAUUAUGAAAUCAAUGGAUGCUAUAUUAUUUAAAAAUAUUUUCCAUGGAAAGAAGCACAAGAGAAUUAUUCAUUUAAAAGAACAAUAACGCUUAAGUAAUCAUUAUCAAUCAGAGGAUGAUGAAGUUGAACUUAGAAGGAAUAAAAAGGCAUUGGUCUUAAUUUUCUAACAUACUUGUUAGAAAAUGAACCUCGAAUCUACUCCAAAACAAUAUCCUGUCAGGAAGCUUCCUAUUAGAAGAAGAUGGACAAUUGUGAAAUUGAAUCCAUUAUGAAUAAUCAAACAUGGUGUCAUGGAGUGCACGACGUCAAAUGAUGGAGCUGCCUAAUAGAAAUGAGGGUGCUUAGGUUUAAUCAUAAAGUUAAAAUUAGAGGGUUCAUAAGUCGCGACCUAGUAUUAUAGUCACUAGAAAACUUAUUGGUCUAUGAGAGUUCGGGUAAGAAGACUAGUUGUGCAAGGAAAAGAAAAUAUAUCACUCCCAAUGCACCCUACCUAUAAUAAACUGCAUUGUUGAUUGAUUAUUAAUUUAAUGCAUGUUUCUAUUUGUUGAUUUCAUCUAAAGUUCAAGGCAUAUCUCCAUUCAUGGGGUAGUUUGUACCUUAUUGGGUUAAAUCCUAACCAUUCUAAAGCCUAAUGUUUAGCAAUACAUAUAUUUCUGUAUUUUUUAAUGUUUAAUACAUAGGGGUAUACUUUAUAGUAUAAUUUUAUACCCUCAAAUAUUAAAGUCUACAACUGAAUCCUAACAUUUAUCUCUAUUAGUUCAUUUAAUUUAAUAUUGGAAGUAUGCAUUACGUUGCAAAAAUCAUACUCCAAAUAUUAAUUAAAUUAAUUAAUUUUUAUGGUAUUUUUGAAAUUUUAGUCAAAUCCUAAGAAUAAUCAUAAAUUAAUUAUGAUAUUAACUGAUUUUUUUAUGUUUUCAAAAUAUGAUAAAAAUAGAAUUUUAUUUAUUUAUUUUUAAAUAAAAUAUGAAUGAGAAAUUUUUUAGAAUUUAGUUAUAUGCAUAAAAACAAAACAUAUUUUUGUAUUUUUAAAAUGAAAAACUUUUAGAAUUUUUGGAUUUUUUUUUUAAAAUUUUAAAAUAAAUUUUUUUAAUAUUAGAUCAGUAUUUUACAUGCACUAUUAGAAACACAUCACAUUAAAAAAAAAAGAAAAAAAGAAAGAAAGAAAGAAAGAGGGUUACCUAGACCGGUACGGUGACAUUGUGUGUUAAAAUUAAAAAUAAAUAAAAAAUAUUAAUUUAAUAUAUUAAAAAAACUUUUAAAAAUAAUUACUAACAAACAUAAACAGUAAUUUAAUACAAUUACAAAUCCAGUUUUUUUGGUGAAUCAUAAAUCUAAAUAUUUAAAGGUCCAAAAGUUGUCGAGAGCAAAGGAAGUAGUGUAAAAGAAAUGAUGUUUAUCAUUUCGAUUCGGAGGCAGCCAAAGUGUUGGAUGAUAUUGUAUCAAGAGCUAUGUUUAGAGAGGAGAUGACAAUUGAUGAGAACUAGUGUAGAACUAAAAACUUGAAGCAUAAAUUUAAUAAGAAAAUAUAGAUAAAUAAAGGGCUUGAAAGAUUAAUAAGCAAUAAAAAUAAAAAAAAGUUUUAAGUAUGAAGAGAUAAAAUAUUAUGAUUUAUCUUACUUCAACCCAUUUCUUAUAUUCAUUCUCCAAACUCCACUUGGGAUUUCAAAUCCCCUAUCAAUCUUCUCAUAGAUAGGUGAAGAUAGAAGCCAAGCCAUUACCAUGAAACUAUUUGAUGCACACUGUCACCUGCAAGACCCAAGAAUCCUUAACAAGACACCUCAACUCAUUGCCACUGCCCUUGAUACUGGCGUAGUCCGUUUUGCUGUUAAUGGGCUUUCUGAGGUAUAUAAUACAUAUACAAUUUGGUAUCUAAUAAUGAUUAUUUAACUGUUCUUGUCUUAAAUUCUUGUGGGUUCUGAUUUCCUUUUCAGAAAGACUGGAACUUGGUUAAAGAGAUGGGUGAGAGCUAUCCGUCUGUGAUCCCAUGCUUUGGUCUCCACCCCUGGUAAAUAUAAAGGCCCUCUCUUUCUUUGAUUUUUUUUUUUAUCAAAAUUCAUGAGUUUUGUGUUUUUGUUUUCGGGGGUCAGUAAUUCAUGGAUCUGUUUUUCUUUUGUUUUAUUGUUUUUUCCUCAAGAGCAGUGUUUUUGUUUUCUUCUUUGAUGCUUGUGUCGAUGGUAAUGUUUUUUUUUUUUUUGGUCUUUAAUCUAUCUAUAGGUUUAUUGAGGAGAGGACUCCUAAUUGGUUCAACACACUUAAAGAGUUCUUUCAGAUCACACCCUCUGCUGCUGUUGGAGAGGUUAAAUUCCCAUUUCCUUGCUGUUGGUAGAAUCUUCUAAAAGCAUAAUGCUCAAGAGAACCUUUAAUUAACACAGCAUGCUAAUGAGCUUUUUCAGGUUGGUUUGGACAAGGGUUCACAUGGAAAGAAGAUUGAUUUCAAUGAUCAGGUUUUCCUCAAGGAGGGUUUUUUUUUUUCCUUUUUAUUAUUAUUACACACUCAAGUAAUUGAUUCUCUUCUUCACGGCUUAGUCUCAUUCAGUGAUUCGUAUGGUAAUUCAUUACCUGGCCUCUGCCAUUGGACCUGAAAGAAAUUCGUCCUUAAUUUUAUGCAUUGAAAGAGAUAUGUCGGAGCAUUGGCACCUCAGGCCUCAUAUUAGUUCAAUUUCCAUUUGGAAAUUAUGUACCUGGUAACUAGGAGAAACAUGUGUGUGUAUUGUCUUGAAGGCAUUUACACCACUAGCACCUGACUUUUUGGUUUUCAUUACAAUCUAUUAUUUUCCUGGUGGCCUUGGAUUGAGGCUAGUCUUCCCUCGUUUUUGCUCACUAAAUGUGAGAUAUACUUUGUUCCUUAAUACCUAGGGUUUGCAUAGGUUGCAAUUUCUUGACUACCUAUUGCUUUUGCGACCUUCUUGAAAUUGUAUGAUAAAAGUAUUACCUUUUACUAUUUGAAUAAACCUAUAUAUACCUGUUCAAAUAUGCUUCGUGUCACUUUACUUUGGUACCCCCAUUUUUUUCUUCGACAACUUGUCCCUUGAAUAGUUUAUGCAUCUCGUACCAGUCUAAAAAAAUUAUAGAGGAAGAACAUCUAUCCCCAUUACUGGUGUACAUAUUCAUUUCUGUCUUGCUAUAUUCAUAUAUGAUGUCAUUGCUAAAUCUGCGCACCAAUUAAUGCUGUUUCAUGCUACAUUUUUAAUAUUCAAAGUUUCUAUUCCAGGUUCAAGUAUUCCGGAGACAGCUUGAACUCGCAAAAGAGUUGAACAGACCAGUAUCUGUCCAUUGUGUUCAUGCUUUUGGUGAUCUUCUUGAAAUAAUGAAGUACGGUACUAUAUUUUAUUUCUGUUCCACUGAAAGGUAUUAUCCAGAUUAUUGAUGGAAUAUGGCUGGAGCUUUCUUUUUGAUGUAAUCUAUGCAGUGUGGAGUGUUUUUCUCGAAUCAUAAAUAGGCAUUCAAAAUACAAAUAGGAACACCUAUCUUACGAAUGUCAGUUUUAAAAAUUGAGGUCUUGAUAAGGUGCUAUGAUUAAAUUGUAGGUUGGCAUGGACAAGUUGGAUUGCUUUUUUUCCAAGUUUAAUCAAAAUGAAAAGUUCUUUGAUGUCAUCACCUUUGCUUCAAGGAGCUUUUAUGCAUCUCAAUUGCCAUACUUGCUCGUUGACUUGGAUAAAGAUUCUCUGAACCUGUCGUACAUUGUCUCAACUUUUAUUUCUUCUUGCUCAUGGCUUAUGCUGUGUCUAAUUUGUAAUGAUGUGAAGCCAUUAGUUUCUUAAUGCCAUUGUAGUAUUGCAAUUUUUAAUUACAUGCUGGAUCUUCAGGAGUACAGGACCUUUCCCGGCUGGUGUCAUUCUCCAUUCUUUCCUUGGUUCUGCUGAGAUGGUUCCUGAGUUUGCCAAGCUUGGUGCUUACUUUUCGUUUUCUGGUUUUCUCAUGUCCAUGAAAAAAGAGAAGGCAACUAAAAUGCUGAAAGCGGUUAGUUAAUCAAUUGCAUUUUGUGUUUUACAUAUUAGAAAAAUUCAAAGUCUUAACUCCAACCUUUUGCAGGUAUCUUCUGAUAGGAUUUUGUUGGAAACAGAUGCACCUGAUGCCCUGCCAAAUGGAAAGUUUGGUUCCCUGUUUCUGGUUGAUGGAGGUAUUUUUCAUCCUGAAGGAGAAAAUUCUUCUUCAAAUGCUGACAGUCUCCAUGAUGGUGAUUCCCAUCUUUCAAAAGAUGCAUCGGCAUUGCCAAGAGAAACACCUAAUCAUCCUGCAAAUAUACACAAUGUAUGUCAUUUGCUUGUUUCUCCCUUGAACUCGUUAUCUGAUAAUGCAUAAAGUAAAUAGGGUCUGUCUCUUGCAAGUGCUAAUCUCGGAAAGGGCCAGAUCACACAUAAUUCUGAGAUUCAAAACCACCUGUUCCUGGGCCUUGGUGCAUUUCAUAUCCUUUCAAUUUCAUUUAUUCUCUUUAGACUGGCUCUAAAAACUGAGUUAGAGUAAUGGCCUCCUUUAAUCAAUAUAUUGGUUUUUUUUUUCCCUCUCGUCUCCAACACUUUAACUUCUCUUACUGAGACCAGGUUAAAAAACGUGUGCUUGGGACCAUUAUACUUAAAUGUAAAAUGUAUUUAGCAAGUUUCCAUUACUUGUUCAGGUCUUAAGUUACGUUGCAUCCCUGCUGGACAUCACCAAACAAGAACUUGCAGAACUGAGCUAUGCAAAUGCAGUACGGCUAUUCUCUUAUGAAGGUUCCAAGGUAUUAGAAAAAUAGAAAAUUUAUCGAGAAUGUAACGCAUUGUACCUGUUUAGUUGUAUGAUUACUUGCAAUCUCUGUUCCGUAACAAGCAGGCGUGUCCAUAAAUGCUGAAAGCCUUGUCCUGGAUUUCACUUAUAACUGCGGUGUACAUGAAAACCAUGAAUGGCAGCAUGUGAGGUGGAAAGGAAAAGAGAGCUUUCCUUCUCUCUCUUUUUUUCUUUCUUUCUCUUUUCAAUAUAUUAGUGCUAGCCUUUUUAUUAUUUGCAUCUGCUAGCCUUGCAGUUGCAGAGUUGUAGCCAACUUCUGAUUUUCUCCUUCGGCCUAAAUAUUUUCUUGGACGAUUAAUUCCAUCGUUUGCAGUUCAACAAAUAAUAAAAUGGAGGGAACAGUUCCCUCCGAUAUAUCUGCAAUAAUAGUUCAAAGAUUAUGGAUUUAUACUUGAAUACUACCAGUUAUUGCACAUGAGUUCCAUACAAUCGGAUUGGGCGUCAAUGGAAUAAAUUGGAAUUUUUUUUUAAGAAAAUAAAAAUAUACUUUUAUAUGGUGAAAGUAAAAUAAACGUUAAUGCUAGUAAAAUAAAAUAACAUUGAUAGUGAGCAUCUCAAAAUAAUUAUGAUAAUAAUGAUAAUAAUAAUAAUAAUAAAUUGUUUUCAUUUUAGAUAAGAAAAUGAAUGGAAAACAAAUGGGUGACUACAAAAAAGAAAAAAAAGAAAAUCAGAGCCUGUAUUUAUGCCAUCCUUAUUUAACAAAACAUUAAAAAAGAAGUAAGAAAAAUAACGGAAAGCUACUUUCUACAUGAUUUUCUCAACAAAUCAAAUCGGAUAAAUUCAAAUAACAGAAGUGCACUUGUUUAGGGCGAUAAUCUUUUUGAGAGCUGAAAGUUGAGAUUUUUGGUUUUUGAAAUUAUCUGAUGAAACAAGAAUACAGCAAAAACCAGUAAAAAAAAAACCCUACAGAAAGGUCUCUAGCUAUACAGGCAUUUGUAAGAUCAGAACUUCCAACAACAACGACUCCUGCCUUUGUCACGCAAAGCAACUCUAAUUACGAGUGUCACCAGAUGGCAAGUAGAGAUGUAUCAUCUUGGUAAUCUUCUCCUUCCUUCGUUGAGUUCUCUCUCUCUUUUGCAUUUUCCCCUCUAAAUCUUGUGAUUAUUUUCUAAAUUCUGUUUCAUUGCCUCUAUGCAUUUCAGGUUGUCCAAGUCUCCAUCCCCAUCAGAAGUUCAGCUCCAUGUACAUGGCAUGCCUUUCAGUGUAGACAAAGUAAGCUGAUAUAACAUUAAAAAAACCUGCUUGGUUCGAAUGAUAAAAUUUCUUCAGCAGAAGUGUAGAUUAGAUAACCAUAUAAAUCCUCCUUCCAUUAUCAUUUUUUUUUUGGGAAUUUUUUUAAUAUAUCUGCGGGUAUAAUUUACUCUUGUUUAGGAUCUUCUGUCAGCAAGAUCAGCCAAAAUAGCUGCCCUGCUCAAAGAAAACCCCCCAGAAAAGCUGGCUUUUCUUCUCCGAGAUAUUCCUGCUGAUCCAGAAACCUUUGAACUUGUUGCUAGAUUCUGCCAUGGGUAUGAACUGAUUUUGUCCACGGACAAUGUAAUACCACUCAUUUCUCUUGCUUACUACUUGGAGAUGACUGAAAGUCACAGCGACAAUAAUCUGCUGGACAAGACCCUUGCUUUUUUUGAAGAUAAAGUCCUUCCUAGCUGGAAUGAAACCAUCAAGGCUCUUCGGUCAGCGAGCAGUACCAUUCAACAAGUACUGCAUUCAGGUUUGGUUGAUGCAUGUUUAGAAUCACUCAUUUACAAAGCAUUGGCCGAUCCCCGGCUUCUUGGAGAACCAAUCAAGAAUUCAACAUGCAAUGAGGAUAGUGAGGAUGAGGAGGUCUUUAAACCAAAUGCGAGACGAAAACUUUUUUCUCCUGAUUGGAAAUCAGAGGAUUUGACUACACUGUCCCUCCAGUUAUAUAAUCCCCUCAUACAAGCAAUGAAUCAGCAUGGAGUCCCACCAGAAUAUGUUGCAGCAUCUCUUUGUCAAUAUGUAAAGAAGUGGACCGAUUCAGGAGAGAACGAGACAAUUUACAAAAGGGGAGUGAUUGAAGCAGUGGAAAGGCUUCUGCCUCCUGAAAAAGGAAUUCUUCCUUGCACAUUGUUGUUUGAAAUGCUCAGGCUUGCGAUUUGUCUGGAAUGCAGCAGUGAUUGUAGAAGUGGUUUUGAGGUUAGGAUCGGGAAGCAGUUAGACCAGGCAGAAGUGAAAGACCUCUUAAUACCGUCUCAAGGUUAUUCCAAGGAAAUCCAAUAUGAUAUUGAGUGUGUGAGGAGGAUUUUGAAACAUUUCUAUGCCAACUACAGCAGCACUGAUGUUUCUGGUAUAAUCUCGGUGGCAGAACUCAUUGAAGAAUUUUUGAUGGAGGUUGCGAGUGACAUAGAUUUGAGGAUAGACACGUUUGUUUCUUUAGCUGAGAUGUCAUUGGCAGCAUCAUUAGGAACACAGAGAAAUUCCGAUGGAAUAUACAGGGCCAUCAACAUUUACCUGGACAAGCAUAGAUAUUUGACAGAGCUGGAAAGAGAGGAGGUAUGUAGGGUGUUAGAUUGCCAAAAAAUGUCACCUGAAGCCUGUGAACAUGCAGCGAAGAAUGAAAGGUUGCCGGUUAGGUUUGUGGUGCAGGUGUUGUUUGUGGCGCAGUUGCAGUUGCGAGACACAAUCACAAAGGAGGUGCAGGAAUUUGAUGAUAAAUUGAGAAGAGAGGUGGUGGAGGACGAGGAGAAUGAAGUGAAGAUAGGUUUUGACGAGGAAGAGGUGAGGGUUGAAAUGGAGAAAAUGAGCAUCAAAAUGAUGGAGCUCGAGAGAGAGUGCUGCAUAAUGAGGAAAGAAAUAGAACAUGGGUGCACCCAUCAGAAAUCAAAAAAGGGCAAAGUUAGCAUGUGGAGAGAAAUGAAGAGAAAAUUGGGGUGUGUGAGUAGCACUCAUGAUUGUAACUGCCAAGUCAAGAAGAAGAAGAAGAAAUACUGAGUUUCAGGCUUGGAUUUGAAACUGCUAUGGCUUCUCUCAACAGUUUGCUUCUUCUAGGGAACUGUUUAUGGCUACUGUGAUGCAAUAUGUGCUGGAAAUGGCAAUUGUCAGGAGAUGGAAAUGGAAAGGCCUAUAUAUCUGUUUGUUUUAAUCUGCAGUCUUGUGAUUCCUGUAGUUCAGAUUGCCUUGAUUAUUUUUGUUUUUGUUUGCUGGAUUUGUUCAACUCACAACCCUUGCUUUAUUUUGCUUAUCAAGAAAACCAAAAGGGCAGCCUUUACGAUCGAUUUGCUUGCUUGCUUGCGACUACUACAUGUUCAUCCACAAAUCAGUAAGAAAAAAAUUAAAAGAAACAAAAAAACUUGGUUAUGUCUUUGGUCUCAAUGUUUUUGCUUUAGGCUUCUAAAUACUAGUUUUCAUGCAUGAUUUUGUCAUUUUUUUUUAGAGUUACAAAGAACCAGACCACCACUUGCUUCGGUGCAUCAAAGUUGAAUGAACAAUAAUUACAGAGUAAACAAGUUCAGAGCAUCAAAUAUCACAGCUUCAUACAUUGAACGUAAAUAAGAAAACUUCAAACAACCUGGGAUUAUUGAAUACAUCCAUUUGCAAGCCAUGGAUGUGUAUACAAGUUCAUUUAUUAUCACAAACCAAGCAAGAACAUAGCUUAUGAACGAAGGAUUUGGAUGCUCUGCGUGUUGUUGCUGGCUUUUCUAAGCAUAUGAUCUCAGAGUCAUCCUCUCCAUUUUCCCUUGCCUUGUCACAUUCAUCACAAAACCUCUUGAAUGCUUUCUCAACAUACUUUGCGCCAUCCGAUACAUUCAAGCCAUCCACAAGUUGCUGAGGAUAAAUAUCCUUCGUAAGAUCUCCAUUCAAUACAGCUGCCAUUUCCACCAGUUCUUCCUGGAAUUCACUAAGUUUUGCGUCUUCUUUUGCAGCACCCUCACGCAAUUUCACAGGUUCAACCAGCGUAACUGCAAAAUGCAUAUGUAACUUGAGUCUUUUAAGUUUUAAUAAAGAAAGACAUCAUGUAAAUACUGUUCAAUUUACCUGGACAAUCCACUCUCGGACUAGUUCUAGUCAAAAUGCCCUCAAAAGUGCCUGCCCAAGCAUCGCGCUUGGUUAGGAACUCUUUCAGAUUAAAGAUCUUCUUAACAGUUGCUGCAAUGGAAGAAUGCUCAAACUCUGAUCCAGGAUAUGGUCCCGAAGGCGCAUGUAACACUGCAGUUUCAAGUCACCAAUCAACAUAUACAUCAGAACAUGUUUAACAGAGAAAAAGGCAGUUUCUUGCUAAUCAUAUAUAGAAAAAAAGUUAUGGACAUACCUGUUCCAGGAUCAAUCCAGGGAGAUAUAAGAAAUGCAGGAACCCUAACACCAAGACGAUCAAACUUGAAGUUAUAUGGCGCAGGACCAACAAUGUCGUCAGGGCUAGGGACACCAGUUACAGGUGUUGGAACGUGAUCAUAGAAACCACCAUGUUCAUCAUAUAUGAUUAUAAAUAAGAUUUCAUUCCAUUGAGGACUAGCUCGUAGUGCCUCGUAUACUUUUUUCACGAAUUUCUGACCCUCUGAGACAUCAUGAGAUGGGUGAUCGUCAUUUGCAGGUAUCGAUAAAAGAUCAAAAUAUCUCUGUUCGAUGACAACAUAGUUUGGUAGCUUCCCUUCUUCACAGUGCUUCUUAAAGUGCAGAUCAAACUGGUGAAACUUUGUCAGGUAUUUCAACUUUCGAAGGUUCCUGUUAACAAUGAGAUUUUUCACUUGUCAAAAGAAAUUUAAUUAUGGUAGAUGCACAAAAUCUUAACUAAAAAAAAAAAAGGUUAUUCAAUUCAUGUGAGUUCCAUAUUAAAAACUCAAAUGCCAGUUUUUUUGUUUUUUUAAAAGCUCCAUCUUCAAACUUUUUUUUGAUUAAAUAUCCUGUGUUUUUAAUAAUCUUUACAAUUAUAAAACAAUACUAGCUAGGUGUUUAAAAUUGUGGUAAAAAUUAUUUUUAAAAGUGUUUUUUUUAUUAAAAAAAUAGAUCAAAAAUUAUUUUGCAAUCAUUUUAUUUUGCUUAAAUUAUUUUAUUUUAUGUUUUAAAAUUAUUUUGAUGUGUUUAAUAUUAAAAAUAUUAUUUUAAUAUAUUUUUUAAUAAAAAAUUCUUUAAUCGGAAUUUACCAUCUCCCGAGCAAUUUGGACAAAUUGCUGGCUUGCAAGAAGCCAAUCAAAAGCUUGCUUUCAAAGAUUUACUCUUUUUUUUUUUUUUUUUCACAUGGCACUGCACAAAAUCCUGAUUGUUUAUCACUUUAUAUUUAAUUAUAAUCAGGAAUUCAUGCCUAAUUAAUAUUGGGGGAAUCAAUAAUGACGAUUGAGGGUGCCUUUAACGGGACGGCUAUUCAAGAAAUUAAAUAAUUAGAAAUAGCUAAAAGUCCAAGCAAAAUGAUUUAUUUUUAACUCUUUAUUUGAAAAUUGGAUUUGGUAUACCAACUCCUCAAUGGGGCAAUAUUAAAAUGUUGAUUCCAUUGUGGGUUUGGUUUCCAACUAAUUGUUAUAGAAAAUAACUAAUUUAAUAAAUAGAAUGUCUUUCCAACUCAAACAAGAAAAAGAAAAGUGUAAUACUAAUUAGUCUCCUAGAUUUUAUAUAUUAUUAACAUUCAAUUCCUGAAGUUAAAAAUCCUGUAAUGAAGUUCGCUUUAAACCUUGUUUAUUUGCUAGAAUGUUGUUUUUUUUAAAAAGAAUGGUUUCUAUAUAAAAUAAAAUUUUGAAAAGUGAAUUAUUUUUUUAUAUUUGGUAAUAUCAUGAAAAAUAAGUUGGAAAACACAUUUUAAUAUUUGACCGUCUCAUGAAAAAUAACUCAUUAAUAUUUUAUUUUUUUAAUUUAUUAAAAAAAUAAGGACAAAUCUGAUAUCUGAUAUGUAAAAUGAUGAAGAAAUUAAAAAAUAAAUUUAAUUUCAUAAAUUAUUUUAAAUAUAAUAAAUAACAAUCAAAAGAAUGUAGACUUGAUUUGAUAAAUAAAAAAUUUCAAUUAAAAAAAAAAAUAAGAAAAAAAAUAAAUAAAGACCAAAAUUGAUAUAAAAAUCAGAUUCUAAAGGAUGAAAUUGAAAUUUUUUUUAUAAAAAUCCAAAACAAAAUGUAUAGCAAACAAAAGAUUGAGGACAAAGUUUUCCUUGAAAUGAAACUAAAAUUUUUUUUAAUCAAAAAGUAUUUUUUAUCGAUCAACUUUUAUAAUUUUUAAAAAAUUAUUUCACAUUAUUUUUUAAAAUCUAAACUCCAAUGCAUACACUAUGAUUAAGUUUGAACAGUUCAAUAAAUAUUGCAUAUGGAAUUCGACACAUUCCUAGUAGAUUUGCAAACCAUGUUUUCUUAAAUUUGAUUUUUUUUUGUUUAAAAUGAAUUUUUUUUAUUUUUUUGGAUCAUUUUGAUGUGCUGAUGUAAAAAAUAAUUUUUUAAAAAUAAAAUUUUUUUUAUUUUAAUACAUUUAUAAGCAAAAAAAUUUAAACCGUCAAGUCAACGCUAUUACAAUUCCAAACACAUUAAAUUAAAAACUGAGUUGAUAUCUUAUUUCAAGUUAAGGGACUAAUUUGCUGUUAAUGCAAGAAUAAUGUUGAAGAUGUUUUUUUAGUCAUCAAUCAAUGUUUGAAGCGGUGAUCCAUCUCAAGAAAUGUAUUUAAAAGUGUCAUAAAUAUUAUUUUUAAAGUGUUUUUUUAUUUAAAAAUAAAUCAAGAUAUAUAUAUAUAUAUAUAUAUAUAUAUAUUAUUUUUGACAUUAACCUAUCAUAUCAAAACAAUCUAAAAAUAUCAAAAAAAUUACUUUAAAAAAAAUUAAAAAAAUUUAAAUUUUAAAAAUAAAAAAACAAACAAAAUUUUUCAUCGUCCUUCUCUUGUUGAUCUGAUGUAUCACAACAAGCCAUCAUGUUUAUGAUAGUGUUUGAAGAAAUUAACUCGCAUAUGCCGAAACUCUGCUGUCGGCCGAGUAUAAUUAUUGGCUAACUUUACGAAUACAAGACGAGCCUAAACCAGUGAGAAAAUGUUAAAUUUAUGAAUUACAGGCUAAACCAUUGAAAAAAAAAAAUUCGUGAAAUAAAAAACAACACUAAUAAUUAAACUAUAGCCACCUACAUAAUUUUAUAUCUCAAACAAAGAAAAAGAAGAGGAAAGAGAGAAAUAUUAGAGAAAAUCUUAUCGUAUGAAGGAACUUUGAUUAUAUAAUUUAGAGGGUUACCUGUAAAAGAGAGUAGCAGGGGGGUACUGGUAAUAAAUCCCAAAAGUAAAACCAGACUCAUCCAGGGACUCAAAUAUGGUCUUUUGAGGGUAGCCUUCAAUCAGCAACUGUCUGUUGUUGCUGGUAGCUCCAUGAGACGUCGCAGAAUGCACAUAAAGCCUGUUGGGUUGUGUUGAUGCAGGAACGGAAGCAAACCAACGGUCACAAAUAGCAAAAUUCUCAGCCAACUCCUUGUAGACUGGAACUGCGUCCGGUUUGAACCCAUUCAUGACAGUCUGAGCCAUGCCCUUCUGCAAUCUCUCUGCAUUCUGUGCAAAACCAUUCAUUUUUGGAGGCAGUUUGUUGUCAUCAGAGAGUGAGGCUUCGGUCCAUGGAACCCCGAAAACUUGUUCGUAAAUGUCUUGGAUCGAGUGGCCAGGGUCAGGGUCAACGUAGGCAGCUUGGUCACCGAAGAACACGAGAGUUGAGUUUGAGUCGGAGCUGGAGAUGGGGUUAGAUUCAGAAUCCGUGGCUCCAUUGAUUUCUGGGUUUAUAGUCUUCAGCCACCCUAACAUGUGGUCAAAUGAACGGUUUUCUUGGACCAGAACCACCACCGUUUUGAUAGGGGAAUUAGGUGUGGCGGUGCUGGUACUAGAGCUCUGAUCAGCUACCAUUUUUUUGCUUUUUUGGAAGAUGGAUUUGGGUUUGGUAAAGGUGUUCUGAGAUGGCUAUGAUUUAUGGAAGUCUAUUGGAUUUUUUUUCAGUAUAGUUAGUGUUUUGAUCGGAGAAGAAAUCACUUGGAAAGCUGGGGAAAAGAGAUCACUCAAGUAUUUAAACUUGAAAUAAUCUGUGCACGUAACAGGGUGGCAAUUCGUGCUUUUGUACUAUGCACGUUGGACAGGAGUUGUCUUGCGCUGUCAUUGUCUAUCAGCUAACAAAAUAAAAUAUUAAAUUUACUCCCAAAUAUUUAAUUUAGACGAUUGAAAGGAAAAAAGAAAAACGUUUUAUGACCGAUAUAGAGCUACAAAAUGAGGCAAAAUCUCCUCUAAUUUGCUCGUCAUAAAUGCAAGCAAGGUUUUUUUUUUUCCAACGUGAUUAUAUUCUAUAAUUGCUUGUAAUAAAGUCACUAAAUAUGACGUGAGAAUAUGUAUGUAGAGCUGCAAGUCAUGAUAGCUUACCGUGAUGAGCAACUAGUUGCUAACAAUAAAUUUUUGAGAUACACAAGCAAUUGAAAAUGACCUAAAGUGUAACGCAAUGGCCCAUCGCUUGGCCCUUACAAAGAGAGAAAAAAAAAACCAACACGAAGUUGACAAGAAAAGGAUGAAGAAGAAGCUUUGAUCUGAUUUUUAACGUAAAAUAUGCUAACGGAUAAAAGCAGAUGCCAUGCGUGAGAACGAAGUUCUUAUUUUAAUAGAAGAAGUGGAAGCUUGUUUCAUGAUUAUCUUGCAUCGUAUGUUGAAGUCAACAAAAUCUAAUCGUGUUGGUCAUCAUUUAAAGUAAAAGGUUCGCAUAUUUAGUGCUCAGUUGAUCUUGUUUUCAUGAGUGCCGGUACUCUCCUGAAUGUGAACUAUAAUUUGCCUGUUAUUUUACAUAUAAUGUUAAACCUUUUCUUCCAUAUUCAUGUUCAAUAUUGAAAGCUAUUCUUUAUAUAUAUAUAUUCAUGUUCAAUAUUGAAAGCUAUUCUUUAUAUAUAUAUAUAUAUAUAUAUAUAUAUAUAUAUAUAUAUAUUCAUGUUCAAUAUUGAAAGCUAUUCUUUAUAUAUAUAUAUAUAUAUAUAUAUAUAUAUAAGUGUAAUUAUAUAAAAGGGUAAUUAUAUUAAAGGGAAAAGCUGUCUAAGAAUACAAGGGGUAUAUCUAAGAUGGAUAUUGUUGCGAUAUCACGGUCGCAUAAAUUAAUCAUCCUAGCUUAAAACACAACACACAAGAUAGUAUAAAGCAAGCAAGGGGUCGAUCUCAUAAGGAAAGUUUAGUUUAGAUUUUUAUGUUAUAUGUUAUGCAAUGGGGGAUUUUAAUUUGUGAUGAUCUAAACUAUGGAAGAAAUUAAACUAGCAAACAAAAGCAAUUGAAACCGAAAUUUAUCAAGAAAACAAACCUUGGUCGCAAGCACACAUCCACCAAUGGAAAUUAGAACCGAUCCUUGAAACGAAACUUCAAUUUAUAUUAUGAAUUUUUUUUAUCUUUUCUUAACAUUAGUUAAUUAACUGAUCCGCCGUAUAACUAACCUUAACCAACAAACAAUCACAAUGUCCGCAUGAAUGAUUUAGUUCAAUGGCAGCUCAAAGAACUAGAUAAAUUGAUUGAUCUCUUGACAACCAAGCUUUCCGCAGCUUGUGUUCCUUUGUUCGAGUGUUCUCCCUAAGUUUAAUAAUGUAGUUCACCACAAUUAUCAAGCUUAGUUGCUUUGCAAGUUCAUAUAUCACAACUCCAGUUUUGAUAUCAAACUUAGCAAUAGAUUGUUUACAAUAAUAACUUAGAGUCCGCUCUAGCAAUUAUCAAUAACAAUCAUAGAAAAUAUGCAUAGGAAAAUAAUCAUACUCAUUCAUAAUAUAAACUGAAAAUAAAAGGAAGAAUAAAUCUCACGGUUCUUGAAAUUCGAAGGUUUGUUGCGUCCUUGCAACCAAGAAAAUGAGCUUAGCCUUGCAUAUCUAUGGAACACCUACUCCUAAAGAUAGAAGAAAGCAUUAUUUAUGGUUUGUAGAGAGGAGAGUUUGUGUUUCUUCACUUCUAGCUGCCACCCUCUUUUUUGCCCUCUUUCCCUUCUCUUUUUCUUUUUUAUAUACUAAGAAACCCUAGUUCCUAUUUUACAAAAUAGUCCUCCCUUUAAGUUGACAAUUUACAUUUAAGUACUUCAAUAACUAUUUUCCUAAAAAGAGAAAUAGCUUUGCAUUAAAUCUUCAAGCUUUGACUUAGAGGAGCUAAAUUGCUGAAAUAAAAACUUGGACACCGGUUUAGAUGCUUCGAAACAUAAUUUGGACAUGUUCCUUCACGAAACCUGUUUGCUGGCAGAAUUCAGUUGUCAUCUUUGAAAAUUAAUAUCUCCAUUAUAUGACUUUUUUUUGCUGAAAUUUGGAGCGUUGAUAGGUCUUUAAGUCAGGAAUCCAAAAAAUUGAGUUUGCAUCAAUUGGACUUCUGCAGCUCCAGAUAUUGAAUUUUGAAUGGCCAAAGGUCAACAUUGACAGAAUGCGAGAUUUGACUUUGAAGGAUGUGAUUUCCAUGAUCUUUUUCUUUUUAUUUUUCUUGUAUUAAAUUUCCAGAAAGGUAUGGAUGUUAGCUUUUUAGUGCCACUGGAAUCACUUCAUUUUGACCCCUAGAACUCACGCUCUACACAAAACAUCGACUGAAUGUUAAAUAUGUCAAUUACCUGUAAUUUACUCCUUUUUGCAUCUUUCAUCCAAAAGUGUCUUCAAAACAUAAAACAAAGAAUAUCAAGGCAUUAUAUAUAUAACAUGAGCAAAACACUAGUUAAAUAUGGGUGAAACUAUCGAAUAAUAUAGUUACAUCAGAUAUCAUCCUGCAACCUAGAUCAAAACGAACAAGACUGUUUGGAUAAUAGCUCAAGAACCGAUCGACUGAUUCUUAAAAAUAUAUGAGACAUGCUAAGUGGAACUCAAAGGACAUCAAACUAGAGUAGUUGGAAUAUGAUAUUUUGGUUCUAGCUCAACCAACUUGGAUUAGAUAAGAUCAAAGGUCACUUUACUAAUAAUAUGAUAAAGACAAUAGACUUGGUGAAAAACUUGAUUAUUCUAUUUCUACCAGAUAAGUAAACUGUGACUGAGAGGACUAAUCGAGCAAAAACAUACAAGAACUUCUAUUGCUUAUAAUGCGUGUAUGUUCCAUUAAAGUAAACUUCACCAUGUCAUAAAAGGCUAAUUUAUAAGAGUUUGACUCAUGGUAGGCCCCUCCUCCCCAAACCAAAUUAAGUAGAGAAAGAACACUGAAAAAACAGAUGGUCAUGUAACAUCUCACCUCUCUAGUAAGAUAUUGUCUGUUUUGGCCUAUGAGUCUCGUGUAUUUGUUCUUGGCAGCUACGCAUGGUCCCAAAACGCAUCUUAUUAGUCAAGAUGAGCUUGCUUAUAUAAAAUCAUCCUCCAAGUCCUCACCUGCUGAUGUAGGAUAUUAUAGUCUGUGUUUCAACAUGCGAGCCAUAAAGGAUACAUACUGAGGAUAUUACAGUCCGUGUCUAAAUAUUUUUCUUUUUAUUUCAUAUGUAUAUUACUGAAAUAUUAAAAAUAUAAUAAAAUCUUUGAGUAUUUAUAGAUUUGAACACUACACAACUAAGAUAUGAUUUAAACAAAAAAUAAUAAAUAGAUUUAAUCCAAAUGGAAUGGGUCUAAUUAAUAUUUACUGAGUCGAGCCAAGUUUUUCUCUUUAACCAAUGGCAUUUGAAUCUUGGAGCAUGAGAGGAAGUAUAUGACACUUACUACAGUAAACUUUUAUGUAUGUUUACGUCUACUUGCUAUUAGUUUCAAUGCAAUAUUUUGCUAUUUUAUAUAUAUAUAUAUAUAUAUAUAUAUAUAUAUAUAUGUAUGUGUGUGUGUGUGUGUGUGUCUAGAUAUAUUAAUGAAAUAUUAAAAGUAUAAUAAAUUCUUGAAGAAUUUAUGGAUUUGAAUGCUAGAUAACUGGAGAUAUGAUGUAAGGAAAAAAUAACAAAUAGAUUUUGUCCAAAUAGAAUUGGACUAAUAUUUACCCAUAUAUAUUAUUGUCUUUAAACAGUGAUAUUUGAACCUUGGAGUAUAAGAAGUAUUUGACACCUACUACUGUCAACUUUUAUAUAUUUUAAUGUGUUAAUUACUUGCUAUUACUGUCCAAUAAAAUAUUUUUAUAUUCAUUUCAUACCUAUAUUAAUGAAAUAUUGAAAAUAAAAUAAAAUCUUGGAGUAUAUAAAACACUUAUUUAUUGAAACUCUUCAAAUAUUUUAAAUUUGAAGUUGUGAUGUUAUCAAUUAUAAAUAUUUUAUUUUUAAGAUUUUAUUACUCAUGUAAAAGAAUUUUCUUCAAUAACUUCCUCAAGAUUUCAACAACACAACUUGUAGCACCUCGCACAACAAUACCUUGCACAACAAUUAGGACUUCCUAAAAUAAUAAUGAUGGUAAUGAGAAUAAUUGAAAAAAUCAAAACAUCCACCCAAUAAUUAAAGGAUAUUAGAAAUUCUAAAAAUUAGCAUUUAUUUCGAAGAUUCAUGUGAGGAGUUAAUUAUACUUAAAAAGAAAAAAAUGCAUCAUUUCACAUGAAAUGUUAUAUUUUCUAGAUGUUUUCCUCUUAAAUUUGCCUUCUUAAUUGCUAUUAGAUUUCUUAAUUAACCUAUAAUUCACGCAUGAUGCUUAAUUAAAAUUUUUUAUUUUGAUCUCUAAAAAUAGAAAUUUAUCAAUUUAAGAUAUACAUGAUUUUAUUCCUAGGACUUGAUUAUUCGAGAAAAUACGAUUUCCAUCCUAUAGAAUAUGAAAUUCAUCAAUUUGAAUAUCUUAAAAAAAAAAUGUCAAUCUUGAGAAAAGAAAAUCUUUCUUUUAAAAAAAAUGAUGUUCAUGCCUUAGACUAGGAGACUCAUCGAAAAAGGUUCUUUUAAAUUCUAAGCUUUAAAAUACCAGUAUUUGGUAUUGAAUUAAAAAAUAUAUUGGCCCUAUAAAAAAAAAAGACUUGUUAAAAUCUCUAUUUAAGUCAUAAUUCUGAAAAUACCACUAUUUGGUAUUGAUUAAAAAAAAAUCAGUCCCUUAAAAAAUUAGAGUUUCGUUAAUUUGAAGUUUGUAGAUUCUAGCUUCAAAUUGUAUAUAUAGCGUGUCAAUUUGCUUGAUUACUGGAGAAAAUUUACAGGAAGACAAUCCUAAUAUUCAUUUCUAGAGUUGGAUGCUCCAUGUGAUAUCAAGUCUUACAUGGGACUCUCAGGUUCUCACAGAAAUAAAAUUCAAAAUACAAAGCACAUGAAAUGUUUUAACGAACUGAAUUGUUUUUGGGACAACCAAAAUAAGAAAAAUAUCAAACACUUACAAGUUCUUGUCUCAAGCAAAUUCAAGAGAUUAAAAAUCCAUGGAAUUUUAAAUUCUAAACUCAAAUGGGAAAAUUCACAGAAGGGAUAUUUGUUUUAGGUUGAUAUCCAAACUUCCAUCUACUUAUGGCUUCAUGACUGUAGAGAAAUUGUAAACCUAAAGUUUCCCUUGAUGAAAAGUUUAUGAGCAGUUGUUAUCGCAUUCAAUUACAAGUUUUAUUACAGGUCAUCAGUUCAAGUUCUUUAAUUUUCGGGUCACUAAAAGCUUACAUGAUUAUUAAUUAGGACCCGUGAAAUUAGUUAAAGUAUACCCAAGCUGACAUAGACACCCACAUUAAUUUUAAAAAAAAAAAGUCUCAUCAGCAAUAGAGUCUUUCUUAUAAUACGUUUAGCAAGGAAAAAAAAAUCAUUCUUAAAUCAAUCAAAUCAAGGCAUUGCAUGGAUAAAAAAUUCCAACACUUAAAUAGAAACAAUUUUACCCUGAAUUGAAGACUGAUGUUGCUGUUAUGCCUCCUCUCAAACACACACUCCAAUUGUCAAAACUUUUCCCUACCAAAAUCAAAAUAGACAAAACCUAAUCACCUAAUAUUUCUUGACUUUGCUCUUCCGUCCCCGCUCUGUGUCUCUUCCUCUCUACCUAUACCUAAUAUUUCUUGUACCUUGCAGUAUCUUGAAGAAACCUUGUAUCACUAAUUGUUAUUUGGAUGGUGACAAUUUUUCAUGAUCCUAACUCAACUUAUCGUUAUGAGAAACAUUAUAAAAAUCAUUAUUAUUUGGAAUUGGAUAACUUGCCCCCAGUAUAUGAUCUUGACCAGUUUACUAUUUUGAAAAACUCAAACUCAAACCACAACUUGCCCCCAGUCCAUAAUUUUCCUCUAGGCAUCAGUUCUUGGUUUCCAUGUAUCUUUUGUUAUGGUUGCCUUGAUUAUGCUAUAACACCACACUGAACUUUAGGCUUUAUUCCUAACAUUAAUUGUUUCAUAUUUUGAAAUGAUCAUAAAUAAAAACACACAUUGCAACCCCUUUGAUACCUUUUUCGGAAAGGUGUUUAUAUGAACUUUUAACAACAAGAGGUGGUAAUCAUUUUGACAAAGGAUAUUUUUUUUGUGGUUAAUGAAAUUGCUUUUAUUUUUUAACAAAUUAACUAUAACUAAAAGAGAUUAGUAUUUUAUUGUAGCGGGCUACUAUGCACUGUGAUUGCUUUUAUUGUGGAUUGCACUGUUCUACAUUGUAGCGCGUGUAGUGUAGACUAUGAGUGGUUUCACUGUGGAUUGCACUGUUUGGUGGGGGCACUACAUCAUUAAACAGUUUUACCGACAAAUUCAUUCCGUUGAUGUAAGACGCAAUUCGUUGGUAAAAUUCUUUCCGAAGGCAUCACCGACGGAAUCCGUUCAUCAGAAUAUUGAUCGUCGGUAAUUUUCCAUUCCAUAGCUGAAACUGUCGAGAAAAAAAAAAAACAAACACCGACAGCACACUAACGGUCCUACAGCCAAUGAAGCGCGUCCAAAAAAAAAUUUCCCGCGAAAACUUUACCGACAGAAUAAUUCCGAAUGUAUUUUCAACGGUAAUCACCAACGGAAUGGCCGUUGGUAAUUGUGGCAUGGGCGGUAAAUAUUUCAUAACUCUCUGUAGAAUAUCGAAAGAAUAUAUUCCAUCGGUAAUAGUAACGGUAAACACCGACGGAAUCUAUUCGUUGGUGAUUGUGGCAUGGGUGGUAAUUUUUUUGCAACUCUCGAUAAAAUACCGACUGCUUAGUUCCGUCUAUAAAGCCGUCGGUAUUUAUUUAAAAUAUUUUUAAAAAAUUAUUUAUUGAUAGUAAAAAAAACUAAUUAACCAAAUAAAUAACCAAAUAAAAGUGUAUUAAACAUUAAAAUAUAAAAAUAAUGUUAAAUAAUAUUCAUCCAAAUCUUCAUAACAAAUUUAAUGUGUUUCAAAAACAAAAUUAAACUAGAAUAAUGGCGAAGCUGGAGGAGGAGGCUGGUUGUUCUCAGGACCGUACGGCCAAAAAGGGGUUGCACAUGUAUUAUCAUCCAUCCUUGAUCUAAUCUCCAUGACCAUUUGAUGGAGCUGAUUAUAAUCCAUCGAGAGUAGUUCAUAUUGUUGUUUCAAGGCCAUGAACUCCUCAGACUGGGUGCUCGAUACUGAUGGAGAGCUCCCAACAGUUGAGAUACUAUUGGCCGACCCCAAGUUUUCGACCGUAGUGUUGGAGAGCCCGUAAACCUGAUUUUUAUCGGGUCCACCAAACGAUCCUACCUCUAUCCACAAAUCGUGAUCGAAAUUCGGAUGGGUCGAAGGAUUCGUCCCCAUAGCUCUCCCUCAACUGACUAUUAUAGGUCUCCUAAUUUUUUUUUUUAAAAAAUCAUCAUAUUCAAUUCAAGAAAAUAAUAACUUACGAAAUAAAAUGAUUGAAUGAACAUACCAUGAAGUGUUGAGCACGGUUGUCCACGAACUACUGCACCCCCUUUUGGCGGUCUUGACUCCGCACGUGCAUCUCUACAAACAGCUUCAUUGGGCUCGGCUCACGUCCAAGAAACGUAGCCUGUAAGGAAAAAAGGUUGCAAAUUAAAUAUAUUUAUAAGCAACAACAAAUUAAUUAACGAUAUAUUUCAUUUAAAUUAAUCUUACCAUCCGCUUCGUAUGUGCACUGAACGGGACGAAGCUGCUGGUGUGCGUGGUCAUUGAACCAUGAAUUUGCCGGUUCUGGUUGUCGGCACUAGACUAUGAGUGUCGUGCGAACCGCUUAGACAUCACGUGCUCAAUAUAUGUCGUCCAUAUAUCCCUCGAGAUGAAUGGUAGUUUGAAUUCCCGCCAAACCGCCACCUCAUUCCAUCUUCAAUACCAUUAUCUCUCGUAUAUCUUUUUGCUUUUUUUGUGUGUCAUACCAAAAAUCAUGCAACCUACUUCCAUAGUAACAAAUUAGAAUUUAGAAAAUAAAAUUAUAAAACAAAAAAAAAUAUUAUUUUCGAUGUUACCUAGUUGCCGCGUGAUUCUCCCAUACCCUCCUUACAACAUUGUUGUUCGCGCUAUCCCACUCAAAUUUAUGUUGUGCAUAUAAAUAAUUCAUUUAAAAUAAAAAUAGUACAAGAUAUAAAAUUAUAAAAUUAAUUUAUUAAAAAUAAGCUAGAAAUUAAAAGUUAACACCUACCUGAAAUUGUCAAAACCAUGCAUCGAUAUUAGGUCUCCACUCAGGAUGUCUGGAAACCUGACUCCAUAUUGAAACAAUGAAAUCUCCAUCGACAAUUUAAACGCCGAUGUAAUUGUCCAGGGAGCCUCAAUGUUUGUAAACCUGAAAUUAAAUAAAAUUAAUAAAAUAUUAAUUAGUUGUUUCAUAAAUUAUGUUAUUAGUAAAAAAAAAACACUAAAACCUAAACAAACUGACAUUGAAAGGUUAUCCUUUCAUUGUGCCUGGUACUUGCGGGUGAAUUGACCCCGCUGUGAAACCGCACUAGAAGAGCCAACAUCACAAGUUGGCAGAUGCCUCUUCGUGAUCAGCACUUAAGGAUAUGUCCUCCUCGCUACUAAAAGAACUAGCUGCAAUCGUCUGCUGACAACGUGCAGUAGAUUUCAUUCUACGCAUCUACACAAAUUUAUAUGAAUAAUUACAUAAUUAACUUUGAUUAUUUAAAAAAAAUUGGCAGCUCCUCCCCUAUACUAGAGACUAUCCACAGUUUUCAAACCUGCAAAUCUUUACAAUAACCACAAACCAAUUGACUCCAUUGGAAAAUCUUAUAUACAACCUAACAACAUCUAUAGAAAUUCAACAUCUAUAUAUUUUCAACUAACAUCUAUAGAAAUGCAUAAAUGACAAUUAAAAUUAAUGGAAAUAAUAAAAAUCAUAAUAAUCAAUAAUAGAAUAAAAUUGAGAUAAAAAAAUGAAAUUUAAUUCUUCAUUUCCAAUUACCAUUUCAAUGGAAAAUUCAACAAUAACAAUUAAAAGAGACUAAAUUAUCAAAUAAUUAUUACAAUACAAAUAAUUAAAUAAUUAAAUUUUCAUUCAACACAUCUAUAUAAGUUUAUACAAAUAAUUAAAUAAUUAAAUUCAAUUAUUUAAAAAAAAAUUCACUAGCACCUCUCCUAUAUUAGAGACUACCCACAGUUUUCAUACCUACAAAUAUUGAUAAUUACAUAAAUAUUGCAAAAUCAACUCUAUACAACUUCACAUCUAUAUUGAUAAUUACCCACAGUUUUCUUCUCAUGUCAUGCACUCGGUGAACUCAACAUUUUCAAGGUAGAAUAACAUGCAGAAUUUAGGGCACAUGUUAAUUUUCUUGUAUCCUAAACCGAGGGGUUUCAUCAUGGACUUUGCAGCAUAGAAGUUCUCUUUUAGCCUGUUCCCUUCAGGUAAAAAGCUUCUCGCCCAUUCGAUAAUCUUGUCAUAACCGGCCUCACUCAACUUGUGAUCUGACUUGAUGGCGAACACCUGUGCUAUGGCCGAUAAUUUAUUGUGGUUCAUGCAGCCAUCCCAUAAUGGUUCGUCAGAAUCUUUCAACAUAUCUAAAAACCUUACUGCAUCUUAAUUAGGUUCUUCUUCUAUGUUUGGACAUUCACUGACAUUACCUUCACUCAUUCUCAUUGCAUCCAUAACCAUAUUCCUGUAAGGAUUAUUGUUGUCAUUUCCAACUUCAUGCACAUUGCUAGCACUAGAAGUUGACCCAACCACCCUUUCUACCAUGAUCUCAUUAGGAACAAAUAGUUCUGUGUCUGCAUACCAACACAAGCAAUCCUCCAUGAACCCUUUGGUUAAAAGAUGCAUCGUUACAACAUCUUGAUGCAUAAACUUUUUAUUUUUACAUUUCUUGCAUGGACACCUAAUACCGCCAUCAAUAAAAUUCCUCAGAAUAGAUGUUGCAAAAUUAAUAAAACCCUGAAUCACUUUACAAUAAUUCAUCCUCGGCAAUCCUUAGGGUGAGUCCCAAUACAUCCAUGAACGAUCAUCCAUGACUUCUAUCAAACCUCUAUAAAAUUAUGAUGACAACAUGUAUUAAGUAACUAUGUUAUGUAAAUAAAUUUACAAAAAUAUUGGUUUGCCCCGACAUUAUCCAACAAACUAAAAAAACACUUAUAUUAAAUAUUCAUUAUCAAUUAUCAAUUAUCAACGUCCAUACUAAUUUAUACAUAUAUGAAUUUACAGAAAUCACAACUUCAUAAUAGAAUUGAUAAAAAUUAAAAUGGACAUGUUAAACAAGUUAUUAUUUAUUUUAUCACAACACAUCUAAUUCAGUGUAAUUCAAACAAAGUUUCAACAAUUUACAAACAAAUAUAAUUUGACAAAAUCUAAAACAAACUAUAACUAUAAAAUUAUACAUUCAGACUACAAGUUUCUUUGACAAAUAACAAUCAAACAAGUACAUACGUUAACAAAAUACAUAUACUAAAAAAACAAUAAAAAAUAAUCAAAUUGACAUUUAAAUGUUAAAACUAAAAUGGAUAGAUUUACUUAGAAAAAAUGAUAAAAUCCACAAUAAAUUGCUCGGAGAACGAAUGUUGUGACCACGUACAAAAGUAUAAGAAACUUGAGUGCUUGUGUUGAGAAGAGGGGGAGAGUUAGGAUAUAUGGCUGGCUACAGUUUGGGAGGGGAGAGUUGGGAUGGGGAAGAAAAAGGGGAUGAAGAAGGAGAAAUAGAGGAAGAGAGUGUCGGUAAAGUGGGUAUAUAUUGGCUUUUACCGAUGGAAUCACCAACAAAAUGUUUCCAUCGAUAUACCCAUCAUCACAUCACUGUACAGCGACCCCGGAUUGAAGCCCUCUAUCAUUCCAUCCGUAAAAUCAUCUAAAAAAAAUCCACGUCAUCACAUCAUUUCAACUUUUCAAAAAAACUAUAUAAUUCGUCGGGGAUACGGUCGGUAUAUACCGACAGAAGUAGAGAUGAAAUUAUUUCUAUUAGUAAAAAUUACCAAUGAAAAUAUUAUGUCGGUAAUUUUAUUGGUUUUUGUCUAUUUUCUAGUAGUGGGGCAUGGUGAGGUGCAGCCUGCAUGCCCCAAGCGCUUGGCUGGAGGCACGCCCCUCGGUUGCGGACACCUGGUGUUUGGGCUGUCAGGCCUAGGCGUUAGGUUGGCCACGCCCGCCUGAUUGCACCCCAGGCUGCAACCACUUGGCACUAGGGUAGGCCAAAGCCCUAGCAUGCAGACACCUAGUACGGGGUCUGCCCAACUUUGGGCACUAUGGCAGACCCGCGCGCCUGGUUGCAACCCAUAUUCUGAUUUCCAUGAUAUCACGAUGAACAUUUCAAAUUGGUCUUUCAAUGUAUUAUAUCAAAAGGCCCAGCACGAAAAGAUUUUGAACAAAGUUUCCAAAACAAUGUUAACUUUGAUGGUCUCAAGAUUUCUAGCCAAUCCAAAUAUUGAUACAUUCAUGAAAACCAGUGAGUUCAACGAUGUGGUUCAAAUUGAUAAUCAUUUCAAACUAAACAUUAAAACGCAAACUAAAAUAAGCAAGGAAUCAACUAUGUUAAACUAUCAUAACAAACUUAAAAAUAAUUAGUGAAUUAAAUCGCCUGGAUUUAAAAAACAAAUUAAGCUUCACUUGCAUAUCAAAAUUAAACUACAAUCAUAAACCUAAAAUAAACUAUGAAUCUAAUAGCUUGGAUUACAAAUUAGGCUAGACUAGCAUCAAAAACAUUUUAAAAAAUACAAUCAAGGAGAGGAUGUUCGGAUUUAGAGAGAUGAAUUUGAUUUGCGAAGAACUAGAUUAAGGUCAAGCCUAAAAAAGGGCAAGUCAAAGGCUUCAAACAACCUAGCGUUAAUAGUUAAACAUGAUUAAGCCCAUGUUUGGUAUUGUGAUCUAAACAGAUGUUGGGUAAAAUUUGAAUUUUUUGUUUAAAAUUAAUUUUUUUAUAUUUUAAAUCAUUUUGAUGAGUUAUUAUCAAAAAUAAUUUUUUAAAAAUAAAAAAUAUAUAUUAUUUUGAUGCAUUUCCAAGUAAAAAGCACUUUAAAAAGUAACUGCUACCACACUCUCAAACACCCUCUAAAGUGGCAUCUUUUUGUUAUGCUUAAAUUCAAUUUGAUCCCUCAACAUCUCCACUUUUUUAGUUUUAAUUCCUUUUUUUUUGUAAUUUUCUACUUUAGUUCAUAGCUUCAAUAUGAUACUUUUUUCUUUCAAUUGAACCCUAAACUAACCUAAAUAAACCCUCAUGAUUUGUCAAUUUAUACAUUUCAUUCCUUGUAUUUUUUUUGUGCAAUUUUUAUCAAAUUGGAUUUCAAUUCAAAGCAUUUUCUUUUUAAUUAAGCUCUUAAUUGACUCUUAUUAAAUCCAUAUUUAGCCACUUUUUAGAAAUUCAUUUUUUCCCCAAAAUUAAACAUUUUUUACCAAAUUGACUCCAAAUUUUGGUUUUCUUCUUUAAUUAACUCCUUAAUUGAUUUGCUAUUUUAGAUAUAUAUUUCAUAUUCAUCCCUAAUUCAUUAAUUUUUCUAAUAUUUGCAAAAUUAAACCAAGUUAAGUAUUUUUUUUCUUUAAUUUUUCUUCAAUUGAGGUCUGAAUUUCUACCAUGAACAUUCUUGAAUAAUUAAAACUUUCCAAACUUAAAUUAUCUGUUCAAUUUUUCCCCUCAGCUACAUUUUUUAUGCAUCUCUUAAAAUGUUUUAUGUGUUAACUUAAUUUGACACACAAAAUUUAAUAAAAGUGAAAAAAAUAAUGAAAAGAUUAAAAUUUACCUAAUUUAUUGAAAAUGCAUAUUUGCAAAAAAAAAAAUCUAUUUUUUUAAAUAUAUAAACUCAAAAAUUAGGUUAUGAGACGAUCUUAUUUAGUUACAUUUCUAAACAAGGUUCAAUGAACCAUAAGAAUUGUAUUAAAUAACCUCUUUAUAGUGAGUGAACCUAAGCUCAAGAUUGUGUGAAAAAUAACAAGAGGAAAUAGAGCUUUAAAACAAAAAAAAAAAAAAAAAGCUUGAAAGUAGGUGAAGAAGAGUGUAAAAAAUUGUGCAUAAUUUGUGUAGAAAAAAACAAUUAAUCAAAAAUACUCUUAUUUAACCUUUUUUAGAAAGAAUUUAAGGAACCAAAACUAAUGGAAUUCCCUCCACUAGCAACUUUGAUUAGCCUUCAUAAAAACAUAAUUAAACAUGAUAAUUGUUUUUAAAGAGCUGAAAAAAUUAUCUAAAAACUGUAGAGGUUAUGAAGAUUUAGCUUUGAAAAAAAUUGAAGUUAAUUAGACUUAUUCCAUAGGAACUGUAGAGGUCACAAAGAGGCUUUGAAAAAAAAAUGAAGAAGUUGAUUGGACUUAUUUCAUAGGUGGAACAAAACAAUGAGUUGGAGAAAUUAAUUAUCUAUGGACUAGACCCACGCCUAAAACAAUAAUUUUGUGUAGCCUAGAAAAUUAUUUUACAACAAAUCCAAAUUCUGACCUAGAUCCGACCCAAGCACAAUUGCUCCACAAACCUAUAAGGUUGGAAUAUUUACAUUGAAAAGCACAUUAAAACAUUAUUUUUUGUUACUAUUUUUUUUAUCUAAUUUAUAAUAUAUUUUAAUCUUAAAAAAAGUUUUCAAAAUUAUCCAUAUUAUAUUAAUAAGAGUAUUAUGAAAUAAAUUUUUUCUACUAAAACUUUUUUUUUUUAAAAAAAAAAAAAAAGUAAACUUCUAGCCAGUUUGUAGGAAAUAAAAGUUAAGAAAAAAAUUUUUUUUUUCAAUUUUUUAAUACUAUAAAUAUUUGGAACUAUACAUCUUAGAUUGGUAAUUAAUCAUUUCACAGCCCAUUAUUUACCCCAUUUCCAAUAUAUUUUAAAAAUAAUAAAAACUAGAAAAAUCAAUAAUAAUAGAAAGGAUAAAUGAAAAAUUAGGGAGGGGAUGAGAGGAAAGAAAGAAAAGGAACUAAGAUAAUUGGGGACUAAAAACCAUAAUGGAAGAUCAUGAAAAAGAGGAAAAAAAAAACAAGAAAAAAUAGAAAAUUAUAGGGAAAUCCUAAUUUAAAAAGUAAACAAUAUAAAAAUUUAAUGUUAUUUUUCUGGUUUGGAUUUUUCACUCUCAAGAGGAGUUAGACAAUAUAAAUAAUGGAGUACAAUGUACACCAAAAAAAAAGGAGAAAGAUAUAGGCAUAUAACCACAAAAACAAAACUCUCUUUCUUUUAUAAAAUUUCCUAGCCGUAUAACCACAAAAACUAAAACAACAAGAAAAAAUGCUAUAUCUAUCAUGCAAACUCUAAAGAGAAUAUAAUAAAAUUGAUGGGUUGUAAGCAAAUAAGUGAAUUUGUAGAAAAAUAAAGGGGAUACCAUAUAAAAUAUAUUAUUCAUCAUCUCUUUCAUCACGCUCUCUCAAAAACCAUAACCUACUAUCCUAAAAACUCUAGCCACCAUAAAGUUUUUGAGAAAAUAUAAACUAAAAUGGGGAAAUUUAAAUCCUAGAAAAACAUUAUUCAUCUUCUCCAACCUCUCCCAAAAAAAAAAAAAAACCCUAGCUUCAUUUUUUUUCUCUCUAAACCCAAAAUUUAAUUCCUCGAUUUCUCUCACGUCUAACCUUUAUUUCUAAUAAGAACACCAUCAUUCUCUUCAGGCCAAAGCCCUUUGAAAAAACCCUUAAUCAAUUACAUUCAAUAACUCAUGCAUCAUCAUCAAUCCAAGAAAUAGAGAAAACAACCUUAAAAACUACUCUCUUCGAUUUGUCUUUUCUCUGACCUCUAAACCAAACUAGAUGACCCUCAUUAUUCUCCUUUGGAAGAGCACUACACAUCCAUAUAAGCUCUAUAACCAAAUAACCUCUAUAUGAUCAUAUCUAAAAGUUAUAAAAACAAAUAGUAAAGAUAAAAAAAAAUAAUAACAUUGUCGUUUUGCAACAACAUAUCUCUCUCAUUAGUAGAAGGUGGCCUACACCUCCAUCACAGGAAGAAGGAUCACAACCUAGCACACCUCAUGGGCUCCUCCACUUAUUGGCCAGACACUAAUGGUGCAUAAAACAACACACCAAAACUGAUAGCUCCCUCCUAACAUGUGGCAGUCAUGCACCGACACUAUUUUUCUUCUUUUCAACAGUGUUUAACAAUGUUCCAUCAAUUUUUAGUCCUUCUAGACCACCCCCUAGAAGGUUUAUUUCAAAACUCAAACCUCUCUUGAAUAAUUAUCUUGCUUUAUUACUGAUUUUGAUCUAUUUUAUGAUGAUAUUUUAAGAUUAUGAAAUGUUUAUUAGAUUGAUAUUUGUGUCUGAAUAAUGUUAGCCAAAUCCUUUAAUCUUGCAUCUUAUUGUAUUGCUAAUUUUGAUGUGUUUAUGAUGAGAAUUUAGAAAUGAUAGAUACUUAUUGAAUUGACAUUUGUGUAAUACAUUUGGUUGAAUCCUUUAAAUUUUACAUAUUGUUUCCUUUCAUGUUCUUGAUCAUUCCAUCAUUAUCUUUAACAUUGCAACAUGUUUUUUCUUGGUGUAUAAACAUUGACCUAUUCAACCAUGGUCUUUUGGUUCAAAUUGAUAGAAAAAUCAAUGCUCAUUCAAACAUACAUUUACAAUGGGUUUUAUAACUUGUUUAUAAAACUCAUUAAAGGUUCAACUCGUAUUAAAAGGCUCAUUGGACUAACACUCCAAAAUCUUUGAAAACCCAUCCUGGGUUUCUAAAAUCCAAGUUAAAAAAAUAUAUUUUGUUAUUAACUUUUGGUAUUUAAGGUAAAUGAACUUAAUAUAGGUCGUUACCUUGGAUAUUAAAGGGAGUAGCGUAUUCAUUUUAUUUUUCAAACAAUAAAAUUUUCAAUCUAAAAUUCAUGAGUGACAAAUAAAGAUAAUUAAAUUUCCAUUCGAAUAUUCACUUAUAACAAAAUCAAGAUUAUUAAAUUUUUAGUAAAAUAUUCACCAAUAAAAAAACUAGAAGUAUUAAAUUUUCAGUCUAAUAUUCAUCAAUUAUAUUUGAGUAUGAAUCGAGAGUAUUAAGUUUUUAUUUAGCAAAUAUUAUGAGUGAAACUCAUAUUCCAUAGGAAAGGUAAACCUUAUUAAAGCACAUUUAAUUGACCUUUCCUAGGAUGUGUGUUAGGUUUAAUAAGCCCUACAUAGGCCUAUGGAUUAUUCACUCAUAUAAGUUGAUCGAUAAUUAAUCAAAGGUUAUGAUUAGGAGUGAGCAACCUUAGAAUUUUCAAUUCACAAAGUUAUCCAAAUGUAAUAUCUGGGAGUGACAAAUAAAAAACCACACUUUAUAAUGGCUAGGUUUAAAUCAACAAUCAAGGUUUAAUUCAUUGUAGUAAAUUCAUUAUCAUCCUAUAGAUAAACCAUCCAUAGACUAGGCACAAAAAAUUGUUAGGAAUAAAAGAUAAGAUAAGCAAUGCAAUCUAUUUUAGGUAAGAUGCCUCAGGGUAAUAAUAUCUUUCAUCUAGUAUAACUAAUUGUUUACCAUAGAUAUUUGUUGACCGGUUAAGAUUUCUUAAUGAUUAUAAUAGCUGGUAAGACUCAUUUUCACAAAGUUAGGAUAUUUCCCCCUCUCACAAGUAAAAAAAAACCCUUUCUAUGAGGAAAAAGGAUGGGCCACCACGAUGUCGAGUGUGAUAAAAUGGCGACUUCACUAGGAACUUUUGGACUAGACUUUGCUUUUUAUCUUUUUUUUGUUUUUUUUACUUAUUUAUCAUUUUAGCAUGCAUCUUUAUUCAUAUCUCUCAUGCAUAAUGUAUAUUAAAUACGAAUUUAUUCCUUCGUACAUGGUGCACUAAUGGCUUUUAGCCUGGGUAAGACUCUUAAACCACCGAUUAUUAUCUAAUUGUCUACUUUUCAGUUAUUAGUAUGCACAUCUAAUGCUAGUUACAACCUAUGCUUUCACACACCUUAUAGACCUCAUGUCGACCUCUUAAUAAUGAUCACUAAGCAGUAAGAGACCUUUAUGACUAGGUAAUAAGGGCUAUAAAAUAUCUUUAGGAUAGACCUUGUGUAAUCUCACUAAGGCAAGUCUAACAUGUAAGAUGUUGAAUUUCAAUACUUUUUAGUAACAAAUAGCCACCACACAAGAUAUUAUCCCCAAUAGAUUUCAACAAGAUUCUAAGUUAUUACAGCUGACUAAAAGGAAUGUUGGUGGGCUACCAAAAAUCUCAACUUAGGCAAAGCUUAGCAAUGAUCCCCUCAUCAGAAUGAUAAUGACAUUAGGUUCCUACUCCCCAAAUCUAUAAGCGGUAGCCAUUUAUCAUCCCAUGCUAGGUUAAUCCAUAUCCAAUAUACCAUUUUUGUGCAUAUAUACAUACUUAUAUAUUUUGUAUUCAUGUGCUCAUAUCUAUCAUACAUAUCAUCUUAUGUGAAAUAUAGGUCCCUUGUAAUCCAAUUCUCCUUUAAAAUCUACAACACAUACUCAGAAAGCAUAUAAAGCACGAAAUGACUAGCCUUAUAAAGUCAUGUGUAAUGCUCUUUUUUAUUCCAAGAUAACUACUUCAUUAAUAACUUUGGUGUGCUAGUAAAGGGUUUCAAACCUUCAACUCAAACUCAUAAGGGUACUUUAGAAGUAAUUCUAGGAAUAGGGAAGUUUUUCAACUUAAAGUCGAGCUGGAUCAUGAACUCUAAUAUGCCCUAAUGAGAAUUAAAGCAUAUUGUUUGGUUGUGCAAACUAUUUAACCUUUAAAUAAUGUUAUAACUAGUGCAUGACAUGGUUAGGCUCAAGUGAUACAACUAUCACCAAAUGCUAAUACAACUGGAGAUAUUUUGACUUUAAGAAUUCCAUUUCAAUUUCAUAACCAUAUGAUGAGAUGUCAAGAAUGCUAUGUGAAUCUAGGCAUUAGAUAUUAAGGCAUAAAAAGAUGGGAUUCUUUUGAUGUCAACAAAAAGUGGUGAUAAUCUCAAGAUAUGACAAUAAGCUUACUUGAAUGCAAUGAUAAAGUUGAUGCUUUCCCGCCAUUCUAUCAUAGUAUGAAAGCUACCUCCAAUGGUUUACAUUAUUAAUUAAUGAACUUUGUAUUGUAUUUUUUAAAGUAAAGUCAACUUCAGGUAAUUUUCAUAACAUUGUUCUUACAAUAAGAGGAUGUGCAUAUGAAACUAAUGUGGCAUUAUCUACCUUUAGUCGCAUCUCACAUAGCCAUACAUGCUUAACUUUAAAAUCGGGUAUCAUUUUUAAGAAGACUCUGGUUAUAACUAAUGAUCUAUAUGGAGUUUAUUUGUUGGGAAAGGAGGCAGUUACACUACAUUAUUUUCUUAAUGAAGAUUUGUCUAAGGCAAAUGCAAUUCUUCUCCUACUUGAAUCUUUAUUGUCAAAGGAUGUGAUUGAUAUAACAAAUGCUAGGAGAGAAACCAAUAUGAAAGUACCUUUAAUUCAAGGUCAAGCCACUCACUAGUCUAUUGUUUGAGAAUUAAAAGAGGUUAUUUAGACAUUCAAACCUUUUAGUAACAUCGCUUGCAUCGUCCAUGCAAGAACUACAUUCAAUGUUGACAAAGUUUAUGUAAACUACUAGUCUCCAUGCUGAUAAUCUUCAUAAAGCUCCUAAAAGGUUUGCAAAAAUUCAAGAUGUCAAGACAUAAAUGUUUUGGUUGGGAGAAGCUGAUAUGAAAAUAAAAGAAAUGUUACAUUGUCCACUCUUUUUAUAUCGAACUUUGCCAUUUUUAACUAUGUAUUUUUUAAACAUGUUUUAAAUGUGUUUUGGGACUACAUUACAUCUUUAAAUAAAGUUUGCAUUUUUCUUAUUAUUAUUGUUUUGAAAUCAAGAGAUGUUUUUUUUGUGAAAGUUAUAUUUGCCAUUUUAUUUUUGUCCAUGAUUGGAUAAGUACAAUGGCAAAUUUACCUAAAAAUUUCAAAAAAUGCCAAAGUGUGUCAUGAUGCUAAGAGGUUAACCUAACCUUUUUUAUACCUGAAAUAUCCCCAUUUGGAGCCUUAAAAUUCUUUGCAUCCUGGUAAACCUCGAUCUUACCUUUAUUUAGGCCAUUAAGACCCUUUUCAUUCCAACAAACCUUAAAAGGAAAGAUCUUACUAAAAAGAAAGAAAAACAAAUAAGUGAAUGAUAAAAGAUGUUUCCAAACAAAAUCAAUUGAUACAGCUACAUGGUAAUAGUGUGCACUUGUAUUCUUAUAUAUGUUUGACCUUAAAGCUCUUCAAAUCGAUCAAGCAAGGCUAGCACUUGUAUACAAAGGCAAGUUUGGGUUUGAAAUGAAAAAAUGUCAUCUUUGAUAUGUCAUUCACAAAUAAAAAUGCAUCCCUUGAUUUCUCCUUUGAUCUUUGAAUAUUUCUUGAAUGAUAACCAUGACUAGGAUCAUCCUUCACAUUGAGGGUAUGUUUUGAAAGACAAUUGAUGACAUUCUCCGAAUUGAAAGAGAUAAGAGAAAUGUUGAAAGGACAAGAAUGUUAAAAAAGAGAGCCAACAAAUAAUCAAGUAAAAAAUUCAAAUGAUCAAACGAAAAAAAAAUGAAAAAUGAUGAUGAAAAAAAAAAGAUAAAUAGCUAUGAAAAGUGUCCCUCUUAAUGAUACGAAGUCCAAACUUGAAGAUUAAAGGUCAGACACAAAGCAACAUAUACAAUUAGGAGAAUUAAGAUUGGAAUGAGAUCAAUCAUUAAAAUGAAAAAUUCAAGGCGACAAGCCUAAAAAGAUCUCCACAUAGAAUCAAUGAUAUUAUGUCUUUGAACCUUAAACACCAUUUAAGCCUUAUGUAUAUUUUCUUUUAUAACCAUAAACCAGGACCUACAUUAUAUUAUGAUCAAAAGUCAUUUCUGAUCAAAAGCAACUUGUUUUAUGUAGAUGGUGUCGAUCUAAAAAGAAAAAAAAAAAUGAACAAAUUUAUAUAGAACAUUGAAUCGUGCAACAAACUAAGCUCAACAUAGCACGAGGCAGAUGCUCUCCUUUUGAAAGCCAAAAAUUUACUUUUAAGAAUUCAACCUUUUAUUUUCAAAAUAAUAUUUUAUUUAUCAAAGAAACCACCAAUUUUAGGGUAACUAUUCUUUUUCAUGAUCCCUGUCAAUGCUUAUCUCAUUGUACACUGAUAAAAAUACUCAAAAAUUUUAUCUCGAUAUUAAAUAAUAUGUUUUGAGGUUCUCAACAAAAAAAUUUUAAUAUUCAUAAAAGUACUUUCAAAUUCACUAUUCAAGGAUUUCAUUGCAACAAUAAGAUAUACAAAAAUAUAAUCAAUAAAAUCUAUGUAUUGGUAAUAAAAAAUUGGGUAAGUGUACAAGUCUAGCCUGCUAAUGUUUAUCAGAUUUAUGUAUUUUUUAAUUUUGACAUGAUUCUUAAAUACUAUUAUAAAUUCUUAUUCAAAUCUUAAUAAAAAAAUUUAUAUCUGAUAUAAAAAUAAUAAACAUAAAACAAUUAUUUUAAUUUUUUUUAUCAUAUUAAUUACCAAAAUAGUGGAAUUUUGAAGGUUUCAAUCCAAAUAUUUAAUAAGUCGUGUAUUAUACAGUUCAAGGGUUUUUUUGUUUUUUUUUUUUAAGUUUUGGCCCAAUACUCAAAACAAAACCCAUUAGCUCUCAUGUGAACCUCAAACCAUUACUUGUAGAAAAUGGAGCUUUCUCCAGGUUGUCACGAAAGGAUAAUUUAUCAUUUAUCAUAGAUUAGGUUCCCGAAGGGAACAACGUUCCUUUGUCCCAUUAUGGUAACCUCUAGAAUUAGCAUAUGGAACUGCCAAAUUAACUUUUCUUUUACCCUACAUGUUUAUCUGUUGCAACUUGCCUGUCAUCUUGCCGAAUGUUUUUAUUUAAAAAAAAAAAAAAAAAGAAGUGGCAAGGUUGCCUCUCGUCAUAGUUUGUCUUGGCUUUCCAUUUUUGUUUGUUUCCCUCGCAAUUAAUUACUGGCAUUGCUUAAGAUCUUCAUGCCACCUCCAGAUUAUGAAUGGUUGAGAGUUUAAUAUUCAUCAAAAGAGAAAAUGAAGGUAAUAAAAUUCAAUAUCUUAACAACUUCAUCUAAAAAGAUUUCCAAGAUUUUGGAAACCAGAUUUGGAGUGAUUAGAUUAGGUUGUAGCAACAUGUACACAAACAGUUGUCCAUUUCAAGAACACAAACUCCAUUAAUUGAUCAAAACUAACUAAUGGCGGGAUCAAACUGCAAAUUCAUCUCAAGUACUGCCAAAUUUUGAAUUAACACAAGAUCUCUAUAUUGGUGAGUUUGAAUUGACUAGUUACAGAGAAGAAAUGAAAUCGAUGGUAUGUCGUUUGUACAUCAGGAGAAAACUGUAUGCUCAAUUGGGAAUCAUAGAACUCCUACCUUUCUCAUAGCUUGUGAACGUAAAUCUUCCUGUAGAAAUGGAUCUCUUCAUUCCAAAUGGACUACUAACUAAACCCAAGAUCCCACCUCCUCCACUCUUCCGGUGAUCAUCACUACCCUCAUCAUCAUCUUCACUGGUGCGCAAUAUAUCAGCAAUAGAUGUGUGGUUUUGAGAAAAACUAGAUGAAACGGACCUUCUAAGUGGUUGGAUCGGAUCGCUAAUGUGUAAUUCCGUAACAGUCUGCGAACUUUCGAGAUCUUGAUUAACCGGAGUCUUGGGAGGAUCAUCACCGAUAACAAGACUAACAACGCCCUCUCGCCGAAAAGUACUCCCUUCUAAAUCGUGAAUCACUAAAACAGCAUCAUUAGUCCCAUGCUCGUAUUGAAGUGUUGAAACAUUAGUUCUUGGCAGAUUUUCUUGGACUGGCUCAGGUACAGCUGGUGCUUCACUGGGCAAGAUAUUAGCGGGAGCAAUAUUGGCACGGCAAAGAGGACAACUUGCAUGAGAUUUGAGCCAUGUAUCAAUGCAAGGGAGAUGAAAUGCAUGGCUACACUUCGGCAAGAGCCUUAAGCUCUCAUUUUCUUGAAAUUCACUCAGACAAACGGAGCACUCUGUGCCUUCAACGAAACCAUCACCUUUCUUGUACUUGCAUACUGUGAUAGACUUUACAAGUGCCUCAUCUAAUCCAGCAGCAGGGACACCCUGCCAUGCUUCACUAGCCAUUUGAUCAUGGUUUUCAUUCAAACCAGUGGCUCCAUCGCCGUGGCCCCGCCGCCUACAAUACUUGGAUAUGAGAGUAUAGUAUGUUACCAAGAUGAAAGCACUUGCCAGGAUACCGAUAACUGCUAUAAUAAGAGGAGACAAAUCAGUAUUGGAAUCAUCAUCACCGAGAGUAAAAGGAGGUGGAGGUGGGAAAAUGAUGUAACACCGUUGUGGACAAUAAAUGCUACAGAUUCCCUGUGAACAAUCUCUAUAGGUACUAUAUGGAGCCCAAGGAUUUUGGUUGCCAGUAGUAGAACCCAUUUUUUAUUUCUUUUUUCAAUCUUGAUACACCUCUAAAUUUGCAGCAGUUCCUGCAUGAUAUGCUUUCAUCAGAAUAUUUACAGACAAACCUUGUGACUAAAAGAAGAAAAGAGAGGGGAGGAAGGGGAAAAUUAAAGCAAGUGGGAUAAGAAAAAUAAAGUAUGAAAACGAGGAGCUUAAGAUUGGAAGGUAAGCAAAGGAAGAGGAGAAGGGAAGUUGAUGUGUCUCCCCCUUCUUGGUCCUUGUACUUGUUUAUUCUAUUCUCUCUUUACUUUUCUUUUCUUUUUCUUUUUUUCUUUUGUUUUUUCCUUUGCUUGAUGUGGGUUUGAUUGGAUGGUUGUAUAUUGACUUAAUUGUUUUUUUUAUUAAAUCCAAUGAUCAUUAAUUAACCGGUGAAGUACCGUCCAAGCUUCAUUGGUUGGUAAAGUGUAGGUGAGUGGCCUCUAACUCGCAUCUCCUGUGAAAGCUACAACGCAUUCAACCACAACUGCAUCGCUAGUAUAUUCGGAGAUAUUAGAAAAGUUUAAUUUUUAUUUAUUUAAAAUUAAUUUUAUUUGUAUUUUUUUAUAUUGUUGUGAUAUAUUGAUAUAAAAAAUAAUUUUAAAAAAAUAAUUAUCUUGAUGUAUUUCCGAGUGAAAAACACUUUAAACCACAAUCGUUCAUGAAUUUUUACAAAAAUUUUAAAAAUUUUAAUUUUUUUAAUUAUUUUAAUAUACUAAUAUCAAAAAUAAAAUUUUAAAAAAUUAAUUUCAAGCUUUUCAACCUAGUCCGGUCAUAUUUGGUCAUUUGCUUUCCUAUCAUGGGCACACAUACAAGUGGAUGAAAGGGCUACGUGUGGACCAUAAAUUGAAAGUGUGUAUUGUGUAAGGACCGGUAUGUCUAAAACUAUAGUAGAGGGGGUUAUAAGAACCAAAUCUAAAACUUGGAGGACUACAAGUAUAUAAAUAGAGCCUUCGGGAAAGCGAUGCAAGGCAAUUUAAUGUGUGAAUGACUGAAUAUUUUGUGGAAGUAUGUCACACGCAAGCCUGUGAGUCACAAUGGGUUGGUCAUCAAAGUUUUAGCUUUUGUGUAGACUUCCAUGCCAAUGAUUUCUGUGGAUUUUAUAAAAUUUUGGGAUAAGAGAAGUAAUGGCAAGAAAAGAAACGUAUAAAUACCCUCUUGUACAAGCACAAAAUUAACCCAAAAUGGGGAAGGAAGAUCUACGGGGAGAGCAGAAUAUAGCAUCAAACCAAAUGUUUUUAUGCCAUCAAGUAUAAUCUAGCCUUGAAAUUCCCAUUUGAAAGUAUUCUUGGUCAUAUAAUUUAGUUUCCUGAAUUUUAAAUUUUGAAUUGUUUAAAAUUAUUUUUGAUGUUUUUUUUUUAUUUUGAUAUAUUAAUAUCAAAAAUAAUUUUAAAAAAAUAUUAUUUAACAUAUGAAAAAUAACCAUAAAAGAUGAAAAGUAUGAAUAAUGAUUUUAAGGUAUGGAAUAUAUAUAUAUAUAUAUAUAUAUAAAAAAAAAAAAAAAACAUACCAAUAUCUCAGAUGCUAUGCAUAAUUUAACAUAAAUGAUGAAAUGUCCCUUGUGAGCGUGAGGAGGUAAUCUGCAGAGUCACAUCCUGGGCUGGUUGUUGACAAGUGCUUUUCUUAAUUCGCAAUCAUGAGGAGAUGGUCUGGCGUUAGCUCUGACAUCAAUCACCAGUUUUCACCCUUUAUUAUUAUUAUUUUCGGUUCCCUUGCCCAUGUAAUUAUGUAAAAAGUCUUGAAAUCUUAGAGUCCCUUCAAGUAAUCAUAGAAAUUGCCCCUCUCACUCUCGGAAUAUCAUUUCUAUUAAAUUAAAUAAUCUUCCUCUCUCUCUCUUUUAUAUGUUUUUAUUUUCCAUUUUUUAUUAUUUUGAUUUCUCCAAUAAUUAAUAAUUAUUUUUAUAUUUCUCCUGCAACCCCACAAAGGAUUGAUGAUUAUUUUCCAUGAUUCUGCCUUUUCCUUCGUUUGUUUUUCAAGAAUUAUUAUAAGAAAUUAAUAGCUAUUAUUUAAAAAAUGGUUUCCAUACAACCUUGUAAGAAAUAAAACUUUUGAAAAUAAUAAAAGUUUGAUAAUUAAUAAUUAAUCAUUCUGGGAUCCAUAGUGUUCAAGAAUUUUAUAACGAUGACACUAAAAUAGAGCAACUUGCUCGAAAACCUUGCUAACGUCAAUCAUUGACUUCUUUUCAAUUAUUGACUCCUCUGAUUGAAAUAAACUACAACACAUGUAUAUUGAAUUAAAAAAAAUUAAAAAAAGAGAUUAGUGUUGAUUGAUUUUUGAAUUCAUUUACCUGUGUUAUCAAAAUUUAUUGAAAUUGAUUCUAUAUGAUCCAUGACAGCGCGAGGGCAGCAUUCAGCCAUGCUCUCAACAUUGAUCGUAUUUAUAAUGUGUUAGCUAAUGGGGCCGGAAAUAUUUUCAAACACUUUCAUCACUCCUGCCGCCGGCCGCCGCCGCCCCCUAUUAAAAUCACCAUUCCAUCUCAUUGGCUCCGAAAUGACAACAACAUCAAUAAGUGAACAGGGCGAUCUAUAUAUUGACUGGUGUAACAGUUCAGAAAUCGCCAUCUCAGCCAUUGCUAUCACCACCACCCUCAUCCUUUCUUGCAAAAUGAUCCAUUCGACAUCACCUCCAAUUGUACUCAUGCCCCUCCCCCAUUUUCACGACCUUGAGGACCUCAGACAUUUCCAUGGUCACAAUGGCUCCCCUUCUAUCUUUUCUAAUUUAUUUGACAAUGUGCUUUAUACCACCUUCAACACACACCCCACCACCAAACAUUUUUUGUUUAUCCAUAAGGGAAUUAUUUAAUUUAUUUCUUAAGAUUAGAAGCAAACAUUCAAUUAACUUCUUUCAGGCCUACUUGCAGGUCUUAUGAGGAGCACAGAAAUCAACCGAAUAAUGAGCAUUUCUUGCCCGCCCAUUACUACCCUAAUCUUCGUGUAAAACAGCAUUACUCUCUCACACGCACAGAGAUUAAAAUAAUAUCCAUCCCUUGGAAAAAAUUUAUUGCCAUCCUCAACCAAGGAAACAAUGAACGUCCCCAUCGCUAUGAAGUUACAAACGUAAUUCAAAACCUACCAUUGAAUUAAUAGUUUUAGUUGAAAAAAAGUUUAAUUCCUUCAAACAAGAGCAGAAAAUUAUACCAAAAGAAUAGUAUUGAACUCUGACAUGAAAAUUGUGACAACCUGACAAUUUAUGCUACAUGUGCGUGCGUGGCAAUCAUGAGACAACACUAGACAAAAAUACAUUUAUUGUUAUACAUUUGUUAUCUAUAUGCUUCAUAUACAAGUGAUUCACUGUCUAAAAAUGAUUUGAACCACAAUAUAAGGCACAACGAAAAUAGAAAGAAGAGUUUUGGUGUAGUAAAUCAAGCAUAAAUUAGCAAACCUCCCUGCAGAUUUAUUCUCCUCGUCUUCUGUGUGAAUGAAUAUUAACUAGGAAUAUUUUACUGAAAUAUGAAGGGAUCUACGGCUCUAAGCUCUACUUUUUCUCUUGUCAUCCAAUGCCUGAUCCAAAAGGGGCACACCAAGUAAGAUGAUCAAAACUUAAAUCACAUCAGAAAAGGCAACAAAGGGAAAAUUAUUUUAUUGUUAGCAAGCAGCAGGGCUCAAUGUGUCCACGCAUAUGUAAAUGAAAUUGAUCAAACAUCAGGCAUUGCCAAAAGCAGUUGUCUGUUAACUUUUGCACUUGACUGACACGUUGAGCAUUAGCUGAUGUGAGUUUGAGUUCUUAAAUAUUUCAUCCAAGAAGAGAACUUUAAAGUCAUUGCUCUCAAUGGUAUUUACAGCCUUACAAUAGCUGCAACCACAUGGAAAAUUUGUGUGUAUUAACUACCUAUCUUUUAGUGAAAAUAGGAAACAAAGCUGCUCUCAGAUGAGUUUUGUUCAUGCCACAUGUGUUCUUAAACAUGAUAUAGAAUUUCCACAAAUAUUGGAACUAUAAAUGUUAGAAACCAAGGUAGGAUAAGUCUUUUAUUAAAAAAAAAAACCAAAGAUAGGAUAACUGACACCAAUUUUUCGCAUGCAAGAAUAAGAUACCUUGCUCUGAAACAUUCUCAUUGCCAACACAAGAGUGUCUCGCAUUCUGCAGAAGUAUAUCAAUAGCAUCAGCAGGUUAAACAUCAUCAUAUCCAUAAGAAAAGGCAAAAUAUUUGGUGUGAUCUUUAACUAUUUGUCAUGUUCACUACUACUACCAUCUGAUUUAGAAAAGAGACCUAACAAAAUUUUAUCGGCCAACAAAUAAACAUUUGGUAUAAAUUGAACCAUGCAAAUUUAUGCUAUGCAAUAGAAGCUAGAAGAAAUAUUCAGGGGGGGAAAGCAAUCAGAGAAGUUUCAAUAAAAAACAUGUUAUAUCACAUAGUUAUUUAUGAGAAUUACAGUAAAUGGAGGCAGCGCCAAGAUUAAAGCAUAGGGUUGUUGUCUGUGCAACAUAGGAUAAAGAGGAAAAUUCAGAAGAAUGUGAGAAAAGAGAUUAGAGGAGGAGAGUUGACCAAAGAGAAGUUAAGAAUUGAUUAAGUUUUCAUUAUCAACCAAAACCUUUAGAAUAAGAAUUGGUGCUUGAAUAUAAGAACCCAAACUCCUAAACUCACAAAAAGAAAUGAAAGUAUGUAUAAUUGAUUUCAUUCUCUCUAAAAUAAAAUAUGUAAAAUCCAUUGUGGAUCAUCCAUCAUUGCCAUUGUCGCCAUAAGGUCAUCAUUUUCCUUUUUGUCAAUAUAUUGUAUAUAGUAAUGCAAUAAAAACAACUAAAUAAAUAAAUAAACCAUACAAAAUUUUCAUACAAACUAAUGUGGCUUCAAUUUUUCUUAUGCUUGAUCAUUUAAGAAUUCAGAGAUCCACAGUUCACUGGUUAGUUGCCACAUUUGUUCAUAUGGAUAUUUAGUGUAACUUUUUUAUUUGUGAAUCACUUCCCAAUGGCAUAUCUCAUUAUGUUAGAUUAUUUUAUUGAUCAUCAAGUCAAAAGAAAUGGUUUUAUUAAUAAUACUAGCAUUUCCAAUAGAAAAAGUAUUAACCUAGAGUUUUGUUUCACAAACUACUAAAAUGUUGACAUUCCAUCAAUGUAACAUUGAAGGACUGAAUACAUGUAGCAAGUCAAACACUUGGAGAGGCAAGUUUGAAGUCCACAGUGCUAGCUGGGAAUAAUGAGGCUUUAUCACAUCUCUACAGCUACUUCCUCUAAUUCUACUCUAAUGGCAAUCUGAACUUUAUGAACAUGGAAGGAGUAACUGGGGUAAGUAGGAGUUAUUGUAAAGGAGGCGGUAUUGCCUUCAUUCUAUAUCUCCAUAGAGGAAAGUUGGAAACCACUUCCAAUAAUCUAAUAAACCUGCCAGGUCUAAGGGCUUCUAAAGGAAUUUACUAUCUUUCUGGUCAACAUCCCACGUAUCAGCUUUACAUUUUCUGAUGCUGAGCCAAAAUAAAAUAGCAAUCCAUUUGAAACAAGUAGCAUGGAAAUUACAUUCAAAUCAACAUAAUAUAGAAAAUCUAACAUAAGGUAGUAAUUACCGAACAUCAUAUGGAUGAGAAGAUCCAUUGGAACAUGUUAAAACAAAUUGCGUUGAGAGUCCAGCAGGGAUUUUUAUCUGCAGAGUGAAAAGGAUAUAAAAUAAUAUACAAAGCCAUAUGCACAGGAGAAUAAACUUUCAUUGCAGAAUACUUAGUUUUUUAAUGAAGAUCUGCAAGUAUAAUAAAGAUUUAUUCCAAAAUGAUAACACAAAUACGACCAUGCUUAACAAUCACACACACACACACACAAACACACACAUAUAUAUAUAUAUAUAUUAUAUAUAUAUUUGCAAAGAUUUGCCAUCUUCAUGGUACUCUUUAAAAAAGAAAAUAGUUAUAAAUUGGCUCAAUGGAUAGUUAAGUGCAUAGAAUGAAAUUUACGUAGCAAAAGGCCCAAAGUUGCUCCACAAAUUUAUAAGAGAAAUGGUCAAAUUACUAAAUUAAAAUGCUACCCUUAGGGGAAAAAAAAAAGGCAGAAGGGAAAAGCGGUGAAAGAAAACAACAUACAGAUAAAUCCUUUGAAAAUUUCUCCGCAAUAACUACAUUUCCCCUUCCAUUGCUCUUAAUUUGGUACCCAGAACAUCGCAAAACUAGAGUUGUUGAAUCCCAAUUUUCAGAAGUGUCCGUCUACAAAAGGGAGUACAAGAAAAAGUUAGUUAGAAGAUAAUUGAUGUUAUAGAACUGGAUACAACAUAAUCAUUGAAGAGUUGAAAAUGAGGCAUCUUACAAUCAAGGCAAGUUUAACAAGCGUCAAUCAAAAUUUCCCCUAGCAUCAACGAAGAACCCCUCACAAUGAAACCCAACCCAAAUAUCCUCCCUCCCCCCAAGCAAAACCCCCAUUUUGUUCCUUUAAAAUCUCUAGACAGCACCCCCAAAGAAAAUCUCAGCAUCAAAUAGCACUAUAACAUCUUAAACUGCCCAACCCAUUGGAAAUUGAACAUAACAAUUUAACAUCCAUAUCCAGGGCACAUUGACUGGCUCAAAUAUUGCUCUAAGAAGAAUGAAAAUGCGCACAAUUUUAAAUCCAAAGGAAAUUUCUGGAAUCUGUUGUUUACAACAUACACAGAGGAGCAAAAAUAGGCGAAAUCGACCAGCCAAAAUAAUCCAUAGCUAAUAAAAUCUAUAAGCAUGGUUUGCGUACAUUAAAAGAUUUUUUAUUUUAGCACAUGAUCUAACCAUGUGUCAUUCAUAAAGCAAAUAGACAGUAAUUUUUUGUUAAAACCUUGAGGUGCUCUAUCAACUGUAUAAAGGGUAUUGAAAGUUUGGUUUGGAUUUCAGGUUCAUUAUCUUUAUAGCUUAUGAUAGAACAAUUCUUGAUAAUGUUAGCUUUCACAGUUUUACCAAGGGGUUGCCAUUACUGGCUUCUGAGCCCUGGAACACAAUAGAAGUAAGGAAUCAUGACCAAAGGCUUUCCACUUAGAACCAAAUAAACAACUGUAGCAGAUAAGUAAAAGAAGAAUUAUCACCACACAAAACUAGUAGCCAAAGGUCAGCACAAGGCAUUUAAGUUCUUACUAAUUUCCAUGUUUUCAUUACAAGCAAUUAAAGGAAAUGAAGAUCCAAGAGAAAGGAUGGUAAGAAGUAUUUAUAUGUACCAACCAAUCCCUACUCGUACAUCCAAAGAAGGAUUAAGAGGGAGCACUUCUAAUACCUCAAAUCAUGCUAUAAUAUCUCCUCGUUAAGGUAGAUGACAAAAACCACCCAACGUUUUCUAUUACAUUGAAAAUAGAAAUUAUAUUGAGCAUGCAUAAAAAUUUAGUUAUAGAGCUACCCUUCUUUUUCUAAUUUAAAACUUGAUUUUAGUAAAGAGCUCAUGGUUAUGGAAAAGAGUCGUACUGAUGAAAAAAGGAGUUUCCUUUACACAUUUUGGCCAAUAUGGGCCUCAAUAACAAAAAUUCAACAUGCACCACAACAGAGAAUUAAGAUUUAGCAGGUAUAUGCUAUUGUUAUUGUGUAUAUUGCAUGUUGGAUUGUGCUCUAAUCCUGCCCGUAUAAGAAAUUAAAAAACUGCAAAUUAUUCUGGAUUUCAAUUUUUAGUUUGUUGACUCUGGAUUAAUAAAUAAUCCAGAGGAUUCAAGUUUUAGCUCCUAAACAAGAUUAAUCCAUGUGGUUUGCUUCCAAGUGCAUGCACCUCCCCCCCCCCCUUUCAAUCUCCAAAAAGUUUUCCUUUUCUUUUCUUUUUUUUUAUUUUGGAGAAGAAAAAAGGGGGAAGAAUCCUUAAUAUUUACAAGCUUAAUAUUGUUCUUCAACAUAUAAGCAGUUCAAAAGAGUAAAAGUGGGACCUCAAUUCUAUCCAAUUUCCAAAUGCACCCAAGUCUAUUAGCCCAAUCAAAAAUCAACAAAGAGAUGAAAGGUUUAAAUAUUAGACAAGUUAAUUUUUUUGUGGUAAUAACCAAAAUGUUCUAAAAUUAGUAUUAGAACAUUUGUAACUACAUUGAAGUUUCUUAAAAAAAUACUUCAACACAACAUCUUACAACGCUUAUGCUUUCAUCUACAAGACAUCCCUUUUCCAACAACCAAAUCACCAUCUAGGAUAGGAAUCUAUUUUAUUUUAGGGAGAGGGGGAGAACCAUAACAUAUCAUUAGAAGAAAAAAUUGUAAAACUAGUCUCGCAUACACGUACUUCUGUUAAAACAAAACCAUACCUACCAGCAAUAGAACACUAAAUGUGGCUUCACCCUUAGAAAUAUAAGUAUCAAUCUCCCGUUGCAUAUCUGGGUCUACAAGUAGAUCAUCAUAAAGUUAUGAAAGAAUAUAGCAGACUGGAUAUAAAAAUCAAUAAACAAUUACCACUUAAGCAAAUCUUCAAUUCAUGCUAGCAUGCCAGUUAAGUUUGCAAAAAGGAUGAAAAAUCAUAAGUAAUGGUAAUUGGCAUCAUGCAGGGGUCCAAGAAAACAUAGCUUCUUAAAUCAAUUCACGUACAUUUUCACCUUUCUCCUUGUUGACCAAUACAUACAUAUGAGAGCAAGCAAGAAGUAUAUGCUCAGUCAACAAGGACAAUGCCUAAAUGCCAAAUAUAACCAAAAGGCUUCUAAAUGUGCACAUGGCAACUUGAUUUCAAUCUUCAAUGAUUGAGUCAUUCAUUAAAGAAGCUGAUUGGAAAUCACAAAAAUUCAUAAGUUUCACAACAGCAGCUUAGAUAUAACACCGAGUGAAAGAAAAAUUAUAAUCUCAACACAACUAUGAGCAGAAAUUUAAAAAAAAAAAAAAAGGGUCAUUUGCUAUAUAAACUGACACUAUCACAAUGUAUUGAACACAGGUAAGACCAUUAUGAUAAAUAAAGAAGAAGAUAAAAUGGAUAAUGCUGUACCCAGUUGAAAUUCAAACUUUCAACAUGUAUGCACUUAAAUCAUAUAUCUAUAUAAUUUGAAAAAAUGGCUUCAUCCUACGAAAAAUAGACACAUAAAAGUUUUGUUUCAUAUGAUUAAAAAAAGGUCAGUCACUUCAUAUACUAAGUACUUCAAGAUGUUAAGAUAUUAAAGAGAUGAAUCCAUUUCAGACCCACUUACCACAUUUUAUUUUGUUCUGAUCAUUAGCAAAAAGCCUCACCAGUUCCCCCUGACAACAUAAGAAAAUUGGAAUAAAUCAGAAUAUCAAGAGUUACAUUUAUUUGUAAUCUGAAAAAUUUUCAGUGCAACAACUCAACUAGAUCUGGAAGACAAUAAACCAGAUUAAGUAAAAAGAUCAAAUAAAGCAGCAAACAAAAAAAAAAGGCAAGAAAAGGAUUUUUUGAGUGAUAUUUGUAUUUUUUGUGAAACUAUGUUAUUACACUCAAUACAUUACAUGUGGAUUUUCACACCUUAGGAAAUGCAUGCUAAGUCAUAAAAUCACCUGGCGGCCUUGGUCAUCCAUAGGUAUGCACUCGACAGCAAUCAACUUAUCAACAUCAUCAGCCGUGACAAUAUAUUCUGGAUUUGUUGCUCCUGAGUCAAAUAUUAUCAUAAAUGAUAUAUCAAUGAGAUAACCUUUAAAUAAGAGCACUAUCGGAAAGUCAAAAAUGCAUUUCAUUUUUUUUUAUUACCUUCAAUGUACUGCCUAGUGCCAUCCUCAAGAUGAUGAACCCACUAUAAGACAAAAGAAUAAACCAUUGGUGUGUGGAUAAACUAACAUUUGGUGUAUUCGGAAUGUCUUAAUUGAUGGCAAUUCUUGUAUAGAAAACUUAAAAACAUCACCUGAAACAUGCAAAGAGAAGUUCCACGAACAGGGAAUCCACAUCCAAGGAGUUUUUCUCCAGGAGUAGCAUCACCGAUAAUCUGGAAACCCUCAAUGCCAGGGAGAUCUAAAAUGAAACAAGUCCAUUACGUUUCAUCAGAAACAAAAAAAAAAAAUUAUCCACAUAGAAGCAUCCUCACCAUCUGAAACAGAGGAAGCAAUCUCAUCAUUCAUGCUGGAAGGAUGGGGCACAUCAUUGGCCAUCUCUCCUGCUCUUGCAUUCAUAUCACUUUUUCCAAAUAAACUAUUGGAAAGAGGGCCAGCUACCUUCCUGUGACAAAAUCAUAUAUAAUUAGAAAAGUAGUGCAAGUAUCAGAUAACAAUAAGUCCUAUCACUGAAGAGAAAAAGAAUACUGCUAGUUCUUGUACAAGAAAAGAGAGAACCAAAGCAUUAAACUCUGUAAAGCAUCAAAUAUAAGAUGACUAUCCUGCAAAGUUCUGGUAUAAUAAACUUAUAUGAGAUAGCAUGACGUGAACAACUUGGGAUAGUGCUCUGCAAAAUAUUUAGAAGUGGUAGGUUUGGGGAAUUAGAUAUUUAAGGAAACAAUUAAGAUAUUAUUGUAGGAGUGAAGUUGGAAAGAAAUAGAAAUAAAGGCAGCGGAAGAAAAGAAUGCUUAGGGAAAAGAUAAAACGAAGAACACUCAAGAACACAAAUACAUGUACAAAUCUUCUGCAGAUUGUAAGCUGUGAACAUUUUGUUAUAUUUCUGAGUUAAUACUCUUUCCUUGUUUAGUUUUCUCUAUUAAGUAUUGUAAUAUUUCAGCCCAAUUUCAAGAGAUUUCAGCCUUGAUUUGGUUUACCACCUCUUGUAUAUAUUUUGUCUUCAAGAUCAAUGUAAACAUUUAUCAGUUUCCAUUAACCUGACACAAACAAAACCAAAAUACACAUAAUUCCAUUAUUGAAGUCCUUCAUGUCAAAGAAUCACUCAACAAUUAAUCUAAGAGGUGAAGCCCAAGAAUGAUUUUAUCUUUAUUAAUAUAAAUACAAGAGAAGGGAGUGGUAGGAUUCAAAGCUUGGAUCACUGGUCCAAAAGCGUGAAUGCCAUGUUAAAGAACCACUCAACAUAAAAGCUUAAUAUAUUAGUUCAAAACCCCAAAAAUGGUUUUAUAUUUUAUUUUCUAACAUAGAAAAUAGAAAUAGAAAUAGAAAUCUAAACUAAAUAUUAAAGGGAAAACAUGAAUAUAGAGAACUCCUAAUUUAUUCUUUAUCCAUUCCAGAACAACAUAACAUAAUCUUAAAAAUUGCUUUACUCAUAAUAUAUCUUCACAAACUAAUAUUGAUUCCUAAGUCCUUAAAAAUUUUCUUACGUUAAUUAAUUGAUCUACAGACUAUGAAUAGUUCCUAGAAAAUGCCUCCAGUUUAAUUUAAUAAUAACUCUCUUGAUAUAAUAUGUACCAAUACUUCUUACACAUUUAUAACCACCUCUGACCUUUCUGCUUCAAUAACCAUUCUGGUUCUGAGAACUUUGCUGAAGGGAGAACAUACUCAGAUUUAUUCAAAAUGACUAUUGUAAAAACUUAAGAAAGUUUGUGCUAACCAAACAUGACUACUUGAACAAUAUAGAAUGAAUCUCCAACAAUUUCUAGAGCUUCACAAAUCUUAAACCGAAAAAAUAGGUUUGUGAUUUAUAGCUAGUUACCUAACAACAAUAUUAUCCGCCAUAAGAAAACGAUUGACUGCACUACAUCCAAACUAUAUAAAUUGUACCAACCUGUCUUGAUCAAAUGAGAACUCUGGGAAAUCGUUGUUAUUUAUAGCUGGUGCAUCCAUUAUGAAGUGUUAAACUUGAUUUAUCAGCAAGAUUUGUCUCAUGUACAAAUCUUGGCAUAUUGUCAUUCAGUUCCAAAUGCCGUUCAGCUAUAUGGUGAUUAGAAGCCGAAGUCCCAUGGUGACCCUGCAUUGAUAAAGCGAGAGCAAAAUAAUAAGAGAAAAAUCAUUAAUAAUUUAAUCAUAAAGCCAAGCUUGUGCACUGAAAAGGUGACAAUAAGGAGACAAAAAACAAGUAGAUUACAUGCCAGUAAUACCGUGGAUCGAUGAGUUGUUUGACCCGUCAAGAUGCCAGAAACAGGAUUGUCUAUAUCAUGAGAACUGCUUCCAUUUUUAGAGCCCAGCACAGAUGCUCUCUCUCUGAUUAUAUCCUGUGAUAAAAGUGAAUCACAAGUGUAACAUUAUUUUAACUCAUAACCAACCGAAAAACAACCAGAUCUUGAUACAGGAAAAACUCUGAUAAAAAUGAGCACCCCAAGUCCCAAAAUAACAAUUUAAGAACAAACCAAAAGAAAUGUUUUCAAGGAAAAAUGCUCAAGUCAAAUAUUGAUGCAGGAGAUGUAAAGAUGGGUAAAGGAAAAAAUGCUUUUGUAUAUGCAUGAUAAGGGAGUGAUUGGAUCUGCAAGUCUAAGAUGCACGUACUUAAAUACAUGCUUGCAUAUGGAAAUGAAAAAAAAUAAACAUGAAAAGUUGAACCUCGGGGACUCAUGAGAACAUAUAGCUUAAAUUAGAUAAAAUGAAGCAUUUGAAAUUUAAUCAAAUAGAAGAAUGAUAAUGGCAAGUCCUUAAUUUGGCAAAACACAAAAACAAUAGCGGCUCUUCUGUAGCAUGCCUCAUAGCUUACAUGUGAAGUUCUAAUCUUCCACUGCAAUUGAUCAUGCAGGAGCUGCAAAAUAUAUAUAAAGAAAAAAUAAAGUAAAAUUAGUUAAAUUUUUAUUUGAUAGAUAUUUGAAUGUUGUUCUCAUGCUUAAUAAAAGCCAUCCAUCUGAUGUCAGCUAGAUGCAGGCAUUUAGAGAUCUUUCCCAUUAGAGUACAUAUUUACAGGAUACAUGGGAUCAAAUAUGAUACAGAUUCACAGACAAGGAUAGAGUGUAACUUGUUCGAGGACCAACACAAAAUAUAAGGCAUUUCUCAUGCCUUCCCAAAGAACUUAAUAAAAGAAAAAGGUACCUGGGAAUGGCCCAUCAGAAUAAGAUAAAUCCAGAGCAUGCUUUGAUUCUAAGGUUUCUUUUUUUCUUGUUUCUUUUUUGGCAACAAGUCAAUGGGAGAUAAAAACAUAAAUGAGAGCAGCCUCAAAGUUCAUGGUCUUGCAGUACCAUGUUCACUUCUUGCAGAUAUAUAAUCCAUGUAAUUAGUUACCUUUACACUGUUAGAAAUAGCAGAGGCAUUUACAACAUGGGGCAGGAUUCCAUAUUCAGCCACUAAGCCAAGCAAGGAUGAAACGAAAAUAUAUCUAUCAUCAUCCACAACCUGGAGAACAAGUACACAAUUCACAGAUGCAUUUUACCCAAAACAAAUUCAGGAAUAAUUUGAUAACAAAAAAAAACAUAAGGAAAUAGAUUAGGAGCACGGUAAAAAGAUAUUAAUAUUCGUCCAUCACAACAAUUGAUAGCAUCACUUUCCACAAGUUGUUCAACUGAGAGGGCAGAGAAGUCAAGCACAUGUACAAAACUACAAAAUUGUUUUUCCUUUAUGUUUUAUAGAAAGCAAGGAUGGGAAGCGUCUGUUUACAUUUCCCAAGCAGAAUGUUCUACCCUGAUAAAUUAGUUGAUGUCAAAAAAAUUUAAAUAUUCAGAUGUGUAUAUGUAUGUUGAUAAUACGAUAUCCAACAUUCACUUUGAGCAAUUUAUAUGACAAAGCUAAGCUAGGUACUGUGCAUGAUAUGAUCUAGCUCACACUGCAUCUCUAUAUAAACAGAAAAACAAUAAUGGAUUUACUUAUAAAGCUACUGAUUACUAGCAAGACCAUUACAAUGGACAAAACUACUUUCCAUAUGAGAGUCCCAACAACCAAUCACUAGAGGCUAACCUUUAAACAUGGAAUUAAGUUUACCAUUUAUUGUCGGAACUUCACUCAAAUUAAUUACUUGUUUCCCUGGUUGAAGCAAGUAGCUUAAUGUUAAGGCAAUUUCAGCUUCCAUGCUUUUAAGCAUUAUCUACAGACCACUUAGGGUCAGUGGCGAAGCUCAAGGUUUUUGCUGAAAGAGGCCAAAACACAUACUGUAACAUAUUUUAUAAUGGUCACACAAAUGAAAAAUUUUAUCAAUUCAAAUUAAUUAUAUAAAUCAUAUAAUAUAAGAUAAAAGAAUAAAAAUAUGUGAAAAUGAAUUCAAAUUAUAAAACAAAUGAAUGUAGAAUUGAAUUGAAAGUUAUACUCUAGAGCAUGUGUGAUACAUUAAAGAAUAUGAAAUAUAUCUUGACAUUUCUUAUAUAUGUAGCUUGUAAAAAUAGAAAAUACUAGUAAGUUGGCCCACACUCUGCCAUGGGUCGAAUCAAAUUCUUUUUUAACCUAAAAAAACAAUGUGCAGAUGUUAUCAAAUGCAUUUUCUAACAUAAAAAAAUAAUUGAGAAUUGAAAAGUUGAUGUGUGCAUUUAAUAAAACUAAUCUAGAAUUAUAUGCGUCAACAAAUAUAUAUAAAAAAAAAAAUUGUUAACACUAACUAAAAAUAUUGAGAGAAAUACAAAUUAAAAUACCUAAUCUCAUGCCGCAAUGAGCUCUUCAAGUUUUUUUUAUCUAAUUAUAUGAAAAUGAAAUUAUUCUUCUUUUUUUAAGAAGAGUAGUAAUUUAAAUUCUACUCAAACAAAAUAAUUUUUUAGUAUAAUUCCUUAUUUUCAUAUGAAUAUAUUUUUUUAACAACAAAGUAUAGCAUUCCAAGCUAUGUUGUUGCCUCAAUAAAAACUGAAGGUAAUUAGAAUAAAUAUCCAAAAAAAAAAAUUGAACGACUUGAAAUAAAAAUAAAAAAGGUAUCUCUUUAAUUAAAACCCCUUCAUCUUAUUAAUACGCUCUCUUUUUUUACGAGAACAAUUUGUUUUUAAUAACAGACUAUCAGAACCAUAAAAGCAAGUUUUAAAACAUAUUUUGAGCUGAAUGUAUUAAUAAGAAAAGGAAUAAUAUAAUGUUUGCGCAAUGUUACAAGGAACAUUUUGGAAUCUAUUUUUUUAUUCAUGUAAUUUUUCAUAUUUUUUACAAAAAAAAAAAGAAUUAUAAGAAGCAUAGUUCAAUGAAUAAAAAGUAACAGCAAUUUGAAAAAUAUAUUGGUGAUAACUAUAAUAACUUAAAUUUCAUUUUAAUUGAAUAUUCAAAUACUAAAAAAAAAAAAGUUCGUAUAACAAGCUCAUAUAUAAUAGUUAUCGAAAUGAUUACUAAUAUUACAUAAAAAAAGCUAGAUUCUUAUUUGAAAAUAAAUAUUAAAUCAAAUGAUAUCUAAUGAAAUAAUAUAUUAAAUAUAAUUUUAUUUAUUUCAUUAUAAUUAAUUUUCAUUAAACUUUAAAAAAAAAAAUACUCAUGAAUGGCUGUAAAAAAACAAAAAGUGUUUGCCAAUAUUAUAAAAAAAAAAUGUUAUAAUCUUAUUUGAAAACAAAUUUAAAAUUGAAUGGCAUUUAUAAUUUUAAUUAUUUUAUUUUCAAUAAUUUUAAUUGAAAUUUAAGAAACAAAAUAAAAAAUGGUCUCAUAAAAAGAGCUAGGCUUGGAUGGGCCAGCCUCUAGCCCAAAACACUAGCAAGCCAUGUGCGCUUGGCUCUUUUUAAAAAAAAAAAUAGAUGAACAAGGUCAAAUUCUACCAUUAGAGAAGUUGCUGUAAAGUUGGGGCAUGACUUCAUGACUCAAAAAACCCAUUUUUCAACCCUUCUUUCAUCUGAGAAUAUCUAAGAUAACAUUUGAUUAUUGUCUUUGAACAUAAGAGAUGAAGACAAAAGGGACACAUCUCCUUGUGCUUCCUAUUUUAAGAAGAGCAUGGAAAUUCACUCCAAAACCAUACUAGAGACAAAUUUAUUUUAUGUUUGUCUCUGUCUCUUUAACCUAACACGUUUUUGUUCCUAUUGUCUCUAUUUCUUUUGUCCUAGAACACUAACCAAAUAUAAUCUAAGAAACACCGUAUAGACCUCACUAAACUCAUUUUUAACCUUAAAUCACUCAUUUCUACUCAUUUCAGCAAAAUAAUGGAUCAAAAACACCUUUACAGCACUCCUUUCAUUAAAUGAAACUCAUUGACACCAAAAUCGUGUUUUUUUAUUGUCGGAAAGUGGCCAAUCGUCAAAGUUCUCUCUCCUAUCUCAAGUGCAGAUAUUGAAAAAAUGAACAAAAUAAAGUUUUGGACCGAAACUAAAAAUCCAAAAAACAAAGAGACCAAAAAUGAAAAAAAAAUAGGGACUAAAAUUUUAAAAUGUGUGCCUCAUGAACAAUGGAAAAAAAGGUUGUUUUGUGUUUCAAUGUCAAGUUUGGUCCCUGAAGUUUCAAAUGCUUUUAUAUUCUAUUUUAUCAAAUGGAGCAUUAACUUAAUCUCAGAAAUAUUUUUUCAAGACAGUGAAAACCCAUUAACAAUCUAAUCGAAACAAAUUAUCAACCUCAAAUCCUAAUCAAUGCCUUGGUGAUGAUGAAAUUGAAAGAAAAAAAAUAGUUGGUGACUAAAAUAGAAAAGGCUUCAAGGAUUAAAAAGCAAAGAAAAACAUUGUUCCAAUCCACAAUAUUUUCUCUCUUGAUCUACAGUGAACGUCUAAGCAGUUUUAGUGUUUUUAAAUUUUAAUGAAAGGUUUAGUUAAUAAAUACAAUAGAUGGAAGAAAAAGAAGGAAUGAUAAAAAUUAAAGUACAUUAGUAAAAAGAAAUUAAAAACAAUGAAAGAAAGAAAGGGAAGAUUCAAUUGUACGUCAAAAUGAAGAAUGCCAAGCAGGUGAAUGGGCAAUACAACACUCUUGAAAUUUUAAGUGUCGUGUUAGGUCGAAAGUACACACACUAGUUUUAUCCUAAUUAAUCAAUAAGCUAUAAGUUGGGGCCAUUUCACUAAUUUAGUGAUUAAGAGACUUGUUUGCAUGUAUAAUUUAUUUUAGUCAAUAGACAUGCUUACUUUUUGGCAGAGCAAAAUAAUAUAAUCAGUUUACAUACAUGCAAGGGGAGCCUCUUGUUCCAGGAAUCAUAUGAUAAAAUCAUAUGUUCCAGCAGCAACAGUGUAAUAUAUCAUUGUGGUGGGACCCAACAUUGUGUCCAACAUUAAGAAGCUGAACUGAAGCUCAUAAUCUUCUUUAACUAUUGUCUAUGUUUUUUCUUAAUGUUUAGAAUCUUUGGAAAGAACAAAUUUUAUGAUGAAAAAUAUAUAUUGUUGCUUUUUACGAAAAAACCUAAACUACAUGAUCAAAAAAAAAGAAAAAAAAGAAAAAUCUAAACUAAUUUAUGUAACUCUGUAGUAGAUUGGUUAAAAACAGGAAAAUAAUUUCCUCUUUUAGACUAUGUUUACGUAUAUAGCAUAUGGAAAAGGAAUUGUCAAAAAGCUGGAACCAAUAAAAAUACUAGUACUCCUUACAUGACAAAAGAAAAUUAUUAGUUCAUUAUUAUUUAAAAAAUAAAUAGUAUUUUCACUUAAAAUUUGUUUAUUCAAAUUAUGCAGAGUAUUUGUAAUAUCAUAUGUUUAAAAUUAAAAGAAAAAAAAAGUGUCUUAGCAUCUUGUGUGUCCAAAUGUUAGGAGGUAAAGGUGGGUUAAACUAAUAUUAAUAGAAUCCAGUGCUCCACGAAUUUGUAUUGGUUUAGAUAAGGCUGAACCCUGUGAAUCAUUAUCAUAUAUAUUUUCAUUUGCACCAUGUUGUAUUCGCUAUGAACCCUAUGCUCGGUCAUGUCACAAAAUUAAACAGUAAAAGCAGGUCAUAUAAGGAUUUUAUUUAAAAUAACUGCCAGAAAACCUUAUAAAAAAAAGGGAUUUCUUCAAAAUGACAAUGAUAUCUCAGUCUGCUCUUAGCCUCGAUAUCUUCGUUGUUAAUGAACUUCUUACUUUAGUUUUACUUAAUCAUGGGUUGAUAUCAAUGUUCAUGCAGCACAGAAAAAACUAAAAUGUAUUCAGAGGAAUAGAAAAGCAUAAGCUGGAAAUAGAAACUGUACUAGACCUUCAAAUCAUGGGUCAAUUGUAAAUUUUCUUCUAGAUCACCUUUUCUGCGAGCCAACUCAUUUGAAGCAGAAGUAAUUGCUUCAGUUUGCUUCUCAUCAAUAGCCUAUCAUUCAAAAAGAUGUUGCUUCAGCAAAUAGAUCAGAGAUUGAAAAACUGCUCUCACAAUCCAUCUUGGUACAUAAAGAAAAUUACUGCAUCAAAGGAAAAGGUGAGAACUGCUAUUUUACAAGAUGGACAGACCAUUCUUAAGUAUGAAAAUUUCCUCUCCAAAAUAUAUUUCUCAUCAAGCAACUGAAGCUCCUGGCACCAUAUAAACAAAGCAAUUGCAUACAAGUCAGAAAUCUAAUAACAUAUUAACCAUUAUGAUCAUCUAGAUGCAGACUAGCAAAGGCCUUCAGAUAAAUUUACCCUCAAACAGGCAUCAGCAAUUUGUCCAUGAAGAAUCUGGAUCUCCUCCUUUUGUGCUCUUAAUCGUAAAUGAAGCUCCUACUUGCAAAUUCAUAAAGUGUAAGCAAGCCACAUCAAGCUUCGCUGUAAGUAAAGAAUCAAAAUCUCUACAUGGAAAACCCUGAAAAGCACCCGUACCAUUGCCUCUCUGUCUUCAAAAUAAUUGAGAUUGCCAUUGGUUUUCAACUUCCUAGGAGCAAGAUGUGCCUCAGCAUCAUGCCUACAGAUAAAGAGAAUACUUGAAAUAACAUGCUGCACAACUCUUGGAUUUUAGCCAAUCAUCCAUAUAUAGGAUACAAGAAGUUAAAUUGAUUUGGCCCUCAUGUAAGCAUUUGAAUAAAGUAACUCUUCCUGGGGCCAUUGGUUUAGCCACUACCUGUUGAUUGAAUCAGAAUUCUGAGGGCGAACACGUUCGUUGUUAAGCUCUUGCAUGUGGUUUUUACUUGAAGACACACAUUGGCUGUUCUAGGUACUCUUCAAGACAGCCACUGCUGAAUGACUGUUUAAUUUCUCCAUGAUCGCCAACAAAAUCAUGCAUUUUACCUCAUUUUAUUCCUAGUUCCCCUUCGUCCAAAGGCACUGCAGCUUUUAACAAGUCACGACUCCCAAAUGCUGUAAUAGGCACAACCACCAAUUAAUAUAUGUACAAAUAGGAGGAGAAAACGGUAGAUAUCGAUUAUCAUGUGAGGAAACCGAACCAUGGACAAAGCAUUAUAAACUAAACUACAAUUGUAUGAAAGAAAGAGCAUGUCGAGGAAUAAUAAAUUGCUAGUGUUACUUCCCCAUUAGACAACCUGAACAAGUUCGUUAGCCAUAUAUGAAUUUCCUCAAGAAUCGAUCUUGCCACAUGAAGCACAUGGAUUGAAGCAUGCUAUUGGACUUUUUCAAGACCACAAGAAAAUGCAUAUACACUUGGAUAUUAAAGUCAACAACUUGAAAAGUUCUAAUAAACACAUAUCAAUAGAUUAGAUGACAACAACCUCCCCUGGCUGCACCAAAUAGAAAGAAGAUCGUUACAUAUAUACACACAUACUCUCUUCUCACUUAAUUAGCCUUUUCCACCUAUUAAAAAAUAGGCAGUUUGAGGAAAACAAAGAUGCAACAGUACUCCUCCUAUUUGAAGAUGUAACUAUAUACUACCAGGGGUUGAAUCAUCAUUAGGAAAAUUUUCAAGACUGCAAAACCACACACGAUUGACCCCGAUGAACAAAAAACAAAAAAUAGAAUAUAUUCCUGAAAUUGACAAGAGUAACAUUUUCUCCGAAUUUAAUUAGCAAACAGUCGUAGUUGAACCCAAAAAAGAAUUCCAAGGUUGACAUGAAAACCACCACAUGUCCUCUAAAAGCUACUACACCUGACAGCAUAAAAUUAUACUUGUGUGAUCAACUGUAACAUACUGAUGCCUUCCUUCCACUAUUAUCACUUACAAAUAAAUAAGUUCUCUAACGAAACCGUAAAAUAGUUAGAAUUUCUUUACAAUUGGUGAGUAGUAAUUUAAUGAAAUUCAGCAGAAGAAAAUUAUAAUUUUGCGUUCUAAAAAUGGAAAAGAAUCCAUAAAAAAAGUACCUGUUGUGUAGGAGCCGAAAGAGAGAUCUGUUUCUGUGUUUUGUGAAGGAGCUGAAGGACGAAGAGGAAGAUCUUAAUUAAUGGAAGAGAAUGAGAGGGCGAGGAAUGCGGGGGAUAGGAGUUUGUUAAUUAAAGUCAAGUGUGGGUCGCGACCUCUCUUUGUUUUCCUUUCGAUCUCAUAUUCGUUUCGCACUAGUUUGUUUACCAGGGGACUUUUCCAUCGUGUAGACCGUUUGGAAUUUGGAAUUGUGAAACUCCACUGCUGUUUCUCAAAAUAUCUUUUAUAUUAAAAUAAUAUUUUUUUAUUUUUAAUAUUAAUAUAUGAAAACAAUUUCAAAAUAUAAAAAUUAAUUUAAAAUGUAAAAAUUAAUGUAAAAAAAAAAAUUACCUGCGUUAUCAAACAAACACUAACCAAUUUAUAACUUUGUAUGUGGCGCUAGCCCAAACUUUUUUAAACUUACAUCAAAUUUUUAUGUCUCUAAAAUAUUUUAUCAUUAAACUUUAAAAUAAAAUUAUCUUAAUUUUUUAUAAAAAUAAAUUUUCCUAUCAAUAUAUUUUUUAUUUAUCUUAAAUAAUCGUAAUAUUUUUAAUUAAAAUCAUUAUUUCAACUUAAAAAAUAUUUUAUAAUUAUUAAAACAAGUUAAUAAAAAAAUAUAUCAAAAUAAAAUGACAUAUUUUUGAGUGAUUUUUGGGUGAUUGAAAACUAAAAAGAAUUAUAAAUGUAACAAAAACUAAAAUAUAGAAUGUCCAUAUUAAUAAUUAUAAAUUCAAAUAAAAAUUUAUAAUAAUAUUUAAAAAUCAUGUUAAAUUAAAGAAUAAGUAGUCAUGGUAAUUUUUUAUAAACACCCCAAAAAGAAAAACAAGAUAAAGAAAAAAAAAAUUUAUCAACAGGUGAGGCCCAACAUCAACCAACCAAAAACAGGCUAAAAGGGCACGAGCUUGGAGGUCAAACCCGCUAGCCUAGCCCUGUUUUAUUUUUUAUUAAGGGGAAAUGAUUAUUUAAAAAAAUAACAAAUAAUAGAUCAUUAGUUAAGAUUUAGAAAAUAGGUGCAAAACCCAGCAUUUGAACCCGCAACCUUUGACUUGUCAUAUACAACUCAACAAUGACACUUAAUUGCUAUGAAAUGAUUAAAAAAUAUAUUAAGAAGCUUUAUUAUUCAUAUAAACAAUAAAGCACCAUAAAAAAAAUCUAGUUCUUCUAAAGUGUUUAGGUAAUUGUUUGUUAAUGCGUUUCAAAUUGUUUUUUGCAAAUUUAUGUGUUUUUUAGGUGUUUUUUGAAUGUUUAAAAAUUAACUUGUUAAACUUAUUAUUAUCAUGAAAUCAAGUUUCAAUUAAAAAUUUUAAAAAUCAUGAAUCGAUAAUUUUUACACACCUAUAUAAAAAACAUUUAAAAACAAUAAAUUUGAGAGAAUUAUAUAGAAAAAUUACAAUUAAAAAAUUAUGAUAAUAAAUAUUUUAUUCUUACUCAAUAUUAAUGAACAAAUUAUUUUAAAAACUAUGCAAAUCAUUCUCAAAGCAAGUUUGAUAAAACAAAUAUUAAAAUAAUGUCUUAGUAUUUUGUAUGUUAUUUAAGAAAAACAUUAAUUGAUGUUAUAAAAUCAUGUCAAAAAUAUAUUAUAGAAUUAAAAAAACAUAAAUUUUGUUUUCAUUGAAUAUUUAUAAACAAAUUUUAAGUUUUGUUUUUUUUUUUUUUGUAUUAUGUAUAUAAGAAUUCAAAAGGAAUUGUUAAUUUUCCCAUAAAACCCUAUAACAUUGUUAAGAACAAUGCCAAAAUUAAAUAAUAAUUUAAAUAUAAUGUAAAAGUAUUUUUAUUUAUAUUGCAUUUGAAUCAAAACUUAAAAUAAAUUAACAAAAAAAAAAGGCUUCACCUUAGCCUAGAAGACUAACCGUACUUGUUUGGCCCAACAGAAAGAGACCCUAGCAUAUGUGGGCUUGUAAAGCUUGUGUUGCACACCUAUCCUUCUUGAUUUUAUUAUUUUUAUAUGUUUAGGGGAGAGGACUUCUUGUUGGAUCUUUUAUUAAAAAAAGAAGAAGCAAACAACUUGUUGUCUGCAUCGACAAACAACAUGAUGUCUACAAAUCAAGAUUCUAGCACCUGAAGAGGUUGUCAAACAGUCAAGUCAAGGGUUUUAUGGAUCUAAAAACUCAUUCUUAACUUAAUUUCAUCCAAAAAGACCUAAUACACACCAUAAGAAUCUUAAUAAACCAAUUGAUAACUCCUAAAUCAAUUUAAAACAAAAAAUUAAGCUGAAUAAAAAUAACAAUUAUUCCUUAACCCUGAUCUAUUUUUUCCAAUGAGAUAGCUGCUCAUAAACACCUCAAUGGUGCUCCUCUAAUCAAGAGAAAUCCAUUAACACCAAUCAAUGUCUUUGUCAUUGAAAUAUGCCCCACCAAUCACUUUCUCUCUUCUCUUUUAUUUUAUGGUUACUUUCUCUUUACUUUCAAAUUCUAGAGACUCAAACAUAAGACAAAUGAAGUUUAGAGAAAACCUUAUCUUAAUUUUUAAAGAAAUUAGAAGAAAAAAAAGUACAUGGCAUGGAUUAAUGAUAUAUAGCUAUUGACAAAAUCGAGAAAACUUCAAAUGAAUUUGGACCUUUCCAUGAUUAUCUAAUGGGCUUGAUUUUUUUUAGUUGGGUUUGGGCUAAUAACCCAUGUUCUCCUACAAAACAAGUUCUUUAUCCAGAAUAGAAGACCCUUGUAAGUCCAAUUUAGCAAAGCAUAUGAGAAAUAUAAUAUAUAAAAGGAAGGAAAACGAAAAGUGUGUUAUAGUCUAUGUAUAUGGAUUUGUUGUAUUCUUUAGUUGUUUUUCAUACCUAGUAGUAUUUAUAUACCUCAUAUCACUUGUGUUUUUAUUGUUGGUCAUAGGAUCACAGACCUAUUUAUAGAAGUAAUCUUGGAGAAUGCCUAAUUCACUAUGAAUAAUCACACAAUUAGUUAUUUAUAACGAAUUAUUCAUGUAUGUGCCCAUUUUAUUAACUUGUAAGACAAGGCUUUUAAGUAGGCGUCAUACUAAGAGAAUUUAGAUGGAUGAUGUAUUAAUAACUUAUAAGAUGAGAAUUUAAGUAGAAAUUAUAUUGAUAAUGUAAGAUCCCACAUCGACGGGUGAGGGUUGUGUUGUUGGCCUUAUUAGUAGUGCUGGUGCUAACAUGUUGAACGCGUUUUGGAACGUCAGGCUCAGUAGUGGGCUCGCAUCACCAGGAACAAAACCGUGAGGGCGGUAAGGCUCAAAGCGGACAAUAUUCAGCAUUUUGGACCGGGCUGUUAUAUUUGGUAUCAGAGCCGACCUCACUGGCUUUCCGGUUAUGCUGACGGGGACGUCGGGCUCCUUAAGGGGGGGUGGAUUGUAAGAUCCCACAUCGGCGGGUGAGGGUUGUGUUGCUGGCCUUAUUAGUAGUGCUGGUGCUAACAUGUUGAACGCGUUUUGGGACGUCAGGCUCAGUAGUGGGCUCGUGUCACCAGGAACAAAACCGUGAGGGCGGUAAGGCCCAAAGCAAAAUUAUUCAGCAUGUUGGGCCGGGCUGUUAGAGAUAACUUUUAAAACAAAGAAUUUAGAUAGGUAAUCAUGGCUACAUAAGCAUGUUUAAAUAUUGUUUAGGGUGUCAAUACUUUUUUCCUUUAUCUUUUUUUCUCCUUUCUCUUAUUCUCUACUUGUUGGGCUCUCAUUUUGGCUUAAUUAGGCUCUUUUCAUGGACUAAAUAAGGGAUUAUUGUAGAAAUCUAGAGCUAAUUAAAAGAAACCAAAAACUAUAUCUAGCAUAUGAUUAGCCCCGCCAUUUUUAAGUAGUGUGUGAGCAUUCUCAUGUAAUCUAAUUACUAUCUUAUUUGGUGUCAUCAAUUUUAUCUCAACGCAAGCAAUUUUUUAAACCAGUGCUUAUCAAUGAAAAGUUGAUGGUGUGCUCUAAUAACCUGUUUUUAUUUUCUCUUUUUUCUUUUAUUUUCUCUCUUGUUUUUUUCACCUAUUUUUAUUAUUUUCCUGUCUCUCUUUUUUCUAAUUACUAUCUUUGUUUUUAUUAGGCUUGAUUGAGUUGCUUGAUUUUUCUCCUCAUGAUGCAUGAUAGAGUAAGUUUUUUAGGGUGAGGGUUGUCCAAAAGAAGAGUGUGUCCAAGAUGGAAAGUAUAACUGAAAUGGUUGUUCAUGCUCAAAUGAAAAAUCAUAUGGAGAUCAUAAAAAUAUAUGAAUAAUUUGUAUAAAGACUUUCUAGUUACUUGUCACACUCGGACAUCGCGGCGACCGAUAAAAAAAAUAUCUAAUCAUAGAAAAGAAACAGAUAUCUGGCAUCUUGUUCUUUGGGGGGAAAAUUAAGGAGUCGCCACCUAGUAUUAUGGUCACUAGGAACCCUAACUGGUCAACAGAGAUUCUAUGAUACGGGACUGGUUAUGUAAAAUGGAAAAUAUUAUCACCCCUAAAACAUCCUACAUAUGGUAGACUGCUUUGCUAGUUUUGUUUUAAAUUGCUAAGAGUUUGUUGUUGUAUGCUAUGAUGGUUUGCUUGUAAUAUUCCUGACUCUGGCGUCAAUGAAUAUUCAACUACGGAUACUUUCCAACUCUGGCAUUGGUAAAUAUUACGUAGCUAAAAAGAUAAAAUAAAUUGAAAUCGGUAUUUUUAUUCUUAACUCUAGCGUCAAUGAAUAAACCAAUAAAUUUAUUUUUAAUGCAUGUAUUUUUAUUUAUUUAUUUGUUUAUUUUAUUUAUUUAUUUAUUUUUGGGCUGGGUCCGACUCAGCCCAUGUGGGCUGGGCAAAGCAACACGCGUGUGCUAAUUCAUGCGUGUUGCUACAGUGUUCAAGUGAAUUAAAAUUCACUUGAACAAUGCGAUAUUAAUUAUUUGAAGAAUGAAGCAAACCGGGAGGAGAAAAGGAAUUGCUUACCUAGUUGCUGAAGGCUGGAGACGAAGUGUGCUGGCGAGCCAAUGUUUCUUCCUUUUAUAUUUUUUUGUUUAUUCUCUAUGAGAAAAAUCCCUGAUUCCCUCUGUUUUUCCAGCCUCUGUGUUUGUUUAGCUUUCGAUUCUGGAUACUUCCCUUCGCUUUUUUUUUUCUUGAUUUUUAUUCUAUCCCUUGUUCUCUCCCGUUUUUCUCCAUUGUUUUAUGCUUUUUCCUCUCGAUUUUCUCUGUAUUCUGGCUCCUUCUCCUCCUCUUCUUUUUUUUUUUUUUUUUUUUUUUUAUCGAUUGCUGAGUAUUUAUAGGGGCCAAUCUUCCUCUCCCUCAACCUGACAUCUCUCCUUCUGAUAUGCAUGGUUAAGGGAGACCGUCUCUGCUAGGACUCAGACUCAAAGUCCAGUCCUUAUCUUGCCGGUUUGUGAUUAUCUUGAAGAAUAUGAUUGCUCUUCUGUGUUUGGAUAGGAUUAGGAAGUUGGUGUUUCACACAUUACUUUCCUUCUUUACAAGCGAAAUCUCAGCACUUAAAGAUGAAGAUGAAGAACCACGUCUGGUUGAAACGACGUUGUUUUAGGGUUGGAAAUGACUAUUUCCAAUCCGGUCCUUGAAGUUUCUGAAUAUUUGCAUUCAAACCCUUGGUCUUUUAAUUUCAAUUUUUUAACCCCCCUUAUCAUUAAAUUAAAAAACAAAAACGGUCCAAAUUUGGGAUACAACAUUACUCAUAAAUUGUAUGGAGAUAGAUAUGAAAAUUUUAUAUAGAUAUCUAGAGGCUUUUAUAUAGAGAUAUAAAGAUUUGGAGAUUUUAUAAAGAUAUAAAGAUAAGUAAUCUUUUAAUGUAAAACAUAACAUAAACUAUAUGAAGUAAAAGUUCAAAACACAUUUUAAAAAAUCUAAAUGUCAAAAGGAAAAGAAGGACUGACAUUUAAAUGAUCUAAUACCACUUUAGGGAAUGUUUGAUGGUUUGAAGAUGAGUCCUUCUGGGUAUUAAAAUGUUCUAUGAGAUUUUUCUCUUGCUUGGGUCAAACAUAGUCUUGAUGCUACUAAGGAGUUGUAUUUUUUUUUUUUAUAGAGAGUCAUUUAAAAUCCUUUUCAACUUUUGUUAGCACUAAUUAAUCAAUCCAUGAUGAUUUAUUUCCUCUAAGGCAAAUCAAGGUACAUUCCCCAUACAUUAUCUGAUUUCCUCUCACUAUGGCAUCUCUCUUAAUAGUGGGUAAUUUAAUGUCUAAGUACUUGGUAUUAAUCACAACAUUUAUUUAAAGAAGAAAAGGUUUCUCAAUGAUGGUAUUGUAAGUCAAUCCCAUCUUAAUCAUCAUAAAGGUAUGUUAGAGUGUUUGGCAUCCAAGAUAGUUACCAAUAGUUAUUAGUAUGUAUGUAGCAAUUCCAACUAGCAUGUCAUUUCCUUUUCCUUUUAUCACUAUUAAAAGAGUUUUUACUAAAAUCAGUUUAGAGGGGUAUAUGUCUAGUUGUACCAUCAUUUUUUUGGAGAGGAUGUUUACAUUACUCCCAUCAUCUAUGAACUCCUUAUGCAUCUUACGGUUGGAGAUGAUAAUGGUAACCAUUAUGAUAUCUUAAUGGAGAAAUGUUAUCCCUUCUCUGUCUUUAAGGGUAAACAUGAUAGUGUUAUGUCAUGGGUUCGUUAGUCAUGAGAAAACCAAAAUCUACUUUACAUAAGUUUUCUUAGCUUAAAUAAAGUCAUCACUUGUUAAAAUUCUACCUAGAAUCACGUUGAUUUUAGAAAAAAAAAAGUAAAAGCAUGUUAAUUUUUUAUAUAUAUAUUUCUUUCAUGUAAACUACUAGAGGUAACAUUUGGUAAUUAAUCCUUUUAUCUCCUUUUUAAAGUAUAAUAAUCCUUGGUAUUAUGCCUACUAUCUUUAUAAAAGAGAAAUAAUUUGUUAGGGUUGCUUUCAUUUGCAUUGCUCUUUAUUAGAGAAGGAUAUUGCACAAAUUAUCUUCCUCUAAUGGUUGUGAAUAACUAAUUUUAGGUGAUGUACAAAGGUGUGGUUAUAAGCUAAUAUAACACUAAUCUACAAUAAAUAAACUCCAUUGGGGUUUUUUUUGGAUGCCCUUAGACAAUUAGGGAUGAGAGAUCAAUAAUAUUUAGGAGAUUUUUCUUUCUUUUUUUGGAACCAGGGAUAUCUAUAUUUGGCCACGCUUACUUCUUCUACAAGAGUGUGGUUUUCCAUUUUAUGUUUAAAUUUAAGGAGAUUUUGAUCUAGGAAAACCUAUAGUCAUUCCUAUAAAAUAUAGUUAUAGAUCCCAUUUACCAAUAAGUAGGAUGAGAUGAGUGAUUAAAAUGAUAUUAUAAUUAAUAUAGAGUGUUAGUAUGGAAGAGUUUGGUUGUUGAGAAGUAACAUUAAUAAGAAGUGGUUAUUGAUAAAUUUUUAAGUGGUUGGUAUGGAACUUUUAAUGAUUGGUUGUUGAUUACCAUUAGUAAGAAAAUUAUAAAUUAUUUUUAAAAACAUGUAUUAGAGCUAGAGUACUUUAACAAUCAUGAAACAUUACUUGUUAUUGAAGAGAUGAACUUAAUAAAUUGGUGGCCAUAAGUUUCGGCCAAAUAGAGAAGAGAUGGAAGAAUGGACUUUUAUGUUAAUAUAACUAUAAAAUACUUGAUGUAAAUUAUUUAGAUUGUUUAGGUGAAGAACUUUAAAAGGAAAAUCUAUAGAAUUGGGUAUGUUAUAUUCAGCUAAAGAAAAGAAUUUAAAAAAGGGUUCUUUAAGAAUAAAUAUGUACAUGCAAAUUGAGGAUUGAUGUUUCUCAACAUGGUUACAAUGAUUUGAAUAAAAUAUACACGUAAAGUUAUUUUGAAAUUGAUUUGAUUAAGAUAUGUUUGAAUUCAUUUCUAUGAAUUUGUGAGGAACAAAGAGUACAAUGGAGUGUUAGUUGAAAACAUGUCAAGUUAAGAAUGAAACAAUUACUUAAAUUGAUGUGAUAUUUAUGUUAUUUUAGGACGUGUUGUUAUGUUGCAUUAAUAAUAACACUUGGAUUGUGUUAAAAUACAUAUAAAAAAGACUAAUUUGAAUGAUUAUAUGAUGCAUGAGAACAUCUAGUUGCUUGUCAAAUUUAUGUUCUCCAUGAAGUUGUAAUUUCAUAAAGAUUUAUCACCUAACUUUAAACAAAAAUCAAAACUUGAAAAUGAUGUAAUUUGGAAUAUGUUUUUUUAUUAAAGUUGUAGAUAUGAAUGUUAGCUUUUAAAAGAAACUAUUCUUCCUUAAUUCUAGUUUGUAAAACGUCAUACAUUAACUAGAAACCAUGGAAAGGUCUAGACUUAACUAAACUUGGGCAUAUUUCAGGUGCCAUUGUGAUGGUUGAUUUUAGGGUUGAAAACAACAAGACCGAGUGGUUCUUUCUUCAUAAAAUUUAUAUCUUUGUGUCCUCGCUUUCCAUCAAGAUAAACCAUUUGAAAAUUUGAGUUUCAAAACUCUAGUUAUGAUUAAAAUAUUACACAGUGUUCUAGGUUGAUUAGACUACACCAACUAGGAUUUGUAAAAUUCUAAUGCUUGCUUGGGCCAUGUUUGUUUCCCGGAAAGUAGUUUCCAGGAAACCAUUUUCCAAACUUUCAUGUGUUUGUUUGUCAUUAGAAAAGUUGGUCAACGGAAAACACUUUCCGGUCAACGGAAAACACUUUCCAGUCAACGGAAAACACUUUCCAGUCAAUUUCAGUCAAAAAAAAAAAUUUUGACUUGGUUUUUAGGAAAGUGUUUUUCCUUUAGCUGUGUUUGUUUUUCGAAAAGUGGUUUCCGGGAAAUCACUUUCCAAACUUUCUUGUGUUUGUUUGCCAGUAGGAAAGUUGGUCAAUGGAAAACACUUUCUAGGAAAAGGAAAAUUUGGCUUUGUUUUCAGAAAAGUGUUUUCCUGAAAAAUUUGAGGGGAAAACAUUUUCCGGAAGUUGUGAAAAAUUUAGAAAUGUCAUUAUUUGCUGAUUAUAUCAAAUUUGAUCCUCAAAUUUUUUAUUGCUAUAUAUAUUUUGUUUUGAAUAUUUAUUUUUCAAUUUUAUCUCUUAAAAUUUUAUUUUUAUAUUAACUUUGGUUCUUAUUUUUAUAAUUGCUAUUUGCUUUUUCCUUAUCAUUUUUUUAUUGAAAUUUUUUAUUUAUCAAAUUUGAUCCUCAUUCUUUUGAUUGUUACUUAUUUUAUUUGAAAUAAUUUAUGAAAUGUUGAUUAUUAUUAUUUUAAUUUCUUCAUUUUUAAUUUUUUUUAAUUUUUUAGAUUUGAUCCCUAUUAUUUUGAUUAUUAUUUAUUUUAUUUGAGAUAAUUUAUGAAAUUAUUAUUUUUUUAAUUUCAUUCUCAUUCAACUUUUUAAUUUGUAAGAUUUGUUCCUCACUAUUUUAAUAAACUUGAGAAAAAUAAAAUAUUAAUAAGUUAUUUUCCAGCUCAUUUUCCAUGACAUAACCAAACACUGGAAAGUGUUUUCCAACUCAUUUUCCAUUACACUAUCAAACAUCGAAAAAUACUUUCUCGGAAUUCACUUUCCCCGGAAUUCAUUUUCCAAAAGGAACCACUUUUCAGCAAACAAACGGAGCCUUGGAAUUGUUGUUAAUUGAGGGCCUUAACAUUUCAAACUAUAAGAAUGAGUUGUGUGAUUUAUUAUUAGGAAAAUAUAUAGAGGAAAUUAUAUAUAUAUAUAUAUAUAUAUAUAUAUAUAUAUAUAUAUAUAUAAUCACUAUCGUGUGAGAUAGCCAACAUGAGAAUGGAUAUUAUCGAGUAAAAGGGGCUUGACAUAGUGAUUCAACAAAUUCAUUAUGCCAAGUAAUGGCAAAUACUUCAAUUAUUGUAUGUGUGAAACUAGUUUUCCGGUAAUGGGCUAGUGACAUCAGUUUGUCUAACUACCAAGAAUAUUGAAUCUAUCUUAUAAGGUAAAGUAUACGCAUGAAUUAUACAUGGGUUGGAAAUUAUGAUAUUAUAAUUUUUAUGAAAAUCGAUCUAAUGAGUUGAAUGAUCAUGAAUAAGUUUUAAUUCUCAUAGGGUUGUAUUAUAUUCUAAUAUAGCAAAAUUAUUUAUUUUUCAAAUUCCACUCACACCAAAGUCCACAAGCUGAUAUCUAUAUUAUUUAUCUUAUGAUAUAGAUAUAAAUAUAAAUAUUAUAACUUGUUGAUGUUAAUCUAAUUUGUAUACCAUUCUUGAGUUUAGUUGACAUAGAACAAAGUUCAAGAUGAUUGGAUCAUAAUUGUAGUAUUGAAAUGGGAUAUUGAUGAAGAUGCCAAUAGUAUAGUCAAAGUAUAAGGAAAACUCUGCUGGAAUUUUGAUAGAGUAUAUUAAAUUAUUUUACAAGGUAAUUACGUGAAAUUCUAUCCAAAAUGGUUGAGGUUGUCAUAUAAAGUUAUGAAUAAGUUAUUUAGCUGACCAAUUGACAAUAAUAAUUAACAUGUAAUGGAGCAAGGUGUAUGUGAGUUUGAAUGUGUUGACACGUUAAUGAUUGAGUAUUAAAUUAGCUAUACCGACAAAGUUUAAAGGAAAAAAAUGAUUUGAGCAUGUCUUGCAAGUAUAAAAGCAAUGGAAGGUUAUGCGAUAAAUUAUAAAUAAUAGAAAUAUACAUGAAAUAAGUGGAAUGAAUAAUGAAUUAAGGAUAUUUCUUAAUAUAUCAAGGGUGUUAUAUGGAUUGAAGUAAGAUGUAUCAUAAAUGUAAUAAAUGCUAGGAAAGUAAAAAGGUGUCAUGAAUUAAAUAUGUUGUGAAUUAAAUAUGAUUACAAUGAGUUAUGAUAUGUAUUAAAGGUGAUUGAGAGAAGAAAAUAUCAUAUGAUUUAUAUGUGUUGAGGAAAUAAAUUAUGGGAAAAUUUCCAUGAGUUAAUUGUUUACAACAUGUAUGACCUAUAUGAGAAACAAAAACACCCUUAGAAGAAUAAGAUAAUAUCUUUCUAAUGUGAGAUAAAAACCUUUUGAAACAAUCUUUUAAACUUAAUUGUUUACAACAUGUAUGGCAUAUAUGCACAUGGAUUGCUUCUUAAUUUUUUCAUAUAAAAUAAUAAAACAUAUAUUUUUUUCAAUUUUUCCAGGUGACGGGCCAUGGCCGGGUCACUUUUAUUCAAAAUUCAGCUCUGCAAUUGGCCCGGAGUAAACCGAUCGACUUGCCAAAUCAACCUAAAACUUGGUGUAUAUCCUCAAGAUUGCCUCUUUCCUUGAGCAAGUUGAUAACUUUAAAAUAUGUCAUGCCUUGAGCAAGUUGAAUGUUGAUUGCCUCUUGCUUUUCAAUGAAUGCAUGCAAUGUUUCCUCAAGAUUUCUUCUAGGAGGUGGAGCAUAAGGAGGUGCAUAUCCAUGAGAAUUUUGAAAAUUAUGGUGUGCUUGAAACAGUGGCUGUGAAGUUUCUGCAUUAUUAUUAUCAUUCUUCCAACUUAUAUUUGGGUGGUUUCUCCAACCAGGUUGUAUGUUUGCGAGUAUGGGUUAUGAUUGGGCCUUUAAAAACUAUUUAAAGCAUGAGCUUGUUCAUGGAGGCAUUCCUUUAAAGAAGGCAAAGUUGGACAGUCAUUGGUUGCAUGUUCAUUUGUUUCACAGAUUUGACACACAAUGUCUUGAACAUAUUUUAAUUGACCACUCUUUUCAAUUCUAGUGCCUCGACUUUUCUAGCUAAAGAUGCAAACUUGGCUUGGAGGUCAUGAUCUUCCCUAAGGUUAUACAUACCUCCACUAGAUGUAUGAGGUUGGGUUUUACUUGGUGCCUCAUAAGUGCCUGUAGUGUCUCAAUUUUGCGCAUUUUCAGCUAGCAAGUCUAGGUACUCCAUUGCUUCAUUAGGGUCUUUAUCUUCAAAAGUUCCAUUGCACAUCAAUUCAACCAUUUGCCUAUCUUUAGGUGUUAACCCUUCAUAAAAUUGUGAAACCAAUCUCCAUGUUUCAAAACCAUGAUGAGGGCAAGUAUUAAGCAAGUCUCGAUACCUAUCCCAACAUUGGUAAAAUGUUUCACCUGGUUUUUGAGUGAAAGUGGUGAUUUGUCUUUAGAAAGAGUUGGUUCUGUGAGAUGGAAAAAACUUCUUUAAAAAUUGUUGCAUUUCAUCCCAAGCACGAAUGGAUCCUGACCUAAGAUUUUGUAGCCAUGUUUUAGCUUUAUCUUUUGAUGAAAAAGGAAAAAGCUUUAAUCUAAUGGUAUUCAUGCCACAAUUUAAGUCAUUAUAGGUGAUACAAACUUCUUCAAAUUCUCUCAAAUGCAAAUAUGGAUUUUCUAGAUCUAAGCCAUGAAAAGAAGGUAAAAGUUGAAUAAUGCAUGGCUUAAAAUUAAAAUGAGAUGCACCGGGAGGAAAAUUAUGCUAUGCACGGUGCACUUGUUCUUGUGGGAUUCAUGUGGUCUAUAAGUGUUCUAACACGGUUAUUCUUAUUAUAAAAUGACUGAUUAUCUUCUUUGGUUAUAUAUUCUAAAAAUGAUGAGGAUACCCUACAAAGUCUACAAGUUAAUGUACAUGACCAAACACUCAUGCACGUGUAGAAAGAGAAUAAAAGGAAGAAGAAAACAAAACAAAAGGAAACAAAACAAAAGAAACAAAGUUAGAUACACAAAAAGUGAAAAGCGAAAAUAAAAUAAAUACUAUAAUUUAUACAAGAAUUUACCUCCCCGGCAACGACACCAAAAACUUGACAUGACUAAAAGAUUGAUGUCUUCUCCCAAGUGCAGGAGUGUCAAAGUAAUAAAUAACCCGGCAAGACUGGGGUCGAACCACAUGAAGGUUAAUUGUAUAAAUUAUAAAUAACAAUAAUACAACAACAACAACAACAACAAUAGCAACAAUACUAACAGUAACAGUAAUAGUAAUAGUAAUAGUAAUAGUAAUAGUAAUAAUAAUAAAGAAGAAGAAGAAGUUGAUGAGAAUUUUGAGAUGAAAGAUCAAUGUAAGAAUUAAACAAUGAUAAAAACAAGUGUCAAGAUUAGAGGAUCCACUAAUGGUAUUUCAAAUAAGUAUAAUAUAAACUCUUAUUAUUCAACUUAAAACCACAUACAAAGAAGGUUCCAAUUAGAUUAUAAAUUAUUAACAUGAUCACAUUAGUUAUCUUAUUCUAAUAAUACUAAUACUUGUAAAUAUUGUCAAGUAUUCAUGAUUAUAACUUAUAUUAACAACAAAUCAAGUUCAUUUCAUAGCACAUGUGUAGGUUAUACCAUACGGUUGGGCUAUGAAAGUGCCAAGCAUUUGUUGUACCAAGUGUUAUACAACACAAAUCUAGAUUAACCAUUUAACAAGCAAAGUAUUAAGAGUGAACAAGAUAACAAAUACAAAACAUAUUAGUAUCAAACAUUAAAUUCCAUGUUGAGUUUACACUAUACUUAUUCUUACACCAUUAGUGUAACCUUUUCACCUUGACAUAAUAAACUUAGCUAAACAUAAUGAAAGAGAGAAACAUAAAUAAGAUACAAGUUAACUAAGUAAAUGAAAGGAAAUGAAAAGCAUAAACAAAAUAUUAAUGAAAGCAAAACUUAAGAAUUAUAAAAAAUAUAAAGAGAGAGAGCGAAAGCAAGAGCAAGAGCAAGUUCUUGAUCUAAACAACCAAGCUCCUAAAUGCAUGGCAAAUGCCUCCUUUUAUAGGCUAAAAUUUAGAACUAUUGAUUUGAUGACUAAUUGUUGAGUGGACGGCCAACUCUUGACUUGGAGAAAAUUUUUAUCUUCUUGUCUGAAUAAAACGUCAUUGCUAACAUCAGAACAAGAACCAACUAUACUCAUGAAAGUUAUAGGAAAUUGUCUUAUCUUUCCAGGAAAAAAAUUGAGGACAUUUGGACUUCUAGAACUCGAGAUAUGGGUUGAACACUGAAUAGUGUCUGGCCUGCAAGACAGAUUCGAACUUAUCUGUUGUUGCUAUAAUUUGAACUUGAAAAAGACCUUUUUAAAUCUUGGACUCCACAUGAAAGUUGUAGGCAUAUGUCUUACCUUUCCAUCCAUAUAAAGCAUACCUAAAUCCAAAAUCUACAACUCCAGAUAUGACCCAAUUACCGAAUAGUGUUCCAGUUUGGACUACACCAACAUCUCUUUUCUAAGUUUGGCCCUCUCUUUGUCCUUUCAAUUUCAAUACUUAAACUCAUCAAUCAAUCCUUUCAUUUAUGUGAUAGGCCUGCAUUUAAGAUGAAUAUUUACCAUAAAUUAAAGGUAUCUUAUAUUAUUAGGUAUGUUAUUAUAAAACAUGCUUUAGUUAAGGAGUUAUUGAUACUUUAAGUGCAAAAUGAUGAUAUAAAACCUUGAUAAAAAUGCACUUUUAAGUAUUAAUCACUUUCUAAUAUGGAACAAAGAAUCUUUUGAAAUAAUCUUUUAAACUUAAUUGUUUACAACAUGUAUAGCAUAUAUCUACAUGGAUUGUUUCUUAAUUUUUUCAUAUAAAAUAUUAAAACCUCAAAUAUUUUUUUAAAUUUUUUCGGGUUGACCUGAGUCAACCCGUAUAACCCUGGACCAGUCCCUUGGCUAGGUCAAUCCCUAGGUCUGGUUUUAUAACUAUGAUUGACAUGAAAAUAUAACUUUAAAUAAUACAACUGAGAAAAAAUAAAGUGACAUGUUUGGUUAAAAAGCUAUAUAAAAAAAUAGACAAAACUUUCUCUUUUUAUUUUGUUCAAGGCCUCUUUUAAAAGAUAUUGAUUUUUUUGUUCUAUGUUUAAUUUUCAGAGUGUUUUUUGUGAUUCAUCUAUGGUUUUUUUAAUCCUUUAUAUAGAUAAUCUAUGUUUUUGAAAAUAAAAAAUAUUUAUUUUUAGAUGAUAUUUUUAAUAUGUGUAGCCUUCCGUGCUAUUUUUUUUUUUUAUUUAAUCAAUUUAAUAUUUUAGUUUUCAAGAUUCAAUACUUUAAUCUAUAUCUAUCUCUUAUUCUUUCAAGUUUUGUUUUAAAAUAUUAUUAAUAUUUUUUUAUUAAUUUAUUAAUGGAAAUAAUUUUUAAUAAUUUAAUAGCAGCGGGCCCGCUGCGUAGGGGUGAGCAUUUUCGGUUCGGUUCGGUUUUGAACUGAAAAAAACAACCAAACCGGUUCUUCUUUUUUUUGAAAAAAAACCGAAACCGAACCGAAACCGAGUCAAACCAACCGGUUUCGGUCCGGUCCGGUUCGGUUUUUUAUUUCAAAAAACCGAGAAAACCUAUAUGCAAACGAAUUAAAAGCCAAAAAUCAACACCAUUCAUUUCAUUCCAAAUCCAAAACUCUGCUAUAAAUCAAGACCCCUAACCAGAAUACAUCAAAUAGGUAGAUCAUGAAUCAAACAAACCUAAACCUUUAGAGGAUGAAGUUAUUCACAACUCCAGUUAAGUCAAGUACUUUAUCAAAAUUAUUUCAAUUGCCCUUUUAGUUUCAACGCUUUGAAGCCAUAAAAACAGGUUGUUCAACUGUUAUAAUUUUUAUCAUGCCUUGAUCAUAACAAUGGAUAUUGAAAUGGAAGGAUCCAAGGGCUCCCACGCAUCUUUCAAAAGAAGAACAUCUAGCAUAUGAUGUCCUCUCACUCUCCCAAGUGGUCGUCGUUUAACAAACUAAACCCCUAAAAAAUUCUUGCAACUUGUAUAAUUAGUAAACAAGAAGAUAGCCAGGAAAUGGAAAGUAGCAGAGAAAAAAAGCAGGAAGCAACGAGGACAUGGCCAUGUAUAUCAAUGGAAAAACAAAUUAAAAAGGUGAGAGGGGGCUGCUGGGAGGUAGAGGGAGAGAAAGAGGGGGCUGCUGGGAGGGAGGGGGAGAGGGGGCUGCUGGGAGGGAGAUGGAGAGAACGAGUGAGAGGGGGGGGGAUAAUUUUUCUAUUUAUAGUGCUUUUUUUGAACCGGUUCGGUUCGGUCCGGUUUAACCGGUUCCUGCAUUACAAAACCGAAAACCGAACCGAACCGGGAUUUUUCCUAACUAUUCUAAUCGGUUUAAUCGGUUUUUUUUUCGGUUCGGUUUUUUUGGUUAAUUUUUUCUUGGUUUUCUCGGUUUUUUCGGUUUUCCGGUUUUUUUGCACACCCCUACAAUGCAAUAUGAGCAAUAUUAUAUUUAUUGUACAAAACAUGUUCUCACUAAAGUUAAAGAACACGCAGCUAACAUAAGAAAUAACAUUACACGUGCGCCUCUACUCUCCACACGUUGCAACCUACCACAAGGUCCGCAACCAUCUCCCAGUCUCCGUCUUCCCCUCCUAUAUAGUUAUUAGAAAUCUCACAUUUCUAUGCAGUUUUUCUUCAAGUUAAUACACUAAACAGGAGAUAACCAUGUCUCCUCUAAUACUUUACUCGGCACUAUUGGCCAUCUUCGUGUAUUGCCUUCUUCAGCUGCGAAGCCUUCGUGACCGUCACGGCAAACCCCUUCCACCAGGCCCAAAACCAUGGCCCCUAGUUGGAAACCUACCCCAUUUGGGGCCUAUGCCUCACCACUCCAUGGCAGCCCUGGCAAAGACUUAUGGACCUCUCAUGCACCUCCGGUUCGGCUUCGUCGACGUGGUGGUGGCGGCAUCGGCUUCCGUGGCUACUCAGUUUUUGAAAGUACAUGAUUCCAACUUCUCUAGCAGGCCACCAAACUCCGGUGCCAAACAUAUUGCGUAUAAUUACCAAGACCUUGUGUUUGCACCCUAUGGGCCACGGUGGCGCAUGCUUCGGAAGAUCAGCGCCGUCCAUCUCUUCUCGGCUAAGUCCUUGGAUGAUUUUAGACAUAUUAGACAGGUUAAGUUCAUUUCAUUCCAUAUUUCUUAAUUAACGCUUGUGAUAUAUCUUGAUCUGUACAGCACCGCGCCUGCGCUUGCGUGAUUUAUUAAUUACAUUUGCCCCUUGGCAGAGCCUUGGUCCAGUAAUAAGCCUGUUUGGUUUCCUAAUAAAAAAUUAACCAAACAAACCAUACACGUAUGUAUGUAACGUUUUUUUAUUUUGUUUAGAUUGGCUUGUACACUAAAAUGGUUUUUUUUUGGUUUGAAUAAUAUCACUUGCUAGCGUUUGGCUUUGGACUAGUAUUCUUUGCCUCUCGCUAAUGGAGGUAGUAGGUACUAGCUUCAUCAGAUUAAUUUCUAACAAAUGCUUAACCUCACAUUGAUUAAAGUUAUCUUCGUAAUUUAUUGCAAAUUGUUGGUCGUUGACAUGGUUUUUUUUUUUAUUAUUAUUAUUUGGUGUGUUUAUUUACCAUGUAUAUACACUCUGCGUGCAGGAAGAAGUGGCAGUGCUUACAGGGGCACUGACAAGAUCAGGUCCAACUACACCAGUGAACUUGGGUCAAUUGCUCAAUGUUUGCACAGCUAACGCUCUUGGGAGGGUGAUGUUAGGGAGGCGCGUGUUCGGAGACGGCAGUGGUGAUGGUGACUCGAAGGCAGAUGAAUUCAAGUCAAUGGUGGUGGAGGUAAUGGUGUUGGCUGGCGUGUUUAACAUCGGUGACUUUGUUCCUGCUUUGGAGUGGCUUGACUUGCAGGGUGUAGCAGCUAAAAUGAAGAAGCUUCAUAAGAGAUUUGAUGCUUUCUUGACUAACAUUGUAGAGGAGCAUAAAACCAACAGCAGCACUGCUUCUGUUAGAUCAGAGAAGCACAAUGACAUGUUGAGCACAUUGAUUGCUCUGAAGGAGCAGCAGGACGUUGAUGGUGAGGAAGGGAAGCUCACAGACACUGAAAUCAAAGCACUGCUUUUGGUAUUUAUUUCUGAUGCCUUCUUAGCACUAAUUUAGUAGAUAUGCUCUUAAAAUCAUUAAAAAAAACAUUUAAUUUCAAUCAAUGCGUGAUUUAUUUUGGAAAAUAUAUCUUACUAUCGAGUGAAAAAACCAAGUCUAUUGCCUUGUACUGUUAAAAUAAAGUAAUUAAUUGUUGAUAUCAGCUAAAUCAUUAAGAAUUAACAAUAAAAAUAAUAAGUCAACUAUAGAAAAGCACCUUGUCAACCUCCAUAACAGAGCUGACUUGCGGUUGCAGAAUAUGUUCACAGCUGGCACCGACACAACGUCGAGCACAGUGGAAUGGGCUAUUGCAGAGCUUAUGCGGCACCCAGACAUCCUGGCCCAGGUCCAACAAGAGCUCGACUCCGUCGUCGGUCGAGACCGUCUGGUGACUGAAUUGGACUUGGCGCAACUCACCUACCUCCAAGCCGUGGUCAAGGAAACCUUCCGGCUCCACCCUUCAACACCGUUGUCUCUUCCACGCAUGGCCGCGGAAAGCUGCGAGAUUGGCGGCUACCAUAUUCCGAAGGGCUCGACUGUUUUGGUGAAUGUAUGGGCCAUAGCUCGCGACCCCGAUGUAUGGACUAAGCCGCUUGAGUUUCGGCCAGAAAGGUUUCUUCCCGGAGGGGAAAAGGCUGAUGUUGACGUUAAGGGAAAUGAUUUUGAGCUUAUACCAUUCGGUGCUGGGCGUAGGAUUUGUGCAGGGAUGAGUCUCGGGCUGCGUAUGGUUCAGCUAUUGACUGCAACUUUGAUCCACGCCUUUGACUGGGAUUUGGCCGAUGGGUUGGUGCCGGAGAAAUUGAACAUGGACGAGGCAUAUGGUCUGACUUUACAACGUGCCGCCCCCUUAAUGGUGCACCCUAGGCCAAGGUUAUCCCCCAAAGUCUACCGGACACCAAAUUAAUAAAAAAGGAUAAUCAUGAUGCUAGCGUUUUUUUUUUUUUUUAGGGUCUAUUUAUCUGUGUUUGAUAUGUCGAAAAAAAUCAGACUUUGCCGUAUGAGUUGUCUGAUGAUUUUCAAUGUUGUAUAACUAAAUGCAAAAUAAAUCGUUUUUUUUUUUAAUUAUCACUUAAUAAUUUUUAUUAAUUGGUAAUUAGAUAAUAAUUUGUUUUUUUUUUUAACCCGAUUCCAAUCACAAUCAUGAGAGCAACUUUAACGUAGCGAGACAGCUAAAAAAAAAAAAAACUUUUACCUAUUAUUUUAAUUUUAAUAACUCUAAUAGGAUAGUAAUAUAAAUAGUUCAAAUGCUUUUUAUUCCUCUAGAAUGUUAUUUCUAUAUUUGUUUUCUACAUAUAUCUGUACGUCUCUUUCCUUUGUUUCCCUUUUCAAAAAUAAAACAAAAGGAAAAAAAAACCUGCCUUGUGCCUCAACUGAAUUACUCAUAUUAUAAAUUACUUAUAUUACUCAUAUGAUUAAUAACACCAUGACUAUAUUAUAUAAAAAAUAACUAAAUUAAUUAUAUAAUUGUAUUAAAAUUAAUUUAAUAUAAAAUAUAUUAAAAUAUAAUUAAUUUUUUUAAAUGAACUUUUACAAUUAAAUACACAAACAAAAAAACUAUACUUAUACUAUUUAAAAAAUCAUUUUAUCAAUCUAGCAUUAAAGAUGCUCUUACAUCAUCGUACGUAUAUUAUAAAUUGCAAGCAAAACAAAAGUAGGUGGCCCCACAUAAAGAGGGCCUACGCAGUCACCAGCUCUCGUGUCAAUUGUUUUAUAGUUCAUCUAAAUCUAAACCUAGUAUAAUAUAUAUAUAUAUAUAUAUAUAUAUAAAGGAAGCCUGGACCCCCACAUAAAGCGGGUGUACGCAGCUAGCAUUAUUAUUAUUAUUUUUUUUUGAAGAGUUUUGUCCACCCUUUUUUACGACAAAAAAGAGGGUAGAUGGCACAUCAUCUACGUGCCUAGAUUUCCAUCACCAAUGAAAGUAGGAUAUUUGCGCUAGAUAAUGUUUUUAUUUUUUUACAUUUCAAUUUUUUUUAAAUUUAUAUUUAUAUUUUAUUUAUAUUUUUUUUUAAAUUAAUAUUUUUAGUGUAUUUAUAUCAUUUUGAUGCGCUAAUAUAAAAAUAAUUUUUUUUAAAAAAAUAUUAUUUUAAUACUUUUUUUAAUAAAAAUAUUUUAAAAAAAUAAUAACUAUAUUUCCAAAUAAAUUUUAUUUUUUUAUUUAAUAACAUCCGGUAGAUAUUAUUAAUGUAUGAAUAAAUUUAUUUAUCAUUUAAAAACACCUUUAAAUUGAUUAAAAACAAAAAAUUAAACAAAAAACAAAAAUUAUUAUGCUAUUUUUAGCUAGACAACAAGGUAAUAAAAUCUAUUAAUGAACUCAUCUUAUCAAAUAUAAUUUAUUAAUACCUUCAAAAAUUUUUCGUUGUUGUCAUUAAAAUAAUAACUUUUUUUUUUCAUGAAAGUCAAGAAAAGAAGCAAACCUCCUUAAUCAUGGGCUAAAUAUGUGUUUGGGACAUGGUGUAAAGUGUUUUUUUAUUUAAAAAUAAAUUAAAAUAAUAUUUUUUAUAUUAACACAUUAAAAUUAUUAAAAAAUAAUAAAUAAAACAUCAAUUUAAUAUUUAUUUCAUUCUAAACACUUUUAAAAUACAGAUAAAAAAGCAUAAUACCAAACAGUCUUUUAAGCAUAUAAUACUCAUUAAAAAUGAGGAGAAUUAAGUUAAACUGUCCUUAUAUUACAUAAAGAUAUUUGUUUGAAGGUUAAAUUAGAGAAUAGCAUAAAAUAUAAGGAUAUACUGGGAGCAAUUAGAAUUGCAAGGACAGAUUGGAGACUAGUCAUUCAAUACAAGGACAAGUUGAGCUCAUUCUCUCAAAAUUAGUUUAACCUUUAGGGCUAAAACGUAAGAAAACAAAAAACUGAGGGACUUAUUGUGUAGUUAAAGUUUGAACAGAGAUCCAUCUCCACUUUCGAGCUCGCUAAUGCUGAAGGGGACGACCCUCUUAACUCCCCUCCUCCUUUCUCCACCGGAAUUUCCCUGUAACAGGUCAAUCCUCUCCACCACCACCUUUUUUUACCGAUCAGAUCAUCUGAAAAUCGAUUAUGAUUAUUUGAGUCAAUUAGAAACCCUAGAAAAAACAAAUGACGGAACAACAACAAAUUAUGAACAACAAUACCAACAGUAAUGUUCCGGUGAGCGAAGUGUAUUGGUCUCUCGUCGAUAAAGCCGAUAAAAAGUUCUCCAAAAUAAGAGACCUGCCUUACUAUGAACGCAACAGGUUCUUCCUCGCUUCUUCUUCUUCUUUAACUUUUUUUAUCUUUUAAUUAAUUAAUUAUGGUUUUAUUUUGGGUUGUGGUGGUGGUGGUGUUGUUAGGUAUGAUACGUAUUUUUACAAGGUAUUCAAGGUAUACACGCAAUUGUGGAAAUUUCAACAGGAAAAUCGGCAGAAACUGGUAGAAGCGGGGUUAAAACGAUGGGAGAUAGGGGAGAUUGCAUCGCGGAUUGCUCAGCUUUAUUACGGGCAGUAUAUGAGGACGAGUGAUUCCAGCUAUCUGUCUGAAUCCUAUGUUUUUUAUGAAGCAAUUUUGAGUAGGGAGUAUUUCAAAGAUGGAUUGUUUCAGGAUCUUAAUCUGGCCAAUAAACAACUCAGGUUUUUUGCUCGUUUUCUGAUGGUUUCUUUGGUUUGGAACCGCCGUGAAAUGGUUCACCAGUUGGUUAAUCUACUCAAAAUCUUGGUUGAUGAAUGUAGGAAGGCAUUCCAGGUCAUUCUUUUUUUCUUGUCUGUUGUCUUGGUUUCAAUGAAUUAUGAAUGCUCUUUGCUUCACCUUUUUUUUUUUUGUUUCAUUGAGUUUAUGUACAUUUGAGAAUUGGAGCUUGAUAGGGAGAUUUUGUGUGUUUUAUGCUUAUGUUGUUUAUUUUCUACGUUCUGAUUUUGAUCAGAUGUCUGGAUACUUAAGUUUUGAAAUAUCAUGUCUUGAUCUUGAUGUUUAUGAAUUUUUCAUGGAGAUGAAAAUCAUUAAUCAACAUGUUUCAAAUUAGCUAAGGCUCAAUAGUGAAGUGUUGUCAGUGUUGUGCUAUCUUAAACAGAUGAUAUGCUUUAAGCGUGUAACUAGCACUGCUUCUCAUCUUGUACAUUGUCAUGAAAUAGUUGUGUUUUUUCCUUUUAAGAUUAAGAUAAUGAUAUACUGUCAGUUGUGUAAAUUGUUAACUCAUGUGACUUUUUAUGCAAAUAUUCAUCCUACAUGAUGGAUGCUUGCCGUAAUUAGUGUACAAAACAUUACCAAGUCAUGAAUGACAACAAAAUAUCACUAUCCUACUUUUGCUUUUACAUGGAUUGAGUGGUGAAUGAUGACCUUCUUUUGAUCUUGUUUCCAGGAAACUGAUUUUAAAGAAUGGAAGCUGGUGGUUCAGGAAAUAAGCAGAUUUUUGAAAGCUGACACCGCUUUUAUGAAUACCAGGCCUUUAAGAUAUAGUCUUGUACUGGAUCUUCAUCCAGAUUCACUACCACGUGUUGCAACUAGAAGAAGCUUAAAAUUACGAGAUGCAAUAUUGAGCAGCUACCAUCAUAAUGAGGUUAGGUAUUAAGGUUCUUUCUCCCUUUCUGUCCAUAUCGACAGAAGGAUCUUGUGUGUAUGAUUUGAACUGAGAUGUUUUGUUGACUUGUGUUAUCCAAAUGGUGUUAUAUGGCAUGCAUAAACUGUUACUGUUUUGCUUCUUUAUCAGGUCAAGUUUUCAGAGCUGACAGUAGACACAUUCAGGAUGCUUCAGUGCCUGGAGUGGGAACCAAGUGGUUCAUUUUAUCAGUCCAGCAGCGCUAAAAUUGGUCAGAAUGGGGGUUCAGGGUCCAGUCGCAUUAACCAUGCCCAGGAUAUAGCUGAUCCUACGUUGCCACUAAACCCAAGGAAAGCUGUCCUGUAUCGACCCUCUGUAACUCAUUUUUUAGCAGUGAGUAUGGUGUAAUGUAUCAGCUCCUUCCAUCAUUGCUUGAGCUCCAAUAAUCUGUCCUUUCUCUGUUGACUUGUGUUGUCAUGCAAUAUCCAAGUCAAGACAUGUGUCAUUCAAAUGAAGAUUGUUUCAUGUUGUCAUCCUAGUCAAAUAACUGACUGAAAUGUCUGCUUUUGGAUGGUCCAUUGUUAAAUUUAUGAGUUCAGGAUUAAAGCGAUUGGUUGAAAUGUAAAAACUGUGAUGUGCAACACUAGGGGAAUUAAGGGUCUCAUGCCUCGAAACUUUCAUGAAGCAGAUAAUUGAUGUCAUUAAUUGCCAAAUUGUGGGACUGUCGUGUUGAAAACUUUCAUGAUGGACUUGUGCUUUCUCUGGGCAGGUUCUGGGCACAAUUUGUGAGGAGCUAGCCCCUGAUGGAGUUAUCUUGAUAUAUUUGUCUGCUUCAGGUUGUGUACUUUUGCUUUAUCUCAGACCUUUGCCGUGUACUUUUGCUUUAUCUCAGAGCUCAAAGCCCACCCUUUUCCUCUAUUUAAGGAAAUGCAAAGUUGGCUUGCCUCUUACAUCAUUUAAAUUGUUUCAGGAAGAGUUGGACACACUAUUUCACCUCCCUCAGGUGCUGGAACUUCUAUCAACACUACAGAGAACACAGUGAGAAACUUUCAGUCUCAUGCCAUGUACUUGGAUGCAGUCACCAUUUCUCCAUUUAGCUCAUCAAGUAAUAUUCCAAAUCCUUCUUCAAGGCAAAGUAAAUCGGACUGCUUGCAUUUUGGUACACGUGGGAAUGGAGGUACUAUUUACAAUAUCAUGAACUUUGCCAGCUUAAUGCACUUAUUUUGAUGCAAAAAUAACCAUUUUCCGUUUUGCUCCCCAUGUGAUAGCUUGAUCAAUUAUUUGGUGCAAAGUUAAAGAAAUAAAUUAGUAAUUCUACCUGUCCAUUGUUUUUCUACCCUGCUAUUCCCAUUUAUAUACUGCAUUUCCCCCCUCAUAUUCUUAGACCUUCAUUGGUCAUUCCUUGCAUGUGAUAUUUUCUCGACAAAUAUACUUCUCCUUUUACCAAGCUGGAUGUUAGCUUAGCAUGACGGAGUAAAAAGAACUAUCUACAAGCCAAAUCUUUAUGCAUGACUACCCAAAUGUGUUUUUUUAAUGAUUCUUUCUGAUUUGCUUAAAUUGUUAAUGCAUUUCUGAAAAUUAAUUUCAUUGAAAAAAGUAUUUAACAUGAUACAAGAGAAAUAUUCUUUACAGGACAGCACCAGAGGCAAAAUACAAUAGAAGAAAAAGAAAAAGAAAAAAAGAAAAAGAAAAAGAAAAAGAAAAAGAAAACUUUCAAGAACUUUAGAAAGGAUCACAAGAAAUAGCUUCCAUUAAAAUUGAAAACUAAAGUGAACAAGCUCUUCAAAACCUUAGUCUUCACACCUAACAUAAGUCAAUCUGCUCCUUCGAAGGCUUAAGAAUUCCUUGCUCAAAAUUACAAAUUUCAAAGUGAUGCCAUUCUCCUACAAUGAUAUCACCCCUCACAGCACAUCAUCAGCUUGAACACUACUCUAAGCAUAACUGAAUGGAAUGAAUAUUGAAAAAGCAUCUCAUGUCAGACUGGGAAAAGGAACAUAAGAUGAUUAAAGAGGCUCAACUACUGUGCAAAGUUUUUUUCAAAGGACUUAUAUUGCAGCUCCUCUCACCAUUAAAGGGCACUGCUUGGGACUUGAGAGAAGUUUUCAUAUCUGUUUGUACAAUGAGACUGGUAAAUAAUGCAUAAUGGUCACUUAUGUUAACAGAAAAAAGUGUAUGAUCUAAAUCUCAUCAAUCGAUGAACUAAACCUGGCCAUUGCACUACUGGAUAAUAUUUCUGGAGAGCUAUUCUGACAUUAAACUAAUCCUUUUCCAGGAUUAAACAGCAUUUAUCCCACUGACUUAAUCCCAUUUACGAGAAGGCCACUUUUUAUAGUCAUUGACAGUGAUAGCAGCGAAGCAUUCAAGGCAAGUAUGUCUUUUCUUGAGCUUUGUAAAACUUGUAGAUGUAUUUCCUUGACUUUGUUAUAAGGCUCAUGGUUUUACAUGUAAAGGUUUUCACGUGUAAUGAUGAUCAAAACGGAUGAUCUAAAGUUGAUCAUUUCAAAAGUCUUAUCUAUUCAUGUCAGUGGAUUUGAAAAAGUGACAACUGAAUAGCACAUUUGUGGUAGACAGUGGAGAAAUUCUUUAAUACUUUGAAUAACAUGGAGAAGCUAACUAGCAAGGUGCCCGAACUUUGUUCUGUAAACUUGGCUAAAAGCUUCAAUUGCUUUCGUUAUUAUUGUUAAAAGGAAAGGGGAGAUGCAUUGUAAUUUAUCCUUUAAAUUAAGCAUAACGAGUUUUGACCUGGAUCAUCUUCUUUACUUGAGAGGAUAUGGCCAUCAAUUUGAGAAUGCCAACUACCUUAACUUGGGUCAUGUCACGAUCUUUACUUUUGUAGGCUAUAAGUGGAGCUGAGAAAGGAGAGCCAGCUGCUAUCAUCCUAUCACCAAGCUGUUCAAUUCCUCUUACCACAGGUGAUUCUUCUCGUCAUCACAGUGGUAGUCUGCUCACCAUGUUUCUGUCAACUCCUCUGCAGGCUUUUUGUCUGUUAAUUGGUUUGUCAGGACCUGAUGUCGAAAUGGUAAGAUUUAACCCCAUUCUAAUUCAAUCGUGGUGAUUUAGUUUCUGUUGUUUACUUAUUGAUUAAAUGGGUUUCAGGAUACAUAUAACAAGGCUGAGAAGCUGCUUUCUUCAUCAUUGAAUGCCUGGGGUUUGACUCUGGCAACAUCAGACAUGCUCGAUCCUGUUUGGGCACAGAUUUUAGGCGACCCAUUUCUUAGGCGUCUUCUUUUGAGGUACCAUUCAAUUGUUCCUAUGGGUCCUGCUAGGUUAAAACUUGUAGUCCUUGUACAGUUGCACAUUUGAUAGGCACUGACAAGCUUGUCCAAGCGAUGACAUCACAUGUACUGACAGGAAAAAUUAAUGCACUUCAGCUGCUGGUUCCUGUGAGUUUAUGGAGGGAUAUUCUCAAGCUUUCUCAAUUAUUGAGAAACAUGAAGUCCAAGAUUUUGAAAAGAUAUUUUAAGAGCACAUGUUACCAAACCCUCUCCAAGGUCACCACCAUAGCCAGAGUCACUGUUAUAACCACAACCACAACAAAAAUCAAUAGCUUGUUGCUUGCGUUGUCAUAUCCAACGUAAAAGUGUUUGACUCUAAAACUAGUAUUUCCUUAUGACUCGAGUGAUUUAUAGAUUUUGUUUCCCUUCAUUAUUAAGUGGCAACAAUGAUUUGACAAGUCCAUUAGAGAGGGAAUCAACUGUAUUCCCAGGGGUUUAGAGCUGACAAAAUUCAUUCCCCUUUGAUGGUCCCUCUAGUUUAUUGCAUGGAAAUAGAGCUUGCCCUCCAAAGAUUUCCCAUUAUGGAUGUGUCAGAUACCAGGAGAAACUCGAAUUACCUGACAGUUGAUUAUGCGAUUAAGUUUCUGUUUCCGUUUGCAGAUUCUUAUUUUGCCGGGCAGUGUUGACUCUAUUUGCACCAUCCUCUGGGAAGAAGGAAUUUCAUCCUGAGUGCAUGCCAUCUCUUCCGACAUCUCUCCAACCUAACGCCUCCGCAUGUCAAACCGUGGUUCUGCAGAUGGCCACCGUCUUUGGUGCAACAAAGAAAUUCAUUUUCUCAGAAGGCAUUGUACUUCCUGCGCACAGUGAUGUAGAGAUGGCAUCGUCCUCGUAAAAAUGUGUUCAUGCUUCGGAAACGGGGAUUUGACAAGUGUAAUUUUUAUGCAUCUUUAUCUGUUUGAUUGGAUACAGGGUUUUGGAUUUGUCAUUACGGAUGCUGCUGCUGUUUUUCAUCAUCAAGCUUAUUCCUAAUCCACUAGAACAUCUGUAGAAAGUAGCACCGACACUAUUCUCGCCUGUCUUCAGCAAUUGAAUAGAUGGAUCACCAUAGCCAAGGUUGGGUCAGUGUCAUGAAAGCCAUGUCGGCAAUAAAUCUUGCGUAUUCUGUGAGAGCAAAGUCGGCAAGAAAAAAAAAAAAAAAAAAAAAAGCAAUUCAUUUCCUUGUUUGAAACAGGUACACGGAUAUGAGUGCAAGCAUAUCAAGAGAAGAAAUGUACAACGAAUCAAAAUCUUAGCAUGUGAUAAUUCAUCAACUGCUAGUCGGAAUGAUAAAUGGAUCAUAUCGUUGAAUUCAGAAACAAUAAGAUGUUAACCAUUUCUUGUGAAAGAAUGCAGGCCAGUCAAAGGUGCUAGUUACAGAGCGUGUUUGGUAGUGUGGUAGCUGUUGCUUUUCAAAUAGCUUUUCGUGCUGAAAUAUAUGCUAAUGAUGUUUUUUUAUUUUUUAAAAAUUAUUUUUGACAUCAGCACGUCAAAACGAUCCAAAAAGUACAAACCGAACUCAAUUUUAGCAAAAAAAAAUAAUAAUUUGAAAUUUGACGAAACGCAGUUUCGACCGCACUACCAAACGGUCCCACAAUCCUUGUGUUAAGAUAAAUUUUAUUUGGUCCUUGAAUAUGCAAUUGUUUCAAAUAAAGUAUUCUAUUAUUUGAUUUGACAAAUAUGAUUCAGAAUUGUUCCACAAAUUUCUAAUUUUGGCUAUUAUAUUUUAUUUUUAUAAUAAGAUAUAUCUAUUUAUUGUGAAAAUUUCAUAUGAUUAAAUUGAAUUUUAGUCGAAAAUUUAUUUAAAGUACAAAACCAUCUCUACCAUAUUUUCGAGACAUGUCCACUUAUUUUCAAAAGUAAAACUUGUCUCAAGGGGGCAUAUGUAAAAAAAAAAAAAAAAAAAAUUCUACCAAUCAUAUUUCACCAUGUGUUAUUUUUAUUUUAUUCUUUAUGAAAUGAUAAAAAUAAAAAUAAAAUAAAUGACAUAGAAAUUAAAUGAGCCUCUACAUAUUUCUUAGCUAAUAAAAGGUUGACACUUGGGAUGAGAUAUUCAAUAUAUCUUGUCUGAAUGCAAGAUCCCAUCAAUAUAUUUAAUUAUGGAUGAGAUAUUCAAGAUUUAUUUUCAUAAAAUAUAUGGUCAACCAAUAUAAUAAUGUCACGUGGCAUUAGAAAAAGGACCUAGAAGCCCCUGCAAACCUCUAUAAAUAGAGGGCCUCAACUUAGAGAAAAAGAAGAAGGAAUUCUUGGAGAUACAAAUUUUCUUCAAGACAAGCUCUUCUAGUAAGGAAGUUCUCUCAAAAGUUCUCAAGCCUUCUUUAUCUGCGCUUAAAGUCUAUUAAGAACAAAGGUCUAUUGGAUCAAACCUAAGCGUCCCAUAAAAGUUCUUCAAUAACACUUUGAAGACAAAUCAAAUGUACUCUUCAAAGUAUCAAAUCACCAAAUCUUCGCUUUGCAAUACACGCUCAAAUUCAUGUUCUUGCAAAGCACAAAUCUUGACUUGAUUUCUCAAAUAAAUCAAGUCACCAUAUAUCAAAUCCAAAGAAAGAAUCAGAGGAUUAUCUUAUUUUUUUAAAAAAAUAUUUUAGAUAGAGAUUGUACCCAAUCAUAUAUUUAAUAAAAUUAUAUAUUUGUACACGUGUGUUUGUUUAAUUUAACAUGCUAAAAAUUAUAUCUACAUACAGGCUUGGCAGAAAUACCAUUGAAUUGAAACAUGAUGAUGAACCAACAAAUUAAUAGUAAAUACAAAUAACAAAAAUAUCACUCGAGUCGUGUGUUAUGGAAAGUCAGAAAAUGCCUUAAAAUGCAACUGUGUAAAGGAAGUUAAUAUGGCUAAGGAUAAUGAGAUAAAGAUCACACAUAAUGAAUUCCAGAGCAGUGAGGAAGCAAUAAUAGAUAAUAGUAAUAAAAUGCUGCUUAUACGGCAACUGAGACACCCUAGCCAUUGGAAAAUGAUACAAGAAUAGAAGAAGCAAACAACAACUAAGAAUUUAGCAUUUUUAAGAGCUUGGACAAUAUAACAAUUCAUUUAGGAAAACAAAGAAAAAUAAUUUUAGCUAAACCUUAGUACUUUUGGAUAAUUAAAUAAACAGCUGGGAAAACAAAUCACAAUCGUCAGACAUAAUACCAUUUUCACCCACCCAUAUUCAUGCAUGUAAACACAACCAUCAAUUGUUGAAUAUAUAUAUAAGUUUUCGUGAAAUGCAUGACGUCGAAUGAUGGAUGAGGCUCCUUGAUCAAGGGGGGUUUUGGAUAUUAUUGAAAAAUCAUAAAAAAAUAAUAAUUUAAAGGGUUCAAGAGUCGCAAUCUAGUAUCAUGGUCACUAAAAAACUUAAUAGUCUAUUAAAAUCUGAGUAAAUGAACUAGUUGUACACGAAAAAGACUCAUCACUCUCAGUGCACCCUACUUAUGGUACGGUGCAUUAUUUAUUUGUUUGGUAUAAACUAAGUUAUUGUUAUGUUUUCUAACUGUUUGUAUGUUUAAGGUUUAAGAAAAGUCUUUCUCGAUAAGGAAGUCCUUAUCUUAUCAAGUUAAAAACUUAGCCGUUCUAGAGUGAAAACAUAAAAAAGAGAAAAAAAAUUAUUUUUUAUUCAAUAUCAGGAAUACGUCUUACGUAUAAGUUUAUAAUCCUGUAUAUUAAAAGAAACAAAAUUAAUUUUUGGUGUUUUUGAAAUGUAAGCCAAGUUCUUAUGGCUUUAAUAAAAUAGUUAUUAAAUCCAAAAUGCAUGUAAAAAAAAAAGACAGUUUUUUUUUGUGUGAUUUUUAGUAGGCUAAAUUAUGCAAAUAUGAUUUAUUUUGAGAAACUUAGCCAUAUGCACACAAAUAAAAACUUUUUUUUUUAUUAUUAUUUUCUAAAGAUAAGAAUUUUUUUAUUUUUUUUUGUAUUUUUUGGAAAAAUGGAAGAAAAACAAAUAUUUUUAAUACCGGAUCAAUAUCUUAUAGUGUAAGUCUAUAACUCAAAUAUUAAAUGAAAUGGUUGAAAAACAUGUGAGGUACCCAUAAACAAUUUUAAAAUGAUCCCUGAAUUCUUUUCAGAAUUUUUUAAAAAUUAUUUAAGGGCUUGUUUGGCAAAAACAUAAAAAAAUGAGAAACUAAAUAUUGCUGGAAAAUUAGUGGGGUGUGUUUGCCAAACACGUGCUUAACUAAAAAUUAGAGGCUUAGAAAAGGUUUUAAGGCUGUGUUUGGCAAACACCUCUUAAGGAUAAAAUAUUGCAUUUUUCUUUUAAUGAAAACCAAACAUGCCAAACACUAUCUUAUUGAAAAUGAGCUCAGCCCCAAGGUCCAAGCCUAUAAACAAAGUCCAAAUACAAAAACAAAGAUUUUAAAAUCAAACACAUUUUUUGGCUUGAAUCUGACGAAGAACAAAAUAGAUGAACCCAAAAACAUAAUUCCCAAAGCAAAUUAGAUUACGUCAAAAUAAAGACACAAACAUAUGUUAAAUUAACAUUCAAGCAAGAUUUCGAGACUCGAUCUUCAAAAUAAUAAAAUAAAAUUCAUGAUUAUUUAUUUUAUACAAAAGAUAAAAGUGAAAAAAAUAGAGAUUAUAGGUUAUGAUUUUAGUGUUUUUAGAUCAUUAGAAUCUUAGAUUAUUGAUAAAAAAAAGAUUGUUUGUAUGUGUAAGAGUCAACAAAUGCUCAAAACGACACCUAAAUCAAUGAUCUAAGGCACAAUUUAACGCAAGAACAUCUUAUACAUAAGAUAUAUUCUCAGUAUUAAAUAAAAGGACAGUUCUUUGUAUUUUUAUGUGUCUUGGCUAUAAAACGACUAAGUUUUUAACUUGAUAAGAUAAGAACCUCCUUACCGAGAAGGUAUUUUUUUAAAAUCUUAGACAGACCAACGGUUAGAAAACACAACGAUUUUAGUUCAUUUCAGACAAACAACAAUACAGGUUACCCUAGGUAAGGUGUUUUAGGGGUGAUGCAUCCUUCCUAUUCACAAUUUAUCCCCUAUCCAGCCUCUCGCAAACCAAUAAGUUUUUUAGUGACCGUAAUACUAGGUGGCAACUUUCAUUUCCUUUUAACUAAUAAGAAACAAUAAUUCCUUGUUCUUUCCCUUUUUACUCUAAAUCCCGCUCUGGAAAGACGAUCACAAUGACACCGCUUACACGCAAUAAAACACAUGCAACAAAUUUAAUUCACAUUUUAAAUCUUUCUUUAUUUUUUUUUAAAUAACACCUAGAUAUUGUUUUGACAUUAAAAUUGACUUCUAAUAUGGUCUGUAAUGGAGAACGGGUACCUGGACUAGUAAAACUAAUUACUAAGCCAACACUUCUUCUCUUUGGCAUUAGUGCUUGCAUCAACGUACUAAGCAAUAAAUAUUCAUUCAGUAAGUCUUUAUGGAUUAAAAUUUUUUAUUUUCUAAAGAUAUUCUUCCUAUUAUUUAUUUUAUUUUUAAUUGUAAAAGGCUUAUUUGUGUUACUAGCAUCAAUGUUUGAAGUUCAACAAAUAAAAUCGAUAGGUCUAGUAGUUGUUUAAGAAGGUUCUUUUUUUUUUCUUAUGGAUUUUGCUAAAUUUCAAUGACAUGUUAUUUGAGAUUAAAUGGCAAAAAUUGAUUGCAAUAAUAGAAAAAUAAAUUAUUUUAGUAGUAAAUUGGGAGAUACAUAUUUUUUUGAUACAAUAAGAGAUCCUCUUUUUAUGGUUGUUAAAGAACAGUUAUUUAGAAUAAUGGUUAUUUAACAAUCGUGAUUCAGAAUAGUGGUUUUAUAACAAAACCGUGAUUCAGAAUCACGGUUAUAUAUAUAUAUAUAUAUAUAUAUAAUUAUAAUUUUUUUUCCUUCAUUGCCACCACUCCUAAGAUAAAAAAAACCCUUGAACCCAAAAAAAUCCAAGAGAAAAUAGCCGCCAUAUUACCCAAAACAAUGUCUAAUCCUCUAUUAAAACACCUGAAUUAUCUUUCCCUUGUCACCACAGUAUUUCUACUGUUAUUUUGUUACAAACUGCCAGCCAAGCUUAUGUGUCCAACCAAACCGCCACUUUUUUCAUUUGCCAAAGAUGAUUAAUUGUUGUGCUAAUGAUCCUAUAAUUCAUGUUAAUACAUCAAACUUUUUUCUUUUAUUAUGUAUGAUUUGGGUAAGAUUUAUUGCAUAUUUUAUAAGUUUAUCCUGCUUCCAGAUUCAAUGAUUCCGUACAUCAUGCAUGUGGGUUUUUAUUACAUCACAUGUCUAUAGCACAUAAAAUGGAUUAUAACUUGCUAACGACGCUCAUUGAGAAAUGGAGACAAGAGACUCAUAUGUUCCACCUUCAUGUCAGGGAGAUGACACCUACAUUGCAGGAUGUUGAUGUUCUAUUUAGCUUGCCUAUAAAUGGGCGAUCGUGUAUUGUCGUGGGUAUCUAGAAUAAAAUAAGUUUAUGCGAGCGUGUAUUUGGACGAGUAUCCCUUCUUGAAAUGUUUAAAGGGAAUGCUUUAUCCAUGAGAGAAAAACUUUUAUGAGUUACCCAAUAGUUAUGAUGAUGAAAUCCUACAAUGGUAUAUUAAUGCAUACUAAUAGUUCAAUUAUCAUAUUCAUUUGUCUAUAAUUAGAUUUGAAUUUGAUAUUAUAUAUUAUACAAGUAUGCUAGAACGUAUAUACUUUUACAUGUUUGACAAUAUACUUCUCACAGAUCUCAGUGGGAUGCAGGUGCCCUUGUUCUACCUAGCACCACUAGAGGAUUUCUAGUCCAUUCCAUUAUAUAGUUGGGGUUCAGGCAUCCUUGCAUGUUUGCAUAUGCAUUCGUGUCAAGCUAGCUUGGAGAAAUUAAAGCAAGUUGGUGGAUGUUUAUUGCUUUUACAAGUAAAAUAAAUGUAAUAAGUUUGUUAUUUUUAUAUUAUGUUUUAUAUAUAUAUAUAUAUAUAUAUAUAUAUAUAUUUGAGUUGGUUACUAAUUGUUGUAUGUUUUUUGUAUAUAAAGUUAUGGUCAUAGGGGCAUUUAUAAUUGGGGCGACCAUAAAUUGAGUUUACACCUAUUAUGUUUAUCCAGGUUUUGAAGGUUGAUCUACAACUUCCAUUAGGAUACAAGUAAUAUGUUAUUGAAUAUAUAAAUUAUGUUGUUUAGAUUAAAAAUAUUGUUCCUGAAAACCUUAUUGAAUAAAUUUCAUUGCUUAUUUAACAAAUGGUGUGGGAGCAGCUAUUUUGAACAUAAUCCAACCCAUGUUUUGUCAUUUUAUUAUAGCGAGUUUGAUAAACAAUAGUCAAAUCAGGUAUGUUGGUAAAUUAUGAAAGUACAAUAAUUAUGUGUGUUGAUGUUCGUAAAUGAUGAGAAUUAAUUACUUGCAUUGAUGUUUGAUGUUUUGGAUAUUGGUAAAUCGGUUAAAAUAAUUAUGUGUGUUGAUGUUGGUAAAUUAUGAGAAUUAAUUAUUUACGUUAAUGUUUGAUUUUUAGAUAUUGGUAAAUGUUAGGAAAUUAUUGCAUAGGUUGAUGUUGAAAUUUUUUUAUAUUUAUAAAUGUUGGGAGAUAAUUUUUCAUAGGUUGAUGUUGGUAAAUAAUGAGAAAUAAUUGCAUUGUUGAUGUUUUAAUAGGUCAUGUGGAAACCUUAUUCAGCAGAUGAUAUGACAGCUGCUCUUGUUAUAUGCAUAUCAGCCAUAUCUUUAUAGACAUCAGUUGCUCCUUUAUAGUUUUUGUGCUUGUUAAGUUGCAUUGUCAGACCGUAUGACGCGACAAUUUGGCUUUAAGCAACACAUCUUGUCUAACAUAGAUACAAGUGAUUAGUUGCAUUCCAUUAGUUGUUUGAAUAGGCACAUUGAUUAUAAUUGGAUGAUCCACCAUCUUCAACAUAUAUCGAUCUAGGAUACACAAAGAAAUUUUAUUUUUAGAGAGGUGCAUCCUGUAAUUUCUAAGAAGGAAUACAUGGGUUGGUACCUAAAUAUAACAAGUUGAAUCAUUACACUUAACUCAACACAAGUUCCUCUAUGAGAGGAGAUGGAUUAUAAGCCACAUGCACGUUGGAUUCUAAAUGCUGUAAGUAUUUGUUAUUUUUUUAUAUAGGAUUUGACAAAAUCAUUAUAUUUUAUUUAUGGAUUAAUAAUUUCUAUUUGUUUCAUAUUAGGUUUGACAGUUGCUACAUGAUUGUUGACGUGUUGUGGUUGAUUUUCGUGAUCUCGAUGAUGAUGAUGAACUUGCUUGUUAUUAAACAUCUUCUUGACUCGAGACAUGUCGUACCACACUUGAACUGUUAUGAGAGACAUUGAGCCUAUACGAUGUUGUUUUGAAGGAUGAGACCAUAUAGACAGGUGGAAGUCAUGCUAUUGAUAAAGUUGUCAUCCACUCGUCGUCGCCUAAGACAUAGAUAGAGCUCAAGUGUAUUAUUAUAUUGUGUGUAAUUAUACUAUAUUAUGUUUCUAGUUAAGAGUUAUUUUUAUUAUUACUAGUUUUGUAAUAUUAUUUUUGUUAAUUGUCAUGUUAAUUUUAAAAUUAUCUUACAUAUUAUGCAUUUUCAUAUUUAGUUUAUAUAAGCAUGAUUUAAUAUCAUCAAAAAACAUAUAAUUACAUGAACAAGUUGUUUAAAAUUUCAAAUUAUUCAUUAAUAACUUUAAAAAAUGCAAAAAUAAAAAUAAUAUUUAAAAAACACACAUAUUAAUUUGAAAUUAUAAGUAAAUGAUGUUACAUAUUAUAUUUUGAAUUAUAUGUUUGAGAUUUGAUAAUUUAUGAUCGUUAAUAAGAAUAUCGAUUGUUUAUAACAGUUAUUAUUAUUAAUAGUUUGUAAUAAACCCAUGUUUUUUAACAGCGGUCGAAUAAAAAACUAUGGUAUUUCAUAUACUUAGAUAAAAGACUCGAAAGAAAGUCUUGUAGUUAGUUAGUUCUAUCUUCUACUUCUUCCUGUGUUCACUAUCACAGCGAGUUCAAUAAUCAUUCAUUCACUGAUAGAUUCAGAGUAGAGAUAGAUAUGGCUUCUUGUUACUUUGAUGAUAAGUCUCGACUAAAUUCCUUUCUUACCCUUUUCUUUCUAUUGUUAUUACUAUUUAUCAACCCUUCUUCAGUCCUCUCCAAGUCUCCUCGCCCGAUUACAGUAAACCCUUUUUUUUUUUUCUCUCCCUCUCUCGUUUCAUUGCCUUCUUGGAUGUAAUUAUUUAUCUAUUUAUUUCUUAUUUUGAUCUUCUUCGUCUUGUUUUUUUUUUUUUUUUUUUAUUGAGAUUACAGGAUGUUGAGGUCAGGCAAAUUAAGAAUGAGUGCUAUGCUGAUAUAGAGAGGUGAAUUAAAAAAACUAUUUAUAUACACGUAUCUUUUCUUUCUCUUGCUUUCAGUUUGUUUUUUGAGAAAAUUUAUAUGAAACAACAUGUUGUGAAUCUAUUAGGAUAUUAGUGAUACAAACACAUAUCUCGGUGUCUUUUCUUUGAUGGGUUGUGAUUUGUUGAUGGAAACAGUGGGCUGUGGGGUCAACAAUGCAAAACUUCGAUGACAGCAAAGGAGAAUUGCGCUUUGAAGUGUCUUUCUCCAAUUUGUUAUGAGCUUAUAUAUGAGAGUGAUCCGGUGAGUUAAGUCUGAAUGUGGGUUUCUUUAGUUGGGUUCGAUUGGUUUAUAAGUUUUUUUUUAUUGCUUUCUGUUUAGCUUGAAGAAGGAGAGAAAGAUUUCACAAGAAGUCAAGAGUACAAGUACUGUAUGUAUAAGUAAGUUUAAAAACUUUUUAUGGUUUUAGUUGUGAUGCAGCUGGUUUGAGAUCUUUGAUAUUUCUUAUCUGAAUCAUGCUGACAUUCUGGGAAUUUUACUUCUUGUUAUCGUCUAGAGAUGUUGAAUCUCUAUGUUAUAUGCUAUAAUGUCAUGAACUUCAUUGGAUAGAUCAAGAGUGGCUGUGGUGAAGCAAUUUGUUUGUAUGAAUUAUAUCUUCAAUGAAGAUUCUUUGGAGUGCGUUGGGUGUUUGUGAUUAGAUUUAUGUGUAAUAUAACAACAAGAUUUCUGGUGUGAAUAAGUUUCUGGCCUUUAAUUAGGUUGAUUAUUUUAUCAAUAUGUAAACAUCUGGAGGUCUCUGGUUGGUUUUUUAUGUACUUAGUGGAUGGUAUUCCCACAUUUUUAUCUAGUGAAUUUUCUAGCCAUUCAUCUAUUUGGGUUUAAAUGAAACUUCCUCUAUCUCUGCCCAUGUUCUCCCUUAUCCUAAAAAAUUAACCAACAUCAUGAGACAUGCUUCUGUUUAAGUUGGUUAGAGUUAUGUGUGUGCAAGUGUUGCCUUUAACAUAUGACUUUGUCAAUAGUAUUGAAAAUUGGGCGGGUUAUGCUUUGUUGUACUAUAGUUGAAUUUGAAGUUAGCCUGAUGACCACUUCCUAAGCAGGAUGAAGUGAAUUUUGGUGAGAAAUGUGUUCUUGGACCUUGGUCUUCUGUUAAGUACUAUGAUGUAGAACACCUUUGUGGAAGUGGUUUUGGGGAACUGAGGAGAAACUUGCUGCUCUGGAGAUAAGGCCAGUUGAAGUAGAUACUUAAUUUUAAUCUUUUUUUUGAAAAGAAGGUACUGAGUGUAGGUGUUCUUGAUGACUUUCCCCAUAUUGAUAGUCAUGAAGCCAGUGCUCCUGAGAUACUAGGUUGGACAAAAGACAGUUGGUUGUCAUGUUUACGAGCUGUAUGUGGAAUUGAGGCAUAGCAUGAAAAGCAGAUGAUCUGCAUAUUUCAUUUUUUGGCUGGACAGGAAUAUACAAUGGAACUUUAAUCUCGUGUUCAAUUUCUGAUCUGCUUUUUUUUUUUUUUUUUUUUUUUUUCCAUGGGGGGUGAUUUUCUUAUUUGUUUGUCCUCUUAAGGAAUUUUAUGCUAGUAUUGUGGCAAAAUUGGCUGGUUCAAACUUUUAUGCUCAAAUACUUGUCUAGUUGUUAUGAGGUACUUUGUCAAACUAGAGACUGUUGUCCUUGUUUGUAGCCAUUUGAAAUGAAAUAUACAAGAAGGAUACUGAAGAAGAUCCUUUGAAUGCAAGAUAUUAGGUUAUUAUUCUCAUCUAUUUAAAAGUUUUUCUUGGCUCAUUUUACAACCUGGCUCGUGACCUUUAAUUGUGUUAGCUUUCGAUGCUAUGUUUGAGUUACUCUGAUCCUAAAUUAUAAGUACAUGCCAAAAAAGACCUAUCAAAGUUUUCAACUUGCAUCAUCCACAACAUUGAAAAACAUAGUUUAGCUAAUGUAUCACAAAUUUUGUUAAAAAUAAUAGAUUGACAAAAAUGUAUUACUUAUGAUGACACUUCAUAAAAAAAUGUAUCACAUGUUUUGUCAAAAAUAGUAGAUCGACUUUCAGGACAGGGCAGUAUGGUGGGGUUUUGUUAUUGAAUCUACUGAUUUGGGUUUCGAGACCUGAAAUAUAUUAUAUGGUGCUCAAAUUUCUUGCUUGUGUUUGGUCAAAUGUACCCCUUUUGUUUUUAGAGUGCUGGUUCACAAAAUGAAUUUCAUGACAUCAAAUAUCAUGAACAAUGGCAGUGCUUUAAUUUCAUUCAAUUUUUACUGUUUUUUUCCCUGUUCGUGCUUCCUUGAUUUGUGUAAUCCAUCUUUUCCCUCAUUUUUGUUUGUCAUGGCAUCAUGAUAUUCAUGUUAUUUCCUGAUUCAUGGACCUCCUUCAGAUCAUCAUUUAGUUUGGAGACACUGCCGUCAUACACUUGUUUAGAAAGAGAGGAUAGAAACUUGGGAGAGAGUGCCAAGAGUUUACUAGACACUUAAUCAGCUGAUUCUGUGAAAAAGGGUUUUGCUCAUUGUUUCCGGAAAUAACAGGAGUGAGUUUAACAAUUGAAAUGCUUACCUUUAGUGAAAGUGAAACCAAGAGUGUGCUCCCUAAUUAAAGUGUAGUGGAAACAACCUUAAAAUCUCAGAUCUAAGCAGAAAAAUAUAAAAGACAAACACAAUCAAUCACACAAGAAAUUUAUGUAGUUUGGUAACUAAACGAGAUAAUAAAAGAAAUUCACUAUAAAAAGGUAGAAGAUUACAUAAUGUCACAAAAAAUGCUCCCACCUAAAAUCUCAAAGUAUCUCAAAACUCACUUUUCUCUCUCUUUUCUCUAGCAACCAAAGUGUAUAAUGAUAAAAUCACUCACAAAUAAGUCUUACCCUAAAAUAUGACAAUUUUUUUUUUAUAUGGAGGAAGCACAUGGGUAUUUCUUUUCUCACUUAAACCCACAAUUUAAGACAAACCCAACAUAUAGAGUGGAGUUAGGCAUCUUUGUUUCUCUACCUUACAAACUUGAGGGCACAAUCAUAGUUGCUCUAUUGUUGUUCUUCUCUAUUUGAAAUAAUCCUCUCGCUGACUUAUCAUGUUGUUUGUUUGAUAACUUGUGGUGCAUUAUGUGGAUGAGUAACUAAAUUUUCACGCUAUUGUGAUUCUAAGAAACUUCAACAAUGAAGUUAUGCUACUGAAAGUCUUGAAAGUUCAUUUCGAUUCUAUGAUCACAUUUUUCAGUAAUACGGUGUAGUUGUCACUUCACUUUUGUGAUAUUAAAAUGUCCUGGUUUUUAUGACUAGCACUUAAUUUGUAUUCUUUUCUGAAUCUUCUUUCUUCUACUUCUCCUGGGAUUCUUUUCUUGACUUUGUUAUGAACUAGUUGCUUACUCCCGGACUGCAGGUCAUAUCCUCAAGUUAUUGUCUGGUUCUUGAUUCGAAAUUGUAUUUGCUCUCAUAUUGAACUUGAGACAUAUUUGUCUGUUUCAUUUCCUAUAUUUUAAAAAUCCAUAUCAGCCUCAAAAUCAAAUUAAUGUCCUACUUGUUAUUUAGAAGUUCGAUUAUUUAAUUUUCUUCGUUUUUUUUUUCUUCAGGAAAUCAAUGGGAGAGUCCCUCGAGGGUAUUAAGGGAGCCUUUGACAUGUAGUUGGGUCUGUUCUGUAACAUUUGCUAUCAUUGCUUCCUCUCCAUAACAAAGAAAAACUUUCAAGAAUUGUAUUCCAUUUACGCAUUCAAAAGCACCCAAAAGAAAGAACGGAGAGAGAAAAGUAGACUAAUCUGCAUAUUAAUUGUUUUCUCAGAGAAAAUCUAUGUGAAUACCUGUGUUCGUGUGACAAGACACUAUCUUCCUCUCCUUCAAUCCUUUAAUUGGUGUUGCCAAAACAAUAUUCCAGGUUACUUCUGUAGUGGAUAAUCCCACCACAACUCCUGUAUAUUUCUGCUCUUUUUCUAGUUUUUCAUGAUGGUUUAAUAGUUAUGUUUCUUAAGUGCAUUACAGAAAUGCUUUCAACUUAAGGCAAUUUUGCUAUUCUAAAGAAGAUUAGCAGCCAACUGUAGAUGGGAGUCCAAUUUUUGUAAUUUAUCACUUCCAAGAACAAAAGGAGUAGCAAAAUUAUGAAAACAUUCUACUGAAUUCUGACAUAAGGAAGCACUUGUAAAUUCGUCACUGGUUACAUUGCCUGCAGGCAGUAGAGGAUUUAUCUGCUUGGUUAUGUUUUGUGUUUUACAGCGCGUCAAUAUAAAUUAUUUUUGUAAAAUAUAUAUAUAUAUAUAUAUAUAUAUAUAUAUAGAAAAUAUUUUAAAUUUUUUGAAUUUGAUAGUCAUAAACCUAAUCGAAUUGACUUCAGUUACUCGGAUCUGGUUUUUUUAAUCAUAAUAAAAAUAAUAAUAUUUAUAAUAAAAAUAAUAAUAUUAAAUUUACUUGAUAUAAGUUUUUAUAGUUUUAAUCCCUUUAAAUUAAAUUUAUGAUUUUUUAAUAAUAAUAAUAACAUAUUAUUAUUAUUAUUAAUUUUAUCCUUCAAAUUAAAUCUAUAGUUGUUUUUUAAUAGUAAUAAUAUUUUUUAAAUUUUUUAUUAAUAAUUAUAUUAAUAAUAAAAAAAUAUUUAUAAUACCCGCGUGCCUGUCAAAUCCAAAGACUUAGAGUCUAGCAUGUAUGUCAGAAUCAAGAUGCUUGAGUUUGAUAACCUUUGUCUAACCUAAACAAACAAUAAUUAAAAAGAAUAAUUAUGUAUUUUAAUUGUUAAAAGAGAAAAAAAACACAAACAAUCAAAGUAAUAUCUCGCAAAAAGAUUAAAUAAAAAUUUAAAAAUAAAACGGUUAUUACAAUCUAUAGUUGAAACUAGUUACAUGACCCGUGUGAUGCCGCAAGUCAUUUUUUUUUUUUACAUAAAAAAUAUCCAAAAAAACUAGGAUUUAAAAGUCUUGGGUUUUUCUACAAAGCUAUACCCAAGAAUCUUGGGUUUUGCUGCAACGCCUGAUUUAAAAGUAAUAUUUAUAAUAUUAAUAAUAACAUAAAACUUGCAUGACCCAAGUUUAAGUGAGCUUGACUGCAACAUCGGGCUCAAAAAUAUUGGAUGUGAGUCUGGCUAUAAGGUCGUGUUAUAAAAAUAUGAUAAUUAAAUAGAUUAAUUAAAAAAAAACAAAGAAAAAAAACCAACAGGAAGAAAAAAACUAAUGAAGAAAAAUAAUUUUUUUUUAAUUAAUUGAGUUAACCCUUUAAACUAGGUUAUCUCGUAAAACCUGAGAUUCGUGUCAUGAAAGUAUGAUAAAUAAAUAGAAAAAACAAAUUGACGGGUUUACCUAGAAUUAACUAGGUUAACCCAUCAAACCAAGUUAACCCGUCAAACCCAUGAUACGUGUCAUGAAAGUUUGAUAAUUAAAUAGAAAGAAAUUUAACAUUAACAAACUAAACUAAAUGAAAAAAAUAAAUUAAAAAAAAUCCGAGUUAACUCAUCAAACCAUGGAUCCAUAUCAUGAAAAUCUGAUAAUUAAAUAAAAAAAAUUCAUUAAAAAAACAAAAAAAAUUAAAAAAGAAAAAAAAAACAGUUCUAUAAUAUAAUAUAAUAAUUAUAAUAAUAUAAUAUAUUAAUAAGUGAAAAGUAUGGGAAAACUAUAAUGCUUUCACCACACCUUUUAAAAUAUUACUUAAUAUCUUUAUAAUAAUUUCCCAACGUAAUUUUGUUUUUGUUAUAAUUUUGUCUUUUAAAAUUGUUGGGGGUGUUCUGUGGGCCCAUGUCAGAUUAGCUUAAUAUACAAGGCCGUAAUUAUUUUUUAUUUGGAUUGCUAUCCUUUCUUUCCCUAAAAGCUUUCUACGUGGCCCCUUCAAUUUCAAUUACCUUACUUUAAUUUUGAUUGUGAUCAACUUAAAUUAGUACGAACUAGACCUCCGGCCGUGGGGUCGGAUAAGUUUUUUAGUUAAAAAAUAUUUAAUAAUUACUAUCGUGUUUUCUAGAAAAUAUAUUUUAACAAUAAAUUUAAAAUUAAUUGUAUAUUAUGAUAUUUAAAAGAAAAACAUUUGAAAUGGUGACACUUGUAAUAAUAAUUGUUUUUACUAUUAAUAUAAUAAUAUAUUAAAUUAAAUUGAAACAAAUUAGAUUAAUCAACAAAACCUGCAUGUUGGGUUAUAAAACCAUAAUAAUUCUAUAUAAAAAAUAAAUUGAAAUAAAUUAGAUAAUUUAAUAUCCAACUAAUUUAAUAUUAAAUGAUAAAAUUAAUAAAAAUAAUAUUUAAUUAAAAAAUCAGGUCAACCAACAAUACUCGCGGCCUUAUUCUUCUAAGCUAGCAAACAAAUACAAUUAUUAUAGGCUAAUGAGACUGGGAUAGUAAAAACAAGUCUAAUUCUUCUAAGCUAAAUAACAAAAACAAGAAAGAUAUUUUUUAUGUUAAGUUAAACUAAAAAAAAAAUCAUUGAAUAAAAAAAUAUAUUUUUUAUUUCAUAGGCUUAAAAUACAUUAAAUAACAUAAAAAAAAUAAACAAAGAGGUUAGAGUGUAAGAUGUGGGUUAGAAGAAGAAAAUAAAGCAUGCCCAUGCCUUAGGCCUUUAAUUUUUUAAAAUAUAAAAAAAAUAUAGAUGACGCAUCGACUACAAUCCUAGAAUUUGAUGACUAGACAAUAAUUGAAGAAUUGGGGUAAUAUUUUUUAUUUUUUUUGCCUAAAACUUCGAUGUCCAACACAUUUUUUUAGAACUCAGUGAUAUCAAAAUCGAUUAUCUGGCGAGUCUCUCUCUCUCCUUUCUCAAAUUAGUGUUUGAAAAAUAAAGAAAUUAAAAUUUUAUACCAAAUUAUAUGUUAGACAACUCAAGGGUUCAAAAAGUGAUCAUUUGGUAAAUUGAAGGACUAAAUUGGACUUUUCAAUAAAAUUUUAAAACCACUAUCUAUUUUUUGCACUUUUUCUAUUUUGGUCUAGUUUCUUUCAAUUUUUCUCUUGGUUAACAAAUGAGAAGCAAUUGGUUUUGAAUUUUACAAUAAAAGGGUUUAAUCCAAGAAAACAAUGUUUCAGGGUCAAAUAAAAGAAAAUUCAUUGCUUGAGUCUAAAAUGAAUUGUGAAAGAGUGAAUAAUGCACACAUGUACAAUGUUUUCACCUCAAGACUUAGUUUUCUUUAUUAGUCCAUUGGGCCAUACUAUGUCAAAGCGGUAUUAUUAUUUUUUGAAUGCAAGAAAAUAUCAAGGUAUUGAUAAUGUGUUUUCUAAGAGAAAAAAAAUUAAUUACAAACUUAAAAUUUGACGCAUAUUAGAUGAUUUCUUUUUUCAAUACUAAAAAGGUGACAUUUUGGAAUUAGAUUUUCAAAUAUUGAGACACCAGUAUAUUAGAUUGAGUUAAGUCGAUUCAGGUUAAUUAGCUAAGUUAGCUACCUGAGUUAUGCAAUCAAGACAACCAUAUAAAAACAAUUAAAACAAAUAAUGAUAUCCAAUCACAAAUAAAUUUAAUGUUUAAUGAUGAAAUUAAAAAGAUAAUUAAUUAAAAAUGUUAUAAAAAAAACUCGAGUAAAUCAAGGUCAAUCUGUUAAACUUGCGAUCUAGGUCUGCAACCCAUUGGAUUUAAUAAAUUUUAUUUCUUAAAUUAUUUUUUAUUUAAUUACACAACAACCAGGCAAGUGGGACUAUUUUGGUAUCAAAUAAAUAAAUAUAUUUUUUUAAAGAACAAACAUGAUAGGUUUGUGAGACUGAAAAACAAAAAAAACUAAAUUUUUGACGUUAAAUAAAAUAAAGAUAUUUUAAUAACAAAUGAUGACUCUUAAAAAAACAACCUGAAAGGAGAUGAAAUGCAUUAAGUAAAGAUAACAUUUUAAAAAAACUAACAAUUAGGCGUGAUGCAUGGACCUACAAACAUGUUUGGCUCAUAAAAACAAAAAUUAAAAAUCAAAACAUUUAAUUAAAAAGAAAGUUAAAAAAAAACUUGAGUGAAUCCAAGUUAACAUAUUAAACUUACGAUUCCGAUCAUACAUAUUGGAUUUAAUAACUUUUAUUUAAGAAAGAAAAAAUUACCCUGAACAUUCUAGAAUUUAUUUUAUUUUAUACUUUGCCUCUAUUAUUUUAAAAUUUACAGGAAACAUCUUCAGUCAAUAAAAUUUUAAAAUUUAAAUGAAAAUAUAAAUUUAUCCUCAUGUACAAUAUAACAUAAACAAUAAAAAAUUUAUAGUCACUACAAAAACUCAAUAAAUCAAAAUCUAAUUCAUUGCUUCUGUCCUCUCAGAGAACACAAUUCCUAAAUAUCAAAUUGAUUUCAAAACCUAUUUCUUCGGCAUCCGGGAAAGCUAGGAAUACAACCAUCAAAGGAGCAUUAUGGUUGCAUGGUUAAUUUACUGUGUCGAGGAGGCCACGUGGACGAGGGUCCCAAUUUUGUGGAGAAUUUUCCCAUCUCACCACAUCCAGUAAUUUAGAGAACAUUACUUGUAGGUUUACAAGAAGGAUGUCAUGUAGCAAAGAGCUAAAAUGGUUGUCGAAUGACUUCUUGAACAAGAACCAUUAAAUGCAGAAAACUAUAUGAUCCUUGUUUCUCAUUAUUAGAAAAUUGAUAAAUAUAAAAGUAAAUACUGGUUAGUAAAUUAUAGGGAACAUUACUAAUGGAAAUAUUCCCUCGAUAUAUACCGAGGGAAUUAUAGUGGAAAAAAAAGAAAUUAAAACAAAGCUAAAAAAUACAAUUACAAGUCAUUUAUAACAAUGUAAUUACCGUCGGUAAAAUCAUUGGUAAAGUGUUCACUUUUUCCUGACACUUUUCAUCAUGUCAAUUAUAGAGGGAAUCACUGAUGGAACAUUCCAUCGAUAUUUUCUUGAGAGCACUUGAAUUUUUCACUUUCCAAUUGCACUAUUAAUUAUUGUUCUUUACAAACGAAAUCACCAACGAAUUGAAAAGGCAUUGGUUUAUUUGACAAGUUUCUAAAAAGUUUUGAGUAAAUUGAAAAUUUAAAUUAAAUAUUACAAAUAGAAUCACUGACAGAUUGAAAAGUUGUUAAUGAUAUUUGAAUGUUUUUGAAAUUUUUUGAUUAAAUUGAAAAUUUAAAUUAAAUAUUACAGAUGAAAUGGUUAGAAAUAUUAAUAUUUAAUUAUCCGUUGGAAAAAUGCCCCAAUAAUUAGAAUCCCUCAUUUCGCAAUAGAUAAGCAUGUUCUUCUCCUUUUUUUUUCUUUUUUUUCUUCUUCUCCUUCUUCUUCUUCUUCUUCCCUUUUUGUAAAAAACAUCAGCAUGCCUUUCUUUCUUUCUCUUCUCUUCUCUCCUCAACUCUUCUUCUCCUCUAAUACAUUAAUUAGAUUUUUUAAUUAAUGUAUUUUAUGAAUUUGUUAUUUUUUCUCUUCUCAGCUUCACUUGCAACUACAUUAAGGUAAGAUUUUUUUUUAUUAUUAUAUUUUUAAAUUUUCUAUUCUUAAUAAUUGUAUGAAUGUUGUUGUAGGAUUUCUUUUCAUAUGAGAUCAAUAUUGUUGUUGUUUUAAUUUUUUGUGUUAUUUAUUUGUUGCAAAUUUUUUGAGUUGAUUUUCUUUCUUUUUGUUCCAAGCAACUCAAUUCUGAGUAUCAUGGAGUGUUGAUUUAUAUUAAUUUAAUUAUUUUCUAGUUUUGUUAAAUAUAUUUUUUUAAAAAAAUAUUUUUAAAUAAUCACCGAUGGAAUUGCAUAAAGUAUUUUGUUUUGGUUAUAUGACAAUUUCCCCGAGGGAAAUACUAAUGGAAUGAAGCGAGAUUUUUUUUUGCGUGCAUUUUUUGUCUGUAAAACCAUUUGUUUUUUAUUUUUUAUUUUUUACUGAUAAAAUUAGCAACAGAUAAUGAAAUUACCGAUGAACGAUAUUCUGACGAGCGUGUUUUAUUGGUGAAUUAGUCGGUAAAAUUUUCACCGACAGAAUGGUUAUCUCAUGCCAAUAAAAAAAGUCUUUCGGUAAUACUAUUAAAUGAUGUUGUCUCUUUCACUGUAGGAGAAGAUGAGCCUAGUGUCAUGAAAGUUUGAGAAAAAAAAGACUUUGUUUCUGAUGGAUAUUGUGUCAGCUAGUGAUGCACCAAGGCAGGCUCGACCUGCUUUUUGUUCACAAGAAGGUUUCACUGACCUAGCUCUUUGCCUGAUUUAUGCUUUUUUGGACGCUGCUCUAUAAGAGCUACCGGUAAUGCUGGUUCAACUGCUAGGUUUGCAAGGAGAUCUGAAUAUGCCGGAGUAAAUUGCAAUUUCUGCUUAGUUUAGGGUUAAACAAAGUUCAUUGGCGCUGGAUACGUAUCUGGAGGCCAUGAUACAAAUGAUCUGACAAAAUUUAAAUUGGUGGCUAGAGUAUAUCAUGUUUGGAAAAGAGAUGAAAGAGGUUUUUUAGAGGCAAUUUCAGUAUUUUAAAGCACUAGAGACUUUUUUAGUUAUUAAAUUGAAUAUUAUAGCAAAUAAUUCAACAUUUUUUAUUAUUUUUUUGUGUCAUGUAAACCAUUAUGAAUUUAUAAAGUUAUCUAUGUUUUUUUGUAAUUUUCAAAACAAUAAAGGUAAAAUGUAAAAUGGAUUAAAUUAUAAGAUACUUUGAAUAAUUUUUCAUUUAAUUACACAACAACUGAAACAUAAGAUUUUUUGUAUCAAAUAAAAAAAAAUUAAAAAAUGAAGAAACGAGAUAGGCACAUAGGAGGGACUGGAAAAAAAAAUCUAUUUUUUAAAAGGUAAAUGAAAAAUAGAAUUUUUUAAAAAUCAAAUAAAAAAGGAUGAUUUUUUUUUGUUUUAACUUUAAGGGGCUAGAAAUGCAUUAAGUAAAAAAAAAAUUAAAAAAAUAUAUUAACAAGAAAAAAAUAUUCAAUUAAUAAUUAAAAAAAAAUUCGAGUGAAUCAAGUUCAAUCUAUUAAACCCGUAAUUCAGUAAUUCAGAUCAUACAUACUACUAGAUUUAGUGACUUUUAUUUUUAAAAUUAUUUUUCAUUUAAUUACACCAUAACUAGGUAUGUGGGUCUCUCCUUUUGCAUCAUAUUAAAAAAAAUUUAAAAAUAAAAAACAGGAUGAGCGUGUGCAAUUGAAAAAAAAAGACAUUUUUUUGAAGUUAAAUAAAAACAUUAUUUUAAAAAACAAGUUAAGUGAAAAAAAAAAGGCUUUUAACUAAAAAAAGGAUAAUUUAUAUUUGAUUAUUUCUAACUAUAAAGGUCUAAAAAUACAUUAAAUAAAAAACAUCUAAAAAAAAAUCCAUGAAACGUUUUAAGAUAAACUCAUUGAUAUCAAAAUAUGUUUUUUUUUUUUUCCGACUUAAAUGUGGCCAACCAAAUGUUCUCUUUUCUCAUUUUUCUAGUGACUUUCUUUCUCAUUUCUUAACAUUAGAAAUCAAAACACAAGCAAAAUAAGGUUUAUGAUCUAAACAUAAAACUAUAAUUAUCAUACCUGGCUUGGGAGUUGACUCGGCCAAGGGGCCGGGUCCCGGGUUUCAUGGGUCAACCCGGAAAAUAAAAUAAAAUAUUUAAAAUUUUAAUAUUUCAUAUGAAAAAAUUAAGAAAAAAAUCAUGUGAAUAUAGACAAUAUAUGUUGUAAAUAAUGAAGUUUAAAAGAAUAUUUUUAAAUGUUUUUUAUCCCAUAUUGAAAAGAUACUAUAUUAUCCUUUUUAGUUGAAGUAUUUAAACAAAAAAAGUUUUUUAUCCCACAUUGAAAAACACAUAACCUUUUUCUUGUGAACAUAGAAUAUAUAUACUAAAAGGCUUCAAAUUUCAUAUUGAAAAAAUAACUUCUUUCUUGUGAACAUAGAGCAUAUAUAUUAAAGAGCUUCAAAUCUAACAUUAAAAAUAUAUUAUGUUAUCCUUGUAAGUAUUUAAAUAAUUUUUUUAUCUCACAUUGAAAAAACAUAACUUUUUUCUUGUGAAUAUGGAGUACAUAUACGAAAAGGCUUCAAAUCUUAUAUUGAAAAAAUAAGUUUUUUUCUUGGAAAUAUAGAGUAUAUAUACUAAAAGAUUUCAAAUUUCAGAUUGAAAAAACGUAACUUUUUUCUUGUGAACAUAGAGUAUAUAUACGAAAGAGCUUUAAAUCCCACAUUGAAAAAAUAAUAUGUUAUCCUUUUAAGUUGAAGUAUUUAAAUCAAAAAUAUUUUUUUAUCCCGUAUUGAAAAAACAUAACUUUUUUCUUGUGAACAUAGAGUACAUAUACGAAAGGGUUUUAAAUCCCAUAUUGAAAAAAUAACUUUAUUCUUGGGAACAUAAAGUAUAUAUACUAAAAGGUUUCAAAUCCCACAGUGAAAAAACAUAACUUUUUUUCUUGUGGACUAAGAGUAUAUAUAUGAAAAGGUUUUAAAUCCCAGAUUGAAAAAAUAAUUUUUUUUUUUAAGAAAAUAGAGUAUACAUACUAAAGGGUUUCAAAUCCGACAUUGAAAAAAUAAAAUAUUUUUUUAAUAUUUAUAUAGUGAACUUUAAAAAGUGUUAAUAAUCAACUAAAAAUAUAUAUGAAAAAAGGAUAUAGGAGAAAAACCAUAUUUGAAAAAAAAAAAACACUAGGUCUCGUCCGGGUAAUGGGUUGACUAGGUUUUGCCGGGUUGUUACAUCGGCCGGUCUUUUAACAAACCCGUACUGGUUCAACCACUUGAUCGACCCGCCGGGCCGGUUCGAGUUUAAUAACUGUGCAUAAAACUCACAAACAAUAAGGACAAAAAAUGUAAAAAAAUGAUUAACAAUCAAGGAAUCAAGCUGAAGUUUUCUGCCCCUCUUGAAUAGUAAAAAUUGAAAUGCCUCGUUUUGUUUUUCUAAUUUUAGUGCUUUUUUUAAAAAAUCUUUUUUCCAAACAACAAUUCAAAAUCGAUGUGUAAUUCACCUAUAGAAUACCUUGAGCAUGCACUAAAAUGUAAAUAAAAGCAAAUCCUAAUAAAUAUAUCAAUAUAACUAUAAAAUAUAAGGGUGAAGUCAAAUAAAAUAAAACUUGAGAUGGAAAAAAUAGAAGAAAAUUCUGUAAUGAACAAUUAAUGAAACACAUAGUGUUUUUGUGAGGAAAAAUGAUUUUUGUUUUAAUGUCUUUUUUAACUAAGAAGAGGCUUUAAAGCCUUCAAAUGGCUAGGAAAAUAAAAGUCGUUGAUAGCAAUAAAUCUAAAUAAAUAACAAUCAUGCAGAGCAGAGCAGGGGACCAAAAAAUAAUAAUUAUAGUAAUUAAAAUUACUUAUGUUUUCAGCAUGACAGCCCCCAUCAAGUGCACUCCAAUUCAUAUUGUGUAAUCUGUCACGUGCAGAACUAAAGUAACAUGCUUUUUGUUGCGAUAUAAAAAAUAAAAUAAAUGCAAAGCACGUGACAUAAAUGGCCACCGAAUUAAAUGAUUUUUUGGUGGAAGAAGACUUUUCAGGCUGUUACGCAUUCCCAUCGAAUCAAAAGGAUGGCAUUCUUGCACUCAAUUACAGUCUCACCGGGGACCAGAAAAAAGGUUUUAAUUUUUUUUAUAUAAUAUUUUAUGUUUUUUUAGGUUAUUUUUUGUUUGUUUUUGUAUUUUUAAUUUUUUUUCUUUAAAUUAAUAUUUUUUUGAUGUUUUAAAAUCAUUUUAAUAUGUUAAUACUAAAAAUAAUUUUUUUAAAAUAAAAAAAAUAUAAUUUUGAGUAGAAAGAACUUUAAAAAAUAACCGCAAACAUUUUAAUUAUGAAAAAUAUCAUUUAUUUGGAAAAAGUAAAUCGAGAGAUAUUUUUCAAUUUAAUUUUAUAUUUUUAGACAAAUUUUAUGGAUAUUCUGAGUUAAUAAAUUAAUUUAUUAAUAUUAUAAAAACAUUUAAUAAAUUGUUUUAGGUAAAGCUAAAUUGAAAAACAAAUUUGUACUAAAAAAACAUUAACCUAAUUUUUCAUUCAUGUCUUUAAAGGUCCCAAACUAGGUAGAGAGACGUGCAUCGUCUUAGGUAGAUGAAAAGUUAAGGAAUUAAAAUAAAAAUUUAAGAAUCAAAUUGAUUUUUAUAAAAAUUAACUAUUUUAAUUCACGGUAAUUUAUAAGGGAGUAUACAACGAAAAGAAAAACAAUGAAAACCACACCUAUUAUUAGCUUUAUACUUAAUAAUAGUUCAUCAUGCUACGUAUUUAAAUGAAAAAUCAAAAUUUAAAAGGAAGUUGCUUUCAUAAUAGAAUUGGUGGACAGCAUGCAGAUUGCAUCAUGACAUUCUCUCUACACAAUAUAUUUGCAGCUAAAAGAUAUAUAGUGCUUCUAACUUUUCGCUUUUAUAUAUACACAUGUGUAUAUCACAAUAAUUGCGCUAGAUUAUUUCUCUAGCUCCUUGAAAGUUUUCUUUCCGAAAAUUACACAAUCUCUUCUCUCUGUUGUGAAUAUAACCAAGCUUUGUCCCUAGAAAGAUCCUGUCUCAUUUCUCUUCUAAAUCUUCAAAUCUUUGUGUGUGGUUAAGUAGGUGGAGCUGGCUAUCAUGGAGGUUCAAAACCAAGAUCAGUGCCCCAACACAGACCAAGUGGUUCUAUUCAUAGAUCAACCAGACUCCAAACCCAAAAUGUCGUCGCCGCCACCACAGCAAGAAGAUUCCAAACUCAAACAGUCACCACCACCACAGCUACCAGACAUUAAAGACUCUAAAACCCAAGCAAGAACAAAAUCCCUCCGCCGUCUCAACUUCUCCAAACCCAAAUCUCGUUUCACUGAAACUAACUACCCUCCCCAUUCCAAAACCUUCCCUGAAUCCGAAGAAUACCAACCCUUAAACCCUCCCGAAAGCGCUACCUCGACAGAUGAAGACGAUGAUGAAGAAUGGUUUGAAAGCGAAGAAGAAGGAGUUGAUGCUGGAGAGGCCAAAAAACAUUCCAAGUAUCGAGCGAAAAGGAAAAGAAAGAUAAAAAAGAGAGCCUUGAUUGAGUUCAUAUUGUUUCUCAUAAUCAUGACCUGCUUAAUUCUCUCUUUAACAGUUGAGUCCCUAAAAAACAAGGUCCAGUGGGGUUUAGUUUUAUGGAAAUGGUGCCUUAUGGUCCUGGUUCUCUUCUGUGGCCGCCUUGUGUCGGUUUGGCUCGUAGGUUUUCUUGUUUUUCUCAUAGAACGCAAUUUCAUGCUCAGAGAAAAAGUACUCUACUUUGUUUUUGGUUUGCGCAAGAGUUUUCAACACUGUGCAUGGCUAGGACUGGUUCUACUUGCAUGGAUGAGUAUGUUCCAUGAUGUCCACAAAUCCAACAAGGUCUUGAAGAGGGUUUUCCGUGCUCUAAUUGCUGUCCUCAUCGGAGCUACAAUAUGGUUACUAAAGAUUUUACUUGUCAAGGUUCUUGCUUCAUCUUUCCAUGUCGCUACCUUCUUUGACCGCAUGAAAGAAAGCGUCUUCCACCACUACAUUCUCGAUACACUCUCUGGUCCACCAUUAGACGAGGAUGAGAGAGAAGCUCCUCGUCGACGGACGCUAAGGCAUUCCAAGACAUUGCCGGCGAAACUGAGGGAGCGGGCAUCGAGAUCGAAGGGGCAUGAGUCGUCGAGGAGCAUCGAUAUGGAGAGGCUGAGGAAGUUAAGUACGAUGAGCCGGGCAUCUGCUUGGAAUAUAAAGAGGCUGGUGAGUUACAUUAAGUCUUCAGGGCUGUCAACGAUUUCGAGGACGGUCGAUGGUUUUGGUAAUGCAGAAUCGGAGAUCAACAGUGAAUGGGAGGCUAGAGGCACUGCUCAAAGGAUUUUCAGGAAUGUCGCCAAACCUGGUGCCAAGUAAGUUCAAUUUCUUCUGCUAGCCUUUCUGGUUAAUUAUAUGAACAUUUGAUGUUAUACAAUCCUUAGAAGAGACCAUACAGUAGAGAUAAUUAUGCUAACCUUGCUCGGUUAAUUAUUAUAAAAUUUCUUGAAUAUCCUAAUUUUAGUUUAUUUUCACUAAAUUUCGUACACACUUAAUUAUCUCUUUAUUAAUCUUUAAUUUAUAAAAUGUGAGCAAGAUUUAGCACCAAAUUAUAUAUAUAUAUCUCAUAAACUGAAAUGAAUCAAAGUCUAUGACUUAUGGUAGCUAGCUAACAUCUAAAUCACAUCUCUCCUGUUGAUUCAUAUCCAGAAAGAAAAGAAAAGAAAUCUCUUAAUUUAAUAAGAGCACCAAGCAUCCAAAUGUGAGGUAAUGUAAAUUAGAAUAUUUAAUUUUUAAUUUAUAUUUCUCAUUUGUUACACUAAUUAAAGAAAGUGAAAAAAAUUAUAUUAAAAUUAGCUUUUCAAAAUACAUAUCUACCCAUAAAUAAGAUGAUGAUGAUAUAUGGUAAUAAUAUAUGAAAUAAAAUGAAUUGAAUUUUAUAUUUUGUAAAUAUAUGAAUUCAAUUUAUAAUUGAAUUUUAUUAUAAUAGACAAUUGGCUCCAAAUAGCAUGUUAAAGAUUUUAAUCUAUACUUGUUUUUUUUAAAUAAAUUGUUUUAAACCAUUUUAUAUCUAAUGUACGUACCUUUUAGUUAAAAGUUGUUUAACUUAUUUUUCUCAUAAAUUAUUCUUUUUUUUUUUUUUUUGUAAGACUUUCUACUUUUCUCAUAAAUUAUUUACGUCCUAAUCGAUUUCCUGACAGUGGCAUUCGUCGGUGGUGUUGUGGGGCUAGGCACGUUCAUUUUUUUUCAAAAAUCAAGCCUUUAAAACCCUUAGACUACUUUUGCUUAAAAAAUUAUUCAAAAUGAUGGUUCAACUUCAUUGCCAAAUAAGCCCUAAGUACGAACAUGGUCAUUUGGUUGGGACAACUAGCUGGCUGCAAGAACAUGCUCGUAUUAUGGGACGGGUUGCGGACAAUGAAAUGAAAAAUUAUUGUCCAUUAAUUUUAUUAGUAUUUUAUAUAUCUAAUUAAAAUUAUUUUAUAUCUAUUAAUUGAUGUUUUUAUAAUCAUUUGGUGGGCACAAUUUAAUCCCAGCUGGUAAUCAAACGAAGGAAAGCCUAUUGCUCAUUAAUUAGAUUUAAUACUACAUUUGAAGUUAAUCGUCCCAUUUCGCAUUGAUACAUAGAUUAAAAAAAAUGCCUUCAUAAUGUGUGCCCUUAUGGCAGAUUGUAAAAAAUAAAAUAAAAAAUACAAGCAAAAUAGAAUUAUCCCAGGAACAUCAAUUUCUUAGCAUGUAAUAGUAAAUAUUCUUUAAAGUUAAUCUUUCUUUUCUUUCUUUAAGCUAUUGAAAUACUUUUAUUUUUAUUUUUAAAAUACAUUUAUUAGAUUUUAAACAUCAAUUAAUUUUAUUAGUAUUUUAUAUAUUUAAUUAACCUAAUCCACGAUUUAACCUAAAUCAACAUUAGCAUUUCAAACACAUGAUUUUGUUAAUUCACAAUUAACAACCUAAAAUUACUAAUUAAAAACUUAAAUGACUUCUAAUUAAUCUAAUUCCUAAUUCAAAACCAUAACAUUCAAUAAAAUCAAAAUAAAACUAAUUAAACAUAAAUUACAUCAAAUUAAUUGAGAGGAAGUAUUCAAUAUACCUCUAAAAGUGAAAUGUGAGUGGUGAUGGUAACCGAUGAUUACUGUUUUGGCUGGAAAAUUCCAGACCAAUAGUUGGUAAAGAGAGAAAGAGGGAGGCUUCUAUGUAUGGAGCAAGAAAGAGAUAUGGGUGAUGUAGAGAUAAAUUAUUGUUUAAGGGCUAAUGGAGGUGUUUUUAGCGGUGGAGAGAGAGAGACAGAGAGAGAUUUAGGUGGUGGUGAGAGAGAGAGAGAGAGAGAGGAGGAAAGAAGAGAAAGGAAAAGAAAAGUCUGUCUUUAUCUUUAAUUCAAAAUGAGUCGCAAAUGCCAUCCAAGAAAUACGAGUCGCAUGUGACAUCUACGACACGAGUCACAGAUGACAUAUGUGACUUGUGAAACUGUGCUACAUUUAUAAUUGUUUUUUCAAUGGUGUUACUUUAUCAAUUUCUUUUAUUGGGUUGAAAAACCAAAAAAAAACUCUCAAAUUUCAAUGUAUAUCAAUCAAUCUUAGUCUCUAGUUGCUUUAUUAGAUUGGGAAACAACAGAAAUAUCUAUGGUCGAUUUAAAGGUGAUGGAAAAUAAAUAUUUGGGUACAUUUCUAGCCCCAAUCUAACGUUGCUGAUUUUUCUGGCAAAGUUGCAAUAAUUUACUAUGUUUUGAAAGUUUUUUUGGACUCUAGCUUAGUAACAAAAAUUGAUAAAAUAAUACAAUAUAAAAAUAUUUUUUUAAAAUAGCAUAGUUUAAAGAGUCACAAAUAAUAUAUAUGUGAUUCACGAGUCGCAAUAUCAAUUGUAACCCUCUUAAAUAUGAAAACAAUUCAAUAAAAAAAAAGAGAGAUGGAAGAAAAAGAAAAGGAAAAAAAAAUAUAAGAUCUCAAAGGCACGCCGAAAUUUCAAUGACAACACCAUUAACACCAUUGAAAAGAUCUUGAUAAGACGAGUUCAAUGGCACCCAAUGACACCAAGAGAGAUGACUAACAAUAACUUGAGUGGGCCACAAGAGAGGUCCAAAGACAAGUGAGGCUCGGCACCUUAGGGAAGCUCAUGUGGCUUACUCCGCUUACCAUUUGUGACCUUCUUUAGUGUCAUUAGACUUAUCUUGUCGAGAUCUUAUUUAUGGUACCAAUGGUAUCAUUAUCGAAGCUUCGGUGUGCUCCCAAGAUCUCUAUAGUUUUUUUAUUUCUCUCUCUUUUGUCUUUACAAAUUACGAGGAGAGAGGAGAGAGAAAAAACAAAGAAUGAAAAAAAUAACCUGGAAGCACACCAAUGCUCCAAUGAUGACACCAUUGAUAUCAUAAAAAAAUCUCAACAAGAUGAAUCUAACGUUACCAAAUAAUGUCACAAACGAUAAACAGAGUGGACCACACGAGUGGUCCAAAGGUUUUCACUUUCCUUUAGGUUAUUUGUGUGAUCCACUCCGAUUAUCGUUGGUAACCUUUCUAGGUGUCAUUGAAUUUUUUUCGUCAUGAUCUUUCCAAUGGUAUUAGUAGUGUCAUCAUUGGAGUUUUGUUGUGCCUCUAGGGAUUUUUUUGUCUUUUUUUCUUUCAUUUGUUUCUCUCUCUUCCCCCUUUAUUUUUAUUGAAUCUUGUGUCCAACAACUUUGUAAUUUAAGAGUCGCAUAUGACAUUUAUGACUCACAAAUCACAUAUGUUAUCUGUCACUCUCUAAAUUGUGAUAUGUUUCUAAAUACUUUUUGCAGUGUGUUAUUUUAUUAUUUUCUUUACUAUGCUAAAAACAAACACUUGUUUCCAUAUUGGUUAAUUUGGUUAUCAUCAACUCAGAUUAAUUUAUUCUCUAACUUUCGGAUUUCACUUAAUCAAAAAAGAAAAAAAGAAAAAAAAAAGAAAAAUAAUAAGUAAAGAAAAACAUGAGCCAUGUAAAAAUUUAUGGUUAAUUAGAGGAUGCUAAUUAGGGUGUCCAUGCCACGCUGUUGGCCAGAUUAAAAGUUGAUUUAAUAAUAAAAAUAAAGAAAAUACAUGGGUGAUGUUAAAUUUUGAGUUGACAAUAAAAAAUCUAAAAUAUGCAUUUAAACCUUGAUCAAUAUGUUUAAUAAAAUUAUUCAAAAAAAUUAUAUACGUAAAUAAAUGCUAAAAAAAAUUGUUAAUGACAAUUAAAAACUAAACUGAAACAUCAAUCGAUGGGUGCAAAUAAAGAAAUAUAAUCCCAUGAUAUAAAUAAAUGCUAAAAAAAGUUGUUAAUGACAAUUAAAAACUAAACUGAAACAUCAAUCGAUGGGUGCAAAUAAAGAAAUAUAAUCCCAUGAUAUAACAUGCUAUUCAUAAUAUUUAUUUAAUUAUUUGUCAUUUUGUUUUACGAGCAAAAAAAUAAUAUUUGAAUAAAAAACAAAACACUUUGCUAGCAUAGUUCCUUUGCUUUUUAUUUAUCUAGCAUUGCCCCAUGUUGUAGGGCAUUUGAUAGUCUAGGUUCCAAAUCAAAUCAUGUUGGUGUUGAUUUGGCAAGUUUCAUUUGAUCAAAGGGCUCAUCGUGACUCGGUUGCACAAUUUAAAAUUCGAUAUAGAUCCAAAAUAAUUUCGAGAAGCUUCCAUUUCAAACCUUUAUCUAACUUGAUCAAGCUCAAGGAUGAAGCAAGAAAAUGUCAAAGGAAAAAAUUGCAAAAAAGAGAGUUUAAGGAGCAAAAUAAAAAGACAAUGUCAUAUUAGAUCGACCUUCUCCAACACGGUCUAAUCGGCUAAAUGUGUGGUCAGGGUCACGACAUGAUCAUAAUGAGCUAACCUGGUUUAGCUAAUUGUCUCUUCCAUCUCUUUUCGCUUCCUUUUUUCUUGGUUAGGCCUUUAUUGGGCUUGUGUGAGAUGAAUUUUGAGACUAAACUAUAGAGCCACAAAAGAACUAGGGAGUAAAAAAAAAAACCCAAUAGUUUUUAGAGAACCAAAGAACAAAUGAAAAAAAAAAAUUUCUUUCAUUUCCUUUGCCUUUCGGUCUUCCUGGUUGAGAAUUCAUUAAGCUUAGGUGGAAUGGAGAUUGGGAUCAAAUUAAAGAGCUAUCAAAUAAUUAGGAACCAAAUAAAAAUAUCAAAGUACUAGGGACUAAAUUAAAAAACUAUGAGGGACUAAAUUAAAAAAAAAAACAGAAGCCGUUGUGUUUGGAUGAUGCACCUGUUUUCCUUUAAGACCUGAUACGACCCUUUUUUAUGUCGUUAGAAUGGUCUUGUCAUCUCCUUUAUCCCAUGAAGAUGUGUGUUGUUGAUGAAAAAACAAUGUAGCUUUUACAUCAUUUUUACUUGAAAAAUAAUAUUUUGCGGUUAUCCAUAGUGAUUCAUGAGAUAAAUAUAUGUUUUUUUUUCAAAGUAUUUUUUUAAUAAUGCUAGUUAUUUGAUCAAUGAUGUUAAAUAAAAUCUUUAAAAUCUUUCAAGUUUUAAUGUAAAUAAUCUGCAUAUAACUGGACUAAAAAAGUGUGAUGGGGUGGUAUGUGUCAUAAAUCCCACAAUGAGACAAAUAUAAGAAACAUGUUGGGGUAUGUAUGCAUAACGUUGACAACCAUCUCUCUUUCAUUUUUGUGACCAUGAAUUUAUGUUUUCUUGCAUGAAUUCACUAGUUUCAGUUCUUAGCAAAACAUUUAAAGUGGCUUUGGGAUCCUUCUAAUACCCCAACAUAAGUUUAAAUGUAAGUGAUAAAAAGAGUAUAUGUUGAAGAAGUUAUGUACAAUGAUCAUUUUAUGAUUACUAUAUAUGCCUAUAUUUGUUGACAUAUUUUUCCCAUUUUUGAAUGUUUUAAGGUAUAUAGAAGAGGAAGAUCUACUAAGGUUCUUGAAGACCGUGGAGGUUUAUACCAUAUUUCCUCUCUUUGAAGGAGCUGUUGAGACUGGAAAAAUCACUAAAUCUUCUUUCAGAAAUUGGGUGGUAAAAAAUCCAAAACCCACUUGCUUUAUUUUUUGUUUUAAAGGCCUCACCUUACUAUGUUUACAUGCAGUGAACAUGAAAAGUCCUCAUACGUUAAAAGAUGCUUGCUUUCAAAUUAGGAUUCAUAAUUUGUUGUUUAGUUGAAAAGGAGAUUUAAUGCUUAAUUAAUUAUAUCAUCAUUGCCAAUUGAUCAAGCCUAUAUGGUGUGAAUUUGAUUCUAGGAUUCCAUACAUAGUACCAUUUUCUCUCCUUUAACCCCUCUAAUCAAGCACUAAAAUGGGAUUUACUUUUUCCUAUGUUUAUGUUUUCAAUUGCUAGGUGCAUGCCUAUGUUGAGAGAAAAGCAUUGGCACAUUCCUUGAAUGAUACCAAGACUGCUGUCCAGCAACUUCACAAGUUAGCAAGUGCAAUAGUGACUGUAAUUAUAAUUGUGAUCUCCCUUUUGGUAACGGGAUUGGCGACGACCAAGGUUUUAGUUGUUUUCACAUCUCAACUGCUACUCGUGGGGUUCAUGUUUCAAAACACUUGCAAAACUAUCUUUGAGUCCAUCAUUUUCGUCUUUGUUAUGCAUCCUUUUGAUGUUGGCGAUCGUUGUGUUAUUGAUGGCGUACAGGUAAACUUUUUUUUUAUUAUUAUUAUUUCUAAGCCCCUAACUAGCUAGCUAGUCAUAACAUAGUUGAACCUAAUUUAAUGAAUAUAUAUAUAUAUAUAUAUAUAUAUAUAUAUAUAUAUAUAUAUAUUGCAGAUGAUUGUCGAAGAGAUGAACAUUUUGACAACUGUGUUCUUACGGUAUGAUGCGGAGAAGAUAUAUUAUCCCAAUUCUGUUCUUCUUACAAAGCCUAUCAGUAAUUUCAGAAGAAGUCCAGACAUGGGGGAUUCUAUUGACAUCACCAUUGAUGUGUCAACUUCUGUUGAUGACUUCAAUGCUCUUAAGAAAGCUAUACAACUGUAAGUUAUUAAUCUCAUUUGCAUUCAAAAUAUUUCUAGUGCUAGACAAAAUUACCUCUUAAAGUAAUUAGCUUGCCUAAAUCACACUUGUUUUGCUAAUAGAAAUCAAUAUUUUCUAGAUAUUAGUUAAUUAUUACCGAUUUUUCUAUAUAUAUCUAGCACAUUAUGUAACACAUAUAUUGGUAUUAUGCUGAUAAAAUGCAAAAGCUUUAGAGAUUGGUUAAUUGAUAAUUAGUAUUUUUAUUAGUUUUCAAGAAAAUACCAUUAUGGAAUACUGCAGAUACAUUGAGAGCAAACCAAAGCACUGGAACCCAAAGCACACAUUGCUGGUGAAGGAGAUAGAAAAUGUAAACAAGAUGAAGCUUACUCUAUGUGUUCAACACACCAUGAACCAUCAAAACUACGGGGAAAAGAGCGCUCGAAGAUCGGAGCUUGUUUUUGAACUAAAGAAGAUUUUUGACAACCUUGGCAUUAAGUGCCAUCUCCUUCCACAACAAGUACAUCUUAUGCAUGUAGAUAUGACCCGCAAUGGGGGAAUGUCAAUGUAAUCUUCAUACAAAUGCAAUUAUUUGGAGUGGAAAAAGAAAAUUAUCACACAUUCAAUAUGGCCAUAUACCAGCCAUUCUCUUGCAUGUAUUUUCUUUUCCUUUUGUUAACUUCUUUGCUGUAGCUUAAAUUACUGCGAGAAUUAAUGAUGGAAAAGAAAAAAAUUAUAUAUAGGGAGUGCUUUUAUAAUUAAUAAAAUUCUUUUCUCAUUUCAUAUCGAUCACAUUAGUAGCCCUGUAGUGAAUACUAUAUAUGAAUUUAUCGAUCAUGUUAAUUGACUCGGCUAGGGUAAUAUGAUUUCGCGUAGGGAAAACUUCGUUCUCUGACCGCGAUAGCCAGUCUUUUCAGACGGGAGAAUCAAAGAAGCUUGUGAGCUUACGAGCGAGUCGGUCCGGCUUGCAGGGGAUGCUCGGAAUAAUUGUUCUAUAUAGCAUUCUUCCCGGCUCAGACUAGCUCAGCUUGAGGAGCUUUAUCAGCAGAACUGAUGAGUUCAUCGUCCACCGCAGCAACCAGGACAACAUUAUUUGUGGCAAGAUGUUGGCCUCUGACGAAAUUUCAGGAGCAAUACAUGACAUUCUAGGAGCAACAAAUCCUGCUCAGCUCAGCAACCAACAACAACAAGUAAUUUAUGGAGAGACGUUGGAUCCUGACAAAAUCCCAUAAACAACAAUCGAAACUUCAGCAGCAACAAACUCUCCUCAGAUCAGCAACCAACAGGAUAAUGUAAUCUAUGGAGAGAUGUUGGGGGUUAAUUCACUUGAAUAGUAUGGACACAAAACAAAUGCUAAGUUACCACGUUAAUAGUGCAAACACAACGAAAAACAAAGCAUGCUAGAGGUGAAGAGAAACAGACCUGGAGACGAAGAAACCAUAGUGGCAUUUUUUUUGCAGAUUGUUUUUGCAGAAAAAUGGAGCAAAAAGCAUUUUUUCUAUCUUUCUUUUUUUGUUUUCUCUGCUCAUUCUUUCUUUUUCUCGCUGCCCCCACUAGGUCAUUAGAGAGGCUUAUAUAUAGUCUAAUAUAUCUCUAUUCAGAAAAGAUUUAAUGCAUUAAUUCUAGGAAGCAAAUCCCUACAGAUUUGCAAUAACAAAAAUGCAAAAAGGAAACUGAAAUAUUCUGAUUUCUAUUAUGAUUAUAGCAAUUAGUUUUCAUUGAUCAAAUGGUGGUAUAGCUCCUUUUUUUCCUUCCAUAGCUGUGACCAUGAAGUACCAGCUGCUCUCUUUUAAAUGAGACAAAAAAAAAACGUGGCCUUCAGCUCUCCAUUCAAGUGAGAGAAACAUGGAAACCAAACAUGAAAUUGCAAAUAAAAAGGAAAGAAAAAAACAGGCUAGCUGUGCAGGUUAAAACGUGGUUUCUCCAAUUUCUUCCUUCUACAAAAUUACUUCUAAUUUUAUCUUCAAUCAACUUCCUUGUUUUAGCACCUUUUCCAAUUGGUACUUGGUCCAAAAAAGGGCUUCAAACUUUAAGCAUCUUGCAAUUGUGUCCCUGCAAACUCGGGCAAAAAAAAAAUCCUUCUCGCUGUAGGAAUCUCUACUUUUACACUAGAUAUUCAAACAGGAAUAUCUUGAGCUUUUGAUAUCAAAAUCAAGCUAUUAAAAAGUCUAAAUUUAUCUACGCAUCCAGGACUACAACUUUGAUGAAGGAGUCAAAGUGAGAUAAAAUCGUUUCAGAAAACAAAUUCUAGCAUUAAUUUGGUUGAUGAAAAAGGGUCUCCAGAUCUAAUUCAUAAACUAACAAUGCCGAAUACCGCGAUAUGACUGACAGUAUGACCUAAGAACAAAUCAACAAAAUUUGUGACAUAAAUAGUGUUUUUAGUGCAAAACUUGGGUCAAGAUCCUUCUCGUGCCAGAGUUCUCUACUUUCAUGUUAGAUAUUCAAACAAGAAUAUCUUGAGCUUCUAAUAUCAAAAUCAAGCGAUUCAAAAAUCCAAAAUUUAUCUACCCGUCCAGGACUACAACUUUGAUGAAGGAGUCCAACUGAGAUAAAAUCCUUUGAGAACAGAAUUUGGCAGCAAUCUGGUUGAUAAAAAAGGAUCUCCUGAUCUAAUUCAGAAAUUGACAAUGCCGAGAAUCCUGAUAUGACUGAGAGUAUGACCUAAGAACAACUCAACAAAAUUUGUGAUGGAAAUAGAGUUUUUAGUGCAAAACUCGGGUCAGGAUCCUUCUUGCGGAAGAAUUCUCUACUUUCACGUUAGAUAUUCAAACAAGAAUAUCUUAAGCUUCUGAUAUCGAAAUCAACCAAUUCAAAAGCCCAAAUUUAUCUAUGCAUACAGGAAUAUAACUUUCAUGAAGGAGUCGAAGUGAGAUAAAAUCAUUUCAGAGAACAAAAUCUAGCAGUAAUCUGGUUGAUCAAAAAGGGUCUCCUGAUAUAAUUCAGAAACUGACAAUGCCAAGAAUCGUGAUAUGACUGAGAGUAUGAUCUAAGAAUAAAUCAACAAAAUUUGUGAUGGAAAUAGAGUUUUUAGUGCAAAACUCGAGUUAGGAUCCUUCUCGUGGUAGAAUUCUCUACUUUCAUGUUAGAUAAUCAAACAGGAAUAUCUUGAGCUUCUGAUAUCAAAAUCAAGUGAUUCAAAAUCCCAAUUUUAUCUACGUGUCUAGGACUACAACUUUGAUGAAGGAGUCGAACUGAGAUAAAAUCAUUCUAGAGAACAGAAUCUGGCAGCAAUCUGGUUGAUCAAAAAGGGUUUCCUAAUCUAAUUCAGAAACUAACAAUGCUGAGAAUCUCGAUAUGACUGAGAGGAUGACCUAAGAACAACUUAACAAAAUCUGUAACGAAAAUAGAGUUUUUAGUGCAAAACUCGGGUUAGGAUCCUUCUCGCGUCAGAAUUCUCUACUUUCUUGUUAGAUAUUCAAACGUGAAUAUCUAACGCUUCUGAUAUCGAAAUCAAGUGAUUCAAAAAUCUUAAAUUUAUCUACAGAUCCAGGACUACAACUUUGAUGAAAGAGUCGAAGUGAAAUAAAAUCGUUUUAGAGAAGAGAAUCUGGUUGAUCAAAAAGGGUCUCCUGAUCUAAUUCAGAAACUAACAAUGCCGAGAAUCCCGAUAUGACUAAGAGUAUGACCUAAGAACAAAUCAAUAAAAUUUUUGACGGAAAUAGAGUUUUUAGUGCAGAACUCAGGUCAGGAUCCUUAUCGUGGUAGAAUUCUCUACUUUCACGUUAGAUAUUCAAAAAGGAAUAUAUUGAGUUUCUGAUAUCUAAAUCAAAGGAUUCAAAAAUCCCAUUUAUCUAUGUGUCUAGGACUACUAAUAUGAUGAAGGAGUUGAAGUGAGAUAAAAUCAUUUUAGAGAACAGAAUUUGGCAGUAAUCUGGUUGAUAAAAAAGGGUCUCCUAAUCUAAUUUAGAAACUGACAAUGCCGAGAAUUCCAAUAUUACUGAGAGUAUGACCUAAGAAAAAAUCAACAAAAAAUGUUAUGGAAAUAGAGUUUUUAGGGCAAAACUCGGGUCAGGAUCCUUCUCGCGGUAGAAUUCUCUUCUUUCAUAUUAGAUAUUCAAACAAGAAUAUCUUGAGCUUCUAAUAACAAAAUCAAGCAAUUAAAAAUCCCAAAUUUAUCUAUGCAUCAAGGAAUACAACUUUGAUGAAGGAGUCGAAGUGAGAUAAAAUCGUUUUAGAGAAUAGAAUCUGGCAGUAAUCUAGUUGAUAAAAAAUGGUCUCCUGAUGUAAUUCAGAAACUGACAAAGUUGAGAAUCCCAAUGUGACUGAUAGUAUGACCUAAGAACAAAUCAAUAAGAUUUAUUAUGGAAAUAGAGUUUUUAGUGCAAAACUCGAGUCAGGAUCCUUCUCAUGGCAGAAUUCUCUACUUUCACAUUAGAUAUUCAAACGGAAAUAUCUUAAGCUUCUGAUAUCGAAAUCAACCAAUUCAAAAGCCCAAAUUUAUCUAUGCAUACAGGAAUAUAACUUUCAUGAAGGAGUUAAAGUGAGAUAAAAUUGUUUUAGAGAACAAAAUCUGGUAGUAAUCUGGUUGAUCAAAAAGGGUCUCCUGAUCUAAUUCAGAAACUGAAAAUGUUAAGAAUCCCGGUAUGAUUGAGAGUAUGACCUAAAAAAAAUCAACAAAAUUUGUGAUGGAAAUAGUGUUUUUAGUGCAAAACUCGGGCCAGGAUCCUUCUUGCGAUAUAAUUCUCUACUUUCACAUUAGAUAUUCAAAAAGUAAUAUCUUGAGCUUCUAAUAUUGAAAUCAAACGAUUCAAAAAUCCCAAAUUUAUCUAUGCAUCCAGGACUACAACUUUGAUGAAGGAGUCGAAGUGAGAUAAAAUCAUUUUAGAGAACAGAAUUUGGCAAUAAUCUGGUUGAUCAAAAAAGGUUCUUGAUCUGAGAAUGUCGAGCAUCUAAAUUUGACUGAGAGUCUGCCCUAAGAACAGUGAUCCCUAGGACCCAAUAAAGGUGUAGGUUAAUUUUUCAACAUGUCAUGAGUGACAGAAUAUAGCUAGGAUGGUCAGAUAUCGUACGAAACCAAGUCAGAAUCAGAGCCUAAGUUGGAACAAAAAAUCACGACAGCAGCAGAACCAGUUUUGUUUUUGUGCAAAUUAUGAGGGAUUUAUCCAACCUUAAAGACUAGAUAAAGAAAGAAUGAAUUUAGGAUUAUAAAAACUCCUGAUCAAUCUAAGAAAACCUGACGAUUUUGGCACUAUAGAGGAAGGAUAAAAGGAGUAGAAAACAACUCAAAUAGAGUUUCAAAAAAAAAAAAAAAUUCUUUCUCUGCUUUUGUCAAUCUUCUAGUAAACAUGAGCAAAACUCCUAUAUUUAAUUCAAAAGAGGUAUACACCGUCUCUAGCACAUAGGGUCCAAAAAUGAGUAACAACACCUGUUUUGUGGAUGAUUUUUUCAAAUACACUUGGAUUAUACCUUUGAUGGGGAAAUGUCUUAUUUAAGGAAAAUAACAGAUUUAUGGCAUCUUGUUCUUAGAUGGAAAAAUGUUUUGUUUAAGGAGUUGUCACUCAGUAUUAUGGUCAUUAGGAACCCUAACUAGUCAACAUAGAUUAUAUUAUAAGGGAUUGGUAACGUAAAAGGAAAGAUAUUAUUUCCCCAUAAAUGUCUUGCCUGAGGCAGAUUGCAUUGCUAGUUUUGUCUUAAAUUACUAAAAGUUUGUUAGUUUAUGCUACGAUGGUUUGAUUGUAAUAUUCCUGACUUUAGCGUUAAUAAAUAUUCAACUAGGGAUACUUCCAACUCUAGUGUUGGUAAAUAUCACUACCAGAAAAUCAACAAAUACAAACGGAAAUACCGAGGGAAUUACUGUGGGAAAAAAAAAUUAAAACAAAGCAAAAAAAAUGAUGACGUGUCAUUUUUUACCAACAGAAUUACUGGUUGAAUUAUUCGUAAACUGUUCAUCAUGUCAAUUACAAAGGGAAUUACUGACGGACAAUUCCGUUGAUAUUUUCCAGAGAGCUCCAGAACUGUUCAUUUUUCAAUUGCACUGUUAAUUGUUUUACUUUACGGACAAAAUCACCGACGGAUUGAAAAUUCGUUGGUGUGUUUUGGCUGUUUUCUGAAAAAAUUCAAUUGAUUUAAAAUUUUCAUUUAAAUAUUACAGACGGAAUCACCGACAGAUUGAAAAAUCAUCAGUAAUUUUUGGCGGUUUCUGAAAAUUUUUUAUGAAAUUAAAAAUUUAAAUUAAAUAGUACCGACGAAAUUAUCGACAGAAUAAUUAAAAAAUAUUAAUAUUCAAUUAUCCGUCGGUAAAUCCGUCAGUAACGCUCCCCAAUAAAAAACUUGAAUCCGCUUAUUUCACAAGAGAUAGACUCAUUAUUUCUUUUCAUUCUUCUACUACUUCUACUUCUUUUUCUUCUUCUUUUUCUUCUUCUUCUUCACUAUAUGUAAAAAACAUCAAUAUCUAUUUCUUUCUCUUCUUUUCUCUCCUCAUCUCCUUCUCUUUUCCUCCAUGCUUGGGUAUGUCUUCUUCUUCUUUCUUCUUUUAUCCUCUUAGUUUUUUUUUAAUUAAUAUGCUUUACGAAUUUUUUUUUCCUUAGCUUCACUUGCAAGUAUAUUAAGGUAAGAUUUUUCUUUUUUCUUAUUUUUUCAUGAUUUUUUUCACUAUAUUUUUUUUAUUUAAUUUUAAUUGAUUUUGUUCAUAAUAAUUGUAUAAAUGUUGUUGUGAGAUUUGUUUUUCAUAUAAAUCAAUUUUUAGUUGAUUUAUUUAUAGGAUUUUUAAAUUUUUAGCUAUUGCAACUUCAUUUUUUUCAUAUGAAUUUUUUUAGUUGAAUUAAGUUUUUUGUUUUAUUUAUUUGUUGCAAAUUUGUUUGAGUUGAUUAUCUUAUUCUUUUUUCCAAGCAUUUUGAGUAUAUAUUAUACAAUGUUGAUUUAUGUUAAUUUAAUUAUUUUAUAAAAUGAAUUUUUUUAAAAAAUGUUUUUAAAUAAUUACCGACGGAAAUUUCCGUCGAUAAAUCCGUAGGUAAUAAAAACAAAUUAGCGACGCGUCUGUUUCGCCAAUAAAUCCGGCGAUAAUAUCAUUACCGAUGAACAAAAAAUUAUCAACGAAAGAUUCACCGAUGGAAAUUCUUCGUCGGUGAUUUCAUCGGUAAAUUAAUUACCGAUGGAAUAUGUGUCUUACGCCGACGGAAAAAUUCCGUCGGUAAAACUAUUAAAUCUUGUAGUGUAUGAUGUAUGAUAUUCCUAACUCUAGCGUCAAUGAAUAAACCAAUAAAUUAAAUUUAAAUCAAUGCAUGCAUAUUUUUGUUUAUUUAUUUUUCUCUAAAAAUAAAAAUAAAACAUAUCGUACACUAGAUUUACAUUUCAUAAUAAAAAUCCAUAGAUUAAUUAUACAGUGAAAUACCUAAAAAAAUAUGAUGGACCUAAAAAUAAAUUCAAAAAGGUGCUUGUUUGACCACAUAUCAAAACAAAAAGGAAUACAAUAAAAGGGAUUGGCAUAAAGGUGUGUUUUGUCAAACACACUUUUGGCCAAAAUAGAUUGGCCGGAUGGUCACUGUGCAUGCAUGCCUGGAUUAUUCACGCAUGCUUUGCAUACAAUAUUUAUAUUUCUAAGGGGAGGGAAAACAAAAGCUUACUUGUGUAGUUGGGAAUGAAACCGACAAUGAUGGUGUAUCGGACGAUGCUCUUUCUGUUCCUCUUUUCGUUUGUUUUACCUUUGGUUGUUCUUUUCUUCAACUUUGUUUUCUCUAUUCGUAUUCUCUGGUUCCCUCCCUUUUUAUUUUUGUCCUUGUUUUUGUUUGUUUGCUUCUCUCUCUCUCUUUACUAGUCAUGUGUCGCUGGCAUUGAGAAGGACUCUGCUUUGAAAGGUGGAUGGCCAAAUCACGACUGAGGAUAGAGUUGCUGUUGAGGUUGUGGCUUUCGGUGAUGGCUGUCAUGAUGUUGUUGCACUGUUUUCUUGAGUUUGCUCAUGGUUGCUGGAGUUUUGAAGGAGAUUCUACGGUCUUUCUCCUCUGUUUCACUUUGCCUCCUGGUUUCCUCUCCCUACUAUUUUGUUUUAUUGUCUUUCUCUUUAUGAGUUUUUUUUAGCCUGUCUCUAUACCUCUCUUUUUUUAGUUCGCCUUUCUCUGGCCUUCUAUAAGGCCAGAGAGAGUAAAUGAAGUCGUUAACAAUCCUGCUCAUGGAGGACUGUUAAUCGAUUUGGAAACAGAAUCAUGGGUAGGAGACGUGGUCCGGGUUUAGUGUUAUUUCUUCCUGUAAAUGCAAUACCAGAAGUUCUCUUAAAACCAACGGAAUUACCAAUAAAAUAAUUUUGUCGAUUAUUUGCGGUGAUAAUUAUCGACAAACACUAUUCCAUCUGUAAUUUAGACGGUAUAUACUGACGAAAUACUGUGGUUUGUAUAUACCGACAGAAUUAUAAACAGAAUAUUCAGAAAUAAUAAAAAAAAAAAGCAGUUUGCUAAUGUGGAACUUUUUGUGGGCAAUUUUACUGAUGGAAGCACCGAGGGAUUCAAACCGGGAUCUCUGUAUAGUGACGUGACCAAUUCAUUGUCAGACUUGCCGACAGAAUCACCGACAGAGGUAUUUUGUUGGUGAUUCCGUCAGCAAAAGUUAAUACAUCACCACUCUGCCGACCCUCUCCUCCUUAUUUCUCCUUCUUCUCCCCAUCCCAACUCUACCCUCCCAAACUCCAAACAACCAGCCCAAAAAAAAAAAUCUCCCUAUUCUCAGCACAAGUCAUAUUUCUUUAAGUUUUGUGAUCACAACAUUCGUGCUCUAGUUUAUUGUGGAUUUUAUUAUUUUUUGUAAGUAAAUCUAUCUUUUUUAAUUUUAACAUUUAAAUGUCAAUUUUAUUUAUCUUUUAGUAUAUGUAUUUUGUUAAAGUACGUACAUAUUUUAUUGUUAUUUUUCAAACAAACUUAUAGUAUAUAAAUGUAUAAUUUUGUACUUGUUAUGGUUUGUUUUAGAUUUGGUAAAAUUGUAUUUCAUUGUAAAUUGUUGAAACUUUGUUGAAUUACCGAAUUACAUGUGUUGUGGUGAAAUAAUUAAUAGCUUGUUUAACAGGUCCGUUUUAAUUUUUAUCAAUGCUAUUGCGGAGUUGUAAUUUCCAUAAAUUUACAAGUAUAAAUUUAUAUGGAUGUUGAUAAUUGAUAAUGAAUAUUUAUGAGAAGUUGUAAUUAUCUUGUUGGUCAAAUUUAUUUACCUAACAUAGUUAAUUAAUACAUGUUGUCAUCAUAAUUUUAUAGAGAUUUGAUAAAAGUCAUGGAUGAUCAUUCAUGGAUGUAUCGAGAUUCACCUCAAGGAUUGCAGAGGAUGAAUUAUUGUAACAGAGUUCAGUAAUUUAUUAAUGUCGCAACAUCUAUUCCUAGAAAUUUUACUGAAAGCAAUAUUAGGUAUCCUGUAGGAAAUGUGAAAAUAAAAAGUAUAUGCAUUCAAAUGUUGUAAUAAUGCAUCUUCUACACAAAGGGUUUAUAGAAAAUUACUUGUGUCGGUAUGCACACGGAGAAGUAUUUGUUCGUAAUAAGAGCAUGGAAGAAAGGGUGGUUGGGUCAACUUCUAGUACUAACAACGUGUAUAGAGUUGCAAAUGACAAAAGUAAUUCUUAUAGGAAUAUGAUUAUGGAUGCAAUGAGAAUGAAUCAAAGUAAUGUCAGUCAAUGUCCAAUAGUAGAAGAAUAACCUAAUGUAGAUACAAUUAGGUUUUUGAUCUAUUGAAAGAUUAUAACGAAUCAUUAUGGGAUAACUAUACAAACUAUAGUAGUUUGGUUUAGAGAAGGCUAUUAAAGCUGUGUUUUUCAGCCAAGGUAAGGAUGGUUUUUGCAUUGUGAGGGGGAGCUACUCACUGUGGUCUAUUAAAGCUGUGUUUUUCAGCCCAGGUGAGGGUGGUUUUUGCAUGGUGAGGGGGAGCUACUCACUGUGGUUAUGAGCUGUGGUGAAGAGGCUGUUACUGGUGAAGAUGAUAGCAUUUUUUUUAUAUGGCUGACGACUCCUUUUGUCAAGAUAAAGUUAGGUUUUUUGCAUUUGUACGAGGGUGAGUGAGCUAGAGAAAAAAAUGUGGAAAAUAGUUUUUGGAUUUUGUUUUUGUCUCCCCUCCCUUUUCUAGUGUGAGAUAACCAAAUGAUUUUUUUUUUCUUUCAAUUACUUGGUUACCAAACAAUUUAAAUUUUUUAAUCCUUCAAUUUCUUCUUUUUUUAUUUUUGGUCCCUUUUUCUAUUUAUUAUAUAUUUUAUUCUUUUUAUUUUUUUUGUAUUUUGAUUUUUUUAAUAAAGCAGCAUCAAUGUCAACUUAAUGAGAAGAAUUAAUUAGUUAUUUUGAAAUGUAUACAUUAACAGUAGAAUACGUUGAAAAUAAAUUUUUAAAUUCUGAAUUUUUUUGAAAAGAUGCGGAUGUCACAAAUACAGCAAGAAUAAUUUUUUAAAAAAUAUAUAUUUAAAAAAACAAGAGACAAAAAAUAAACUAUAAUCAUAAUAUUAAUUUCAAAUAUUUCUAGUAACUCUGUUUAUAAUAGCAGCUGCAAAUAACUUGUGAGAAAGUGCAAAGAGUUUCUUAGACCCUUAUCAGCUGGUUCGGUGAAGAGGGUAUUGCUGAUUGUUCUGCAAAUAACAGGAGUCAGUUUCAUAAUUGAAAUGCUUACCAUUAGUGAAAAUGAAACCAAGAGUGUGCUCCCUAUUUACUAACUAUAGAGUAAAGUUGGGCAUCUUUGUUUCUCUACCUCACAAACUCGAGGCCAUAAUCAUAGUUGCUCGACAGCUAUGGUCUUCUCUAUAGUAUACAAUCUUCUCGCUUGCUUCCCUAUUGAUUUUUGUGGUUCAAAAAUAUUUAAAAAAAAAAUUAAAUUUUUUUUAUUUUUUAUUUACUUCAAAUUAAUAUAUUUUUAAUGUUUUUAGAUUAUUUUAAUAUGCUAAUAUUAAAAAUAAUUUUUAAAAAAUAAAAAAAUAUAUUAUUUUGAUAUAUUUCUAAAUAAAAAAUAUUUUAAAAAAUAAUUGCAAUUAUACUUUCAAAUAGGUGUUUGAUAGCCUGUGUUGUAUUAUGUUGAUUGUGAUUCUAAGAAACUUCAACAAUGAAGUUAUGCUUCCAAAAGUCUUGAAAGUUCAUUUCGAUUCUAUGAUCACAGUUUUCAGUAAUACGAUGUAGCUGUCACUUCACUUUUGUGAUACUAAGAAUGUGUUUGGUAUUGCGGUAGCUGUUGUGGUUGUGGUUUAAAAAAAGUUGUUUUAUAAAAAGUAUUUUUAGUUGAGGUUGGUUUGAAAAAAUAGAUGUUUGGUUAAAACUGUGGUUAAAAUUGAGGUUGAAGAAAAAGUAAUUUUAAUGUGUUUGGUUAAGAAUGCUUUUGAAAUUGAGGUUAUAAAAUAAUUUUAAAAAUAUAUAUAUUAAUAUUGAUGGUUUUUAAUUUAAAUUUUAUGGAUUUAACUAUUGCUAUUACAUCAUGAAAUAAAUCACACUUAAAAAAUUACUUUAACAAAAUUAGAUAAAAUAUUAUCAAGAAUAAAAUUAAGAUUACACUACGAGUAAAUUUAAUUCACCUUAAACUAAUUUAAAAAAAAAUAAAAAAUAAAAAUUAUUGUUCACGUGAAUAGUACUAGUGAAAUCAAUUAACUACAUUGGUGUAAAAAAAAAAGAAUUGUUCAGUGCAUGCCUCCACUGUUUUUUUUUUAAAAAAAAAAACUGUUUGGUGAACAGUAGAGCUGCCAUGCAAAAAGCAGCAAUUUGCUGCUUUUCAUUUUCAUGGGGCGAGAACACAAUAAAUAGAGGGAUCCAUGCAUAGUAAACAAUUUUUUUUAUUUAACCAAAUACUGAGGUAGUGCGUUUGUGAAGAAAUGCAACUUCUACCUCGUAGCCAAACGGGCUGUAAAACGUCCUGUUUUUUAUGACUGCACUUAAUUUGCAUGCUUUUCUGAAUCUUCUUUGUUCUACUUCUCCUGGGAUUCUUUUCUUGACUUUGUUAUGAACUAGUUGCCGACUCACGGGCUGCAAGUCAUAUCCUCAAGUUAUUUGUCUGGUUCUUGAUUCGAGAUUGUAUUUGCUCUCAUAUUGAACUUGAGACAUAUUUGUCUGUUUCAUUUCCUAUAUUUUGAAAUUCCAUAUUCCAUAUUAGCCUCAAAAUCAAAUUGAUGUCCUACUUGUUAUUUAGAAGUUAGAUUAUCUUCUUCUUCUUUUUUGCAGGAAAUUAUUGGGAGAGUCCCUCAAGGGUAUUAAGGGAGCCUUUGACAUUUAAGUUGGGAUCUCUUAUGUAACUUUUGCUGCCUAUCAUUUCUUUCUCUCCGUAAAAACAAAAUGUUCAAAAAUUUACUCCAUUUUUCCAUUCAAAAGCACCCAAAAGAAAGAAAAGUAGAUAUUGAUUGUUUUCUCUAGAGAAAAUCCAUGUGAAUACUUGUGUUCAUGCGACAAUACACCAUCUUCCUCUUCUUCAAUCCUUUAAAUGGUGUUGUCAAGGGCGGAGCCAAGAAUUUUUUUUGUCUUAGGCUUCACAAUAAAAUCUUAAUUUAAAUAUAUUAUUCAAAAUAUUAAAAAAUAAUUUGAAACUACAUAAAAUUAAAGUGAAAGUAAAAAUAACCUCAUUAUUAAAAUUAAACCCUUUUAUAUUUUAUGAAAUAUAAUUUAUCUAUAAAAUCUGAUUCAAUAUUUUCAGCAAGCUCUCGUUCAUCAUAAAAUAUAUUAACUCUUUUAUUUUAUUGUGAAACACAUUUUUAACAUGCUUCAUAUAUGAAAAUUAUCACUCUUUGAUGGUAGUAAGAACAUGCAAAGUCAAAAUAAAACGAAUCGACCUGUUAAUUAAUCAAAUUAUUGUAUUGCGACUUAUUUGUUACGAUUAAUCCCUUACAUAAUUUGAAAAUAGUAGACAUGUUUUGAAAGCUCUCAUGAUGAAUUAUAUCAUUUUGAUAAUACUCUAGCUAAGAUCUCAAAUAAUGCAUCUUUUAUUUAUUGAAAUCUUCAAAAUAAAAAUUAUCAACAAGCUUGCAAAUAGAUUUAAUUUUAAUUAUUUAAAGUUGUCUUUAAAUUCUAAAGCAAAGUUAAGUAUAAAAAGUUUCAUUUUCCAUCAUUAAAUCUAGAAUCAAACUCUUUUAAUUAAAAAUCUAUUGCCGAGUUAAAUAUAUUAUAAUGAUAGUUUUAGUAAACUGUCAUUAAUCCUUGCUACUGACAUGAACAACCUAUACCCUUUUAUAUAAAGUAUUUAUAUGAGGUAUGCCAAUUUUUUAUUGUAUGUAAACAAAUUGCACAUAUGCAAGGAGAAUAUCAAAUCCAACAUCUUUUAAAGUUUAAAACAAUGUUUUAGUAGUUGAAAUAAGAUUAAGUUGAAUUUAUGUGACGGAUAGUACCAUACAAUAAAUGAAAGAAAGGAAAGGUGUGUUGCUUUUAUCAAAUUGUUGAGUUGAAUAUGUAUGGAAACAAGAAAAGUAAUCUAGCACAAGGAAGGAUACAAUUUUCACUUUGGCUCUCUUAACUUAAAAGGAUAGAGAUUUUAAUUUUUUUAAAAAGUGGCUAAUUUAUAGACAUAGCAUGUUUUUCUUGAGCUAAUUUAGUUAAUUGUAAAUUAGAUUAAUUUAAUGUUAGUAUAAAAAAUUAUUGAUAAAAUAUUAACCUGGGCUAUAGCCAGCCAAGUCUUUAAUAUAGAUCCGCUCUUGGGUGUUGCCAAAACAUAUUCUAGGCUACUUCUGCAAUGCAAUGGAUAAACCCAUCACAAUUCCCUUAACAUUCAAGUGUUGAUAUUCUUGGCUUUCUCUGUUAUCAAUAGCUUGACAUUCAUGGGGAAGCAUGGUAAGAUUUAAGAUUAAAUUCAGUUUCUUUAAGAGCAAAAAAGAAAAGGACUAAAGACACUUUUGAAAAAAUAACAAUUAAACUAUUGAUAACAGAGAAAGCCAAGAAUAUUAAACAUAUUAAUAGUUUAAUUGUUAUUUUUUUCAAAAAGUGCAUUAAAGAGAAUGCUCUUACUGCAACCAAAGAACUAAAGACAAUCUUGAUAUUUAAAAAAAUAUGACAAAAGUUAUAAAAUGAUAAAACUAAAUUAUGAUCUUUCUAAAAAGACAACAAAAUUUGACAAAAGGUUACACUUGUAACUUUCCAUUGUUUUAUGCAUUGAACUCUUUUCCGAUUUUUUUUCUUUCGCUUACCUUAUAUAAUGUAAAAUAUUUUGAUAUUAAAUUAAUAAUCAAUUUAAUAAUAAAUAUUUUUAGCUUAUUGUUAAAACAAAAUUGAGAGAUGAAUGCUCAAAUUUGACAUAAAGAAACAGAACCCUUUUCUAUAAAAUAAAAAUGUGCAAAAUUAUAAUUUAGUCCUUUAAAUUUAAAAUUUUUAUUAUUUGAUCCCUAUUAAUUUAGUGCAUUAUAUUCUAGUUCUAAAUUUUAUUUUUAUCGCACUUAUCUUUAGAGGUUGAGAGUGAAGAAAGAAAGUCAUCAAAAAAUUAAAAAAAAAAAAAGAAAGAAAGAAAAAUCUCAAUGGAUUGUGGUAAUUUAAAUAUUUAUGAAUAUAAUAUUUUUUUAUUAUUUUUAUUGUGUCAAGUUUUAUAUUAUUUUCUCUAGUUAAUUGUUUUUUAUUUUUUAUACAAUCACGUUAAAAUAAUUAAAACAUUAUAUUUUUUACUUUAUAAAUUUUUACAAGUCAUGAUAAGUUUUCUUUUUAGGAUAAUGGUGCUCUUGAUAAAUAAAAACGUUAUCUCUAAAAUUAAAAAAAUAAUAAUGAAUAUCAAAAGUGAAGUCUUGGUUAAAGAAAUGAAGUUUAAUCCAAGGAAAUGGUUUUUUUUUCCUUACUAAAUUUAAAUCUUUUGAGUUUUGAUAGAUAUGUAUUUUAAUUAUUUUUAGUUUUUUUAAAAUAAUCAUGAUUUAGAAAAACUCUCAAUGUUUUUUCAAAAUAAUAAAAUCAUAAAUAAUAAAAAUAAAUUUUGGAAGAAAAAAAUACAUUUUUUUCUUCAAUGAAAGAAUAUCCAACAAAAAAACAUCGGCAUGUGCAUGUUUUGCUUUUUAUAAAGAAGAUUUAAUUUUUUUAUUUUAGUUUUUAAUUAGCUGUAACAACUAUUUUCUUAUAAUUUAUUAGUUGAUAUAGUUCUUAAUUCAUAAGUACGUAUCCACAAUAAAGCGUAGGUCCACUUGCUUGUUUUUUUUCUGAAGUUUAUUUUAUUCGUAAUUUGUCUAUUUAUUUUGUUCCAGAUGCUUUGAGUUGCAUGCUGGCCUGUGGACCAUGCCUUAACCUUGUGGGGCCAUGUCAGAUAAAUAAUGUCUUGUGAUAUUUAAGAUAGGGGUACACUAAUUAUUUUUUAUUUGGAUCGCUAUCCCUUCCUUUCCUAAAAGCGCUCUUCCUGGCACCUUCGUAUCCAAUUAAUCACCUCCUUUUUUUAACCAGAGAAGGCGUUGUAAUAACUUGAUAUUAAAAAAUUUAUUUAUUUUAUGAUUUUUUAUUUAAUUUAUGAUUUUUUAUUUAAGUUCCAUGUUGCUCUUAUAAUAAUUAUUGAAAAUUUAUAUGAUCAUUAACUUCAAAAUUUAUAAGAUUAAUUGAUGUAUAUACAAGUUUAUCCAAAUAUUUAUAUUAAUAAAAAUAAUAAAAAAAAAUUACCUUUUUUUUGGUCAUCAACAAGAAUGGAUGAGUAAAGAGACCAAAUUGUGUUAAUAGUAAAAAUCUUAAAAGUAGAAAUUAAUUUGUUUUUAUGUUUAAAAAUGUUUUUAAAAAAAUUUAAAUUUAAAUUUUUUUAAAAUUAAUAUUUUUUUAUUUUUUACAAAAUUAUUUUAAUUUGCUGAUUUUAAAAUUAAUUUUUAAAAAAUAAAAAAUAUAUUAUUUUAAUAUAUUUUUAAAUAAAAAAUAUUUUAAAAAAUAACCGUAAUUAAACUAAAAAUAAAAAAGUAAGAAGAUAGAUUUGUCGGUAACAAUAAAAUAUGUUCUCUCGAUGAAUGAUCUUGUAAUGAAAACAUAAGUUGAAUUAAAUAAAUAAUAAAGUGAAGCCUGAUAUGACAUGAUCAUGACUUUAAAAAUAAUAGGGUGAUUGUUUUGUAAAAUAUUUUUUUAUUUAAAAAUAUAUUAAAUAUAUUUUUUAUUUUUUAAAUAUUAAUACAUUAAAAUAUAUAAAAAAUUUAAAUAAAAAAUUUAAAUAUUAUCCAACUUCUAUUUAAAAAACAAUAAUUGCUUUUUGAAAUGGGAAAGCAAAUAAAAGUCGUUGAAAGCAAUACAUCUAAACAAAUUACAAUCAUGCAGUGCGGGAACUUAAAAUAAAAAUAAUAUAUCUUUUGCGGCAUGAUUGCCCCCACUGACUGCACUACACUUCUUAGUGGUUAAUCGGUCACGUCCAGAACAACUACUGUAACACAUAUAUGCAAAGCACCUGGCAUAAUUCAAUGAUGAUUACUUGCAAGCCACCUAACAUAAUAAAAGGCCGACAUUCAAAAAAAAAGAAAAAAGGCCGACAUUACGAUUGAAAAAUAUUUGUUUUUAAAAAAAAAAUUUAAUUUUUUAAUUUAAUAUGAUUGUGAUAUUUUUAGAUUAUUUUGAUGUAUUAAUAUUAAAAAUAAUUUUUAAAAAAUAAAAAUAAAUAUUAUUUUAAUAUGUUUUAAAAUAAAAAAUAUUUUUAAAAACAAUCGCUGCCAUACUUUCAAAUAAUAUAAUUGAAUCAAAUAAAAUGUAAUUGAAUUUAAUUUAUAAAUAGAUUUAAAUUUAAUAUCUUCUUAUAAAUUUUAUAUUUAAAAUAAAAUGUUAAAUCAUGUAAUUAAAUUUAAUUAUACUAUUUUUAAGUUAGCAAUAAUGAUUAUUUUAUCCUUAAUUUAAAAAUUAUAUUUUUGUUAUAUAAAACAUUUCUUAGUUCGAAUAAUUCAUAAAAAUACCAUGUUAAAUCAUGAAUGAUCAUCUCGUCCAGAAGACCAUCGUUAACUUUUUUCAACUCUUCCAAAGAAUUAAUUAAAUGACCAUAACAAGAAGGAAAAUCUUGAAAACAGGGACAAAGAACAAAAAUAAUCCGUUAAAAUCAAAUCAGAGGCUACCUUUCGGCUUUCGCCCUGUGGAAAACAAUAAUAGGGUUUGUCUUGUUGUGCUGUUAAGGAUAUUUUUUAAAUAUUGUUUUUAUUGUCAAUUUCAGAAGGAGUUAUCAUAGCAAUUUAUAGGUUAUCAACUCUUGAAUUUCAUUUCAAAUUCAAAUUCAUACUUUAACAAAUAUUCAAAAUAUAAAGAUUGAUUUAAUCUUGUGAAUUGAAUUCAAUUCAUAAGAUUCCAAACACUCGGUAAAAUAAAAUAAAAAAUUAAAUUUGAGAUGAAAACUCGUGGACUAUACAUGUAUCGCAUCAUUAUAAUUACUACAUUGAUUUUUUUUUUUUUAAUUCUUUACUACUUUUAUAAUCACUUGUUUGUUAUUAUUGUAAGUUGUGUUGAAUAAAUAUUGAACUUGAUAAUUUAUUUUGAUUUAUUUUUUAUCAUAUUAUUACGCUAUCAAAAAAUAAAUUUUGAUAUUGGGUUGAUACUUGAUUUUACAAAAAAAAAAAUAUUUUUAUUUACAAAAACUUAAAAAUAAAGGGAACAAAAUACAAAGUGAGGGGAAAAUGGAACCUUGUUUUAACCUAAAACUAAUCAUUCAGUUUCUUUUGACAAAAAAGUACCUUAUAUUUUUCUCAAUUACCAUUAUGGACAUUUAGUUUAAAAUGUAUGAGUUUUAGUCUCAAACUUUAUUUUGUUCACAUUUAAGUACUUAAAGAAAGUCAUCGAAAAAUAAUAUAGGGGCGGGGAGAGAGAGAGAGAGAGAGAGAGAGAUAGAGAGAGAGAGAGAGAGAGAGAGAUAGAGAGAGAGAGAGAGAGAGAGAGAGAGAGUCAUUGGUUGUCUACAUUUCAACAAUAAAAAAAAUUAUUUUUUGGUGUCAAUGAGUUCCAUUCGACAAUGAAGUUCUAUUGAAGUGUUUUUUACCUAUAAUCUUGUCGAAAACAAUUGACCAAGGUUGAGAAAUAUAUUUAUUUCCAACUUAAUUUUAUAUUUUUUGAUUUAUUUAGGAUUUUUUGUUAAGGAAUUGGUUUAUUGGCAUUCUAAGAGUGCUUUUUUAGUAUUUCAGGUGAAAAUAGGUUCAAAAUAAGAUUUUCAUGUCCUAAAACUCGGACUCUAAUUUUCUAGUGACCUUCAAUAACCAAAAAAUAUUGUAGAUGAAGAUAGGUUGUCCACCACAAUUGAUGACCUAUCAAAUUGUGUGUGUGUGUGUCUAAAAAUGCAGAUGAUACAUCAUCCAUUCCAAUUUAAAAAAAAUAGCUCAAGCGCGUGGGGCUGAGUUUACAGGUUUAGACGUGCUUGGCCUUUUAGGUAACUAGCAUUGCUUCUUGGGUCAAUUUAAUGAAUAAUGGGUUCAUUUUGGAAAUGUUUUUUUUAUUUUAGUGUUUCAGCCUCUUUUUAUCGUAUUCUCUUAGAACCAAUUUAACAAGUUAAGUUUUCAAUGUGAGAUAGAAAGAGAAAAUGAUGAGAAUGUAAAACAGUGCUUUGUUUUUUUUUUUUUAAUUAAUUGUAUUCUUUAAUAUUGGGUUUACUAGGGAUUAGAUUUUAUAGUUUAUUUCAAUUUGUUUUUCAUAGGGUUGUCUAAGUCUCAUGAUCCAGGUUAUGGAUUUAGUGAUUUAAAACAACUUGACUCGAUUUUUUUUUUAAUUUUAUCCUUUAAUAAUUGGUUGUUUGGGAAUUGAUCUUUAAAAUCUAUUUUGACUUACUUUCUAUGAGGUUAAUUCGGUCUCAUGACCUGAGUUGUGAGUUUGGUGGAUUAACUUAAGUUAUUUUUUUCUGUCCAUUUUUAUAAUUGAUUUUUUUUUUAAUUUCAUCCUUCUAUAUUAGGUUGAUUAAGAAUUCAGAUUUAUAAUUUAUUUUAUUUGUUUUUAUAAGGUUAUAUCGGUCUCAUGAUCCAAAUCAUGAAUUUGGUGAGUUAACUCAGGAUGACCUGAAUUGAUAUUAUAUGUUGUCAUCUCAAUAUUGUUUUUUUUUAUAAAAAAAAUAUAUUGUCUUGAAUUUAUUUUUAGUCAAAAUAUAUUUUCAUCGGUUGUUUGACAUACCUUUAUACAUGUUAGGUCGAUCUGGUUACAUUAAAUCAACCCUUACAUGAUUUAAAAUUAAUACAUGAUAUAGUUCAUGCCCAAAACACAUUGAAUGGACUGGGAUGAUUAUACUUCGACAGUUUGGUUAAUUCACCUUAAAGUUCACAGUUUGAUUGACUCAAUUUGAAUUGACAGGUUCUGAGAAGUAUUAUAUUUUCAAGAAUUUUAUAUUUUUAGUGUAAGUAAUUUGUUUUUAUCAAAUUAGAGAUGUAAAGUUAGUUUUGACAUGUUAAAACUAACAUGGAGAUGCUCCUAACAUUGAAACAAGAAAAAAAUAUCAAGAAACAUAUAUUAAAAAAAUACCAAGAAACAUAUACUUCAUUGGAAUUGCUAAAGAAAUAGAAAAAAAAAACAAUGAAUAAGAAAAGAAUUCCAUCGGCAAUGUUUUAGAAAGUUAAAACGUUAUUAUUUACUAAUGAAAUUGCCGAUGAAAUUAUUCUGUCAGCAAAUGUAAAUAAGUUCUAAUUGACAACCCCCCCUAUUCUUCUUCCUGUGCAAAGAAAAGUAUCAUCAACCAUCUAUUAUCUUAUAAAUCCAGCCACCCUAACCUUUUAACAUCGAUUUACAUCUAUAAUUAAUGUUAGCAUUCGUCAUGAAAUAUUUUGUGAAACUUCAAUAUACAAAGUAAACAAACCAACCCAUUUUUUUUAAAUCCAUUUAUGUUUUAGAUUAAUUUAUUAAAACAAUUUAUAGUAUUUGUAGUUUUUAGUACAUUUAAGUGUUUUAUAGUUUUUUCCUAAAGAAAUUUAUUGUGUUAAUAUUUGUAUGUUACAGUUCGUUUAAUGAAGAAAUUGAAGAAAUAAAAUUGAGUUUGAUUUUAUAUUUUAGGUGUGUUAUAAUUGAAGAAAUGAUGGUUAUUUUAAUGAGUACCAAUCAUAUUUUGUAGAUUUUAUUAUUAAGUUGGAAAUUAGGGGAAAUUGAUUUUUUUUUUUUGUGGAAUUGAUAAAGUCAAUAUUAUUAUAUAUAGGUUUCAUAAGAAAUGCAUGAUCAUUUUUAGAUGUAUCAAGAUUCACCUAAAAAAUUAUCUUCAAAAGGUUGAGGGUUUUAUUAUUUUUGUAAUUUUUAAAUUGAAGAAUAUUAGUACGGAAAAUUAGAUGUUCAUAUGUGAAGUAUAAGAAUAAAAAAUUUCACCAUAAAGAUAUUAUAAUGACGCUUCUACUUAAAAAGGUUUCGUUGAGAAAUACUUAUGUUGAUUUGCACACGGAGAACCUUAUGCUCCUUACGAAACCAUGUUAGAAAUCAUGGUUGGCUUAGCUUCUAGUUCUAACAAUAUAAAUGGGUUGUGGGGAAUAAUAGUACUCAUUAGAGAAGUAUGGUGAUGAAUACAAUAAGAAUAAUUCAUAAUUAUUCAUGUAAAAGUUCAAGUAAUAUCCUUUUAGAUGAAAAAUCAAAUGUAGAUGUAACUAAGUUUUUUAAACUUUUACAAGAUUUUGAUAAAUUAUUAUGGGAUAAGUGCACAGCUUACAAUUUGGUUUGUGAUCUUGAUUUUAUUUUUUUUUUGCUUUGCUUUGGUUUUUUUGCUUUGCUUUGGUUUUGUUUGUGAUCAUGAUUUUGUUUGGUUUGGUUUGUGAUUUAAAGAGAGAGUUUUGAAUCUAUAUACAUAACAGAUGUUGUUUUUUGUGUUUUGUGUGUAGACCAUGUUACUUUUGAUUUUUUUAUAUAUAGUUAUGAGUUUAUUAUUUUUAAAUUAAGAUAGCUACUAUUAUUGCUAGUUCGACCAGUAAUAGUAUUGGUGAUGUUAAUGCUCAUGUUAUUAAUUUUAGGUAUCGAUCAUGAAAAGGUGGAAUCCAUUUUAUGUAAGUUAUUUAUUUUGUUUAGGUUAUUUUAAUAUUUACAUUAAAUGAAAAUGGUUGAUUGUGUGUGAAUUUGUUUUUAGUUUCUAUCAAUAUUUCCUAGAUAUAUGCAUCCUAUAUUGUGUUAUUUCCUAUAAUAUGCUCUCUCAAGUUGAGAGUGAAGGAUGAACCUGAAACUUGAAUUGAAAAGUAGUAGAAGAAGCAGUAAGAAGUGUCUUAGUAAAAACAUCAAGUUAAUUCUAAAAAGAGAUAAAACAAAUCUAAAUAUCAUUAUUGGCAACCCUGUCAUAUAUAAAAUGAUAAUUAACUUCAACAUGUUUAGUACGAACAAAGAUCUUAAAAAGAUUUAUGAAGUUAUAACACAUGUCAGAUAUGGAGAAUAGUCAACAGCCAAGGUAGAGUGAGGAGCUGCAACACCGGUUAGAUUUGGGGAAGAGUCGACAACCAAGGUAAGAGUCUAUUAGGGAGAGGGAAAGAGAAUUUUAAUGUGUUAAGGCUUUAAUACCAAGUUGAAGAGAAAUAAGAGGCCUAACCUAGAAGUUAACCAUUCUUUUUUAAUUAUAUGUAGGGAAAUAUACAAUAGUUAAUGUAGAGAUUACAACACAAGAUUAAGCCUAUCAAUAUUGCAUAGAUACAUACAUCUUAUAUUGUGUAAUUUCCUAUAAUAAAAACGAAAAAAAAAUUGGUUAAUUUAAUUUUUUUUCUCAAUUUGGUUUUUUUUAGUUUUUUUGGUUUAAUUAGGAUUUUAGUUUUUUUGCUCAAGAUAUCUUCAGGUAAUCUUCACUUAAACCUUAAGUACAUUUCUAGAUUGCCUAACGAGAUUCUUAAGGAAUCCUAAUUUUUAAAAAAUUAUCAUUUUUGUUGUGUUUAUGUGUACCGGGAAACCCAACAUUAAUAACUAUUCAAUUUAGUCAUAAAAUUUAUCAUAUCCAUGCCCAAAAAGGCCCAAUCAGGGAGAGAAGAAUUCAAGGUUAGCCAACUGGAUUAUCACAUUAUGAUCAUGUCCAUAAUUCAGGUCAUAAAAUUGACAGUUAAGUAGAUUGAUCGAUGGUGAUUCAAUAUAUCAUCGUCUCAAUAUAAAAAAUAAAAAAUAAACAGGAUGUCAUCUUAAAAUUAUUUUUACACUAACCCAAAUUUCUAUCGGUCAUCUAGGUUAUUUUUACACCCAACAAAUUGAUUAUGUCACAUCCUGGAAACUCUCAUAUGAUUUAAUUUGAAGCUCAUGCUAAACAAAGAAUCAAGUUAGAAGGUUUUAAAUUGACAUGUUGAAUUAGAUUUCAUGACAAUGUCAAAGAGUUCCUCAUAUCCAGCCCAUUUUUAUAUAUUAAAAAACACUACUAUAUUUUUUAAAAAAAACAAUUUUCUCUUCAUUCAAUUUAAUCCUUAUUCUAUAAUAACUUUUCAAUCAUGUCUUAAAUUUCAUCAUACUCGAGCUCAAGUCCUCUUUUUUCAAUUCUCUAAUAACUUUUCAAUGUAGUUUAAAAUUUCAUCACAUCCAACCUCAAUAAAGAUCCAACUAGAAAGAAAAUAAAAAAAAAAAAAAAAAAAUCGACCAACCUGUUUACCACAUUGUGAUCAUAUCUAUAACCUAUUGUGAAUAUAAAUCACAGGUGAAUUUAUGAAUAUUAUGUUUUCUUGCACUUCCCUUUGCCUUAUAUAUCUGUAUUUUCUCUUUGCAGCACAGGCAGUGCCAUUAGUGAAGACAAUAAACUUCAAAAUUAUGAGCUCACUGAUAUUUGGAAUAGCGCAAAGUGCAAACAGAGACAUACUCGGAGAGCUCUACCAACAACCGGUGAAAAGUGUUCUUUCUGUACCGAUCAAUUUCCCCUUCACAUGCUUCAAUCACAGCCUCCAAGCAAGAGAAAAGACCAGAACGAUAAUCUUGUAUCUUAAACAUGAAAAGAGGGCUACUUUGGAGCAUCAAAUCACCAUUCCUUAGCCAGAUCUCUUCACCAUCUUGCUUGGUUUCCUAAAUGAAGACAAUUCUGUUGUAUAUCUGAUGAUGAAAUUGUAGAUAGUGCUAUCAAUAUAAUGAAAGCAGGACAUGACACAACUUCCAUCCUCAGUUUCUUGAUCAAGCUUUUAGUCAAUGAUCCGUCUGUUUAUGGCAGCAUUGUUCAAGGUAUGCGACUAAAUUCUUGAAAAUCUCUAAAAUUUGAGACUGCAGAACAAGAGGACACUGCCAAGAGUAAGGUGUCAAAGGACCUAUUAGCAUGGGAUGAUCUCGCAAGAAUAAAAUAAUUUAUUUUUAAUAUUUAUUUUUAAUAUCAGUGUAUUAAAAUAAUUUAAAAACACUAAAAAAAUAUUAAUUUUAAAAAAAUAAAAAACAUUUAAACUUUUUUAAAAACACUCUUAACACACAAAAAUAAAGACGCCCUGCUAAUUCUGUAUUCCUAAAACAUCUGGUUUUCAUGUGCAAUCGUAGGGACGAAGGGGAAAGAAAGGAAGAAAAAAAAUAAAAUAAAUAAAGACAGAAAGGUUAAUUAGGGCUUCAUUUAACGGUUUUAUUAUUAUUAUUAUUAUUAUUAUUAUUAUUAUUAUUUUGCAUACAAUUGACUCUCCCAAAUCAUAAUCACUAAGAACCUAGCUCCAGGUUAAGUGGGUUUACCACUCAAAGUCGUGACCAGUUCAACUUGCAAUCUCCUUUAUACUAAAAAUAAUAAUAAACCUUGCAACCUCCUAGGUUUUCAGGUUAAAAUAGCCUGGUUAUACCACUAGGAAUAAUCAUUUACUCAACCAAUAAUCAAACGGUUAACAUUUAUUUAAUACUUUAGUGGUUAUUGUGAUACAGUUUAAAAGGAUGAAUUUAAAAAAACUAUAAAUUAUAGCUUUUUCAACUAAAAUUUUAAGAUAUAUUUUUUAAUAAAAUAUAUAUAAAACUAUGAUAUAUGUUGAUUAAUUAUUAAAUACUUGUUAAUUUUAAAUUUGUGGUUGAAAUAAAAAUUAAACUGUACAACAUUGUAUGAUCACAUAACUAAAUAAUGGAGCCUUGGAUGAAAAAUCUAAAUGAAAUUGCUUUCCUAAUAAAAUUGGUGGACAGCGUGAAGAUUGCAUUGCAUCAUGGCAUUGUCUCUACAAAUAUAUGAUAGCUAAGACCAAGUGCUUCCAGCUUUUCCGAGUGUUUUCAUUAUCACAAUUAUUGCACUCGAUAAUAUCUCUGGCUCUCUACAAGUUUGCUUCCGAAUAUCACUCUCUCUUGUCCCUUCUUUUGUCACUGUAACCAAGCUUUUUCCUUGCACAGAUUAUCUCUCACUUCUCUCUUAAAUCUUCAAAUCUGUGUGUGUGGUUCUUGAUCAGGUGGAGCUGGCUACCAUGGAGGUUCAGAACCAAGAGCACCAAAAACCCAACACAGACCAAGUGGUUCUUUCCGUGGAUCAACCAGACUCCAAACUCAGACAGUCACCAUCACCACAGCAACCAGACUCCAAAGCCCCCCUCUCUAAAACCCUGGCAAGAACAAAUACCCUCCGCCGUCUCAACUUCUCCAAGCCCAAAUCUCGUUUCAGUGAGACAAACUACCCUCCCCCUUCCAGGAGCAGCCAUGAAUUCGAAGAAUAUUACCAACUACUAAACCCCCCCGAAAGCGCUUCCUCCAGUGAUGAGGAAGAUGAUGAAGAAUGGUAUGAAUAUGAAGAAGGAGGAGGGGAAGAAGUUGAUGAUGCUGGAGAUUCCAAAAAACAUUCCAAGAACGGAAGGAGAAGGAUAAUAAAGAUAAAAAAGAGAGCCUUGAUUGAGUUCAUAUUGUUUCUAAUAAGCAUGACCUGCUUAAUUCUCUCUCUAACCCUUGAAUCCCUCAGAAACAAGGUCCUAUGGGGUUUACUUUUAUGGAAAUGGUGCCUUAUGGUCCUGGUUAUCUUCUGUGGCCGCCUUGUGUCGGUUUGGCUUGUAGGUUUUCUUGGUUUUCUCAUAGAACGCAACUUCAUGCUCAGAGAAAAGGUACUCUACUUUGUUUUUGGUUUGCGAAAGAGUUUUCAACACUGUGCAUGGCUAGGACUGGUUCUACUUGCAUGGAUGAGUAUGUUCCAUGAUGCCCACAAACGCAACAAGACCUUGAAGAGGACUUUCCGCGUUCUGAUUGCCGUCUUCGUCGGAGCUACAUAUGGUUACUAAAGAUUUUACUCGUCAAGGUUCUUGCUUCAUCUUUCCAUGUUGCUACCUUCUUUGACCGCAUGAAAGAAAGCGUCUUCCACCACUACAUUCUCGUUACACUCUCCGGGCCACCAUUAGAUGAGAAUGAGAGGGAAACUCCCCGUCGGCUGACGCCGAGGCAUUCGAGGAGAUUGCCGGCGAAACAGAGAGAGAUGGCCUCGCCAGACAUGCCUAUAUCAAAAUCCAAGAGGUACGAGUCGAGGAGAAUCGAUAUGGAGAGGCUGAGGAAGCUGACUAAGAUGACUAGGGCAACCGCUUGGAGUGUGAAGAGGUUGGGCAGUUACAUUAAGUCAUCGGGAUUGUCGACGGUCUCGAGGACGGUCGAUGAUUUUGGUAAUGCAGAAUCGGAGAUCAACAGUGAAUGGGAGGCUAGAUGCAGUGCUCAAAGGAGUUUCAGGAAUGUCGCCAAACCUGGUGCCAAGUAAGUUCAAUUUCUUCUGCUAGCCUUUCUGGUUAAUUAAUUAUAUGAACAUUUGAUAUUAAUUAUAUAUUUAUUCCUUUAUACAGUAGAGAUAAUUAACCGAUCUCAAUUAUGCUAGCCUCAAGAUGAAAGUUACAAUAACAAAGUCAAGUUUUGGACAAUUUUCUAUAAACUUAGAUUAUAUUUAGUAUGAUUUUUGUAAAUUAAUUUAAAUUCUCUUUUAAUUUAAAUGAAAACAAGUCAUAGAACUUUUGACUUGGAUCAAAAGUUUAUUAUAAAAUUGAGUCAAAAUUAUGUUUUUUAAUUUAAAUUUGAAAAUUCUGACUUAUAUCUUCCUUUAGAAAAAUUAUUUGAGUUUUUUUUAUAAAUCAUGUUUUGAAAUGGUUAUAACUUAUUUUUUUCAUAAAUUAUUUAUAAAAAAAAACUUUUAGAUUAUGAUUUAAAGUUAAAAAUCAUGUCAAACAAAUUCAAAAUUAUUAAUUUCUGAUGCUUUUCUUAUAAUAAGACAAUAGUUGUUUGCGUUUUCCUAGAAUUUUCUAUAAAUCUAUUUGAGAUAAAUAGUUUUUUUAUGCAAUUUCAAAUAUGAAGAAAGUCUUUGUUUUUUAUUAGUAAAACUUACUAUUUGAAAUUCAACGAAUUUCUUGUUUUCUUGUGAAAUAAUUGAAAUGAAUGAACUUUUUACCAUAAAGUGAAAUUCAACGGAUUUCUUGUUGUAUUAUUGUUUUUGUUGUCUUCUUAUGAAAUAAUUAAAAUGAAUGAACUUUUUACUAUAAAACAAAAUUCAACGGAUUCCUUGUUUUUUAUUUUUUUGUCUUCUUGUGAAAUAAUUGAAAUAAAUAAUCUUUUUACCAUAAAAUAAAAUCCCCCUCCUCCUAUUUUUUUUUUAAAAGAUAGUUUUAUUAAUAAAUAAUAGAACAUUAAAUAAAAAUAUCAAUUUGUUUGAAUUUGAUACAUACAAUAAUCUUCAAUUUAUUAAGAAUUUUUAAUUUUAUCAGCAUUAAUGAAUCUAAUUUUUUUUAUUUUGCUAGAAAUACAUAAAGAAUGGUAAACUUCUUCCCUUACAAACAAAAUUAUAUUUAGAUUAAUAUCUAUAUCUAAAAUUUUAAAAUAAAAAAUUAGAUUCAAUCAUUUCUAGAUAAAUUAUACAUGGUUGAAUUCCAUGUUAUGUGAUUUGCUAGCUUCCAUUAUUUUUAAACUGUAAUCAUUGCUCGUUUUUGUUUUUUUUUGUUUUGUCUUUUUGGUAAAAGACUUUCAACUUUUCGAGUCUAUCGAGGCACAUAAAUCCUUGACUGUUUCUCGGCAGUGGCACAUUUGAUGGUGUGGGGUUGACGUUCAACGUUUUUCAAAAUUCACACCUGGGAAACCUCAACCCUCCUCUGUUCCUUUCUGAUUUUAGCUCUCGAAAGCCAAUCAUAGCCAUACAAAUCAACAAAACAAGGAGUACGAUCAGGAAGGGUAGUCAGUCCGAGUUAUUGAUGGAUAAAUCGGGUAAUUAACAUAUAAUAUAGUACGCUCCUAAUUAUAAAUGGAUAAAAUAAAAAAAUAACUAAUUAACAUGGUAGCAAAAAAAUGUGGUAAAUCAUCGGUGGGUGGUUAGGUGGGGGUGUUGGUAAAUAGGUAUGUUCUCAUAUGAUCUCUAGUUUAACUCUCUACUUAUUAAUAUUUUGAUGGUGAUGAAUCGCAAUAUAUAUAUAUAUAUAUAUAUAUAUAAAUCUUGGUGAAACAAGGUAUUUUUAGCUGUUAGAUAUUUAAUUAAAUGUUAUAUUUUAAAAUUAUGUUAUUAAUUAAAUUCAGAACUAAUAAGUAGAUGAGUUUAUGAGAAAAAUUAUAAAAUUAUCAAAACUUAGUAGUUAGAAUAGCAAUUUCAUAGCUAUUAUAUAUAUAAAAAAAACAUUUAGAAACUCUAUAAAAAAAUUACUAAACCCUGUCAAAACUUUUAACUCACUAUAUGCUAAUUGUUUUUUAAAAAAUUCAUUAUAUAGCUAUCUAGCUGCAAUAAUAUUCUAGUACCUGUAACCAAAAAAACUAAAAAAUUAAUUAAAUUGAGAAAAAUAAAAAAUGUAACAAAAAAUUAAUAAAACCAAAAAAAAAAAAACCAAACUCAAUUCAGUUUAAUUUAAAAAACUAAAACCAAUCAAAUUAAUUCAAACUGAAAUAAAUAGAGUUCAAGCCAGGAGUAUAAAUAUUAAAGUCUCCUUUCUUUUCACCUCUGUACCUCAAUCUCUAUGUUUUAAUUUUGUAUUUUACUUUUAAUAAUAUAAACUGAAUUUGAAUUAAAAUUAAUUGGUUUGAAUUGAAUUUAAUUUAAUUUUAAUUUUAAUUUUAAAAAUAAAUAAAUAAUUUUUUAAUUUAAAACUAAACUAAAUAAAAAAUGUAUCGCAUUACAGACAUUGCAACAGAAGUUGAGGUGGAUUGUUUUAAUUCAUUAUGAUUUAAAGCAAUUAUAUCAGGUAUAUUCAUUUUUUUUCUCAAAUAAAAUUCAGAUUUAUCAUUAAAAUUAUUUAUUAAUCUAUUUUUGCAUUAAGAGAAGAGAAUAUAGCUGCAACUCCCGAUGUCCGAUUUAAAGUAAUGGUGAUUUUGGCAUUUGCUGCUUAAAACUUCAAUCUAUAUCACUCAUUAUAAGUCUCGAGCUGCAUUCUCGAAACUGUUUAAAAAUAAUGUUGGUAUAAUUAUUUUAUAAAGUGUUUUUUAUUUAAAAAUAUAUUAAAAUAAUAUAUUUUUUAUUUUUAAAAAAUUAUUUUUGAUAUCAACGCAUUAAAAUAAUUUUUAAAUAUCAAAAACGUAUUAAUUUAAAGCAAAUAAAAAAAAUUAAAAAUUAAAAAAAUUUUAAAAGCGCUUUUAAAACAUCUUUUCAUUCAGAAAUGUAUCAAAAUAAUGUUUUUUUUAUUUUUUUUUUAAUUUAUUUUUUAUAUAAAUACAUUAAAAUAAUUUAAAAACAUUAAAAAUAUAUUCAUUUGAAGUAAAGAAAAAAUUAAUUUUAAAUUUUUAAAAAAAACUUUUAAAAUUUAAAAACAAAUUGGGUCUUAGAUUUGAAUUCUCUGCGGCUCAUUGUAUAGUUACAUUUUUAGUCCCAGUCUAACUUUGAUGAGUUGUCUGACAAAAUUCCAAUAAUCUGAUCUGUUUCCAUUUUGGAUCAUCAUUUCAGAUUAAUUUUUAUUCUCUAACUUUUGGGUUUCACACGGUCACAAAAGAUAUAAAUAAAAUAAAAUAAAUAAAUAAGCACACGAGCCAUGUAAAAUUUGUGGUUAAUUAGCUAAUUGUGUACCUGUACUACAACUCAGCAAAAUUAACAACAAAGCUUUUUUGAGUUAAAAGACAUGUCCAGUAUUGAAAAUACAUUAAAAACUAAUUUACAAUUCGAGUCAUAAAUGUAAUUAAAUUAAAGAAAUUAGUUUUUAUCAUUUUACAGUGUUCAAAAAAUGAAAAUGCAUUAAAGAAAAUCAACAACGCGAGUUAUAAAUUUAAUUGGAUUAAAUAAAUUGAUUUUUAUUAGUAAUUGAUCUUGAAGAUUUGUUUCAUGCUAUUUUUUAGCUUUUUAUAACUAGAUCAAGGUUGGGAGAGAUCAUUAAUUUUUUUUUUUUGUAUUUUUAAAAUCAAUUUGAGGGUGGUUGGGUUAUGGAAUUAGUUUCUUAAGGUUAUAAAAGCAUGUUUUCAUGUGAUUUUAAGUGAAAAUAAAUUAAAAAAUAGAUCUUGGAGGUCAAAAAUUAAACAUCUUGAUUUUCAAGCCACCUUUGUUGUUGUCAAAUUCUGGGCAGCAAUCAAUAUAUCAUUUGCUUCAAUUUUAUUUUUUUUAUAAAAGGUUUAGGUGCGAAGACCUGAGCCAUCGAGGUCCUGGCCUGCAUCUAGGUUUUUCUUUUUAAAAAUAAUUUUAAAUAUAUAUAUAUACACACACACUUUCUUUUAAAAAUUUUAAUUAAUUAAUAAUAUUUUUUAGAUAUUAUUUUAUUUAGUCCCAUUUAAUUUUUACUUUGUUCUUGAACAAUAAUAGCUCUUUUUUGUAACCCAUUUUUUUUGUUACUUUACUAUGGACGCUAAUUUUUAUUAUUAUAUAAUUAAAUAAAAAAUAGUUUCAAAAAAAUAAAUUUAUCAAACGUAAUUGAGUUCAUGAUCUGAGUUGCAGGUUUAGUGGGUUAACCUGGAUUAAAUCGAUAUGUCACUACCUUAAUAUUAUUAAAAAUGAUCGUCUUGAAUUUUUUUUUUUAAGUAAAACUAUAUUUUUAUCUAAUGUUUUGGUUGCCUUUAAAACUGCAAAGUUCACUAAAUCAUAUCAUAACAACCCCCAUAUGAUUUAAUUUAAAAUCUUGGCUAGGAAAAGAUUCAAUAUUAAGAAGGUUUAAAGGAUGACUAACUAAGUCGGGUUUAAUAAAAAUUUCAAAAAGAUUCUGGCAACAACACACGAGCAUUAUAUAAUUGUUUUAUACAUAUGCUUUAAAUUGAUUAGAUGUUAUUUUAUUAGAAUUAAAAUUUGCUUUUGGAAUGGUGAGAGAAUCUUAUUUAAGAAACUAUUGUUCUUAUAAAAAAAAAUUAAAAAGAAAAAAGCACAUUAAUGAGACAAAGGGAUUGAGUUUGAGAUAAAUCUCUUUUAUCCUUAUUUUAAAUUAUAUUAUUUUUUUGGGUAUGUCUUCUUGAUGAUUUUUUUGGGUAUGACAUAUUUCCUUCAAUUAAAGAUAUUAAUAAGAAAAAGUAGAUUUAUACUAGCAAAUUAUUUUAUUUCAAUCAAAUUUAAAUUAUUAAUAUUCUUGUAAAAAAAUAUUAGUGUCAUAUAAUUAAGUAAACAAAAUUAAAGGUUUUUUGUAGUUUAUAUAUGAUAAGAUAUCUUGGUCUAUAUUUAUUUUUUAAUUUCAUUACUUAGUUUUUUAGUUAGCGUUAAGAUCUCUUUUUAGUAUUUAUUGACACAUAUAAUUCUCAUUCUAUUUUGUUAAAUACAUGAAUAGAUUUUGUGUUAAUGAUAAAAAUAUUUGAAAACAUUACUCUGAUUAUCCUAUAAUUUAAUUAUUCUUCACUUUUCCUUUAAAAAGUUUUUAAAUUACAAUUCACAUUAAAAACUUUAUAAAUUCAUAACAUUUUUCAUUGUAUCUAAAAAAGUCAAUAAAAAGAGUCUAAUUAUUCACAAAAUUUUCAUUAUAUUCUAAUUAAUAACUAAAAAGACAUUCUAUUGUUAAAAUUAUAAAAUUAUCAUAAAAAAAAUAAAAAAUAAAAACUUUUUCCAGAAUUCGACAACCCAAUCCCAAAAAACUCCCUCACAGAGUAACUUUAACGAUAAAUGAGACCUUACAAAAACUAAAUGAGAUAGAAUUCUACUUGGUUGAGCAGCACACCAAAGUUUUGUUCUAUGAAACCACUGCCCAUUAUCCCGGCUUAGAUGUCUCUUCUAAUGGGUGGUUUAAGCAACACCAAAUAUCAAAACUGAACUGUUGCUAAAUAAAUUUGGUAGCUUGGAAUGCAACAUGCGGUUCCAUGUGGCUUGAAAAAUAUUAAAGAGUAAUAUAAAAUUAUUUUUACAAUUUCAUUUAAUAAUUUAAAUUUUGAAUUUAAAAUAGUUUUUAAACAUGAUAUUAGAUAUAAUUUUAAAACCCGGCCCGGCCCGGUAGGUCAACCUGGAACCCGGUCUAUCCAGGGUUGAAACCGAGCCGAGUUGAAAAAAAAACAGGAAAAGAAAAAACCCGGUAUGACCCGACGGGUUGACCCAGUGACCUGGUUGACCAGGCAAGACCUGGUCAAAAACCCGGUUGCAACCUGUUGACUUUUUUUUUUUUACUAAAACGGUGUCGUUUUAAUUUAAAAAAAAAUUUGACCCGGACGACCCAGUGACCCGGUCAAAACUCGGAACCUGGGUCUUGGACCUAGCCGGGUCUAAAAACUAUAAUAUUUGAGUUUUAUUGAUUAAAUGUUUAUGAGUUCAAAUCUCAUUACUUUUAUUCUAAUUAAUAAAAAUUAAACACAAAAUAAUAAAGAUAUCUACUAGUUUCAAACUCAAAAAAAUUUUAUUUGAAGGAGUGUAUUAGAUAAUAAUAUAAAAUUAUUAUUAAAAUUUUACUUAAUAACUUAUAUUUUUUAAUGGAGAUAAUUAUUUAACAAAAACAUCAAUCUAGAUCAUGCAAAGUUUUGUAGUCAUGACUAAACCUCAAAGACGGGAAAAAAUAAAUAUAUGAUGUAUAUAAUCUCAAAUCCACUCGGGGAAGGUGAAUAUUGAUAUAUAAUUGGAAAAAAUAUACAAAAUGAGGGUGGAUUUUCAAUGUUUUCUCCAGCAAAAAAAAGUCCAUCUAAGACAAAUUUCAAUGGCAAUGAUAUGCAUCGAUCCCCAUGUUUGGUAAAGUCAACAACACCCACCUAGGCCAGCGGUGGCUGUUGAUUGAAGGCCACUUUCAGCCAAGUAAUCUCAGUAGGGUUAGUGAAGGUAGAUCAUGCAGUAGCCAGGAGAAAAUUUGGAAAUUUAGUGUGAGGGUUAAGAUUUACAAAUUAGGGAUGAGAGUUUGUGAGUGUUUAUGUUACAUUAUAUAUUGGAGGACAUUUGUUUUUUAUUUAAAUUUAAAAUUUAUAUUAAUUGGGAAUUAAAUUGUAAUUUCUAAAAGAAUAAAGAUAAAAUACAUGUGAUUAGAGUAAUUUUCUAAUCUUUUUACUAUUUAAAAAUAAUUUAUUUACUUAAAAAAAACUAUUAUCGUCUACAGUUAAUACGGACAGUUAUUUAGUGAUCACUAAGUGUGUAUUUUUGUUGACAUAUUUUUUUUUUUGAAUGUUUUAAGGUAUAUUGAAGAGGAAGAUCUACUAAGGUUCUUAAAGACUAUAGAGGUUCAUUCCAUAUUUCCUCUCUUUGAAGGAGCUGUUGAGACUGGAAAAAUCACAAAUCCUCUUUCAGAAAUUGGGUGGUAAGCAACCCAAAACCCACAUUUAAAAAAAAAAAAAUGGAUCUUAAAGCCCUCACCUUACUAUGUUUACACAUAAUAAAGAAGAAAAUCAUAAAAAAUAAUUUAUUUAUUUAUUUAUUUUUGGUGAUUAAAGGAUGCUUGCUUUCAAAUCAGGAUCAAUAAUUUGUUGAGUACUUGACAUAGAAGAUUCAAUGAUUAAUUAAUUAUCACUUCAUCACCCACAUUAACCCAUAUGGUGUGCAUUUGAUUCCUGAAUUCCAUACACAAUACCAUUUUCCCUCUUUAACCUCUAUAAUCAAGGACUAAAAUGAGAUUAACUUUUCUUGUAUUUAAGGGAAAGCAUAUCAACAAUUUAUUCAAAGACGUAUAAUUUCCUUCUUUGCUAUGUUUAUGUUUUCAAUUGCUAGGUGCAUGCCUAUGUUGAGAGGAAAGCAUUGGCACAUUCCUUGAAUGAUACCAAGGUUGCUAUCCAGCAACUUCACAGGUUAGCAAGUGCAAUAAUGACUCUAAUUAUAAUUGUGAUCUCUCUUCUGGUGACGGGAUUGGCGACAACCAAGGUUUUAUUUGUUUUCACAUCUCAACUGCUACUCGUGGGGUUCAUGUUCCAAAACACUUGCAAAAGUAUCUUUGAGUCCAUCAUCUUCGUCUUGUCAGCAUCCUUUUGAUGUGGCGAUCGUUGUGUUGUCGAUGGCAUCCAGGUAAAGAAAAUAUAUUAAUUCUUAAAGAUGGUUGAGUGAGAAGAUUUUAUAUAUUUGUUUUCUAAUAUGUUGCAGAGGUCGUGAAGAUGAACAUUUUGACGACUGUGUUUACGUAUGAUGCGGAGAAGAUAAUAUCCCAAUUCUGUUCUUCUUACAAAGCCUAUCAGUAAUUUCAGAAGAAUCCAGACAUGGGGGAUGGUAUGACAUCACCAUUGAUGUCUCCACUUCUGUUGAUGACUUCAAUGCUCUAAAAAAGCUAUACAAAUGUAAGUUAUUAAUCUCAUUGCAUUCAAAAUAUUUCUAGUGUUAGACACAAUUACUUCUUAAAGUACUUAGCUUGCCUAAACCACACUUGUUUUGCUAAUAGAAAUCAAUAUUUUCUAGAUAUUAGUUAAUUAUUACCGAUUUUUCUUUCUCUAUAUAUCAGCAUAUUAAUUAUGGAACACAUGUAUUAAAAAUUUCUUGUUGUGCAAUGAUGAAUUAUUAGCUCGAGAAAACUAUAAUUAUGGAAUACUGCAGAUACAUGAAAGCAAACCAAAGCACUGAACCCAAACCACACAUGAUGGUGUGCGAGAUAGAGAAUGGGAAAGAUUUGAACUUACUCUAUGUGUUCAACACACCAUGAACCAUCAAAACUAUGGGAAAAGAGCAAUCGAAGAUCGAUCUUGUUUUUGAACUAAAAAAGAUUUUUGACAGGCUUGGCAUUAAGUACCAUCUUCUUCCACAACCAGUACAGCUUACGCAUGUCAAACGAUCAUCAAUGGAGGAAUGUCAAUGCAAUCUGAUACAAAUGCAUUUAUUUGGAGUGCAAAAAGAAAAUUAUCAUCAUAUCCCACACCUGAAGGAUCGUUAAUUCAAUAUGGCCAUACCGGCUAUUCUGCAUUUGUUUUCUUUUCCUUUUGUAACUUCUUUUUUAGCUUAAAUUACAGCCAGAACUUAUGAUGGAUGGACAAUAAAAUAAAAAUUAUUGAAGUAUUAUGAUUGGCUAUUAUUAAACCCACUUAUUUUUUAUAUUAGUAUUUAUUAUUAUAAUAAAGUUGGUUAUCUACAUCCCAAUAUAUAUGCACACACACUAAGAAAACACAUAGUAACUUUCAAUGAUUCAUCAACCAGACAAUCUCUUCUUCUUCUCAAACUUAUUUCCUUAUUAUUCUAUUAUGUAUUAGAUUUUAUUGCAUAACACAUAAUGGUUACUCUAAAAAAACAUAUCUCCUUCAUAUACCUUCUUUACAUCAUAACCACAACCCAUAAUAAACUCUACCUUAGUCUCGCCAUUUUCACCCAACCCUCAUAGUGUCGGCUCCACACCAUAUACCUAUAAUAGUUUUAACCUUCAUCAUGCUCACCUCUAUUUCUCUCUAAAACUCAUAAAUAAUAAUUAUAUUUUUUUAAAAGCACAUGUUUAAUCCAUUCUAAUAGGUUAGGGCUUAUUUAUAUUCAUUUAUAAUAGUCACUCAUGUCCUCUCAAAACUAUAAUCAUUAAUAACAUUAUAGAAGUCAAUCCAGUCUAUACCAUAUAAGUGAAAUAAGACCAACUACUAAUGAGCACUAUGAUUGCAUUCCUUUCAACCAAGGGUAUUGUCUUUGAUUGUUGGUUAUACUAUGCCUCAUACCAUUUGGUCCACUUUAGCAUCAAUAAUUAUAUCUCCUACCGCAACAUGUAUUAUAUCUAUGCACUCAACCCUGAUUGAACAACGUUAAAAACCUUAUGAAGAUAACCUACUUACAACGUGGAGAAACUUAAAGUGAUGAACUCGCAAUGAUUGUUAAACCUUUUAACCCUAUAAAAUUUAAUAUUAUCUAUUAAAAUGACUUUAUAAUAAUAAAGAUCAUGUAACUACUCUUAUGGAUGGAUAUAUCAGUAUCCUUUACUAAACUAUAUUUUUACUAUUAAGUAAUAAAUUUUAUAACAAGAACAUUUUUCAUGACCUUUUAUUUGACAGGAUAGUGAUAUGAAAACCCGCAAACCAUUUACUCACGUUACCACACAUAUUUGUACCUUAACAAGAUUGAGGUUAAUACUCUAGUGAUACUCUCUCAAGUGAUCAUGGGGGUUUAACUUUUUAGGUGAGGCCAUGAUAAUAUAGUGAGGGUUUAACUUUUAAUUCCUAUUACAAUUUAUCUCUCAACAACAUUGAAAUUAUUUUAAUUUGUAUUCUUAUUUAUGGUGUUAACUAAUAUGGUUAUAAGGACCACUUAGCCACUUUUUCCCUCUCUAGACCAACAAUAAUGAAAAAAUCAUCUCGAUCUAAAAGUAAGGAAAACUCAUGGUAUGUUAAAUCAGCAAACUUAAUAUUGAACUUUGACAUGUGUCUUCGUCAUCCUUAUUCACAUGUUCUACAUCAUUCAAUUUCUAAUAAUUUUUUUCAAUUGCACUACUUGUUGUUUGGCGAAUCUAUUAGAUCAACUUUAUAUCCUUCAAAAUAUAUAAGCAUCACUCUUUUAAAUUUAAUAUUUAAUGAUGUUUAGAGCUUUUUUACCAUAUUUAAGUUAAAUUUCAAGUUUAUGAUAUUUUAUUUAGUUCUAAUAACUUGUUAUGAAUUAAUCUCAUACUCAUAUAAACAACAUGCAAACUAAUUGAGUGGUAAAUUAAUAAAACUUCACACAUAUUUUUUUAACUAUGGUAUUCCUUACCAUGCCACUUACCUUACACUCAUGAGAAAAUUAACAUCGUGGAUCAUUAUUGUUAAUAAUUUGUUAAAGUAGGGAUUACACUACUUGCUCAAACAUCCUUGCCAUUUACUUUCAGGUCAUAUGCUAUUAAAACCAGUUUAUACCUUAGUUGCAUGUCAACUUUAAUUCUAUGUUCCAAAUAUCUAUUUAAUUUUUUUUCAAUUUUAUCCUGACAAUACUUUAAAUUUUUGGUUACUUGUGUUCUCUUAUCUCUAACCAUACAAUCAUCAUAUAAUGGAUUUCACUCCUCAUUAUACAUCUUUCUAUGUUAAAGUUUACUUCAUAUGGUUAAUAAUGUAUGGACAUCCAUUCUCAUCAUAUAUAUAUUCUUUGUCAUUGUACUUUCAUGAUUCAUCUUUUAUAUCAUGGCGUGUAUGAUGUCGAAUAACGGAUUUGCCUCUUAGAAUUAAAGGAGUUUUGGUUUUAAUUUUAAGUUAUGAUUAAAGAGUUUAGAGUUGCCACCUAGUAUUAUGGUUACUAGAAAACCUAAUGGUCAUAAAGUUGGUAAAGGGACUAGUUAUGCAAAAUGAAAGAUGCAUCGCCCCUAGUAUACUCUACCUAUACUAAGUUGAUUGUUGAUUGGUUGUCAAUCUAAGACAGGUUUUAUACAUUGGUCUCAUCAAAGCUUCAAAUUAGAUCUCCCUUUAUUAGGAAGUCUCUAUGCUAUUAGAUUAAAUCUUAAUUGUUAUAAGACCUUAAUUUUAAAAUUACAUUUAUUUUUUAUUUUUUAUCUUUAAUAUUUGAUGGUAUGCUUUACAGUGUGAUUAUAUACCCCUAAAUAUUAAAGUUUAUAGUUAAGUCCUAAUACUCUGAAUAUUAAUUAAAUGUUGUGGGAUUUUUGGUAUUUUGAUCAUACCCUAAUAGAUAAUCAUAAACUAGUUAUGAUAUCCAUUUUGUAUUUUUAAGAUGAUAAAAAUAUGAUUUGUCUUUUUUAGAAAAUAUACAUGAAAAUUUUUUUAAGAUUUGGCCGUAUGCACAAAAACAAAAUAUUUUUUUGUAUUUUUUGGAAUUGCGAAGAAAAAAAAUCAAGUAUUUUUAAUACCAGCUCUGUAUUUUACACUGUAAUUCUACAGCCUGAAAUUAUGAAAAAAUAUUGGAAAAACAUGUAAGAGACCCACAAUUAAUUUCAAAAUGGUCCCUUAAUGUUUUUUAGAAUUUUUUAAAAUCAUUUGGGGUUUGUUUGGAAAAACACAAUAAUAUAUUUUAAAUCAAACAAGAUACUAAUUCAAAAUAGGCUACUCGUUCACCAUUCAACAACUUAAUAAUCCAACAAAUAAACAAUCAAAUAUCAAAUCUUGUUGAUUUCACAAAUUAUAUUUGAAUUGCAUAUUAAUCCAAGCAAAUCAAUACAAACCCAAAUAUUAUUCAUGCAUCAACAUUUAAUGUUCAAAUAUCGAUCACAACCCUAAAAAUAAACUCACCAAUCAACACAAAUCACCAAAUAAUUUCAAACUAAAAACACACAUCAAUCCAAACCAGUAAUAUCCUAGUCCAAGAAUAUAGACAGCAAUGAGUAAUUUAUUCUAAAAAUCAUAAUAUUUGAGCAAUUUAUCCCAAAAUUCACCAUAUUUUAGCAAUUUAUUAGAAAAAAUAAUUUAAUGUUAUGAAUCAACCUUUCAAGGUUUUUGGUGUGUCCAGUAAAUACUGGAAUUAUGCAGAAAGGGUGUUAUUAGAUCAACAGCAACACACAUACAACCAGUAUUGUCAUUGCUAGUAUAUGGAAUCUUGUGUUGUUACAACUGUAGGAGGAGCACUGUGUGAAUCUGAAACUCCUUUAUCUGCUAUUUGAUUCCUUAGGGAUGGUGCAACAAAUAGACACUUGUAUAAGAAGUUCUGCUUCAUUGAAGUUUUAGUCUUCUUCAUGUUUUUUAAUCCAGGUCUGUCUCUUCUCCCUACUACUGCAAUUUAAUGUUGUUACUAGUGAGAGAAAAUUUUACAAAAUCUCAAACUACUACAUCUCUUCUCAAAUCCCCCAAUAGCAUAGCUAUAAACAUAUCUUUGCUUCUGUUUUUUCUUCAUAGUUGGUUGUUAUUGCCACUGCUUAUAAAGGCUAUUUUGUGAUGAUUUGAUGGUUGUAUUUGGGUGGCUUGGAAAUGGGAUUUUCUAGUAUGAAAAAUGAUUGUUUUGAUGAUGUUUUAGUGGUUGAGGCUUUGUAUAGUUUGGGUUCUAUUUUAAAGUGUUUUGGUUAGAGUUGUCAUCGUUGAGAGGUCUGUUCAUGGCGGUUUUAAUGGUAGUGUUCAUCUUUAUCGAGGUUGUUUAGGUUAGGGUUUUGUAGGGUUUCUAUAGGAUAAAUAGGGAGGCUCAAGGGCUUAUGUAUUAAUAGGAUCUUAACCUUAAUGUUGGAGAAUAGAUCUCAGUCAUUCAUUAAAGCUAAGGACAAAAGCUUGUUCUGCUUUGCAACUUACAAAGCGAGGACCAGGACUAGUUUUACAAUUAAGACAGUGCUAGGUUAUUUUUUAAAGAAAAUAUACAAGUGUUUUUAUUGCCUUUAGAGUUGUAAUUUUGUCUUAGAGUGAAGCAAAAAUACAAGGGUGUAAGUUGGCAUAAGAUUUGUGUCAUAUGGACAAAAACUUGUACUGCUUUGCAACUGACAAAUGGAGGAUCAAGACUGUUUUUAUAGGCAGAUCAGUGUUAGGUAAUGUUUAUGGGAGAGAAUCUUCAUAUGUUUUAGUGCCUUUAAAGAUGGAAUUUUAACUUAGAAUGAAGUAUCAAUACUUGUGUGGCAUUAUGAAGGGGUGAGGGAGAAAUUAGGGCUGAAAGUUGGGUACUUAGUCAUCUUUCUAUCUUGUUUUAAUGGGAAGAAGACAAUGAAUAAAGAAAUUAUGGUAUUUUUAAACUUGAUCCCUAAACUUUGGGACUUUGUAAUGGAAUCCCCAAUUAACCUUAAUCUUUUGGAUUCCUUGCAAUUUUACCAUUGCCAUUUUUUUAUUGGACCCUUAAAUUUAUAUGUUUUUUACGAAGUGUUCAUUGAUUUUGAAAUUAUUUAAUUUGACCCUUAAUUGAGCUUCAAGCUUCUAAUUGCUUGCAAUUUUAUCCUUAAUCUCAUCCGAUUGAGCUUUAAAAAAUCAAAUAUGGUCCUUUAAUAUUCUAAUUUUUUUUAAUUAAGUCCAAAUUAGAUCUCUACACUUAAUUGUUUUCACUAAUUAAGACCCUAAUAAAAUUAAUUUGACUAAUUAAAGUAUAAUUAAAUCAUUGCACCUAGUUAAAACUUUAAAUUUAACCAGAAUUAACUCUUAAAAUUAAUUAAAUCUUUAAUUAGGCCUAUGAUUAAAUAAAAUUGGCCUAUUAAAAAAUCUAAUUAAGUCCCUAUACUUAUUUUUUAUGCAAAAUCAUCUAAUAAUUAUUUAAUUUGACCUUAAAUUUGCCUUGUCUUUUUUAAUUUUAGGUACAAUGAAGUACAAUUAGGCUCCUAAUUUUAACCCAAAAUCCAGUGCAUUUGAAACCCUUCUUAGCCUAUUUUUGCAAAAUUGCCAUUUUUUUUUUGUUUGUUAUUUCAAUUUUUGAUUUUUUUUCAAAAGAAAAAGGAAAUUUUGGGGCAAACCUAAAAUUGAGUUAUGACAUUUUACAUUUUUCAAUACCAAAUAAUGUUUUCCUUUUUUAAUCAUCUUUAAAGCCAACCUCUACAUCUACAAAUUGCAUACCACUAUCCAAAUAAUUCCAUAAUCCCCCCUUAGUUUGUCUCAUCUCUACCUAUUUCACAACAAACAUCAGCAUGUUCUGAGUCGUACCCUCUUUCUCUUGGUCUCUUACAUCCUCCUAACCUUUUUCUCAUUGUAUUGUUUCUUACUCACACAUGUCCUCAUUGUUAUUGUUUACCAUUCCUGACCUAAGUCUUCUUAUUAGUCUUAACAUAAUUACUACAUCAUCUAUUUCUUAAACAUCUUUUCCAACUAUCCAAAAACAAUACAAUACGGUCUUGGGACUUCAUUCAAUAAAUUAGAGUUUACUAAGGCAAAAUGAUAUCCUAACUGGUAAUCUGAUAUGAUUAUAAAAAUUUCUACUUUAGCCUUUAAUAACACUUUGUCUUUGACACCAUAUGAUUCGAUUAUGAAUGUGGUAUACUAUAAAUGGGUAUACAAGAUUAAAUACAAGACAAAUAGAAACUUUGAGUGCUACAAAGCAUAAUUAAUAGCCAAUGGCUAUUAUUAGUAAGAAAAGGUUAAUUUUCAGGAGACACUCAUUCCAAUCAUGAAGCCUCGUACUAUUUGGAUAAUGCUUAGUAUCAAUGUUACUCAUGGUUGGUCGAUAUAUCAACUCAAUGUGUAUAAUGCUUUCCUUAAUAAAUUUCUUGAUACAAAUGUGUUUAUGACUUAGCCCAUUAGUUUUUUUUAUCCAUAGUUCCCAAAUUAUGCUUACAAACUUGGACAUUUUGUUGUGGUUUGAAAUAAGUAUCUCAUACAUGGUUUGAUCAUCUUCAUUAGUUCUUGGUUCUUUUCUAAGGAUUUAAUAGCUUUAAAGUUGAUACUUUCUUGUUCAUUCUUCAUUCUUCUAAGGAUAUAAUAUUUCUUCUAAGGAUAUGGUAUUUUACUAACUAGUAAUAAUCUUGCCUUUCUUUAGCAUCUUAUCAUACAUUUAGAUAUUGAGUUUACCAUUAAUGAUAUUGGCCCACCUCAUCUAUUAAUGAUAUGGUUUAAUCGACUCACUUUCACAUGGCAUGAUAUCUAUUGUGUGGUUAACAAGGUAUGUUAGUCCAUACAUUCUUCCUAUUAAUGUUCAUUGGUUGGUAGCUAACCACAUCCUGCAUUCUCUACAUUGCAGUUCGUUUCCUGGGUUGCACCAGACAUGUUGGAAUUAUUUCUCACUCAAUGGUUUUAAUGAUUCUAUUUGGGUUAGUAAUGUAUAUGAUCGAAAGUCUACUAGUGGUUAUAUUAUUUUCCUUGGUUAUAACUUGAUUUCUUAGAAAUGUAGUAAGUAAUAUAUUAUUGCUUGUUUUUUUUAAAGAAACCGAAUAUAAAGCUAUUACUAAUAUUAUUGCUGAACUACAAUGGGUCAAGUCUUUACUUUAUAAACUUAAUAUUUUAGGUACAUCUCAUCUCUUAUGGUGUGAUAACUUAGGAGGCACUUAUUUGACUGCAAAUCUAGUUUUUCAUACUCGCAUGAAAUUUAUGAAAAUUUAUUUUCACUUUGCCUACGACAUGUUUGCUCACAAGGAACUCCUAAGCUUAAUUAAUUACUUAUAUUGAGUAAGUUACUAAUGUAUUCACUAAGCCUCUUUCAUCAUUGUAGUUUAUGUUUCUACAAUUCACGUUAAAUUUAAUGUCUACUCCUAUAUUGAAGCAUUAUGAUUAACUAUAGUUGUUCUAAGCACAAUUAUCUUUGUAUUAUCAUUACUUAUUUAUUAUAUAAGGGUUCAUUAUACAUAGCCCUAUACAAUUAGAUGUCCCCAUCUUUAUAUAUAUAUAACACAUGUAUGUAUAGGUAUUGAUCACCUUAUUAGCAUUAUAUUGCUUGAUAUAUGGCAAAACACCUUAGUACUUUAUGAAUAUAAAUACAUAUUUAAAUCGAGUAAUAUAAAUAAAAUGAAAAUCACAUUAAAGUUGAUAUUAUUCAUUGUUAGAUAUAUUACUUGAUAAAAAAUUAUCAUGAGUCAAUACUUAAUUCAAAAGUUACUAACAAUGUUUACUAGUUUCACUUAGAAAUCAUUUUAUACACACACACAGCAAUUAUGCUCAGGCUAUAGCCUUUCUAUCUAGAUUUGAAAAUUUCCAUGCGCUGUUACAUGUCUUGCUUCCAACUCAACCUUAUAAUUUAUCCAAAACAUGAUAAUUUAAGGUUAAAAUUGACCAAAUUGAUAAUACAUGACCCAAUGUGACACACCGGAAAAAAAGAAGAAGAAAAAAACCUAAACUAGCUCGGCGGGUCGACCCGAUGGCUGGACUAGUCCGGGUAAGGCAAAAUACUGGGAUGAGCAAAAACCCGGCAAACUCAGUUAACCCGUGACCCGGGCGACCUGACAAAACCCGGUUGAGACCUAUUGUUUUUUCAAAUGUGUUUUUUCUCCUAGCUAGAAACCCCUUUCUUAAUAUAUUUUUUAGUUGAUUAUUAAUCUUUUUCAAAGUUCACUAUAUAAAUACUAUAAUAACGUUUUAUUUUUUUUGUAAUAGCCCGGGCCAACCUGAUGUAUAUUGUCCGCUUUGAGCCUUACCGCCCUUACGAUUUUGUUCUUGGGUAACGCGAGCCCACUUCUGAGCCUGAUGCCCCAAAACGCGUACAACAAGUCAGCGACCAACACUACUCAUAAAGCCCUAGCUUUGGACGCUCGCUUCCGAUAUGGGAUAUCACAAUCCCCCCACCUUAAGAUAAGUUGUUCUUGGCUUUGAUACCAAAUGUAAUAGCCCGGCCCAACCUGCUGUAUAUUGUCCGCUUUGAGCCUUAUUGUUCUCAUGAUUUUGCUCUUGGUGACGCGAGUCCACUUCUGAGCCUAACGACCCAAAACGCGUACACUAGGUCAGCGACCAACACUGCUCAUAAAGUCUUGGCUCUGAAUGCUCGUUUUCAAUGUGGGAUAUCACAUUUUCAAUGUGAGAUUUGAAGCCUUCUAGUAUAUGUAUUCUAUGUUCAUAAUAAAAAAAAAGUUAUGUUUUUUUUAAUAUGAAAUAAAAAACUUUUUUUUAUUUAAAUACUUUACCUUGAAAGAAUAAUAUAAUAAUAUAAUAUCUUUUCAAUGUACGAUAAAAAACCUUUUAAAAUAAUAUUUAAAACUUCAUUAUUUAUAACAAAUAUAACUUAUAUUCACAUGAAUUGUUUUAUUUUUUAUUUUUUUAUAUAAAAUAUUAAAACUUCAAAAAAAAAUUUAUUUUUUUGAGUUGAUUUGAGUUAAUCUGGGUUAACCCAUAUAACCCGAGACCCGGCUCCUUGAUCGGGUCAAUCCCCAUGUUGGUCUAUAACUAUGCAAUAAACCAGUAUAAAACACUCAGAAAUAAACUUUUCUACUCUCUUCGGGCAUCACUACAUAAAGAUAGAAGAAGCCGGUAGCUCUAAAAACAGUUUGUCUAUGACAAUGGCAUCCUCCUCUUCUGCCACGGGCACAAAUCUCGAUCUCAUGAAAAAGGUACCUCCUUUUGUGUAUCUCUCACCUAUCUUUUAUAUGACUAAUUUAUUUAUGCGGGUUUCAUUUAUCAGGUUAGAAGUCAUGAAGUAGCAAUAGCAGAGCUCAGUAAUCUUUCAUCGUCUCGUGUAAGCUUCUUUCAACAGUAUCUCCUUUUAGUUCCCAGUUUUGGGUCUUUAUUCUGCUCUUGCCUUGAUUAUUUGAUUACUUGGGCUGUUGUGCAUCAAAAGAAUCAAAAUCAGUAUAUUAUUUGUUUGACUAUUAUUCGGGUUCUGUUCAAGUAGAAGAUGAUAAUUUCUUGACUAUUCGAAUAUAAAAUGGCGUAUGAGAAGUGGGUUUUAGGUAGGAAGAACCAUCUCAUUGAUAAGAAACAUUAUGGUUUUAUUUUCUUGUUGAAAAGGGUUUUUCUGAUACUUUUGCUUUCUGUCAAGGAAUGAUGUUGUCAUGAACAUUUAGCCUUGGUUCAAUUGAGCAUGGUGGAAUUUGUUUUCCUUUUUUGUUGGAUUCAUUGACGCUGAUCUUCUUUCCAUACCUUUUUUUCCCCUGAUUUUUAUAGCUUCAGUCUAGUGUGUUUAUAUGAUACCGACUAUACAGAGAAGAAUAGGGUGGCAAUUAGCAUGAUGGAGGGAACACCUAACAACUAUUUCAAGUCCUUGGGGAAACUUGUAAUCCUUGUCUUUUUGGUAGAUUAGAUGUGAAAAUUAGCAGCUUAUAGUCUUGUUUGAAGGCUUCAGUUUUCUCUUUAUGUUUUCUUCUUUUCCAUUCAAUUCUUUUUAGGCAUUUUCUUACCACGCAUCUUUUAUUAGCUGGAAUACUUGCUAUUAUUCACUUAUUUGCCCCAAACCCAUGUCUGGGAAGAAUUCCUUGCACCACCUUGGUAGAAAUUUUUGUGAAAUCUACUAAAAGCAAUUGCCCUACUUGACUAUCCUAAUUUACCAAUCCCAAAUAGCUAUUGAUUAUCUUGUUGCUAUAUUAGCCCUAUCCUUUGUCAGGCAGGCUAUAAACUUUUGAUGCCUGAGCUGUCAUAUAUAUCAUUUAUCAAUAUGGCAUGGUGUUGUUACAAGUUAUUUCCAUUUUAACUGCAGUUGACUAUUGCUCUAUAAUUGGGUUCUGUUUUGUUUGAUGUGCAAGAGUGUGGUUCCUUGGAGGUGUAGAGACUAGAGAAUUCAAAUGUAUUCAAUUGUGGUUUUAAGUGAAUUGAUUGGUUUACAAGUUGUUUUAUUCCCAAUAGUUGAAUACAAAUAUGGUCGAAUUGUUCCGCCUAUAAUUCCCAGCUAAAUUCAAUAUAAUAAUGGACUGUAGAAUGCAGCGCUUGGAUAUCAAACUCGAGCUGUUGUCUAAACAAACACUUUAUCUAUUUAGUGCUCAAAUCAGUUGCAACCAUGGAAACCAAAUUCAUAUUCAUGGUUAGAUUUAAAUUGGUUAUGAGCAUGGCUUGGAUAUUAUUUACAGUCUUCUUAGUUUUCCAAAAUAUACAGGCUAUACAGCCUUUUCUGCUUAAAUGCUGUUAGUAAUAUGCCUGCUAAGGUUUAGCUUUUACCGAAUUAAAUUUUAUAUUUUGGUUUCCCUGUAUGGUGGUAAUAAGCCUAUUUUACGGGCAUUACAUUGUUUCUCCUUGACUGCAGACUGUCUAUCAGAAAAAUGGGAACCUUUUUUUCCGUACAACUGCCCAGAAAGCAACAGCUUCUGAACAAAGUAAGAGACCUUUUCACGUCCACUCGAGGUUAAUAUUUCAAUGUUCUCCAUGCAACUCUAACAACAUUGCAAUCGUAUAUCUAAUUUGUGAAUAUUGUACAGAACAACUUGACUCGGCCAAAGCUAUGCUAGAAGGAUGAAUUCUACUUGCUUUCACCUCUGUUGCUUUGAAACUGGUCCUAUACCUUGCUGGUGAAAAAGCAUUCGGUAGUGCUGACAUUUGUGAUUACAGAUUGCUGGCUAUUCAAGUUUUAAGUCUCAUUCAAGAGCUGCGAAAUGUCUUUGAACUCUUGGAAUUUGCAGAUGGGAAGUGUUACUGGUAGUUGUCAACUACAAUUUUUAAGUAACAGAACGAGACAUGACCAUGUAUUUAGACCUUCAUAGAUGAAACAUUAAGAGUAUUCAAUCCUUCCAAGUGUCUGUUUUUCUUCGUAUGUUUUAUUGGCCUCUCCAUUUCUUGAAUAUGCCUUUCGGUAUUAACUAAAUGUUUGAUUGCGAAUAUUUGAUUGUCAUGCCAAUCCGCAAAAGUAUGUGUAUAUCAAAGACAUCAAACUCCUGAUUAUGAUCCUCACAGACUGUUGCUUUAACGCCUUCAAAUUCAUUGGGAAACACACUUGUAAUUUUUUUUCACCCCUUGUGUGGAUACCAGAGUAUCAUCCUUGAAUGAUCCAUGUUUACCAAUCUGAAAAUCCCUGGAGAAACAUCAUGUAAUCUCAUGGUGACUUUUUUUUCUAUAUAAAGAUUGAAAUUCUUAAUUUUCUUGUAGAGUUCCUUCAAAAAAUUUCCCUUGUUCCCAUCCUGUAAGGGAAGUUGCACGCAGUAAUCUGAGGAAGUCUUGUUGCGUUCUUCAAUCCUGAUUCUUUUUAUUACUCAAGGCGAAUCCAAUACUGGAAGACAGUGUUAAGCAGGGAGCAAAAGAAUCAACCUUGGCAGAGAAGCGAGAUGGCUAAUAUUUAAAACCUUUUGUGCAGUAAUAACGAAAGAAAAAGAUAAAAAAAUCAGAUUACUGUAAAAGCACCCUGAAUGACAAACAAUAUAAACCAACUAAAUACAGCUCACCAAGUUGUGGCAAAGUUAUCAUCCUGAUUAUUAAGAAGUAAACUAAUUACUAGCAACAUAUUUCACAAAAAAAGUAUACUAACAGCAAAAUGUGUGCAUUGUACUGUUGUAGGAUGGAUUAUUUUUUACUGAACAAGAAUGAAGCCUCUAGUCAACAUCCUGACGUCCAGUUUGAAACCACACAAUUGCAAGAGUAACGAGGGAUGCAUAGAUUGAGGUGGGUAAUUUUCGCACCACCUUUCCAACACCAGGGACACCCUCAGUAGCCUUCUUUGUUGCCAUGGCAACUGUUGGGGCCACAACCAAAGUGAUAAUCAACCCCUGACUAACCACAAUGAACGUGUCUGUUGUUAACUGCUGCAUAAACUUCACAAAUUCUUCAUGGUUAAGUUCACCAUCAAGGUUCAUAUCGCAUGCCUGCAUGUAGAACAAUCAAUGGAUUUACCUUCACUUGUCAGAUCAUAAACAUUUGGUACCCAGAAAGAGAGAGUGAGUCGUAAACUCAAGGCAUCGAGGUUUUCCCAGCUUUGUUGAACAUAUACCUCCCACAAUAUUGGAAAUGGAAAUUAGGCUGAAAGGAUCUCUUCCUAUUCUUUGUGAACAACUAAGAAACAAUGGUCAAGACAAGGUAUUUCACAGAAAAGCUCAAUUAUUUUCAUCAGAAUUAUCAUUUUCCUUGAUACAUUUUGAUACAAGCAUCAUAUGAUAUGCUUUCUGAACCAUAUAUAUAACUUCUGCAGCACUUGUUUAAACUAUUGAAGUAUAGGAGGAGAUGCCAUGAUGACGAAUACAAUGUUCAGAUUUUCAUAUGAACAGUAUUGCUACCUGGAGCACAUAAGUAUUACUGCUAGUGAGACUAUUUCUCUGCAAAAUUACUUCAAGAAGCCAUCAAAUCUCACUAUAGAAACAUAACUCUAGAAUGCUUUGAGAUUUAUGUUUGUAUCAAAUGAAGUAGAGUACCUGCAUCAUGGCUCUGACUUGCUGUUUCGAAGGAGGAUCAAAAUGGGGACCAGGCAAGCGCUUGUUAAUAUCACUGCAUUAAGAAAUGAACUUCAUCAUUAGUAAGACUAGCACCAGAUAUAAUUUUGAUCAAAGAAUCGAUUUCAAAGGCUAGAAAAAAAUAUAAAAUGAUUAAACAAGAAAGUAAAACACAGUUUUAUACUUGUACACAAGUAGAACAGCAAUAUACAGGUCUUCAAAAGUGAGAUUAGCACUUCCCGACUGAUUUUUUAUGUGAUUAUACGCCUUGUCUGCAAUCAACCUUAUUUGUUUUUCCCUCCACUGCUUACCUGCACAAAUUGGUAAACCAAACCAUAUGGCAUCGUGAUGCUUAACAAACAACACAUGUCCUACACUUGGCAUCACAAAAAAAAAAAAAAAAGAACAUGCAACAUACUUUCAUGAAAAAAAAAAUUCCCAGCAAAUCUCGUGACCCAGUAAAGAAUAUUCAUAUAAUAGAUCAUCAACAAAGAAAAAAAUUUAUUUUUUUCUAACACAGGAAAAGGUAACCAAAAAACAUGAAGAAGAACAGUAAGAAAAAUACUAUUUCCAUGAAGCUUCAGAAGACAAAAAAACUGGAACAAAAACUAGACAAAUAAACGAUUUGGUUAACGAUUAAUAAUAAUAACAACAAUAACAAUAAAAUAAUGAUAUGAAGAGGAAGAAGGUACCGUGAAAUUUGUCUAGGACCUGUCCCAUCGAUGAUCCUUCAGUUUAUAGGAAGAAAAGGGAGUUUCUGUUUUUCUUUUUUCUUUCUAGGUUUAGAGAGAUUGAGAGACUUCGUUGAUUAGAUGAGGUAGAAAUGAAUGGGUGAAUCUUUGAGUUUGAAACAGUCUUUCUGUGUACAUAAACUGGUUUUGUUAGCUAAAACAUCUGUGGCUAUGAGCGUAUGUGUGUGAGAGGGAGGGAUUCUUCUACCCUGCAUUCUAUGGAAAUCAAAUGCAGCAAUCUACUUGUCUACGUUGAUUUUUUUUUCCAUGAUUUGGAUCCACUUGGUAUCUCUUCAGUCUUCAUUCAUUUAUCCUUUCUAAAUAAUAUUAUAUUAUAUACUAAUAUUUGGUUAGAUUCAACUUCGAAAAUAUCAAUUAUUUCUUUCUAGAGUUUCGUGUCCCUUCUUUCAUUUAAUUUUGGUACAGAAAUUGAGAAUAAUUUGAGUUUAGAGUCUAAUCUGUUUUUUUAUAAAAAUUAAAAAUUAAUAUUUUUAAAUUGUUUUAAUAUUUAAUAUUAAAAAUAAAUUUUAAAACAUAAAAAAUAUAUAUUAUUUUAAUAUAUUUUCAAAUAAAAAAUAUUUUAAAUAUAACAUUAGCAUUCAUUAUAUAUAUUUGGAAUUUAAAUAAUAAUAAAAUAAUAAUAAUAGACUGUUGUAUGAGUGAAAUUAAUAUUAAAAAAUAGAUAUAUCACACUUUUAAGUAAUUGGUUUAAUGAUUAAAGAGAUUUGCUCUCGUCUUUAUUGAUUGGGUUGAUGGUAAAAUGAAAUUUGCUCGUUUCCUUGAUUCCUUAAGUUUGAAUUCAAGGACUUUCAAUCUUAAGACUAAUAUAAGACCUCACUUUCUUAGGAUUUUAUAUUAAUUUUUAACACGCAAAAAAAAAUGUGAUAAUAUUAUUAAUAUAAUUUAUUGAAUUAUGUUUUUUUUUCUCAAUUUACUUUUUGUAUGAAUGGUGUGUCAAACUUAAUAUAUAAAGCUAAAAGGGAAGUCAAUAUAUGUAAUUAACAAAAAUAUAAAGAUGGAAUGGAAGUUAAUGUCUAUCAAAAUACAAAAUAUUAUUCAUUAUAGUGAUUAAUUGCUUUUCGAUUCUUUCAUGAUAAUACAAUUAUCUUUUUCAAAUUAAACAAGGAUAAAAAAGUUUUUAAAUUUUUUCACAGAAAAAUUACUUGGUUGCCCCUAAAAUAAAAAAAAAUUAAAACUUAUGUCCAAGGGCUUUAUUGUCUAAUCAUCAUUAUCAUCAAUAUGAUAUUGAUAUUCAAUCCUAACUUCAUUAGAAGGAUCCUCAUUAAAAAUAGGAGGAAAAUUAGAACAUGUAAUAUUUUUUCUUGUUUGAGAACAAUUCUCACAUUUUGGUAUCAAUCCAAAAAAUUUAGUUCAACUAAUUUAUUAGCAUCAAAUAUGCUACGUAUGGAUAUAUUUAUUUCUACUCAUGGUAAUCUAUCAAGAGGUUAAUGUAAAGAUAAUGAGUAUUGGUUUCAAAUAUAAAUAUUUAUAACCAAAUAUAGAUGAGAUCUUUAAUCAUACUUUAGUCUCUCAUUAUUUUCCUACAAAUUAAUAGCCCUCACUAUCAAUUCGAGAAAUCUCAUUUAGAUUUUUUAAUGGGUUAUGAUUUCUUUUAAUUUAUAUGACCUUAAGUAACUCACCAAAAUAAAAUAAUUAAAUUAGAUAUAUAACAUAACUUAUUAAUUAUAUCUUUAUGUGAUUUGUAAAUAAGUUAGGUGAUAACUUUUUACCUGAACAUAUCAUAUAUGUUUGUCCUAACUACUAUUUAUAAUCUUAUAUGAUCAUAAAUAACUCAUUCAAAUCAUAUAAGUUAGUUAAGUAAAGCCUGAUUUUAUUGCAUUAAAUACAUUCGAUUAAUGGUAAACUUGAGUAGCUCAGUAAGUUAUCCAUAAGUAUAACUCUAGCUUAUGCAUAUAAAUUUAGAAGGCAAUAAAUCAUAUUCUUAACAUGUACUGAAUACAUUAAUGAGUGAUUUUAAUUAGGUUUCAUUUCAUGGGAUAAUUGAUAUAUACAUAUCAAGUAUACAUUAACAUAAAUCUAUAGCAUGUCAUUCUAAUUCGAUGAUUAUGGAUAUAUCUAAACUAAUUUCCUCGGGUCAUUGAAGGGAAUUAGUUGGUAAGAAACUAAGUAGCUAUUGCAAAUUUUAAUAAGUUAUUUACUAACACCGUGGUUGUACUUUUUUGUCAUUUUUUCUCCGUCAUGGAUUGUAAAAUAGAUUUUCUAUCUGAAUUUCUACAUUUCUAAAUUACAUAAGAUUUAUAUAAUUGUAUAAAAAAAACCUUCAGUUACAGUCGAGGGGAAUUAUAUGAGAAAAUAAUUUUACAAAAAAAAAAAAGACACUCAGACCCUAUUUAAUAUUACAACCAUUUAACCAUAAAAAUACAAUCGCAAUGGUCUUUAAAUGUCCAAAGUCAUCCAUCAUAUAUAAGAAUAUAUUAAUAUGCAUAAUUAUAUACAUUGCAUGCUUCAAUUCUAAUUAUUAGCUUUAUGUGAAAUUUUAAAAUAAUAUUUCUAACACUUAGAAAUAUUAAAUCAAAUCCAAUUUGAUAAUUUCUCAAACAUAAUAAAUCAUAUUAAAACUCUUAUUAAUAUCCCAAACUAUUUUUCAAAUGUUAUUUAAUUAAAAUUUUGUAUUAAAUUUAAAUUUUAUUAGGAUAUUACAAAACUCAAAAAUUUUGAAUUGACAGUUUUAAUUCAAUCCUAAUCCAAUUAGGAAGAUUAAUUCUACAACAAAUUUAACUUAGGUUUCAAUUUUAAAAUAUAAAAUCAACAUUUUAUAAAUAUAUAUAGGGGUAGAAUUGUAAUUUUAUUUCAUAUAUCAUAUUAUAAUAAGGAAUAAAUUGCAUCGGUAAAUUUAUAAAUUAAAUCCCAAAAGCCUUAUUGUAAUAAGUUAUAAGGUGCAGGGUUACCUUUAAAAACCUAAAAGUAAAAUAAUAAAAUAUGCAGGGGUAGAAUUGUAAUUUUUUCAAUCAUCUUCUCAUCAGUUGUUACAGUCGGUUGUGGGUUCACUGCUGCUAACAGCUUGCCUUGGCAGCGACAACCUUUGCACUAAUAGUCAUGUUCUUGUUGCUGACAGCAUCCAUCAUUUGCCAAGCAUCAACCUCGCACAUCAGCCUCACCAGCAAUGUCUAGUGUUGUUGUGGCAAGAUAAUAGCCUAUUGCCUCGUUACAAACAACUUGUUGGUUGUGCACAAAAUGCCGUUGUAGGCUUUCUCAACCACCAAAUGUUACUUGUUUUUUUCUUAUAAAUUUCAGUCAAAUAGCAUAUUUUGAUAAGAUUUAAAUAAUCUGGCUAGAUCUGGUUGGAAUAAUAGUUAAUUUAUUUUUGAAAAAUCAUAAGAGCAAAAAAUUAGGAAAAUAAUUUUACACACAAAUUUAAUUCAUGAUUAAUGCCAAUAAAAAUUAUAACAUGUAAUCAACAACUCUAAUUUUCUAACAAUGGCUCUAUUAUCUAUAUAUGAAAAUUACCUAAAUAUCAAAUGUUCUUUUCAAUUUUGAAUAAUUAUUUCAAGGCUGAAUUGUUGCAAACCACAAGUCGUUCAACUGUCUAGCUUUCAGCGGUAAUCCAUAUAAACCACUAGUUAGAAAUUUAAUAAAUCUUUUUUAGAUGAGAGAGAUUGUUAUGUCUUUGAGUGAUAGUUAUUUUCUUUUAUGUUUUCAUGUGUUAUGUAACUUAUGUAGUUUAUGUAGAAUUUACUAUAUAGAAAAUAAAAGGCAUAACAUUCUAUUUAUAAGGAAACCUAAAAACCUUAUAAAUGGUAAAAUAUCAAUUUGCCCCCUCAAUAAUAUCAUAUAUAUUAUUUCAAGAUAAUUUUAUAAAUUUAUUCAUUCAAGUCCCUACUUGUUUUUUCUAGUCUAGAAUUAUAAUUCCUUAUAUAAAUUACAUUUUAGUCUUUAAUUUCUAAAACUUAUUUGCAAUCAAGUUAUACUUGAUUAAUCAUCUCAUUUUAAUUUCUAACCACUGAUUUUUAUGUGUGACCAAUUAGGUUCCCUAAUAAGUUCACCCAAACAUAAAUCAUAAUCCUAAAUAAAAUAUAAUUAAAUAAAUCUAUUUAUUAUAAAGUCAAUAAUUGAUUGAUUUAUAUUUCAAUAUCAGGUACAAUAUUUAGCAAAUUAUCAUGGUCCCCUAAAUAUAAGAAAAGUUAUAAGUGAUAUGAUUUAACCUUUUCAUGACCAGUUUCUUAGUAUAAUUAGUAUUCCUUCAUCAUUGUUUCAAUUUAGACAUUGUUGUAACCCAUUUUUGGGUCCCCCUGAAAAAUAAAAUAAAUAGCCAAAAGAGGUUAGAAAAAUAACCGGAGGCAGAAGCGCCCGGAAAACAGUCAGAAAAUUGGUCAAGGAAUUCAAAAAUACAAGGAUUGAAUUUUUGACAGUAUAUUCUUGAAGGAUGAAAGCCCUAUUGAGAAGGAAAAUUUAAAUUUUGGGGAGAAAAGCCCAAAUUUGGAUUUUUUAUGGGCUUAAUUGGAUUUUUAUGGGCUUAAUUGGAUUUUUAUGGGCUUAAUUGGAUUUUUAUUUGAAUUUAUAGAAGAUUUGAUUCCAAAAAAAAUUGAUUUUUAAGUCAAUUUGGGCUUUAAUUUAAAGAAAUUUAAGUUCUGGGGCCAAAAUAUAUUUUUUAGAAAUUUAUUGGGUCAAAUCAGGGGCUUAAUUGCAUAAAUAUUGAAGUUUAAUGGCCAAUUAGGGACUUAAUUGUGAAAAUCCGAAACCAGGGACCAAUUUGGAGAAGGCGCAAAGAUAGAGGGGGCUGUUUGGAAUUGUUUCAGGGGCUUAAUUGAAGAAAUUGGAAGUUUAUUGAUCAAUUAAGGGCUUAAUUGUGAAAAUCAGAGGCCAAGGACCAAAGUGAAAAACGCGGCCAACUAUAGGGGUAGGGACCGAAUUUGGCAGGGACGCAAUUGAAUUUUAUUCUUGAUUGAAGGACUCGAUUGAAGGACUUAAUAGAACAAAUGACAAAUUAGGGACUGAUUUAAAAACAAGUUUCUGGCGUUUUUUUUAAAUGAAACGGCGCGUUUUGUCCAAAACGACGCCGUUUCAUGCAUAAUUAUUAUAAAAAAAAAAAAAGGGAAACCGAACGGUGCCGUUUUGAACGGCACUGUUCACUGUCUUCUUCCCCCGAACGUUACAGCGGGGAAGAAGAAAAACUUGUAUUUUUUAUUCUUUUUUGCAGGUCCCCCUUACCAACCGACAGAGACCCUACGCCGGUGGGCCACCGACAGAAACAAUGGCCGACAACCCGCCUCGUGGCCGAAGCCGAGGGAGGCCCGCCGCUCCCCGACAGCCGCUCUCAACCCGCUCCUGGGUCCACGAGAAAAAGCCCCGCCCAUGGUGCUAUAAAUAGAGGACUGAAAGGGAGAACACGGGACGAAAAAAAGAGAAAAGAAGGAACCCGAAACAAAGAAAAAAAAAACGAGAGAGAGGAAGAGAGAGAAACCUUGUAACAGAGGAGAGAGAAGCCGUCGUCCGUGAAGCGAGGACACUGCCACCACCACCGCAGCUCCGCCAGCACCAGGUACGCCUCCUCUCCUCCCCCUGCAUUUUUUCUAUUAAUAUAUAUAUGUUUUGCCCCCGUGUUUUCUUUUUAUUUUUUCUCUGGGCCAGAUUGUGUCUGGCCCAGAGUUAUGUGGACGGGCCAGAGGGAUCUGGCCCAGUCCGGCGUUAAUUAGUUUCUGGGCCGAGUUCGGCCCAAUACCUGUUGGGCCGAGGUCGGCCCAACGACUGUUAGGGCUGGGUCCAGCCCAGUUUGGUUUGGGCCGGCCCAGCCCCUUUUUAAUAUAUAAAUAUAUUAUAAUUAUAUUAUAUUAUUAUUAUUAUAUGUGUAUCUACAUAUAUACAUUUUUUUUUCCUUUAAAAAAAAAUCUAAAAAAAAAUUUUGGUUGUUAUUUUCUUUUCAUAUAAAUAUAUUGUUGCUUUACACAUUUGGUUUUGUAUUUUUAUACUGUAAAGAUACAAAACCAGUGUUAAAAAUACCCGGUUUUCGUCAAAAUAUCAAAGAUUUUCAGAAUAAAAAAUGUUUUUGCUUUCAAAAAAUUUCUAAAAAUUCCCUAAAAUAUUGUUGAUUUUUCUGCAUAUUUUUAUCAAAAUGGUUAAUUUGGUUUGUAUUUUUAUACCGUAAGGAUACAAGCUCAGUAUUAAAAUACCCGAUUUUCGUCAAAGCAUAAAAAAAAAUAUUUUCUAAAAAUUGUUUUUUUGUUUUAAAAUACGGCCUAAUCUCUCCAAUAUAUAUACAUAAAUAUUAUAACAUCAUAUUUUCACACAACAAAGAAAAUUUUCAAAAACAAUAUAUGUAUUAACAUGCAUUUUGGCUUUAAUAACCAGUUUAUUCAAGCCAUGAGAACUAGGCCAAUAUUUCAAAAAUUCUAAAAAAAUCUUUUUGUUUUCUUUUAAUAUUUGGGAUUACGAAUUUAUACGUAAAACGUAUUCCUAAAUAUUAUAAUAAAAUUUUGGUAUGGACGUUAGAACGGUUAGGAUUUUUACCCGAUAAGAUAAAUACCUCCUUACUGAGGGGGAUUUUUCUUGAACCAUAGACAGACCAACAACUAGGAAAACACAAUAACACUUUAGUUUUGUUUUUUAUCAGACAAUAAAACAAUGCAGCUUACCUUAGGUAGGGCGUAUUUGGGGUGCUAAUACCUUCCCUUUACGCAACCAGUCUCCGUACCCGAUCUCUGAGACCAGUUAGGUUCCUAGUGACCAAAAUACUAGGUGGCGACUCCAAAGAACAAAAAAUAAUAAUAAAAAAUUUUGCCAGUCGAACCCGCAAUAUUGAAAAACAAUAUUUUUUGGGGUGCGACAGACAUAAUAGCAUGGAAUGUGUUUACUAUGUCAAAUCUUGUUUGUUCUCAACACCAUAUUCAUUGAUUCUUUAAAUAGGAUUUGAAACUUUUUUCAAUCUUAUUCCAUCUUACAUAAGGACUUACAAUCAAUACUAUUUCAGAACAGUUAGAACAUUUUUCUUAAUUUAUAUAAGAUGAUGAAUCAUCUCUUAAUUACUGAAAUACCUUCAUAUAGUUCAUGUUAUACCUAAUAUAUGCACAUUUGUUACCCUUUAUUAGGACAACAUAUAGUGGGAUUAAAACAUAACACUUUCUAUAUAAGAUAACUUAGUGAUGUCAACUCUAAAGAUCAUUUACACAAGUAUCACGUGAGCCUUUUCAUAGACACACGUGAUCUCUCCAUAUAAGAUUCUCAUCAUAGUUAUUAAAUCUGACCCAGGGGUUGACCUAGCCAAGGGGUCGAGUCUCGGGUCACACGGGUUGACCCUGGUCAACUCGAGAAAAAUUAAUUUUUUUAAGGUUUUAAUAUCUCAUAUGAAAAAGUUAAGAAACGUUUUAUAUGUAAAAUGUUUCUUAACUUUUCCAUGUAAAAUAUUAAAACCUCAAAAAAUAUAAUAUCCGAUAAAAAAAUUCAAAAACAAUUCAUAUAAAUGGAGGCUAUAUAUAUAGUUAUCCCACAUGAAAAAGUUAAAAAAUAUUUCAUGUAGAUGGAAGCUAUAAAUAGAACUAUCCCACAUGAAAAAAGUUAAGAAACAUUUCAUGGGGAUGUAGGCUAUACAAAACAAUAUGUGAGGCCAAGUAUUCACAAAUUAAUUUUAUAUUUUUUGGGUUUAUUAAAAAAAAUGUAAAAAAAAGUCAGGCCUUACCUAAGUUACGCCAGGUCACUUGGGUUUUACCAGGCUAAUUGCAAGCAUGAUUUUAGACCAUUUAAAACUCGUCCAAGGCCUUGGGUUCCAAGUCAACCCGUCGGGUCGGGUUUUAUGUCUAUGAUUCUUAUGGGGUCAAUUCAGUGUACAUGUCAUUUGACAAACAUCUAUAUAUCAGUUCUAGGUAUAUUUCAUACCUCAGCUUAUGAAAACAACUGUUUCAUUUCAUAGAGAAAAGAAUAUUAUAUGUAUCAAUAUUAAUAGCUCUAAUUAAUAUACAGUCUUAAUAAAGUAUUGACUAUGAAUAUUUUAGAAACAAUGCUUUGAUGCAAUAAAAAUAUCAUAAUUAUAACUUUAUAAUUUUCUUUACAAAAUAUUUUUGUCCCAAGUAUUUUAUCUUUACUUUAAAUCCAUUAAUAAAAUAUUUGAUGAAUAUUAAAGAUAAAUAAGUCUUUAUUAAUAAAUUAAAUAUAUUUACAUAAAUAAAAUCAAUAUUAUAUAUAACCAACUGAUCAACUAAAUGAUAUAUACACUAAUAUUUUUUUUUAUAGCAAAUUGAGCUUCAAUCUUGAGAUUAGAUCUUGAAUUACUUUCAUUAUUUUAUUCGGUGUGGUAGGUUGAUAUGUUGCAAAUCUGGAUUUUAACUAUGAGAUUAGACCUUGAAUCUAGUUUCAUUGUUUUUAUGUGAUAUGUUGCAAAUUAAAAGAUCCAUAUAAAAAUUAAUUUGUAAUUAAAUUUUUUUUGCAUUUAAAAAUAUUUUUGAAAAAAUUUAAAUUGUUUUUUUAAUUUUAAAUUAAAAUUUUUUAGUGUUUUCAAAUUAUUUUGAUAUGGUGAUAUCAAAAAUAUUUUUUUAAAAAUAUAUAUUAUUUUAUUAUAUUUUCAAAUAAAAAAAAUAUAAUUACAGUACUAAACACUCCUUAAGAUAGUCUGAUUCUUCAAGUAGUCUCUGGCGAGGAGAUAGCAAGAUUAAUAAAUAUUAACAUUAACAGUGGCCUCCUAUAUCCAAAUAAGAAGGUACAAUUUAAAAGUUACACAUUUAAUUGUGUUUUUUUUAUAAUUAUCAAAAACAUAUUGAAAAUGCCAUAAAAUCAAUAAUUAAAGCAAUAUACAGCGACAAAACAGGGGAAAAAAAACCAAUACUAAUAUGCUACAACAAAAAAAAAUAACCAAAAAAAUAUAUAAUCAAACAAUUUUAUAAUUCUCUCCUCAAAAACAUUAUUGUUCCUCAAUAACCAAAUACCCUAAUUGAUAUUGCUUGAGAUUAGUGUUCAAGCUAUCUUUUAAAAUUUACCUUCAACUAUUCCAGAUCAUUGUAAUAGCAACAAAUCUAGUGUGCUAGGUAAUAAGCAUUAGAAACCCCACAAACCCAAAAAUUUAAUGGUGUUUUUAACUAAGCAGGUUCAAUUUUAAUAAUUUAGUUUAUUUGAUCUUAGCAUGUUUGGAUUUGUUUUUUCCUCUUUCUAAAAUUCAUCAAAAUAUAAUUACAUAUCAUCGAUCAUAUAAAAAUCAUAUAACUUCACAUAGCACUUUAAAUUACAAAUUUCAAAUUAAUAAUUUCAUAAUAGUAAGAGAAAAGUGAUUUUAAAGCUGAUACCUCUCCUCUUGAAAUAUCUGAAAGGUCAGGAAUUGGUGGUGUUUCGAGGGACCAUGAGGGUCGUUUUCUUUGUAUCUUCUCUUGUCGCCCGAGCAACGAGGAGUCAUUAAUGAAGGAAGAGCUCUUGCCAUUAAGAAAGCCCUGGGGAUAUACAUGGCAUGUUUGAAACCUCGGAGAUUGCAGGUUUGGUUGGUAUUAUACAAUGGUGGUGGUUUAAAAUAUUUUUAUUUAUAAAAAUAUUAAAAAAAAUUUAUUUUUAAAAAUAUAUUUUUAAUAUCAACCUAUCAAAACUACGUCAAAACAUAAAAUAAAUUAUUUUAAAUUAAAAAGAAUCAAAACUUUUAAGAACGCGCAAAUACUCCAAUACCCAUGUGAUGUGUCACAUCGUCCAUAAUAAUGUGUGUGACUUGGAUGUCUGCUAGGGUUUACUUAAACUGUAAUCACACCAAUCACACCAUACCCAAUUCUUCCAUUUUCCUUCAUAUGGUAAAUCAUCGAUCGAUUUUGGGUGUCAAAGUCUUCAUACCUCGUCUUUAUCCAUGUGAAACAAAAACACAGCUUUCCAUGUAUAAGGACAAACGACAUCUCAUAAUCAUAACUUGUCUUGUGUUCUGGACAUGCAUAAUACUGAGGCUGGCCGGCAUUGGAUUCUUUGCACAUUAUCGUCAAUGGCAGGAAACACCAAAGGAAAACUCAAAAAAUUAAUUUUUCUUUUAUUUAAGGAUUUCUUUUCUUCACAUAUUUCAUGGGAUAUCAUUAUCGUAAAUUUAUCAUAUAAAUACUGACAGUAGCACUUAUGAAAAUGAACAAAAAAAAAAAACAAAAAACUUUCUUGUAGUUUCCAAUAAUUUGAGAUGGUAAAUUUUUUAUUCUCUACUCGUUUAAGUUGAAUAUUUUUCGUUCUACACUAUAGAGCAUUGAUAUGGUAGAUGCUUAGCGUAAAAGGUAGUUUAUUGCAUUAAUAUGACUCGGCUUCACACCAAAGGAUUUUUCUUUUCUUCUCUUUUCUUACCGUGAUUUUUCUCUCAAAACACCAAAGGAUUCAACUCUCUUUAAACUUAAGCUUUUGGAUUUUAAAAAGGGUUAAAGAAGCAAGUAUUAUGACUAUUUUUUCUGUUGUUUUCAAUUGGAGAUUUGAUCGUUUAUAGAUUAAGAAAGUGUUUUAGGGUUUUAAGAUAUGCACAUAUAUUAAUUAUUGGUAGACCCAGAAAUGAAAUCGUGAAAUAAUUGGUAGUCUUUCUAUACUUACUAUUCUAUGUUUUAUGUGGGUGGGCCUUAAUAUAUAUAGGUGAUAUACACCGAUGCAUGAAAUUCAAAUCUCAAUACCCAUGAAGCCCUUGGAACACACUGAGAUAUUGUCCUGUAUUUGUACGUUGUCUAAUUCUCUAAUUCUGAAUAGACCACCUAACUACGAAGUAGGAGGGAUUUUAAAGGUGGGCUUUACUCGAAAGGUUUGUUGAUUUUUGCAAUUAUAUUCCCUUUGAGUUGAUUUGUUGUGGUGUUAGAUAAAAGAGCCUCUUUUUUUUUAAAUGGAAUGAGUGCUUUCUUGGUAUUUUUUACUGCCCCUGAAAUUUCUUUGGAUUUUGAUAGCAAAGAAGGAAAGAUAUUAGGGCUGGCCAAAUUUCGGUAGUGUUUGUUACCUAAAAUAUUCUUGGGACCUUAGUUUUUAAAUACCAUUCACUUAAUACUUCAUCUUUGUCCUUCAAGAUAUCUGCUUUUUGUUUAAGAUGAUUUCCACUUCUCUCACAUGCACAUGUUAUUUUUUAUAUGGAUUUGCAACUGAAGCUUCCUGAAAAUACUUUGCAUAUAUUGUUGGUGAAGUGUCCAUUUACACUCAUGAUCAUGGUGUUGCUCUUUAUGAGAAAAGGACGAGCUCAAUGCAAUCUCUGUGCUAAAGUGACGAGUGGUUUCUCAGGUACCACUUACGAGGUAUACGAGGGGAUGUAUACAAGGGAGCCCUUCAGAAGCAUGCUGUUAGAAACUAAACGAGCGAGUCUUGACAAGGAAAGUCAGAAUCUGUAAUGUCCAGAUCUUUCUUAGAAGAGAUAUUGCUCCACUAACUUGAAUGCUGCUAAGCAUAUGAAGCGUGAUGCCAAGUCAAAUUGUAGGCUAUGGAAGUGGAAUGCAUGUAGAGAUGCACUCCGUGGUAGAGGAUGAUAUGAUUGAGCACCUUCCAGUUACUCUAAUGGAAGAAGAGCUUCAAAAACAAUCAGAGCAAAGGAGAAUAUAUUAUCAAAGCAAUCUCAAAGAUGAAUUGGCAAGUUAUUUUACGAAACGUGUUUCGAUUUCAGUGCUUCCACUUUGUCUAGCUUCCAAACAGAUGAACUUAUAAUCCUACACCCGAUGUUACGUUAACAACUCUUUUUUUAUUCAUUAACACAUGAUUCUCACUUUAUUUUAUUUAUUAUAUAUAAUAUUGAUUUUUUGAUUUACAGUUAUAUUUUUUCCUUCUUGAUAUCAAAAAACACAUUAACACUUGUACAUUCAUUUUUUUGGUUUAGAGAAAAAAAAAAUAUCCGACUUACUAGUGGAGACACUAAACCCCAACUCUAAUCAUCAUAUAUAACAUACGGAAAAGUCUGCCAUUCAUUUCACAUGAUAUAUUCAAGGUUUGAGGAAUCAAGAAUCAAAUCAAAAUUAAUAUACUCCGACAUAGUGAACACUGCACACUCACUAAAAUAACAGUGGUAUUGUGACAUUCAGUUCAAUCAACCUUUAAACAUAAUAUAAAUAUUCCACAAAAACAAGUUCCCAAAGAAAGAGUUGUAAGGUCAUGUCAGAAGUUUUUAGCUAUCUUAUGAUGCAUUGUUACCUUUCUCACGUGAAAUCGAAGCCGAGAGAAUGCCAAGAUCACGAUUUAAGAAUGUCAGUGCAGACUCACACUCUGAAAUUAUUCUUGUAACAGAAGAGGGCUCGCCAGCUUUUGUUUCAGAAGAUCCAACAGCAAGAGCUGCAUGCGAAUCUCUAAGAUUUCUUAAGUUCCCUAGGAACUGCCACAAAAGCAGAAAAAAGUCAAUUCCCAUGAAAGCAUAAAUGGCAACUUCUCUUGUUUGCUUGAUUUAAGUUCUAGCAGAGUUUCACAAAUGCUGUGAAUGGCUUUGAGCUUAAAUGGAACAUCUCCAUAAAUCAUUACCACUGAUUAGAUUAUAUCAUAAUAAUGCAGAAAGCAUUAUUUUCAGGCUUUUAUACUUCGCUAGUGGGGUGCUUGAUAAUUUUCUAGCAGGAAAACACAUCCGAAACAUUUGAGCACAAUAUUGAAAUACAUAAAGAAAACAGAAGGAGAAAAACUCAAAUUGUUCACAAACAUCUAAGCUAACCAUAUAAAUUCAAAUGUAUAGCAGAAAAUGAAUAAAAUCUUCACAUUGAAUAACUGGAAGAGAAAAAAAGGAAAGUAAAAGGGAACUUCCAGUUCUAGUUUAAGCCUAUGGAAAUGGCAUGUUAGGUCUCCACGCUUUGGUGUUCAAGAAAAAUGCCUUGGUAGGAAAACAAUUGCAUGAUUUCCCCUGGUGUAGGACCACAUUUUCUUUGGCAUAUGGUGAUAGGAAGAAUGUAAGUUUCCAAUAGAACAGUUGGUAUGCCUAGGCUGGGUCAGUGUUGCCUAUGCAAGCCCUUCGAAUUUCAUCUCAAAGGUUUUCUCUUACUUUUCUCCUUUGGUAACAUAUAAUGUUAGUGAUAAUCGUCAUAGUUUUAAAAAGAUUUUCGAUACAAGAAUCAAUCUUGUAUUAAUGCUUCAUGUUUCUAAUAAAAUACGAUGCCCUGAUUUAAAAUUUUUUUUUUUAAGGAGAUGAGCUUUAUUAGCAUUUCAGCUUUUUCAGAAAUUUAAAAUACCCUCAACUACUUAGUGCUUCCCCCCAUCCUUUCAGUUUCCUAUGAAGGACGUGCAGAAUGUUUCUGAUUAUGAAGGGGUCUAAGAAAUUUACUUACCACAUCUUACUCACACAUCUUAAUUCCUCUCCUACUCCCAAUUGUUUCAUUUUUUCCACUAUUUGGAAGGUCAAGGUGCUGGCUAAAGUUUAAACUUCUGUUUUGUCAGUGGUUCUUGACAAGACAGCAUUAAUGAACUAGAGUCCACAUGAGCUCGUCUCCCUGAGGGGGGGAUCUUGAAAUAUAUAAACUAAAGGAGGUGAAACCUUAUAGGUCAUUGCUUUAUAUAAUGAUGAACAAUUGUGUAGUGACAUGACUGAAUAAAGUGCUGAUAGGAUUCAGAAGUAUUAUUAAAUUGAUACCAUGCAACCGUUCGAGAAUAUAAACAUUAAAAACAUGAAAUGAUGCUGAUAUACCUUCCAAAGCAUCUUGUAUGCCUCCAACAACCGGUUGGCAGCUGGUCCAAACCCAUGAAGCUGUGGCACUUCCAUCAUGUGCGUCCAAGGGCGUAUUUCCUAAAAAGGUAAAAAAGAACACAUUACAGUCAUAAUGUAAUGUAGCAAGAGUACACUUUCACUCAUUAUCAUAGACUUCAACACCAAGAUGCUCAAGCAUAAGUUUUCAAGUCUAAAGUUUUAUGCUGAAAACAGUAAAAAUGUACAACAAGUUAAAGAUUUGAGAGAGUUUCUACUGAAAAUGUCUUAAAGUGUGUCUAUGAAGAGUCAUAAUCAACCAAACAAAGAAACAUAACAAAUGGCAUACCAACUCACAACACCAGAUGCAUGAAAGAGAUCCAGCAUGAUGUAGAAAAGUUAUUGUUCAGAUAUAUUCAAAGGGAGUAGAGAAACCUCAGAAAUAAUUGAAUGAUCUUGAAGUAGGGAUGGCAAUUUAAUUUGAACCUGAUGGAUACCAAUCCGACUUCUUAAUACAAUAUGAUAAAUGUAUCUUAAUAUUGACAUAGAACACAUGUACAUGUAUAAUAUUUAUUAUUUUAUCAUUUCAUAUAUAUAUAUAUAUAUUAACUAUUGUGUUUUUUUAUUGAGUAAUUAAAAAUAGUUAGUUAAUAAAUACCCAUAUGGAUACCCGAAACCCAAUUGAUAGUUUAUGGAUAUCUAAGUUUCUUACCCGAUGAUUAAUGGGUAGGGUAUGAAUAUCAAGAAAUCCGACUUCUUGGUACCCACUGUCAUCCCUAUCUUAAAGUUUCUAAGGAGAUUCCUAGAAACUUCUUUGUUCAGAUAAAGCUAGCAACAAGAGUAUUUAAAUAAUAAAUUAAGACCUAGCAGAGAAAAUCCAGACCUUUGUGUAUAUCACAUUGAAUGAUCUUGCAGUUUCUAGGAAAGAUUCCAAAUGUGCCCGGAGAUGAGAUUCCACCUCAGAAUACUCCUCAUCUGGAUUGUAUGCAUGCUAAACAAAAUGUGUUAUAGAGUUAAAAAGAAGGGAAAAUAAGAAAUAAAUGAGAUGGAAAAAAAUGAGCUGCAUUAAGACUUCACAGUACAAGAAAUUGGGAAUGACUCGACAUUAGAUGAAAAUAAGUAUUCAGAAAAACAGUUUGUUCAAAGGUGGGAAUUUAAGAAUUAAUAUUGUAUUUUCAAGGGGAGAACAUGCAAAAAUCCAAAGCAGCACAUCUUUUCAACAGUUUAACAAUAGAGUGUGUGUGUGUGUGUGUGUGAACAGCUGUUCUAGAGAACAGCAUAUCAAAAGUUUCUCCAAGAAUGACAGCAUUAUGUCUAGAGCUACGUGAGCAAUAAACCCCCUCACACUCACACUCACACAUACGCGCGUGCGCACAUAGAGUGUGAAUUGAAGACAUGGUAACAUCAAAUUGAUUUAAUGUGAGAAAUACAAAGGACUCUUUUGAACAUAAAAGCAAACAAUAAAUAAACAAAACUGAAUUAGAUAAGUGGAUGGACCUUAGAUGCCAAGUCAUCAAUUUUCUGCUGAAGACUCUGAAGUAUUUUUGACUGUUCCGCAAGCUUUGUCUCCAACUCAGAUACAUCUGGUCUGCAAAUGUGCUUAGAUAAAAGGAAGGUAAUGUUACUACAUCUAGUGACAUGGAAAAAUAAUAAUCAUCAUUUACCAGUAUAACUGGAAAGAAUAAUCAUGUGAUAUAUGUUUGCCAUCAGCAUUUAUAGUUGUGUUCUAAAAGUUGCUUUUAUAUGUCUUCUUCCGGACUACAAUGGAAUUCUUUCCAUAUAAAACAAGUUAUCAUAAACAUCGUUGUCCAGUGAAAAGAUUCUAACACUUAUCAAGGUAACCUAGAUGGGCAAACUUGAAAAUCACCAAAGGGGUUUGUGUUUGAUACCGGUUAAUAGGCAUAGUUUAAUAUACUUCAGAAACAGGAGUGAACAGGCAAAAUAAGAGUGGAGAAUAACAUAAUCUUACAACGGAUAUAUGGAUUGAAUCUGCACAUCAGCAGGGAACAGCUUGCACUCCUCUGAGAAUAUUAGAGCUUGUUUCUCUGCAAUAGAAUCUAUGAGUUGUAUGUCUUUUGCCACCUGUUCAUCUACACUGAAUAAUAAUACAAACAAAUUUUAGAAGAACAAAGGAUGUAAAGAAACGCAAGCAACAAAAAGUAGCAACAUUUACGAUCAUAGAGUUGAUGAACAAAUGUUGAAACUAAUUCAAAUAGUGAACUUUAAGCAAACUCAACCUCCAUUCAGGAUUAUCAGCAUAGAUGCUAGCCUCCACGAGAUCUACAAUUAGACGAAGCAUUUCAGUUCGGUCUUCAUAGCUUCCUCGCCCCUGAAACACAAAGGCAUUGACAUUGCACUCACUUGAUAUUGGAACAUCCAACAAACUAGUCCAAGUUGACUUGCUCAUAUACCUUAUUAAUCUUCACUGUUUAUAAUUUGGACGUUUCAAUUCAUUUGAAAAGACACACAAUCUUUUACUUAACCAGCCAUUAAUCUAUCAGGUCAUCUUAAACUUGUAGAUUAUACAAACUAGAUGUAAGCAUAUGCAUCACUUGUAAAAAAAGAAAGGAAAUCAAAUUCACAAGUUACCAAUGCAAGCAUAUGCAUCACUUGUAAAAAAAGAAAGGAAAUCAAAUUCACAAGAGUGUUCCUAAUGAAAGAAUAUGUUGGGAUUAAGAAGGAUGUUCAACUGUACUUAACCUCGUUGAAGUUAACUAAGAAGUGCAAUGUAUAAAAACUGUUACUUAGUUGGGCAAUCAUUGAUUAAAAAGCAGCUAUUUUAUAUACAGAAUUAAGCAACUUACUUGGAUGGCUUCUGUAUCUAUAAUUGAAGUGAUGCCCAAAAACUUUGCAAUCUCUGCCAGAUCUGCAAUAAAAUGCAUAGUUAUUUUUUAAUUGGAACAACAAUAAUAUAAUCACAAAUGUUAAUGAACCAUUUUGAAGUUAUUACAAAGAUCUUAGAGAAAAGAAUGACAAAAACCGAGAUGCCACAGAGCCCAGAAGAAAGAACAGUUAUAAAAUAUAAGUUACAUAGACAGUGAAGCCUAUAGGUGUAUCAAAAAGCCAACGUCUAAACAUUUGCACUUGCAAUGACCAAUGAGAAAACUACCAAGCUUUUUCCCGGAUCCAUUUUAUGAAAAAGGCAAAACAAAAUUUAGCAAAAUACUCGUUGUAUAUUAAAUAAAGAGCAAUAAACUUUCGCUUUCCAGAUAAGCUAGUUAAGACUAAAUUGAAAUGGGUUUGGAUUCUGAUUGAGAUUAUCGAGAAGAAAAUGAACUGUACAAUCCAUCCCUCUACAACCAGACACAAAAGGUGAAACAAGAAGAGUUGGAAGCAAGGAUAGAAGAUCUUUACUUUCCCUAUAAAUCAUAUUACUGAAGAAUGAAACUUCAAAGAAAUACUAUUCCCCUAGUUAUAUACUAUAAACAGGCUUGAGAUGAAGCCUGUAUAACCAAUGAAGUUUUUUAAAAUCAAUAGACAAUGGGUGCUCCUCAACACAUCCCAGUGGAGAAUGAAUAACUAAUACCAACUUCAUCUUUGAUCAAAGGAAAGAAGGGUGGGGGGGACCUGCAAGAUUAACCUAAGAAUUCCAACGAUUAGAUUGAAGCCUAAACUUCUACAGAUAACCUUAUUGCCAAAGAGAAUCAGUUUCUGAAAGAAAGCCAAGAUUCCAAAUCCAGUCACCCACCAAAGAAAUAUACAGUUCUUUCCAAGAUUCCAAGUCUCGUAGGUUUAUGAGAUAACAUUACUGGUAGUCUAUGCGCUUAUAUGAAAUCCACAAUAACAAACCCUGAUUCUCAGUGUAGUGAAAAGAGAAUUCUAAACAUGAUAUUCUAACAUUUCUAAAAAAUUUAAAGUGACUCCAUUAAGAACAAAAACCUGAUUUUUAUCCUAGAACCCUAAAUUAUGUUCUAGAAAACAUAAAGCAAUCCAUGAACCAACUAACAUCAAUCCUAAAAAGAACUUGCAGGGCUACAACAGCAGCUGUAACAAACUUUGAAUUUUGGUUUCUUCACCUCGAAUGAUUCCAGAUUUUACUAGAAAUGCCAAAUCACAUGCAUAUUUCAAGACCAUUUACCACACAAAACUCCACCUAAAAUAGAUCUAAGGCACAGCCAUCCACAUCUCUAAUCAAUAAUUAUUACGCUUGCAAUAAACCCUCAUAACUGUCCUACAUAAUAAAGACUCGAGUAAAAAUAAGAGAAGACACUAAAAUCAACACAAGUCCUUCAUAAUCUAUUCUCAGAUUGUUUUUUACUCCAACAAUAAAAAUUGUUAAAUGUACAAUGGAACACAAAAACUUAAUUUCCAGAAUGAUAAAAAAAAUAAAAAAUAAAAAAGUUUACAUUGGAUACGAGCCGUCUCUUCGUCACGAUCCAUAGCAUCUCCUUGUAGAUUUUGCUGCGAGAAUGGUGAUUUAUCACCCAAUAACCUGCAAUUCAGAGUAUAGAAGACAUUUAAAUGCCCUUCAGACAGCAAUUCAUUAUUUCAAUUGCAGCCAAAUUAACAUGUCUAGUACUAAACUAAUUCAUAUGUAACCAAAUUUCUGGGUCAAAUCGACAGUUUCUCAGCAAUCAACUAUUACCAAGUAAAGCAGACAUGCAUCAUCAAGAAGUAACAAGGAAAAUCUCACAAAUUAAUUUUCUCCUUGAGCCGCUUUUUCCCAGUAAUUAAACAAGCCAUUUACUUCAAUUUUCCCAAAAAAAAAGAGUGACAAAGAACAAGAUAAUAAUAAGGGGAAAUGGGGUACUUGAAGAAGAGCCAUUCGAGAAGAGCGUAACGUUCCAUGCCGGCAAAAAGAAGAGACUGAGCAGGAGCAUUGGCUCUUGGAUAAUUCAACAUCCCUAGUUUUCCCUGUAUAUCUUCCAUUUGCUUCGCUGCCAUUGUUUCUUUUUCUUUAUCCUCUUGCUUUCUUUUUGUUGAAGGGGGAGUUGAGAGAGAGCCGAGGAACAACUGUGAAAUAUAGAUGACUCGUCCGUCCUCCUCGAUGAAUGAUGCAAGGGCCCACUUUAUUUUAAUUUUGAAAAUAUAGGGCUAAUUAAUAGAUACAAAAUAGAAAAAUUCCAGAUAACAAUUUAAUUUGAACUUAAAUUUAAUUUAAAUUUAAUAAAUAUAAAUCUGAAUCGACUUGAAUAAAUAAGUUGUUUGUGGAUAUUUUACCCAAUAAAUAAUAAAUAAAAUAUUAAUAUUGUUAAAUCUAAUCAAAUUUAACUCGAAAUAUAUAUUUAUAUUAUAUAAAUAUAUACAUAAAACAUUUAAUGUCUUUAAAAUCUAAUACAAUAUAUACAUAUCUCACAUAUUACACACACAAUAAUAUAUAGAACAUUAAAAAAAUUCAAAAUCCAAUUAUAUAUAUAUAUAUAAUUUUUUAAAUAAUAAAUAAUAAUAGAAUAUAAAUAUUUAAAUAUUUUAUUUGAUGGAUAAUACAUAUCAAAAAAAAAAACAUGCAAGUAAAUACUCACUCUCAUCCCUAAUCUAAGGGUAUUAUGUAAUGUAAUUUUUAGGUUAAUGCACUGUUAUUAAACCCGGACCGGACCGGCGGGUUGACCCGGGACCCGGCUGACCCGGUGGCUGGACUGGUUCGGGUUUGUUAAAAGACCGGCAAGUGCAACGACCCGGAAAAACCCGGACAACCCUGUCGCACCCUAAAAAAAAUCAGCGUGCGGCAUCGGCUGGCGAUCUUUCUCGUUUGUUUGUCGUUUGCUUGAAUUUGAUUCGUUGGAGUCGCCACCUAGUAAUUGAUUGCGGGCUACUAGGAAACCGGAUGUACUGGUCUCGUCAGAGAUUCGUGGGUAAGGGACUGGUUGUGGUUAGGGAAGGUAUUAGCACCCCUAACGCACCCUACCUGAGGUAAGCUGCUUCGCAAAUUUGAUGUGUUAAAGAAGUUUUAAUAAUUGUCUUUUCAUCGGAAAUUAGAAAUAUCACUUACGUAUAAGUUAAUAAUCCUUAACCGUGAUCCGAUCAAAAUAUUAAAUUCUUCUUUAAUAUAUUUGCAAUUUUAUCAUUAAAAAAUAUAUACAAAUAAAUAAAAUAAAAUACAAACACACCCAUUCACUAUUUUCAUUUCUUUUCUUUUCUUUUCUUUUCUUUUUCUUUUACAUCCACAAUACAAAUACAAAUACAAAUACAAAUACAAAUUCAAAUUAAAUAAAUAAAAAUACACCAACACACACAACCCCUUUUUUAUUAUUAUUUUCUCUUUCUUUUCUUUUCUUUUCUUUUCCUUUUGUACAUCCCAUUACAAAAAUAUAAAAACUAAACACUAAACAAAAAAUACAUUACAUAAUUUAAAAAUUACAAAAAAUAGUCCCUAAACUUCAGAAAUUGCAUUGAUAGCCUCCUGCCACCGCAGCAAACAGUGGUGGCGGGUCUCCCCACGCGCCUCCGUCACUGGCGGCGCGUGGGUUCACGCGCCGCCGGGAAAAAAAACCACAGCAGGGGGUCUGGUGGCAGCUCCAUCCCCUCUUCCCGUCCUUGCCGGGGUUACCUGCAAAAAACACCCAAAACGCAACAGGCAGUCGAUUUCAUUAAUUAAUUGUUUUCUAUUUCUUUUGUUUUCCCGAUCUGCCUCUCUUCCCGUUCAAAUCUGCUUCACUGCAGAUCGGCUCUUCCAUGGUUUUUUCGUCU
rnacentral:lncRNA from 1 species